rnacentral:lncRNA from 1 species
UUAGGAUUUUAUUAGGGUUUGGUUAGGAUUUAGUUUAGAGUUUAGGAUUAGGGUUAAGAUUUUGUUAGGAUUUUAUUAGGGUUUGAUUUAGGAUUAGGGUUUGGUUUAGGAUUUAGGAUUUGGUUAGGAUUUGAUUUAGGAUUAGGGUUUGGUUUAAGAUUUAGGAUUUGAUUGGGAUUUGAUUUAGGAUUAGGAUUUGGUUUAGGAUUUAGGAUUUGAUUUAGGAUUUAAGAUUUGGUUAGGAUUUGAUUUAGAUUUGAUUUAGGAUUUAGGAUUUUAUUUGAGUUUAUUUAGGUUUUAAGAUUUAGUUAGUUUUUGGCCUAAAAUUUGAAUGAAGUAAGAUUUCAACUAGGAUUAAAUUAAGAUUGAAUUGAGAUGUAUUUGAAAUAUGUUUGUAACUAUUCUAAUAUUUCUUUAAGAUUUCUUAUUGUUCCUUUGGAAUUCCUUUGAGGUUUCUUUGAAUUAGAUUAAAGCUUAUUUAGUAUUGUUAGUGUUCUAUUAGAAUUAAAAUUUGGUUAUUGCAAUUUCUAUUCUACCUUCCACAAUCAAGUGCUUGGAGCAUUUUUAAGCAAGACUUCAUUUAUUAUGACAAUAGUAGCUUCCAAGUUUUUUGAAAUGUAUUCAUUAAAGCUAGAACCAAUGGAAAUUAAUACGAUAUGUUUUAAAACUCUCAUAGAGCAAGAAAAGACUCGACGUCGCCAAGAGGGUUUAUGUUUAUAUUGUAGAAAAGCUAAGCACACUGCUCAAUAUUAAUCAAGGAAGCAACGUAAUUACAAAAUGAGGAGAACAAUUACUAAAGAAGAUAAUGUAUCAAAAAAUGAAUUUUUCUAUUUACAAUAGAAACUAUGCAGCUGGAAUCAUGUGCAACUUCUAGUAAAGGUCCUAUUUUCUAUUGAGUCUUCUCACCUUGUUUUACAAUAGAUGUGCAGUUAGGACCUAAAAAACACAAAGUCUUUAUCUUAUUAGAUUCAAGGUCCUCAACCUGUUUUAUAGAUGAAGAUUUUGUCAAAAAUCAAAAAAUGUCUUUAGUCAAAAAAACUAAAUCCAUACAUAUAGAAAUUAUACAUGAUCAUUUGUUGCCUUUUGGAUAUGUUAUCCAUGAGACUGUUUCUUUAGAUGUAAAAAUUAAAGAUCAUUAUAGUAUAAUAGUAUUUAAUAUAAUAAGAUCUCCUUCCAAUCAGAUUAUUUCAAGAUUAUCAUGGCUAAAAAAAUACAACCUUUAAAUAGAUUAGAUUUCUUGUAACCUUAAUUUUUUUAGUAGUAUAAUCUAAGAUCAACUUAGUGAAGUAGAAGUAUAAAAAUCUAAUACUUUCAAACCUUUAUUGGUAGGUGUGAGAGCUAUCAUGCAUGUUGCAAAAGAAGGAUCAUCUUUUGCUAUACAUGCUAAGCCUAUUUCUAUUGGUGAAAAAAUGACAAGUGAUAUUCCUAGCCAAUAUCAAGAAUUUGAAGACAUUUUUGAAAAGAAGAAUACAGAUAUUUUUCUAGAGCGUUGACAUCAUUGUUAUUCAAUUGAUUUGGAAGUAGGAGCUUAACCACCAUUUUCACCAAUCUAUAGCUUAUUGCAGAAUGAGUUGGCUAUAUUAAAAGAAUAUAUAAAUGAAAACUUGGCAAAGAACUUCAUACGCCAUUCUAAAUCUCCUAUCUUAUUUGUAAAGAAGAAAGACAGAUUUCUACAAAUGUAUAUGGAUUAUCAAGGACUCAAUAAGAUCACCAUAAAAAUAGGCAUCUUUUGCCUUUGAUUUUAAGACUUUUUGACUAACUCAAUCAAGCAAAGAUCUAUACCAAAAUAGAUUUAUAGAAAAGAAGCAUAUAAUUUAAUUCAUAUCAAAAAAAGAGAUGAAUAGAAGACUAUUUUUCAAACUAGGUAUGGACAUUUUGAAUAUAAUGUCAUGCCUUUUGGACUCAUUAAUGCAUGAGCUACUUUUCAACAUCUUAUAAAUGAUGUUUUUUGUGAAUUUUGAAAUGAUUUUAUUAUUUUCUAUUUAGAUGAUAUUCUAAUCUAUUCUAAAAAAAAAAAAAAAAACAUGAACUUCAUGUGUGUUACAUAUUAUAAAAAUUUAGAGAUACAUGAUUAUAUGUCAAGUUGAAAAAAUGUGUAUUCUAUAUUAUUCAAGUUGACUUUUUAGGAUACAUCAUUUCCAACAAAGGCUUUAUGAUGGAUUCCAAGAAGGUCCAAAUUAUCAAAGAUUGGAAGAUUUCAAGAACAAUACAAGAUGUAUAAUACUUUUUGGGCUUUGCUAAUUACUACCAAAUCUGCAUCAAGAACUUUUUUCAAGUUAUAGCUCCACUUAUACAUUUGACUUAUAAAAACAAACUAGAAUUGAAUAAAGAAGCAAAAGCAUCAUUUGAUAAUUUAAAGAAAUAAUUUACUUCCACACCAAUCUUAUAUUGCAUCAACUUUUUUAAGGUAUUUUUUUUAUAGAAACAGACACAUAAGACUUUGCUAUAGAUGCCAUGUUGUGACAAAUAGGAACAGAUGAUAAACUCCACCUAGUAGCUUUUUAUUCCAGGAAAUUUUCAAUAGCUAAAAUUAAUUAUGAAAUCCAUGAUAAAGAGUUCCUUGCAAUUAUAGAUUUAUUUUAAGAAUGGCAUCAUUAUCCAGAAGGUCCUUCAAGUCCAGUUACCAUGUAUACAGAUCAUAAGAACCUCAAGUACUUCAUGUCAAUACAUAUUUUAAAUUAUUGUUAAGCUCGUUGGAGCAUGUCUUUAUCUAGAUUCAAUUUUAAGAUCACUUAUCAACUUAGAAAAUAACAAAGUCUAUCAAACGCCCUUUUUAGACAUUCUUAUCUUGCACCAAAAGAAGGAGAUGCAUUUUUUGAUCAAUAAAGAACGAUGCUCUUGAAGCCCUAGCAUUUUCAUGUUUGAGCAAUAAAAUCAAUAAUGACUAUUGAUUCAACCUUUAUUAAAAAAAUCCAAUUAAAUAUGUCUUCUGGUCCUCUUAUUCAUGAUAUCAAGAAUCUUUUUUUUAAGUCUCAUGAUAUUUCAAAGUUCGAGUUCAAAAACAACCUUCUUUAUUUUAAAGGAUACUUAUAUGUUGUAGAAGAAGAAACAUAUUUAUGUGUUCUUCAAGCACGUCAUGACUUUUCAGGAGCAAGACAUUUUUGAUACAAUAAGACUUUAGAGCUUAUAUCUAAAAAAUUUUGGUGGCCACAAAUGUGGCAUGCGAUAAAAGACUUUGUACAAUCAUCUGAUACGUAUUCAAGAUCCAAAACUCCUUGCCAUAGACAUUAUGGAUUGCUUCAAGUACCAAUUCUAAAACAACCAUGGUCUUCUAUUUCUAUGGAUUUUAUCAUGGAUCUUUCAGUGUCAAGUUUACAUGAUUUCAUAACUAUAAUUAUAGAUUAUUUCAUCAAAAUGGUACAUUUUAUAUCAUAUAUAAUAUCUAUUUUAGAUAAAGAAAUAAAUAUGCUUUUUAUUGAUAAUAUAUCGCUAUCAUGGAUUGCUAAAGGAUAUUAUAUCGAAUAAGAAGACUCAAUUUAUAUCAAGAUUUUGAAAAAUCUUAUUUAAGAUUUUAAAGGUGGAUAUAAAACUUUCUUUGAUUUUUCAUCUUCAAACUGAUGGGCAAACGGAAUGGGAUAAAUCAAGUUUUGGAGCAAUAUUUGAGAUCUACUAUCAACUAUCAUCAAGAUGAUUAAACAACUCUUUUGCCAUUGGCAAAGUUUGGAUGUAAUAAUUUGGUACAUUCUUCUACCCAACAAACACUUUUUUUUGCCAAUUAUGGUUAUCAUCCAUGACUUGAUAUUUUUGACUUUUUAAAAGUUGAUAAUCCUACGAUGGAAGAUUUAGCAAAUCAUUUGUAAAAGCUACAUGCAACAAUAAAGAUACAAUUAAAAAAAGCUCAAGAACAACAAAAGACCAAUGUAGAUGCCUAUCACAAGGAGCAAUUAUAAUUCAAUGUAAGUGAUAACGUAUGGUUACUUUGUUGCAAUAUCAAGACUACUCAUCUUUGUGAUAAGUUACACUAUCAUAAGCUGGGACCUUUUUUUAUUUGUAAACAAAUAAAUCUUAUUGCUUAUCGAUUAUAUCUACUACAGUUUAUGAAGAUCUACCUUGUAUUUCACCUGUCUCUUCUUGAGCCAAAAAAGAUAGUGAAUAACUUGAGAAGAAGAUAAAUGCCACCUCUUCCUAUAAAAGUGGAUAACAAUCAAAAGUUCGAGGUGAAAGAAAACUUAGACUCAAGGUGGUACUAAAAUAGGUUGAAAUAUCUUGUUCAUUGGCACAAAUAUGAUAAUAAUGAAUGUACAUGGGAGUCAUUAAAGAAUCUUGCAAAUACACUAAAAAAAGUUGAAGCUUUUCAUCAAUGAAAUCUAUCAAAACUAAGAUGAAGAAUAACAAAUCUUUGCUAUAAAAGACAUAAGAUCAAAAGAAGAUAAUAUUCUACUUUCUAUAUUUCUUUGUAGCUUCUAUGUAUUUGUAAUGAUUAAGAAGAUAGAAAAUCACAACUAGCAGAUUUAACUCAAGAGCUUUUAUUUGUGGACUUAUGUGAUGAGACAUUGCAGUUGUUACAACCUUGAAGAUGACAAAAUCGAGAUGAAGAUCCUCAAGAACAACAUGUCCUUCCUCAAAUAAAUGAUAAGAUAUAAUUAGUUUGGUAUUAUGACCUUGGAAGAGACUCUCACUUUUUGGUGAUUUUAUUAGAGGUAGGAACAAUUCCUAAUAGUGUUUCAAAUAUUUUUUUUGAAGGAAGUUACAAAGGCCUCAACAACAACCCAAUAAUAGGGUUUUCUUCUUACCUUGAUAUGAGACACUAUCGAUGGCUAAGAGGGCCUAUCAACCAUCUUUGAAGGGACCAAAGAUCAAAGUAUGUGGCAAAUAUAAUUUACCGCAUCUUGGACUUCUUUAACAUAUGAACACUGUUCCUCAUGAAACUCGUUCCUAAAAGGGAGGUUAAUAUCAUGGACAUAUAUAUUUACUUAUAAAAUCAUGAUAUACUUAUAUAAUUAAAUAGAAUUAGAUAGAUAUAGAUUAAUUUCAUAAAGUCUUUUAAUAAAGCUUCCUAGAAGCUUCAUAGACACGGUUUUUACGUUUUAGUCCUUAAUCUUCUUUCAAGACUUUCUAGUCUUAUUAUUUUUGGCAAUAGCCAUUUUAGUUAAUAUUACAUUACCUUUUGAGUGACUUUCUAGUUCUCUUUAGUGACACAAGAGUAUAUCGAGGAUUUUUUUUCUUUGAGAUUCAUGUCUCUAACAAUUAUAGACCUCCCCACUUUGAUAUGGAUUUUUGGCAUAUGUCUUAUUAUUUAAAAGUAUUUAUAUAACCAUAUUAAUACUCUAAUAUUAGAGAAAAAUAUUUAAGAGAUAUUAGAUCUUUAAUUUACUAAGGAUGAAGAAUCCAAAUUAUUUCUUUAUUUAUAAAGGCAUGCAAUGAAUAAGCUACAAGCUCAAGGUGUCUUUGCAGUUUUAGCUAAGACUUAGUAAAAAUAAAUUCUCAAGAAACUCUCUCAUGGGAUUUGUAUUUGGAAGAAAUUCCAUGUUCCAUCAAUAUUUUUAAUUCAGACAAAUAUUAUGGUGAUGAAAUUCCUCAAUUGGUUAGAAGUAAGGAUGUAAGAGGCAUAGGUAUUGUUUCUUCAAUAGAUUAGCAAUUAAAGAUUGUACCGGCAUAUAGUAAUACUCUAUUGGUGAAAAAAGAGACUACAAAAUUUGAUGAUUGACCAUUGAAAUUAGAACCACAUCUUAGUAAUGUCAAAGUACAAAAGAUAUAAACUUUUAUCCGCUUGUAUUAUAAUUAUUUUGUCUUUAGUCUUAAAGAUCUUAAAGGCUAUAAAGGCAAAUCUAUUUUUAUUCAAUUGAAAGAUGAUUAUCUAAUCUUUUGACAACCUUAGAGACUUAGUGCCUCAAAAAAAGUUAGUAUUCAAAUCAGUUGCCAAGAGUUAUUAGAUAUAAGCUUAAUUGAGCUUUCUAAUAGUGAGUAUGCUUGUGCUACAGUCAUGCCUUGGAAGAAAUACGUUUUUGGCAAUUGGACAGAGAAACAAAUGUGUGGAGAUUACCAUCUAGUUAAUUAUAAGAUUAAGUUUGAUCAAUAUCUAAUGCCAAUGCUAGAAGAAUUAUUUGAUAGAGUAGGAUUCUCCCAAGUAUUCAGCACUUUGGAUUUAAGAUCUAAUUAUCACCAAUUAUUAUUACUUGUUGAAGAUUGGAUGAAUACAACAUUUUAGAGAAUUAAUAAAGAUGACAAAGAUCAACUCUAUUAAUAAAAGUUCCUUCCAUUUGAUCUUAAGAAUGCACGAGCUCAAUUUCAAAAGGUUAUGGAUGAAGUUUUAUAUAGCUUGUCAUUUGAUAGAUUCUACAUUGAUGAUAUUAUCAUUUUUAGUAACAUCCUAUAAGAUCAUGUGAGGCAUUUACAAGCAAUAUUUUAGUGAUUACAACAAUGGAAAUUAUGCUUGUAUCAUGAAAAGUAUAAAUUCUUCUAUGAAUGAUUACUAUACUUGAAAUACAUGAUUAUUCCAAGAAGUUUUGAUAUACAACAAGAAAAAGUAGAUGCCUUAUAAAAAACUUGAUACCAAAUGAUGUUUCACAAUUUUGGACUUAUUUAAGAUUGACAAACUACUAUCAAAGAUUUUUUAAAAAUUUUAACAUCAUUACCAAGUCUUUAGCUAUUUUCAUGGAUAAAGAUCAACCAUGGACUUGGAGUGAAGAAUAAUAAUAUAUAUUCAAUAUAUUAAAGCAAAAGUUGGAUUCAACUCCAAUGCUUCAAUGUUUGAAUGUCAAUAGACCUUUCCAACUAUACACAAAUUAAAAUGUAGUAGAAUUGGAAGUAGUCUUGAUACAAAAAAAUGAUGCAAGAUGAAAAUAUAUUAUUAUAUUUACUUUUAGAAGUAAUAAUAAUGUAGAGUCAAAUGACUCAUCUUAUAAAGGAGAAGCUGUGGCAGUAGUUUGAACCAUAGCUCACUUUUGAUCUUAUUUGUAUGAUCAACGUUUCAUAUUAGUAAUGAACCAUCAACCUUGGAAGUAGCUUAUAGAGUCAAACAAGCUAACUAGUAAGCUUGUAAGAUGGGUUAGGUUGCUUCAAGAAUAUGACUUUGAGGUUAUGCAUGGAGCAAGCAUUAUUAAUUUGGAUGCUGAUGGACUUUCUUGUAAUUCAUGCCCUUCAAAAAAAAAACUUAAUUGAGGCUUAGUGACAUAGAAAUUGUAAUUGGAUAUAGCAUGCAACUACAUACUUAAUUUUAAUGUCAAGUUUUGCAACCAUAUUUCUUGACUACAAUUUAAAUGAGUAAUUAGACAAGAAUCAAGUAAUUAGCGAUGUGUGAAAAGAUCUUGUAGUCUUGCACAAACUUCAGAAGGAAACAUUUCUUUUAGCUAUCUCUAAUAUGAAAAGAGAUGGGAUUAGCCACUAAAUAGUAAGAUUUUUUUUGAAGAACAAUUUGUUAUUUUGUUUGUGGUCUGAUGGAGUUAGGUGCAUAGUUCCAAGGCUAGAUCAAAGAACCUCUUCAAUACAACAUGUAUAUCAAAAACUUAGACAUUUAUGAGUGUGCAAAACAUAUUUUAUGUUAUGUAAUCAAUAUUAGUAGAGUGAUAUGUAUCAAUUUAUAUUUCUCGAUAUAAAGUGUAUGAUUAAAUUAAAUCAAGCUUUAACACUUUAUCACUUCAAUUGAAGCCAUUACCUAUUAUGAAUUUGGAUUGUUGUUGGUCUUUGGACUUUAUUGAACUACUUGGUAGAAUAUUUUAACUAGUAGAUUGAAUUUGUAGUUUUACAACAAAAUUCUUCAAAAUUAGUAGCUAUGGUUUUUUUAGAUCAAGUAUUAGUACAUUUUGGAGGAUGUCUUGAAGUCUUAACAGAUCAAAGAAGAAUUUUUUUUAAAAAUUUUGAAGCUUUAUAUACUAAAGCUUUAAUAGAUCAUUGUACCAUAUCAAGAAUUUAACUUGAGUCAAAUUAAUUAUUCAAAUUAUCAAAUACGGAUUAUAGAAGUAUGGAUUAUUUCAUCGCAACUAUUGUAAUUGGAACUUGUUAUUGCUAUGGAUUGCAAUGGAUUAUUAUUCAAUAAAGAAGCAUCUUUGGCAUCUUAUAGUCCUUAUCAAUUAUUGUAUGGAUAGGAGCCAAUUCUACCUAGCUUAAUAUGUGAAAAACUAGCUCUAGGUAUAGAUCUAGAUGAUCUUGAUGUUUGGAUCCAAUAUCUAUAUAAAUAGAUAAAAUUUUUUAAACAAACCAUGCCUAUGGCUAUGGAAAACUUAUCUAUUGCCUAACAUCAUGACACUUUACAACAUGCUCAUAUUCAAAGUAGAGUUCAUCGAUCUCAGUUGCAAAAAUUCUUUAAAGUAGAUUAUGAAUAUUUGCAACAUGAGGUACUAAUAACACUUGAUAUUAAGAUAGGAUACACAGUUCUAUAGGUAAAGAAUGUGUUGCCUAGUAGUAUUUUGUUUUUAGAAGGCAAAGAUGGACAAGAGUGUUGAGAGCAUUCAAAGAAUUAUGCUCCUUGUCAUCUUUCUAUUGAUGAUUCUAUAUAUCUUAAAUUCACAAUUUUACCAAAUGGCCUUCUUUGUUUUAUAUGUAGUAAAAAAAAUGAUUGCUACUAUGAUUUUAUGUGAUCAAUACCAAUAUGGAUGGCAUAUGACAUGUUUGAUACUACUUCUUUUGAUUCUUUCAUCAGGAGAUUGGAUUUAUCUUCAUUAUAAGAAGUCUUCUAGCCAUGCCUCAUCUCUUAAUAGGAAUUGAAGAUUUCUUCUAUUAUGUGUGUCACAUUCUUCAAUGAUCUAAUUAUUACAACAGUAAGUUUGAAGGAGUAUAAUUCAAUAUUCACAUUAUAGUGGCAUUCAUCUUCAACAAUGUGUAUUUGUAGUCCUAGUUGAAUAGAGGGGCUUCUAAACAACUAGGACAGGGAGGGGCGGGGGGGGAGGAGAGAGAGCACUUGAGAGUGUGUUGGAUGUGCAUUUGUAUUUGUUUUGGAUUUCAUACUUUAUAAUUGGUUGAUGGCACUUGAUAUGUUAUGUGUAAUGAUCUUUGUUCAUACAACAAUUGUCAUAUGAUAUGGCAUCAAGUAUCAAAUCUCACCGAAUGUAUGUAACUUAGUUUAGUUAAUGGUUUUUCAUCAAUUGGUAGUUUUUUUGUUAAUAAAUUUAUUCAUAUUAAUUAGGAUUUGAGUACUUAAGUAGAAAAAAAUCCUUAACGUGACAUUCUUAUCAAGUCAAGUCUUAUAAGUAAUUUUGAGAGUAAGAGAACUUGUUAUAGGGAUUUCCUUAGCUAUGGUAUUUUAGCCAUUUAGUAAAGCUUUAGGAUUUCUUUUUAUUUUUACACUUACACUCUUAGAUUCCUUCUUUAUUGUGUGAGAGAUAGCUUGGCUUAGUUUGAUGUAGCUUUCUAAUCUUUCACUCUUAAGAGUGUGUUGGAUUUGCAUUUGUAUUUUUUUUGGAUUUCAUACUUUAUGAUUGAUUGGUAGUACUUGAUGUAUUGUAUAUAAUGAUCUUUAUUUAUAUGACAAAUUAUAAGGUUCCUACUGCAAUUAGAUAUCUUUAUUUUUGGUCUUUUUAAUAUUUAAAUAUACAUUCUUUAUUCUAAAUAUUAUUGAUUUGAUGUAAUAUUUUUAUAUCUUAUGAUUUUUUUUUAUAAUAUAAAUAUAAUUUUUACAAAAACCUUUUUUAUUAGUACUAAUUAUUUAAAAUAAGUUGUGUGAAUUUGCAUAUAAUUAGGCCUUAAUAAAUAAGUUUCAAAAAACUUAAAACUUAAUGUCAUGACUUGAUUUGUUUUUCUUCAACUAAAUCAUUGUUCUUAGAGACUUUCAAAGAGACAAUUUUUUCAUGUAAUAACUUAAGAAAUUAAUUAUUUUGAUGAGUUUUCUUUCUAUAUUGAUAAUAAUAAAUCUUUAAUAUUAUCUUUUAAUCUAUAUUCAAAUUUAUUAAUAAAGACUUUUUUAUUCCAAUCCAUGUUGCAAGCAAAGAUUUGGAAUUUGGUAGCAUAGAUGGUACUUUCUUGUGAUGUUUGUUGCAAAGACUAAAAUAUUAUUUUUUCUAUCUAUUUUUAAAAUAUUAAUUUCUAUAAUUGUGGUAGUAAAAAUUUCCAAGAAUAAAUUGAGAUCAGUCAAGACUUUUAGAUCUUUUUUCAUCAAAUUUACAAAUUAAAAAAAAAUAUUCUAAAAUAAAAAUAUAUUUAUGAAUCCAAAUUUAGUAAAUUUUUCAAGAUUUUGAAAAAUAUAUAACUUUAAUUAGAUCUUGAUUUUUUCUAAAAAAAUUUAGUUUUUUAAUUUGGUUCCAUCAAACUUCUCUUGCAUGCUAAUCUUUGCUUCUUCCAUAAUUGUUAUAGCAAUUUUUUAUAUUUUUUUCUAUUAUUUUUUAAAUUUAUUUGUAAGAUUAAUCUACUUAUUUCUUUAAAGUGUACAACUUUUUAGAAUAGAUAGAAGACUUCAUUUUUCAUUUUUUUUUAUAAGAGUAAAAAAAAUAUUUUUAUAAUUGAUAUUAAUAAUAUAUAAUUUUUUUGUCCAAUGAAUAUUAAUAAGCUCAUAAUUAUUAACAAUAUCAAGAAUAAGAAUUUAAAGAAGAUAUGUAAAUAAAUGAGAUAUAUAUCAAAGAGAGAUGACAAAAUGAAAUAAAAAAGUACAUAUAUAUAUAUAUAUAUAUAUAUAUUCAAGAAGAAAUUAGAAUGGCUAUUGCCGAGAGACAAGAAAAAAUUAGAGAUCCUUGAAACUAGAGUAAGAAUAAAAAAAAGAAUUGAUAAGAGUAAAGAAGGCUUUACUCUUACCUCUAUAUAUACUAUCUAACUAGGAAUUGUAUGGCAACAUUCUAUAAGACAUCCGACAUAUGUCCAAUUUGCAAGACAUAUGUCUUAACUUGCUAUGAAUCACCAAAUUGACUCACUUAUGUAUUUAGCACAAAAAAUACAAUUAUUGUACUUAAAAUCAUAAUUUUUGUGAGUUAGUAGUAGAAUUUGUAAGAAAAAUAGAAAAUAAAUUACUAAUAGUGGAUAUGCAACCUAGGAUAGAAUUUAGUAAGACAAAUUUCAACAAUGAAUAUAUUUUUUUUUAAGUUAGCUAAUACUAGAUGAAGUUAGCUAAUACUAUCCUUGAAACAAGCCUUUGUUGUCAAAAUAUAUAUAUAUAUAUAUAUAUAUAUAUAUACAUGAUAAUAGAAAAAAAUAGAAGUAAAAUAGAAAAAAUAAAUAAUGUAGAUGAUGAAAAGAAAAAGAAAAAAAGAGAAGAAGAAAAAAUAGAUAAAAAAAGAAAAAAAAGAAAAAAAGAACAGGGGAUGAGGGAAAAAGGGUAGAGGCUGCCCCUGAAUUUUGGCAGCCUCUUUGCCGAUAGCCUUGUUUUUUUUUUUUUUUUUUUGCCUGAAAAAUCCGCCUCCAAUUGUGUAGAAAUUAUCUUGUGUUUUUACGAUAGUAUAUUGCUGCAGCAAAGCUGCGGUGAAGAUCAAAGGUGUUGUUUUAUUUUAUUUUUUUUUCUCUUGUGUGAUUGCUAAUUUCGGCGAUUGUGGUGCAGUCAACGACCACGACGAUCGAUGUGAUUUGUCGUGUUUGUUUUGUUUUUUUCCUCUAGCUACAGACUUGGACCUAUGAGUUGCUGAUUGUUGGAGACAAAGUGGCUUCUUCUUCUUAUAACUUCUCCUCAAGAUUUCUCAAUCACUUGUGGUGGAGGCACAAACUAUUUAUUUAUUUAUUUUAUUUAUUUUUAUUUAUUUUUUCGUUGACGUCUUCAAUGGAAGAGCGCCAGCUCCAACUUUGACGCCCCUUUUAGUCUAAAACCCUGGUCCUCCACGUCCUUCGCAGUUACUAUUGGCAAGGUACGAGAGAGGGAACGAUGUGCACAGAUGACGAGAUGCGGUUGUGAGUAUCGGAAGUAACGACAAGCCAAAAAUCUUGGAUCUAUGUUGUGGUAUUCUGUUGAAGUAACACUGGAGACGUUCUACGCGAUCUAGAUCUGCUGGUAUUGCGUUUGGUGCACGAGGAGGAGGGAAUGCGACUUGGACAAAACAACUAGCCGUUGCCAUUAGACGUGGUUUAGUUUUGUGUUUUUCUCUCUUAUUGGAGUACUGCUGUCGAGUCUAUUGGUGCGUUGAGCGGUUAUGAGUUUCCGUUGGCAAGCAACUGUGUUUUGUUUUGGAAGUUGUGGCGGUGCGAACCCAAGGCUCUUUCUUCUUUCUGCGGCGGAUUGUAUGCAGUAGGCGGUAUUAUUUUGUUCAAGAUGAUUGGUGGUCGUCGACAAUGACAUUGCGUGGAGAUUGUGUCUGGUGUGGCGGAGUAUAAGGAGCUAUGGCAAUGUAGUUUGAACUGUCGACGGCGAGUAUAAGGAAUACAGUCUUGAUUUUUUCUCUCCAUUUGUGCUACUAAGGUGCAAAAGUGGGGCACUAGUGCCACCUUGCGUGGCUUUUCCUGUCUUUUUCCCCUAGUUAUUGAUGUGUUCUAUGCUCCAAAUUUUUUAUCAUAUUUUUUUAGUUUUCGUUGGCAGUUGUGAUCUCGACGCGAGAGGAGGAGAUGGUGUAGCCCAAGAUCAAAGGAGAGCAAUGAAAAAAUAAAAGUAAAAAUAAUUGAAGAGAAAAAAUGUAUAUAUAAAAGAAGGCGAAGAGGAUAACCACAGAAAAGGCGGCGAGCUGGAUCCGCUUCCGAUCAGCAGCUCAUCGACGACCACAGCCUGCAGACAUCACACUGUAUCGAACCAAUGCAAACCUGAUUUCUUGCGCAACUUUUGUGGAAUUAGUGUGCAGUGCAAUUUGCGGGUCCCUACAAUUGUUCAUUGUCGCGAAGACUGGAGGCUAGGCGUGUUACAGGAACUCAACAACCUAGCUGAGGGAGGAGCCUUCUAAGUGUGUGAAUCGAGUUACCUUGAACCGGCAUUGGAAGCAUUAAUUUCCUUGUCCAUCGGGUGCUUGAUUGAUCAGUGUGGUACCUUAGGAAGAAUUAUGAAGAGCUGUCGCGUUGAGUCUCAUCACGCAAUGUGUUGUAUGUUAAGGGUUGGUUUACCGAUUCCCUUAUAUUUCCAGUAGUAUCUUAGAGGAUGGCAGUUGGAUCCUCAGAAGAUCCAGUGUGGGAGUCCUAUAUCGACACAGCAUAGCAUUGGUUAAAGAAGAUCGGGUCAUUGUCGUGACACAUAAGUGGAGGGAGGCUUGCUCAGACUCAAGAGAUUGUGUGCAAAGGUACUAGAAUUUGAUCCCUGGAGCAGCGGUUCAAGUGGAGUUCAGUUCAAGGGUUCAUACCUAUUUACACCUCCAUGCUUGGUGAGAUUUUUAAGAGAGAUGAAGUCAUAUUAGUAUGAUUUAGGAUAGAUUUGGAUGAGAUUAAUCAGGAUUAGAUUGAAUUAGGAUUUUGGAUGGAAUGUAUUGAAUGAAGUUUAAUUCAAGGAUGAAUUUAAGUUAUAAAUGAAAUAUGUAGAUGAAAUAUAAUUCAUGGAUGAGAAGUGAUUUGUAGAUGAUAAUUUAUACUUGGAUGAUAUUUUAUAGAUAAAUUUUAAUUUUAAAAAAUUAAAAAUAAAUAAAUUAAGAGUUUAAAAAAGGAAUUUCUUUGAGUAUGCAUUUUGUUAGAAAUUUGCUAAUGUAAGUGUUAGUUAAUGGUAGAAGUUUGUUUAAUAACUUCAAUGUUUUAAGAAAAUUAAAGAAUGAUUUAAUUAAGUUUUAAAUAAGAGCUACAAUUUAUUAAACUUUCAUAAUCAAUUCACUUGUUGUGAAUUAAGAUAAUCUUUCAAUAAGUAGAGGUUUAUUAUCUUACACUUUGUGAUUUAAGUAAGUUAUGUAUGAAUUGAUUAAGAUUUAAAUAAGAGCUAAAAUUUCUAAGAUUUCUAUAGAUAAUUCACUUGUGUCACAGAUAUAUAUUUAUUGUAAUUUUUAUGUAGGUAAUAUGAAUAGGUAGAAGUAUGUAAAAGUAGAUUAAUUUUAUAAUAUCUUUUAAAAAAGUUUUCUAAAAGCUUCAUAAAUACUACUUUGACUUUAUGUGUAUUUAUAGUUGAUUGGUAGAUUAGAAACUUGGUCAAUAAGUUAACCAUGUGCUACAUAUAUUGGUAGCUUAUAAAAUAAGUUAAUUAUAUGGCGUACAUAUAAAAAACUUGCCUUGCAAGUUAAGAUAUGUGUCGUGAAAAAUCAACACAUUUUGGAGGUCCUAUAGAAUGUCAUGACAUAGCUCUUAGGUAGAUAAUAUAUAUAGAGGCACGAAUGAAGCCUUCUUUAUUCUUAUUAAUUCCUUUCUUGCUUUAAGUCUAAUUUGAAGAACUCUAGUUUUCUUGUCUAUUGACAAUAGCUAUUCUAAUUUCUUUUUAAUAUAUAUACUUUUUUAUUUCUAUUUUGUUAUACUUCUUUGAAAAAGUUUCACUUGUCUAUUUGCUUUUAUUAAGUUCUUGUCCUUGACAAAUUGACAAGUGUAUACUUAUAAUAUCAAAGCUUUGUCUUUUUUUAAUUAAGAAUAGAUUAGGCUUUUUUUUAUAAAAUAUAAGUAUAUUAGAAGUUUCAAAUUACCAUCUUUUAGAUUGAUAUUAUUUUUAGUAUUUUUUUUAUUCUCAAGUUCUUCUUUUUACUUGUCUUGAGCAAUAUUAGACAUCUCUUUUUUCCUAAGUGUUAUUAUGAUAGAGCUUGUUGAAAUAAAAAGUGCAAUGGUAGAAAUGCACGAAUAAUUAAGAAAAUUAAUGAAUGUGAUACAUCAAUUCAAUUUACUACCACAAGGAGGAACAAAAAUGAUAAAAAAAUAGAGAUAUAGAGAUGAUUGGAAUUGUUUCAAUAUCUGCAUCAAAUUAUGUUCUUUCUUCUAUGAUGGAACACCAUUCACUCAAGCAUUAGAAAACCAAGAAUUGCCUUAUUUGAGAAGUUUGAUGGUAUAAGAUCAAAGUUUUGAAGAUUCAUUAAUCAAGUACAACUAGCAAUUGAACUUCAACUCUAAAGUUAUCCAACUCAAGGAUGAUAAAUCAGAUUUAUUAAAAUAUUAUUUUUUAAUUCUAUAUUAUCAUAAUUUUUAUCUAUUCUUAAAUAAUAAGAUCUAGUAUUGGACAAUUUAGAAGCUUUUUUGGCAAAGUUUUGAUCUAUGUAUAGAAAAUAUGAUGCAAUUUGUAUUGCAACAAACAAGAUCCAUAUUUUACAACAAAAAAAUAAUCUGUAAUAUUGUAUGCUUUACAAUUUGGACAACUUACAAUUAAUAUCAAGUAGAAUGAUGUUACACUCAUUAGCCGAUUUUUUUUAUGGAUUAUAAUAUGAAGUAAAAAAAAUUGAUGCUUAAUUUUCUUAAUCUUCAAAUAUUGAAUCAAGCAAUUAAUUUUGCUAUAAAGUGUGACAAUUGAUUUUUUAAAAUUUGAUCUAAAAAUCACAUAAAUAGCCUAAAUAUUAUUACAAUUUAAUUGCAACACCAAUGGCUUUUCAAUACAUGCUUUUGGAUGUAAAAGAUAUGAAAAUUGAUGCAAUAUGUUUCAAAACUCUUAUUGAGCAAGAAAAGAUCCAUUAUUGACAAAAAUGAUUGUGCUUAUAUUAUCGAGAAUCAAAGCACAUUGCUCAAUAUUAUUUAAAGAAGCAAUACAAUCAUAAAAUAAAAAAUAUGAGUAUAAAAAAAGAUAAUAUGUAAAAAUUACAAUAAAAAUCGUUUGAUUGGAAUCUUUUAUAAUAUCUAAUGAAGGUCCUAUUCUCUCCUUAGAAUCCUCUCUUUGUUUUACAAUAGAUGUUAAUUUAAGACCUAAAUAUUACAAAGCCUUUAUCUUAUUAGAUUUGAGAGUCUCAGCUUGAUUUUUGGAUAAAAUAUUUAUUAAAAGACAUAACAUAUCUUUAAUUAAAAAAAAUAAAAUUUAUUCAUAUAGAAAUCAUAGAUGGUUGUUUGUUAUCUUAGAGAUAUUAUUUAUGAAAUAUUUUUUUCUAAAAAUAGUAAAUAAUGGUCAUAGUAGCUUUGUAGUAUUUAAUAUCAUUAGAUCUCCUUCUAAUCUAAUUAUUUUUGAUUUAUUGUGAUGUAUUGAAUAUUUUAUAUCAACUCUUGUUUUGAAUUGUUGCAAAGCUUGUUGGAGCAUGUCUUUGUCAAGAUUCAAAUUCAAGAACACUUAUCAACUACAAAAAUAACUUGGUUUGUCAGAUAUACUCUUUAGACAAUUUUACCUUGCAUCAAACAAAAGAGAUAUUGAUUUUGAUUAACAAUGGAUAAUUUUCUUGAAGUCAAAGCAGUUUCAUCUUUAAUGAAUAAAAUCAACACUAAUUGUUAUUUCAACUUUCAUUAAGCAAAUUCAAUCAAAUAUAUCUUCUAAUUUUUUUAUUUGUGAUAUUAAAAAAAAUCCUUCAAAGUUUCUUAAUACUUCUAAUUUUUAAUUUAAAAAAAAUCUAAUAUAUUUUGAGGGACACCUAUAUAUUUCAAAAGACAAAGUUUAAUUAUGUGUUCUUUAAGCUUGUCACAACUUUUUAGUAGUAAGAUAUUAUGGAUAUAAUAAGACUUUAGAGCUAAUAUCUAUAGAUUUUUAGUGGCCUCAAAUGUAGAAGGUGAUCAAGGAUUUUGUACAAUCUUGUGACGUUUGUUUAAGAUCAAAAACUCCUUGUUAUCGACCUUACAAACUUCGUCAACUAUUAUCCAUUCCAAAACAACUAUACUCUUUUACUUCUAUGGAUUUUAUCAUAGAUCUUUUAGUCUCAAAUUCUUAUGAUUCUAUAUUUAUGAUAGUAGAUUUUUUUACUAAGAUGAUUAUUUUAUAUCAUGUAUAAAAUCUAUUAUAAGUGAAGAAAUAGUUAAGCUUUUCUUUGAUAACAUCUAUUGCUAUCAUGGAUUACUUAAGAAUAUCAUAUUGGAUAGGAGAACUUAAUUUGUAUUAAGAUUUUAAAAAAUAAUUUUUAAGAUUCUAAAGAUAGAUAUAAAACUAUCUUCAGUUUUUUAUCCUCAAAAUGAUGGAUGAAAAAAAUAUAUUAAUCAAGUUUUGAAGCAAUAUUUGAGGUGUACCAUCAACUAUCGAUAAGAUGAUUGAAUAACUCUUUUGCUAUUGGUAUAGUUUUUUCACAAUAAUAUUAUACAUUCUUCUAUGCAAUAAAUAUCUUUUUUUUCUAAUUAUGAUUAUCAUCCAUGACUUAAUGCUUUUGAAUUUUCAAAAGUUGAUAAUCCUAUGGAAAAAGAUUUAGCAAAUCAUUUAUUUGAGCUACAUACAAUAUUGAAGAUGUAACUAAAAGUGGCUCAAAAAUAACAAAAGCACAACGUAAAUGUCUAUAAUAAGGAACAACCUCAUUUUUAUAUUGGUGAUAAGAUAUGGUUACUUUGUUAUAAUAUUAAAACUAUUCGCCUUUGUAACAAGUUGGAUUACUAUAGACUUGGACCAUUUCUUAUUUGUGAAUAAUUCAAUUAAGUCACUUAUUGAUUAUAUCUAUUGAAGUCUAUGAAAAUCCAUCCUAUAUUUCAUAUGUCUCUUUUAGAACCGUAUAAGAUAGUGAAUAUCUCAAGAAAAAGACAAAUAUCAUCACUUCCUAUAGAAGUAGAUAAUAAUCAAGAAUCAAGGUGGAAAAAGUGUUAGAGUUAAGACGACACCAACUUAGAUUAGAAUAUCUUAUUCAUUAGCAUGAAUAUAAUAUUAGCAAACACACAUGAAAGCUAAUAAAAAAUAUAGCAAAAAAUUUCAAAGUCUUUCAUCAAUGAUAUCCAUCAAAAUCAAGAUGAAAGAUAGCAAAUCGUUGUUAUAAAAGAAAUAUAAUUUAAGAAAGAUUGUAUUUUAUCUUCUAUCAUUGUUUAUAAUUUCUAUAUAUUUUUGGUGUUAAAGAGAUAAAGAAUCAACAACCAAAAAAUUUAGCUUAAGAUCCAUCAUUUGUUGAUUAAUUAGAUUAGUCAUUGCAAUUAUUACAGCCUUUAAGAUGAUAUAAUAGAAAUGAAGACUUUAAAGAAUGAUAUUUUUUUUUAAAUAAAUAGCAAGAUACAAUACAUUGGAUAUCAUGACCUAAGAAAAAAGUCUUGAUGUUUGAUAAUUUUACUAGAAGUAGAAAUAAUUCCUAAUAGUAUUAUAAAUAUUUAUUUGAAAGAAGUUAUGAAGGUCUUAAUAAUGAUCAAAUAAUAAGGUGAUAUUUCUACUUUAGAAUGAAAUAUUAUUAAUGACUAAGAAGAUCUAUCAAUUAUCUUUUAAGGAAAAAACAAUCAAAGUAUGAAACAAAAUAUAACUUGCUACAUUUUAGACUUCCUCAAUAUGUAAUCACUGCUUCUUGUAGAACUUAUUUCUAAAAGAAAGAAUAAUGUCAUAGAUAUACAUUUACUAUAAUUAUUAUUCAUGUAAUAUGAAUAGGUAGAAGUAGAUAAAAAAAAAAAAAAAAAAAAAAAAAAAAAAAUCAUAAUAUCUUUUAGAAAAGCUUCUUAGAAGCUUUAUAGAUGAUGCUUUGACUUUAUGUGUGUUUUUAGUUGAUUGAUAGGUUAGAAACUUACUCAACAAGUUAAUCAUGUACCACAUGUAUUGGUAGCUUGUGACAUAAGCUAACUAUGUGGUAUACAUAUAAAAAAAUUACUUUACAAGUUAAGAUAUGUGUUGUGCAAAGUUAACACGAUUUGAAGGUCCUAUAGAAUAUUACAAUAUAACUCUUAGGUAGAUAGUAUAUAUAGAGGCAAGAAUAAAGCCUUCUUCACUCUUGUUAAUUUCUUUCUUGCUUUUAGUCUAGUUUCAAGAAGUGUCUUGUUUUCUUAUCUAUUGGCAAUAGACAUUUUAAUUUCUUUUUAAUAUAUAUAAUUUUAUUUUUAUUUUAUCAUACUUUAAAAAAAAUACUUAUUUAUUUGCUUUCAUUAAGUUCUUGUCCUUGAUAAUUUGUUGUGAACUAUAAUAAACUUCCAACUAGUGGAGGUUUUUUUUAGCUCACAUUUACAUAAGAAGUUUCUUAUAUGUGUACUAAAUGAUUAGCUUAUAUAAGAAGUGAUCAACUUAUAUAAUACAUGGUUAAUUUAUUGGCCAAGUAUUCAACUUAGCAAUCACCUACAAACACGUAUAAACGUGAAAUUAAGUUUGUGAAGCUUUUAAGAAGCUAUUUUAUAAGUUAUUAUAAUAUUAAUAUAUUUUUAUUUAUUUCUAUCUAUCUAUAUUAUCUAAAUAAUUAUUAGAAUAAAUAUGUAUGUUUUUAACAUUAUUUCUCCUUCUAUGAACAAUUUCCAUAAAGAGUGGUAAUCACAUGUUGAUAAUUUCCAAGAUUUAAUAAAUCAUAUUUGUCACAUACUUUAAUCUUUAUUUCUUUCAAAGAUAGUUGAUAGGACUUCUUAGCCAUUGAUAAUGUCACAUUUUAUGACAAGAAGACCACUCUAAUAUUUGAUCAUUGUUGAAGUCUUUGUUACUUCCUUUAAACAUAAAAUUUAUAAUACCAUCAAGAAUAAUUUCUAUCUGUAAUAUAAUCACCAAAAAUUGGGAGUCUCUUUAUAAAGUUGUGAUAUCAAACAUAUUGUAUCUUGCCACCUAUUCAAGAAAGAACAUGUAGCUCUUAAAGAUCUUCAAUUAUAUUACAUCAUCUUGAAGUCUAAAAUAAUUAUAAUAUUUUAUUUGAUAAGUUAGCAAAUAAUAAUUCUUGAAUUGAAUCUACUGGCCAUUAAUUUUUCAUCUUAUUAGUACCAUUAAUAUAAAAAAAUUAUAAUAUAGAAUAAAAGAUAGAAUGCAAUCUUUAUUGAACAUGCUUUCUUUUAUAGCAAAAAUUUCUUUGAUUCUUCAUCUUCAUUUUAAUAAAUAUCAUUGAUAAAAAGCUUUCAUCUUUAAUAUUACAUUUACAAGAUUUUUUUUUGGUUCCUAUGUGUAUUAAUAAAUCUUGUAUUUGCAUCAGUGAACAAGAUAUUUUAAUAUAUUUUGAUGUUGCCUUGAGUUUAAGACUUCUUCUACCUCAAACUCUUCAUUAUUAUCUAUCUCUAUAGAAUGAAGUGGCAUUUGUCUUCUUUCUAGGAGAUUUAUUAUCUUAUAUGGCUUAAGAAGAGAUAUAUAAAAUAUAAGAUAGAUCUUUAUAGACUCUGAUAGAAUCAAUCAAUAAGCAAUUAGAUUGAUUUAUUUACAUAUAAAAAAUCAUGUAACUCUAUGGUAAUCCAACUUAUUAUGAAGGUAAAUAGUCUUAAUAUUACAACAAAGUAACCAUAAUUUAUUGCUAAUGUAGAAUUGAAGUUGUUUCUUACAAUAGGUAUCCACGUUGAUCUUUUAUUGUUCUUGAACUUCUUUUAAUCGUACCUUCAUUGUUGUAUAUAGCAUAGAUAAAUAAUUAAUUAAAUCUUUGGCUAUAGGAUUAUCAACUUUUGAAAAGCUUAAAGCAUCAAAUUAUAGAUAAUGAUCAUAAUUAGAAAAAAUAUAUAUAUUUAGUAGUUAAAUAUAUUUUAUUAUUAUAAAAAAAAUUAUCAAUGAUAAAAGAGUUGUUCAAUUAUCUUAUUAAUGAUAGAUGAUAUACUUUGAAUAUUAUUUCAAAACUUGAUUUAUUUAUUCAAAUUUUCCAUCAAUUUGAAGAUGAAAAGCCAAAAAAAUUUUUAUGUACAUCUUUAAAAUGUUAAAAAAGAUUCUUUAAAAACUUGAUAUAUAUUUAAUACUCCUAUCUAAUAUAAUAACUUUGAAUAAUCCAUAGUAGUAAUAGAUAUUUUCAAGAAAAAAUUUAGAUAUUUUUUUAUUUGUAAUAGAUAUUAUAUAUGAUAAAAAUUAAAAAUAAAUAAAAAAACGUUCUAUCUUACUGAAAUAAUCUAUUAUCAAAAAUAUAAAAUAAAAAGAAUCUAAGAUUAAAAGAUCUAUAAUAAAAUUUAUAGAAAUAAAAGAUUGUGAUUAUUCAAGAAUAGAAAAUGACUCAAAAAGUCUAUAAAAUUGAUGAUGAAGAGUUUUUAAUCUUGAACAAAUGUAACAUGAUUAUACAAAGUUUUUAAAUGCUUUCUAUAUUUGAGGCCACUAAAAAUCUUUGGAUAAAAGCUCCAAAGUCUUAUUGUAAAAAAAAUAUCUUAUUACUAGAAAGUCAUGAUGAGCUUAAAAAACAUAUAAUUAAGCUUUACCUUUUGGAAUAUACAAGCAUUCUUGAAAUAAAGUAGAUUAUUCUUGAUCUUGAACUUAGAAGUAUCAUGAGACUUAGAAGAAUUAUUUUUAAUAUCACAAAUAGGAGAAUCAAAGGACAUACUUGAUUGAAUUUGCUUAAAAAAAUGUGGAAUCAAUAGUCAAUGUUGAUUUCAAUGUUCAAAGAUGAAAAUGCUUUAGCUUCAAGAAAAUUAUUAUUUAUUGAUUGAAAGCUAAAUUUCUUUAUUUUGGCAUAAGAUGAGUAUAUCUAAAAAGGUGUCUAAUAAAUCUUAUUGUUUUUUUGGUCAAUAAGUGACCUUAAAAUCAAAUCGUGAUAAAGACAUACUCCAAUCAGCUUAGCAAUAAUUUAAAAUAUAUAUUUUCUGUGAAAUACUCAAGAUUCUUGAAACUUAUAUAUACAAUAAAUAAACUAGAAGCAUCUUCUAAGUAUCAAUGCUAUUCUUAAAAUGAAUCUAUAAUUACGAAAAUUUAUUUUUUGUGGAUCUUGUAGUUGAUAUUAGUUGUUGAAAAUUUCCUAGAAUAAAAAACUAUUAGAUGGAGUUUAUCAUUUGCUCACAUUUGUAAUAAUAUAACACUUAAGGCAAAGUUUGAUGUAUCUAUUUCUAUAAAGAAUGCCUUGAAAAAGUCAAGACAAUAGGAGAUAGGUGUCAAUAUAAAAGUUGUCUUCAAAGCUUUAAAAGAAGCUUCAAUUUCUUUACUUCACUUAAGUUUGUCUUUAUAUGUUAAAUAUGUAAGUAGAGCCUCAAUUUGAAAAAAAUUCUUAAUGAAGAUUCAAUAAUAAUUAAUAAAUUUUAAAAAAUAUUGGACAUCUCUUAUUAUUUUUUACCUUCUUUGUAUCUUUGAUAAGGCUAGCAUUUGAAAUAAUAUAUCCUAUAAAUCAAUUUGAAUAGUAUAAAAUAUAUACUUUUCUAUCUUAUUGUAUAGUCUUACAUCUUUAAGUUUUUGCAAUAUUCAACAAACAUAAAAUUCAUGUUCAUUUGUACUUUUAGAAUAGAUAAAAAUAUUAUCUAAAUAAUAAAUUAAAAAAUCAUCUAAAAACUCUCAAAAGAUAUUAUUCAUUAGAUAUUAAAAAAAAUUUGGCAUAUUUGUAAGUAAAAAAGGCAUGAAAUUGUAUUCAAAAUGCCUAUAUAUGGUUCAAAAUGUAAUCUUCUAUCUAUUUUUUUUAUUUUUUUUAUACAUAUCAGAUUGUAUGUUCUUUAUAGAUUUAUUUUGGUAUAGAUCUUAGUUCAAUUUAAUUAGUUAAGAAGUCCAAAUAUCAAAGAUAGAAGGUACCUAUUUUUUAUAGUGAUUUUAUUAAGUCGUUGAUAAUAUACACAUAUCCAUAAUGAUCAAUUUUUUUCUUCACAAAUAAGAUUGGAACUUUUGCUAGAGAUUUUGAAUGGCAUAUGAAAUUCUUGGCUAGAUUUUCAUCAAUAUAUUCCUUGAGCUCAAUCAAUUCAUUUUGUAAUAAAUUUUAGAUUGGUCCAAAUGGUAGUUGAGAUUCUUCUUAAAGAUUAAUUAAACAAUCAUAGAAGCAAUGUUCUAAAAAAAUAUUAGCAUUUUUUUUUCAAAAAUAUUUUAAUAAUCUUGAUAUUGACUUAGAGUUCCACUUGAAGUCUUUUCACUAUUAAAAACAGGUGUGGUACAAAUAAUAUAAGGUGAUUAUUUUUUUGCAACAUAUAAGAAAGCUCUUGUAUUUAUAAAUAUGGGUUAAAUUAUACUAAACUUAUGAUUUUUUAUAUAAUUAAAAACUCUCUUAAUUAUACUCUCAAAAAAAUCAAAACUAUAAGAAAUCUAAUCUAUUCAAAGUUUAUACUUUUCUAACUAUAAUAAAUCUAAAAUAAUUAGAUUAGAAAGAGAUUUAAUGAUAUAAGAUAUUACAAAGCUACUAUAAUUAUUAUUUUUUACUUCUAUAGGAAGAAUUUCAUGACUAAUACAUUUAAAAGAUAAGUGAAGAAUACCUUAAUAUUGCCUCCAUAUAUACUAUCUAUUAAAAAAUUAUAUCACAAUGUUAUAUAUUUAUUUGAUACAUGUCUAAUUUAUAUGAAAAAUAUUUGGCAUAUAUGCCACAUGGCCUAUUUAUAAUCUAAAUAAUUAAAUAUGUAAUAUAAUAUUAACUUUUUGGCCACAUUAUUAAUCUAUCAAUCACUUAUAAUCAAGUGUAAAGUCUUCAAAGCUUCUAUAAAGCUUCUUAAUAAGAUAUUAAAAAUUUAACCUACUUUUAUUUAUUUCUAUCUAAUUCUACUUAUUUAAAUAAAUAUAUUAGUAUAUAAAGAUAUCCACUACAAAUUUUAAGCUAUAAUAGUUCUAAAAUAAUAAAAUUAAUUUAAGAUUUUAAAUAAUUAAAUACUACUUGACUUUUAUAACGUUUCACUAUCACUUCUAUUAAUAUAAUUUUAUAAAUGACAUCUCUUGAAGAUAAAAGUUACUCAUCUAUAACUUUUAUAUGUAGAUUAUUUUUUAUACUUAUAAUAUCUCAUAAAACUUGGUCAAAUUUGGCUUAACUUAAAGUUUAAAAUCAAUCAAGUUGAACAAUAAUUUUUCUACAAUAUAUUGUAAUCAAAAGAAAAAAUGAUUAAUAAUUGCAACAUUAUCAUACUCGACAUCAAUUGCUAAUUUUCAAAAUUACAAUGCAUACAUCAACAUACAUUAAUAUUUUUUAUUAUAAAAUUUAAUUUUUAUUAGUUGUUAUAUGAAUUAUAUUGUAGUUUUUAUAUGUAAAUCAAGAUUUGCCAAAAUUGCAUCAAAGUUAUUUAAUAUUAAAUCUUGUUUUUUUAAAAAUAAAUACAACUAAGAAAUACCUUAGCUAUUGAAUAAAGAUUCUAUAAAUUUGACAUGAGAUGCUUGAAUAAAAAAAACUAAGAGGUUGGAGUUGAAUAACUAUAGAAUCACAAUAAUCUAUUUAAUAUUUAUGUAUCACAGACAUACUCAUGUAAGCCAGUAAUUACAUAUAUAAAUAGGUAGAAGUAAGUAAAAGUAGAUAAAAAUAAAUUAAUUCUAUAGUAUUUGAUAUGGAAGCUUCCUAGAAGCUUCAUAGAUAUUGCUUUGACUUUAUAGGUGUCUUUAAUUGACUUUUGGGAUUAGAAACGUGGUCAAAAAAGUUCGCCAUGUGCCACACAUGUUAUGAACUUGAAGACCAAGCUAACUAUGUGGCCUACACGUAAAAAAACUUACCUUGUAAGUCAAGGCACGUGUCUUACAAAGUCAACACAUAUUAGAAGUCCUAUAGAACGUCGCCACAUAGCCCCUAAUUAGAUAGUAUAUAUAGAGACAAGAGUGAAGAGGGCUUCACUCUUGUCAAAUCCUUUCUUGCUUCUAAUCUAGUUUCAAGGGUCUCUAGUUUUCUUGUCUCUUAGCAAUAGCCAUUCCAGUUUCUUUUUUAAUAUACAUAUUAAGUUAUUUCUAUUUUUUCAUCUUUCUUUGAAAGAAGUCUCAUUUAUUUAUUUAUCUUUAUUAUGUUCUUGUCCUUGACAGAUUGACAAGAGUACACUUACAAUAUCAGAGCUUUGUCUAAUCUUGAUUAAGAGUAGAUUAUCCUUUUUUCUUGAAAAGACAUAAGCAUAUUAGAAGUUGCGGAUUACCAUCUUCUAAAUUGUUAUUGUCCUUAGUAUUUUCUGUGUUCUCAAGUCCUCUCUUCUAUUUGUCUUAAGCGAUAUUAGACAUCUUCUCUUUUCUAAGUGUUAUCAUGGCAGAACUUAUUGAAAUGAAGAGUACAAUAGCACAAAUGCAAGAGCAAUUGAGGGAGUUAAUGCUUGCGAUGCAUCAACUCAAUUUACCACCACAAAGAGCAACAAGAUUGGCAGGAAGUGAAGAUAUAGAAAUGAUUGGAGCUGCUUCAACAUCUGUACCAAAUCAUGUCUCUCAUCCUAUAGUGGAACAUUGUCGUAAUACGUGAAGUCUUGCUUGAGAAUGCUUCGGACACCUAGCUGUAGAAGGAAGAAUAGAAAUUGUAAUAAUAAAAUCUAAAUUCUAAUAAAAUACUAAUAAUGCUCUAAUUAGACCAUAAUAAUAUUAAGUUAGCUUAAUCAAAUUAAAAAAAAAACCUCAAAGAAAUUUCAAACAAAAAAUAGGAAUUCUUAAAUAAGUAUUAGAAGGAUCACAAAUAUCACUCAAAUAUAUCUCAAUUCAAUCUUGAUUUAAUUCUAGUUAAAAUCCUAUAAAACUUCAUUCAAACUUUAGGCCAAAACUAAGUGAAUCUUUAAUCCUAAUAAAAUCAUAAAUCCUAAAUCAAACCCUAAACAAACCUUAAACCAAAUCCCAACCUAAUCCUAAACCAAAUCCUAAUCAAAUCCUAAAUCAAACCCUAAUCCAAAUCCUAAAUCCUAAAUCAAAUUCUAACUAAAUUCUAAACCCUAAAUAAAAUCCUAAUCAAAUCUUAAAUCAAACACUAAUCCAAACCUUAAAUCCUAAACCAAACCCUAACCAAAUCCUAACCAAACCCUAACCAAACCCUAAAUCCUAAAUCAAACCCUAAAUCCUAAUCAAAUCCUAAACCAAAUCCUAAUCUAAACUUUAAAUCCUAAAUCAAACUCUAAUCAAACCCUAAACCCUAAAUCAAAUCUUAAACCCUAAACCAAAUCCUAAACCAAAUCCUAAACCCUUAAUCAUACCCUAAUCUAAAUCCUAACAAAACCCUAGUAAUUCCUAUAAUAGAUUUAAAUCUCAAUAACUAAUGAAUAAAUCAUUGAUCUUAACUCAAAUUCUUCACACUUCUAAAACAAUGAGUUAAAAACAAGCACAAAAAAUUGAAAAGGAUCAAACUUACCAAAUUGAUGAUAACCUCAAAAAUGUGCUCAGGUAUUGACUGCCCUCCUUCUCUAAUCUUAAUACCAAUCUUCCAGAGCCAAUAUCUCUCCUUUGCACUGUUCGAUUGAUCUCAAAAAUCUCAUGUACAUAGAAAAAAGACUUUAAUAUCCUCUCACGUAAGUUUCACUCCAAUCCAAACAGUAGAUUGCAAGAAAUCUUAAAAACCCCUAUUGAACCUAAAAUUCUACUUUUUGAGACCUUGACCCACUUAAACCUCAAUAUUCCUUAAUUCAACCAUUAGAUCGAGCUCAAAUUCAUAAUACACAUUGAAAACAACUAUAAUCAUAAAUCCAAAAAAAUUUACUUGUAGAUCUAUUACAAAACUCUUGAAAUCACCCAAAAUGUAAAUCCUAUUUUAUUUCAUAAAACUCAAGUCAUCUCAAACAAACCUUGACUUUGCAAAGCUCUUACAAAGUCAUAUCAACUCCAAAUCACCCAAAAUUAACGUCUAUAGAAACCUUAUCCAAUCUUCUAUCAAAUCUUACUCUCUGAUCUGCCAAAGAACCUUGGAGUCGUCGUCGAGACUCGGUUUUGUGCCUCAGGGUCUGAUUUCGACCCUGGUUCAUAACCGGCCUUCUCCGGGUAUCAACAUCUAGUUUUUUUUAAGUAAUUUUUACUAGAAUUUACUCUUAACUUCCUCUUAAAGAUGUCUAUAUCAUUUAUUUAUCCAAUCUACCUUAUUUUGUCUUAUUUUUGGCCCUACAAAGUAAGUAGAAGCUAUUUUUCUAAAAAGGCAGCAUUACUACUAAAAGUUUUACUACCUUCCUAUCUUUUAUCCAUAUUUUUCUACCUUUUCUUUUAACUUGGCUCUUCUAUAAUAAGAUCCAUAUUAUCAUCUUUCAUCACAUAAUCAUGUUACAACACAACAACGUCCUUCUUGUGAUAGAGAACCAAGAAUUGUCCUACUUGAGAAGUUUGAUGGCACCAAAUCAAAGUUUAGAGUAUUUAUCAAUCAAGUACAACUUGUGAUUGAACUUCAAUCCCAAAGCUAUCCAACUCUAAGGUUGUAAGUUAGAUUCAUUGGUACGCUUCUCUCAAGUUCAGCAUUAUCAUGGUUUUCAUCUUUUCUUGAACGACAAGAUCCAAUAUUAGAUAAUCUAGAGGCUUUUUUGGUGGAGUUUUGAUCCAUGUAUGGAAAACAUGAUGCAAUUCGUGUUGCAACGAGUAAGAUCCAUAUUUUACGACAAGGCAAUUAAUCAAUAAUGAUAUAUGCUUCACAAUUUUGACAACCUACAACUAAUAUCAAGUGGAAUGAUGCUGCACUUAUUAGCCAAUUUCUUUACGGAUUACAAUAUGAGGUAAAAAAAUUAAUGCUCAACUUACCUAAUCCUCAAACAUUGAGUCAAGCAAUUGACUUUGCUGUGAACUACGACAAUUGCCUUUUAGAAUUCUGAUCUAAAAACCAUACAAGUAGACCUCAAUGUUAUUAUAAUUCAAUGGCAAUACCAACAUCUCUUCAACACAUACAUUUGGAAGUAGAGGAUAUGCAAAUUGAUGCAGUAUGUUUCAAACCUCUUACUAAGCAAAAAAAUACUCAUCGUCAUCAAGAAAGAUUGUGCUUAUAUUGUGGAGAACCUAAGCACACUACUCAACAUUGCCCCAAGAAGCGAUGCAACUAUAAAUUGAAGAGUACGGUGUCGUAUGGCAUGAUUUGCUAUCUGGAAAUAUACUACGUAUCUAGCUAUAGAGAGUGUAGCUUAAAUCUUUAUAUGAAUCUUGUAUUAGCCUUCCAAAACUCCUUUAUCUUGUAUAAAACUCAAUAUAUAACAAAACCCCUUUAAAACAUAUUUUUCUCGUAAAGGAUUUUCUUGUUCCAAACUUUAGAAAAUCAUAACUCUUGAUCUAACUAUUUAGUUAUCUCAAAUUUACAAAAUAGGUAGAAUUCACCCUUAACUUUUAUCACAAAAAAAACCAAUUACAAAUUCAUUCUUGAUCUUUUGGCAUCUAAGAAAUCCUAGCAGAUGCUCUAAACUCUAAUUUAUAAGCACUUGAACACUAUUUUCUUAAUAUAUCAAGAAUUCAAUACUCAAAUGUCAUAAAACUUAUGUACAAAGUUUAUUAACAUGAAAUUAUACAUUUCCUGAAAUUUUGAGCCAAAAUCUUGUCAAAUUACUCAAGAUAUAGCUCAAGAGACAACCACUAGUAAAUCGGGUUACUUACUAUCCUUAGAUUGUAUGCACUAAAUUCAAAAUCCAAUAACUCCUUCCCUUCAACUUAGAAUCCAGUAUAUAAAAAAUAUAGCUGCAAAAAUGCUCUCUCCAGUCGCAGUCGCCGAACUUCAAUUGUUGUCCGUACGCAUGCGUUAUGCCAAAAAGAAUGACAGUAGCUUUCAAAUCAAUACCUUAAUUUUGAGCACUUGUAUCUCCUUCAUAUAAAUGCCAAACCAUACAAAACUUAUACCAAAACCAUAGCCAAAAACCUAAACCUUUUGACCAUAGCCUUCAAAACUUGAAUAGCCUUGAGAAACUAACUCUAAUCCCUAAUAUGGCCUUGGGCAGCCUCUUCAAAGUCCAUUGAUCAUGACUUUUGACCAAUAGGAAUGGAAAUUUUCAUCAUUCAUCUCCAUUCAUCUAUAUUGGUGCCCUAAAUACUCCCUUUGCUACCAAAACCCUUAUUCAAUCCUUUUUUUUGAUAAGACUUUCAUAAUUUAUGUUCUAAACACCAAAUAAAAGAACCAAAAGAAGUUUUUAAAGGUCACCAAUGUCUAACAAAGGUGAUUCUAAAUAUUUAGAAGUUACUAUCAAGCAAAAUCAAUCUUAAAAGCCACUAUCAAAAGAAAAUUAAAAUUAUACAAAUUCUAUAGUAAUCUUUUUAAAUAACCUCUUCUAAAGGUAAUAAUCAAAUUAUAUUCUACAACCAACUAAAAUCUACUAAUAUGGCUCUCAUCAUGUUACUAAAUGAAUUAUAUAUUAAGUACAUAAUUACAUUAUUUUCAUAUAGUAGCCAAACUACAACACAACAACAGCAAUCAAAAGAGAUAGUAUGUCAGAAAACAAAUUUGUCUAACUACAAUAGGGACCGUGCGGUUGGAACCUUGUACAACGCCUAGUGAAGGUCCUAUCCUCUCCUCAGAAUCCUCUUCAUGUUUUACAAUAAAUGUUAUUCUAGGACCUAAACAUCUCAAAGCCUCUGCCUUGUUAGAUUCAAGAGCCUCAGCAUGCUUUUUACACAAAAAAUUUGUUAAAAGACUAGCAUAUUUUUAAUAAAGAAAACUUAAUCUGUUCAUGUAGAAGUCAUAGAUGGUCGUCCGUUGUCUUCAAGACAUGUUACUCAUGAAAUCCUUCCUAUAGAAAUAGCAACUAAUGGUCAUAGUAGCUUUAUAAUAUUUAAUAUCAUUAGAUCUCCUUCUAAUCCAAUCAUUUUAGAUGUAUCAUGGCUAGAAAAAUAUAAUACUAAAAUAGAUUGGACUUCUCAUAGUCUUGACUUUUCUGAAAGUAUAACUAAGAGUGUAUUUAAUCAAGUAGAAAGUCAUAAGUCUAGUAUAAUUAAACCUAUAUUUUUAAGUGUAAGUACUUUCUUGCAUGCUGCAAAAGAAGGAUCACCUUGUGUCAUUUAUGCCACAUCUAUUUCUACUUGUAGAAAGACUUGUAGUGGCAUUCUAAGCUAAUAUCAAGAUUUUUAAGAUGUAUUUGAAAAAAAAAAAUGCAGAUACUCUUUCAAAACAUUCUUCCUAUGACUGCUCAAUUGACCUUCAGGAAGGAGCACAACUGCCAUUUGAACCAAUCUACAAUUUAUCUCAAAAUGAGUUGGCUAAACUCAAGGAGUAUAUUGAAGACAAUUUGGCCAAAAACUUCAUACUUCAUUCCAAAUUUCCAGCAGGAGCUCCAAUUUUAUUUGUAAAGAAAAAAGAUGGAUCAUUGCGGAUGUGUGUUAAUUAUCAAGGACUCAACAAAAUCACUAUCAAAAAUAAGUAUCCGCUACCUUUGAUAUCUUGACUUCUUGAUCAGUUGAAUCAAGCUAAGAUCUAUACAAAAAUAGAUCUACGGAGAGCAUACAAUUUGAUACGCAUCAAAGAAGGAGGUGAAUGGAAGACUAUAUUUCGAACAAGAUAUGGACAUUUUGAAUACAACGUCAUGCCUUUUGGACUUACAAAUGUACCAGCAGCAUUCCAAAAUCUAAUGAAUGACGUCUUUCGGGAGUUUUUAGAUGAUUUUGUUGUUUGUUACUUAGAUGACAUCUUAAUCUAUUCUAAGAACCCAAAAGAAUAUGAACUUCAUAUUCGCCAAGUAUUACAAAAAUUAAAAGAUGUAUGACUCUAUGCCAAGAUAGAAAAGUAUGUAUUUUACACUACUCAAGUCGACUUCUUAAGAUACAUCAUUUCAAAUGAUGGACUUAUGAUGGAUCCCAAGAAAGUUCAAACUAUUAUGGAUUGGAAGAUCCUAAAAAUACAAAAAGAUGUCCAAUGCUCUUUUGAAUUUGUCAACUACUAUCGAAUCUUCAUCAAAGACUUCUUUCAAGUUGCAGCUCCACUUAUAUGUUUCAUUUGCAAAGUCAAACUUCAAUAGAAUCAAAAAGCGGAAGUAGCAUUUGAAGCUUUAAAGACAACCUUUCUUUCUGCACCAAUCUUGUAUUGUGUCAAUUUUUCUAAGCCAUUUUUUAUGAAAAUAGAUGCAUCAGAUUUUACUUUAUGUGCCAUAUUAUCACAAAUAGAAACAGAUGAUAAACUUCAUCCAAUAGAUUUUUAUUCCAAAAACUUUUUAGCAACCGAGAUCAACUACGAGAUCCACAACAAAGAACUUCUUGUAAUCAUGGAUUCGUUUUAAGAAUGGCACCAUUAUCUAGAAGGUGCUUCUAGCCCAGUCACAGUGUAUACGAAUCACAAGAACCUUGAAUAUUUUAUAUCAGCACGUAUUUUGAAUCGUUACCAAGCUCGUUGAAGUAUGUCUUUGUUAAGAUUUGAAUUCAAGAUCACUUAUCGACUAGAGAAACAAUAGGUUUGUUAGAUGUACUCUCUAGAUGAUCUUAUCUUGUACGGAAGGAAUGAGAUGUUGCUUUUGAUCAACAACAGAUAAUUCUCUUGAAGCCAGAGCAUCUUCAUCUUUGAGCAAUAAAAUCAAUACUAACUAUUGAUUCAACUUUCAUUAAUCAAGUUCAAUCAACUAUAUCUUUUGAUCCUCUUAUUCGUGAUAUUAAGGAAAAUCCUUCAAAGUCUCAUGAUACUUUCAAGUUUGAAUUCAAGAACAAUCUACUAUAUUUUCAAGAAUGCUUAUAUGUUCUAGAAGGUGAAGCUCGAUUUCAUCACAGAUCUUCCAAUCUCAUGUUCUUAUGACUCUAUAUUUGUGAUAAUAGAUCGUUUUACCAAGAUGGCACAUUUUGUACCAUGUACAAAAUCUAUCACAUGUGAAGAAAUAGCCAAGCUCUUUCUUGACAAUAUCUAUCGCUAUCAUGGCUACCCAAGGAUAUUAUAUCAAAUAGGGGAAUUCAAUUUUUAUCAAGAUUUUGACGGACUCUUUUCAAGAUUCUAAAAGUGGAAAUAAAACUAUCUUCGAUAUUUCAUCUUCAAAUUGAUUGACAAACGGGGCGUGUUAAUUAAGUUUUGGAGUGGUAUUUAAGAUGUACUAUUAAUUACAAGUAAGAUGAUUGGACAAUUCUUUUGUCAUUGGCAGAGUUUGCUUAUAAUAACAUAGUACAUUCUUCUACAAAACAAACACCUUUCUUUGCUAAUUAUGGUUAUCAUCCACGACUUGAUACUUUUGACUUUUCAAAAGUUGAUAAUCCUACUGCAAAAGAUUUGACAAUUCAUUUGUCAAAGCUACAUGCAACUAUUAAGGCAAAGUUAAAAGAAGCUCAAGAACAACAAAAGAUCAAUGCGGAUGUCUAUCGAAAGGAACAACCACCAUUCUAUAUGAAUGAUAAGGUUUGAUUACUUUGUCACAAUAUCAAGACCACUUGUCCUUGUGAUAAGUUGGAGUAUCAAAGGCUUGGACCAUUUUCUAUUUCUACACAAAUCAAUCCAGUUGUAUAUUGUUUACAUCUACUGGAAUCAAUGAAAAUCCAUCUAGUAUUCCACGUAUUUCUGCUUGAAUCAUAUAAGAUAGUUCUACGAGUACUUAUAUAAUCUUCAAAACGUUCUUCUAUAAAUAAUUUGAAGAAUGUUUCAAAACAAAGAUAUGUAUAAAGAUGUAUCUGGUGUGAUGAUGCUUCACAUACUAGGAAGGAUUGCAAUGAAUUUAAUAAUAUGAUACAGCAAGGAGUUAUUUGCUGGAAAGAUGAGAAGAUUGCAUUAAAAGAUAUAGAGGAUCUCUUUCAAACCAACUUUGGCAAAGGAAGUAUGAGAGCAUUGGUUCAAGAUUACUUAACAAAACAUCGAGUAGCAUCACGAGAGAGUGCAAGUUAUGGUGCUAGAGUAGAUGAUGACUUUGGUGGAAGUAUAGAAACUAGUAAAUUUUGGGCUUGUGCCGUUUCCAUAAUACAAAAAGAAAAAAUACCUCUAGAAGCGUUAUUGAGGACUGCAGCUACAAUACGAGGUGCAAUAGGUUGGAAAGAUCUUGUUGAAUCUCUUUCAGUUCAUGCAUAUAUUGCUAAGAGCCAACAUGAAGCUUUGAUGGAAGAAAAGAGACGAGGAAAUUUUGAUGAUACAAGAGAAGGAAAUUCUUCUAAGAGGUAAUCUCGAGGAAAUAAGAUUCGUGAGGCAGCUUUACAAGAAUUGCAUAUAAAGGAUACUUCAGCAUCAUUAGAAGAAAAAAUAAAGAAGACAAAAGAUAAGGAUAAAUCAAUUGCUUAUAAGCUACUUUUUGAUAUUGAAGUGGCAACAAAUUUAAAAGGGGUGUUGGAAGAACAUAUAUUAAAUGCUAAGGUGGAAUUCACAUUGAAAGAGAUUUUGGAAAUUGCAAAGAAGCUAUUUCAUGAUGUUAUCAUUGACAGCAUUAAGUGAAAGAGGCAAUUAAUGGGCGAAGCUAGAAUGAGCCAUGCUAUUGAUGCAGGAUUAUAUAAAGAUGAAGAAGAGGUUGAUGAUAGUUAUAAGUAAUCAAUAAAUAAAAAGAAUGGAUAUAAUCAACGAGUACGUUUUGAAGAUUAUAGUGAUAAAGAAAUGGAAGCUUCAAGCCAUUAUAUUUGAAAACAUUGAGCAAUGGUAACUACUAAAGUAUUGGUAAAAGUAGGAGAUAUAGAAGAAUCAAUUGUUACUUUAGUUGACCAUGGUUCUGAAAUAAAUCUUAUGUCUAAGGAUCUUUAUAAGAAGCAAAAAUAGUCAAUUGAUAUAGAGCAUAGAUGGGCAAUACGAGCAGCUAAUAACACACAAGGUGAAUUAUAUGGAGCUUGUCUAGAUGUCAAAAUUCGGAUUGGAGAUGUUGUGAAAGAAUAACAUUUCUUUGUUCAAGAUACAACAUCUUAUCCAUUGAUUUUAGGACAAUCUUAUAUUACAGCAACACGGAUGGAAACAAAAGUACUUGACGAUGGUUCUGCUUAUGGAAGGAUACGUAGUGAAGAUAGAAGGAAAGUUGUAUAAUUUUUGACAGUACCUCCUAAUCAUGAACGGAAUUGAGAUAGGUUGAGGGAGAAACCAUUGCCAAGGGUUGUUGAAGGAUUUAAGGAUUUUGGAGAAGUACCACUAUAAAGCGAGAUUGUGGAGGUACAAAAGAGGAGAUACUCUCGUAAGAUGCAAGUAUCUUUGAUGCGAGUUUUAUUGGUAUUUUUGAAAAUAGAAAUAUUAUGUAUAAAAAAGUUGAUGAUUUUAAAAGAAAAGAAAGGAAAAGAUUAUAUAGUAUUGAAAAGAAAUUAUGCAAGUUAGGGACAUUAGAAGAUGAUGAGAAGAUUUUAGGUGUUUAUGAAGAAAAUGGAUUGGAAGAUUCUUUAGAAUUAAUUGUAUCUAUUGGAUUAGGAAAUAAUAAUAAGAUUGUAGAAAUUUAUUCCAGGGAGGUUUAUUCUUUACUUGAAUAUUUUCAAGCACCAAAAGUUAUUGUAGAGACAAAAUAUAAAACAAUAGAUAAAAAGGUAAAACCUGUUGCCGGACCUUUACCAGAAGAUUUUAAAGAACAAAUAGAAGAAGCAUCAAAAAAAGAGAGUUUAAGAGAUCCAAAGAAGAUUGGACAUUAGUUUACAAAGGAGACUUUUGAAGAACUGAAGAUUGGAUGUGACUGUUCUUUAUUUCCAACAGAAAUUGAAUAUUUUAAAAAAAUACUUGUGAAACGAGAUGAGUUUAUAGAAGUAUUUGCAAGAAGGGCAAUUUAUUCAAUGGGUGAUUUAUAUUCGGGUUUUGAUCUAUUUCAACUUGCGCAUGGAAGUAGAGAUCUAACAACAAUGAAAACGCCACUUGGAUUACUUAAAAUGUGUACUCUCCCUUAGGGUGCUACUAACUCAGUUGCACAUAUGAUGAAUGGGAUAAACAAGGUAUUAAGAGACUUCAUUCAUGAAAAAACUAUAUCAUUUUUAGAUGAUGUUCCUAUCAAAGGAUGUAAAAUAGGAGAAAAAGAUGAAACUUUAGAUGAGAAGAGGUGUCGUAAAUAUGUUGUUAAUCAUAUACAAGAUUGUGAAAAGAUUUUAACUCGACUUGAAGAGGUUCAUCUUAUACUUUCAGGAGUAAAAUCUAUAUUAAAAAUGUAAGAAGUUCUUAUUGUUGGACAUUUGUGUGGAUUUUAUGGGAGAAAGUCAGAUCCGAGCAAAAUUGAUGCAAUUAGAAGAAUGAAAGAUUCAUGUGAUUCUUUAACGGAAGUAUGCAAGUUUUUAGGGGUGUGUGUAUUUUAUCGUAUAUAGAUUCCUCAUUAUGCUCAUAUGGUAGAUCCAUGGUAUGAAUUAUCACAUAAGGAUUAUCAAUUUAAAUGGGAAAGAAAGCAUACUGAAGCAAUACAGAAGCUAAAGAUGUUAUUGGUGACACCUCCAAUUUUAAGAAAAAUUGAUUAUGAAUGUAAUAGACAAGUAAUUCUUACUGUGGAUACCAGCCCUAUUGCUAUUGGAUGGGCUGUGGAUCAAGAUGAUUCUAGUAGAAAUAGAUUUGUAGUUCGAUUUGGAGCUAAAGUUUUAAAUACUUGUCAAUGUGCAUAUUCGCAAAUCAAAAGAGAACUUUGGGGAGUUAUUUCGGCUAUGAAAACUGAAAAAGAUUAUUUGAUUGGUGCAGGAGUAGUAAUUGAAACAGAUUGCUUGCCAUUACUUGGAAUGAUUACUAAUUAUUCAAUGCCGAAUAUUGCAAUGUUAAGAUGGAUUGCUUAUAUUAAGUUAUUAAAUCCGGAAUUUAAGCAUGUUGCUGGAAAGGACAAUUUAGUAGCAGACAUGCUAUCUCAAACAAGAUAUGAAAGAAAAGACGAAAUGGUUGAAGACAUUGAUGAUGUUGGAUCAAAAUUCUAUUUAGUAUCAAAUCUUAACAAAGAAGACAAGUUAUUUCUUGAAGAAAAUUAUGAAGGAGAAUUAUUGGAUAUUGGUCAUUACUUGAAUAUCUUAAUUAAGCAAGAAAAUUGGUCUAUAAAAAAAUUUAAACAAAUAAGAAAAAAAGCACAUGGAUUUUUGCUUCAAGAAGGAUUCUUAUGGAAGAGACCAAAGAAAGGAAUUAGAAUGCCACAAAGAGUGAUAGGCAAUAAGGAAGAGAAACAAAAAUUAUUAAAGGGGUUUCAUGAUAGUUUAUGGACAAGACAUAGAGGAAUUUGGGCUACUUUUGCUAAGUUUAAGGAACAAUAUUGGUUGAAAAAUAUGUAUCGAGAUGUGCUCUUAUUUGUAGAAUCAUGUGAAAUUUGUCAAGCGUAUUCUAAUAUACGACAUCGAGAUGGUCUUCAUCCUACAUAUCCUCUACCUAUUUAUUUUAAAUGGGUUGUUGAUUUGGUUAUUAUGCCAAUCGGGUUAUGGCAAAUGAGAUAUUUGGUCUUAGCUCGUGAAGAUUUAUCAAAUCAAAUAGAAGGAAGAGCAUUGAGAACAAAAACUAUAGAAGGAAUUUGUAGAUUUUUGCUUGAAGAUGUUAUUUGCUGCUACGGAUGUGUAGGAAAAUUCACUGCAAAUUGUGGAGAAUUAAAUGCACAAGAAACUUAUGAAUUCUUUGAAAGAUAUAGAAUUAAACUAUCACUGACUACUGCUUAUAAUCCUGAAGGAAAUACAAAAAGUGAACGUGGUCACCCAUCGAUUGUGAAAGCAUUAGUUAAAGCUUGUAAUGGGAAGGUUAGAGAAUGGCCACGACUUUUGCCAUUUGUAUUAUAGGCUGAUCAAACAAUUCAUAGCUCAGUAACGGGAUAUAUGCCUAUUGAGCUUAUGACAGGCCAAAAACCAAUUAUGCCAAUUGAAGAAAAAUACCUAUUUGGAGUAUGCUACCAUAGAAAGAUGGAUUGACAAGAGAAGAACUUCUAGCUAUUAGAAUUCAACAGUUAGAGCAAAGAUCAGAAGAUAUACAAAUAGCAUUAGAAAGGUUAAAAAGAGUGAGGUUAUAAAACAAGACACGAUUUGAUAAGCAACAUUGAUUGAGGCCUAAAGCAAUUGAAGAAGGUGAUUGGAUUUUGGUCUAUGAUAGUAGCUUGGACAAUCAACAUAGUACUUUAAGGAAGUUUUCUAAACGAUGUUUUGGACCGUAUGUGGUAACAAUUGUUCAUGAUAAUGCAACUUACUCAUUACGGGAGUUAGAUGGAACAAGGUUGAAAAUACCAAUUGUAAGGAAGUGAGUAAAAAUAUUUAAACAAAGAUACACAAAAAUACAUAUAGAAGACCUUAGAAAAGAUAUAGAUAUUCCUCAAUAGGAAGAUGAAUUUGACAUGGAUAGCAAAAAUGAUGAAGAGGAUUUGGAUGAAGACUUGCAGAACGUAUUAUGAAUCAAACAACAACUGGAUUAUUUAGUGCAUACCAGAGGAUGCAUAGGUUCAGAGAGGAUGGAUGUUGUAUUGUAACAUGACUAUAUGGUGAAAAUAUAAAUAAAAAAGAUAUUAUUAAUAUUUAGUCAUCUUGGAUGUUAGAAACAUUGGCCAAUUCCAGUGCGAAUAUUCAAAGUCAAUUAAUGUCACCCCACCGGCGUCAUCAAAUCAAGUACCCUUCGUACCAACGGGACAACCAAGAUCAUUUUCCAACCCUACAUGGAACAAGCCUAGUAGGUAUAUACUAAUGGAAACACCCAAUAUGCAUGAUGGGGGUGCAAGAAGACUAUUUCAUCAUUUUCGUUGCAGACAGGUUGGUCAUUAUGCCAAUAAAUAUUCCAAUCCCAAAGCUAGUGAUGAUUACGCACCAAUGUGAAGGAAUUGCAAGAAGUUGAGGCAUACUUAUCAGCAAUGCAAUGCUCCAUCCAAUUUCAAUAAACAGGAUCAGCAGAUCCAAAGCCAAAGAGAAAUUGAGGAGAUAAAUCAAGGUCUUCAAGAUUCUCCGAUAAAUCAAGUGGAAUGAGUCCAAGCCGUUUUUACUAGGAGUCGGAAAAAGAAAAAAGGACCAAUUCAAUAUUCGAGUGAGUCUGAUGUGAAGGGCCAAUUUGAUCCAAUUACGAGGACAUCCAAUCUAGGUCCUAGUAUAGGCCUCUUACCCGGUAUGAGACCUGACUUGGUUGGGCAACCCAAUAAGGUCCCAAAUACGGAGGCUUCGGUUUUAUUUCAAGCUGUUCCAUUCUCUAUGUCGUUUCAAGAGAAACGUCCUUUUCAUAAAAAGAUUCUCUUAGAAACAGGAAUUUCGUGGAAGCGCCAUUGGCUAUUCUAAUUUGGAGUCCAGGGCGAGAGAAAAGGGGACCACACGAAGUUAAAAGGGAGGAGAGGAUAAGGAAAGGGGCAUUCGGAGAUCAGAUUUUUGGAGGUCGGAGAGCUAGUUUCAAGCUCCUUCAAAAGGUAUAGAAUUGGAUUUAUAAGAUUUGGGAGGACUUUUGCAAUCGUUGCUGAAAGUCGGUGUUUGUAUUGGUGAUUUGGAUUUUUUUUUUUGCAAUAAAGUUAAGGCUGAUACUCUUGACUAUUUUGUGAAAUUGAAGAAAUUUUUGCGAUUGAAAUUUAGAGGUGUCUAAAGGGUUGAGUAUGUCGAGUGCAUACAAAAGUUUAUGUUAAUUUGAUGGAACAGAUAGAGGAUAUUUGACCAUUAGUGUAAAGAGGUAUUAGAAGUUAGCAGAUUGGAGUUGUUUAGGAUUUUUGUAAUAUCUGGAGAUCUACCAGCUGAAACAAGGUGACUUUAGGUAUGGUAAGUCGAGGACUUCUAGGCGGCGGUCAAGAUACAUUAGUGUGGAUUUAUGGCAUUUUCUUGCAAUCUAUAAGUUAGAUUGGAUUGAAACUUCUUGAGCAUUUAGAAGGCUUGCAAAGACACUAGUGGUAGAAGUUUACAACUAUCGGACGGUCAGAUUGAGAAUUACAGCUUGCCAAAGCUCACUCUCUAAGGUUAGGGUUUAAAAAUAAUAAUAAUAAUAAUAAUAAAUAAAAUAAAAUAAAAUAAAACUAACAAAUAACAAAAGACUUUAUGCUUAUAAUAUCUUAAAAUUAUUUAAAAUUGUGUUUCUAAAUACUUUGUAUUGGGAUUAAGCUUUUACAUUGAAAUCCGAAAUAGUUUGUAUUAAGAUGGUUGAAAUCCACUAGCCUACCUGAAUACUUGCAAAAUAUCAUUUUAUCUUCUACAGCCAAACGCUCGGUACAUUCUCAAGCAAGAUAGCAUGUAAUAUGACAACGUAGCCCCUAAUUAGAUAGUAUAUAUAGAGACAAGAGUGAAGAGGGCUUCACUCUUGUCAACUCCUUGCUUGCUUUCAGUCUAGUUUCAAGGGUCUCUAGUUUUCUUGUCUUUUGGCAAUAGCCAUUCCAGUUUCUUUUUUAAUAUAUAUAUCAAGUUAUUUCUAUUUUAUCAUCUUUCUUUGAAAGAAGUCUCACUUGUUUAUUUGUCUUUAUUAUGUUCUUGUCCUUGACAUUAUGCCACCUUAAGCAUCAUCAAUUGAUACAAACUUUAAAAUUGUGAUGUAUGUUUUGUACAUGUUAACUAAAACAAACAAUGAUAUUUAAUUUAAGUACAAAAUAACACUCUAUGAUAUUAAAUUUCUGAAGAAACUUAAAUUAUCAUGAUUAUUUUUCAAUGUUGACUGGUGCUUUAUAUAUGUUUUAUUUAUUUUGACAAAAAAAAUGUUAUAUAUAUUAGGUACAAUUGAUGUUGGAUUUUUAAGAUUUAAUUACAUUCAAUUAUAAUCUUAGCAAAAAGGAUAAUAUUUAUAUUAUAUAUAUAUAUAUAUAUAUAUAUAUAAAUUUAAAUAUUUUCUUAAUUAUACUUAUAAUCACAAGAUUAAAUAUUGGAUCAAUAUUGAUGUUAAAGCACCAAAGAAGAUAGCUUUUGAGUAGUUUAUUGACAUCUAUGAGCUUCUUUUUGAUUUUUUGAUUUUAUUAUUAAUUUUAAUCUCAUAAACAAAUAAAAGAUAAUUUUAUUGAAUAUAAUUUUAUGUUCUUAUGUAAAAUAAAGAAAUUGUAAAAAAUCAAAUCAUAGAAAUAAUUGAUGUAAUAUUUAAUCCUUUAGAAAUGUAUUAAUUUUGUAAUGAGUAAAUAUUCUAAAAUUUUUAAGCUGGAUUCUAAAAAUAUUAAAAGAUUUAUAAGAAGAUAUUCUUUUUUGCAAACUAUUUAAAAUUUAAAAUUUAUUCAACUUCUUAAUUAAAAAACCAAAAAAUACACAUAUUUAAAUAUGAAUGCAAUAAAAGUUUCAGACCUAAAUUGAACACAUCAAAAAUUGAUAUAAUACCAACAAGAGCAAUAUAAUAUUGUUUCCAACAUUAUUUUUGAAAUACAUUAGGCAAUCUUGGUUUCAAUUUUUAAAAACAAAACAUAAAAGAUUCAUUGCUACUUGAAUAAGAAGAUGGAAUGACAUACAUUUUUUCAAGCUUUUUGUUUUAUUUAAGUUUUGAUAUUUGACUUAGAUAUCCCUUUUUACCAAUAUUAACUAAUAUUUAAGAUUUUUUAAAGAAUUUUCGCGAAUCUCCAAACUUCACUGCAGUUUCCAAACAUGAUGCACAGAGGUUUAUCAUACAAUAUUUGUUACAUUUCUUUUAAGAUUUAGCCAUUAAUAUAUAAUAAAAUAACCUGUUAUAUUUAUAUAUCUUGAUGCACUCAUAAAAAAAUCAUUAACAACUAUCAAGCUCAUAAAUUUCAAUAAAAUAUUAAAAAUUUAAAAAAUACGAAUUUUUAAAAUUAUUAUAAUUAUUGCAUAAAAACUCAUUGUUUGCACUUUAAUUUAAAAUUUUAAAAUUUUUAUGUACAUUUUCUUUUGAUUUUGCAAUAUUCAUAUUUAUCCAGACAAAUAGAUUACAAAUAGAUUACAAAGGAAACCUACGGUAAUGAUUAUCAGCCAAUUAAAAUCACAGUUUACUCUUUCGACCACAAAACAUUGGACGACAUUCAUUUGUGAUUGAGAUUAGCAAACGGUGGUAAUGAAAUGCCAACAAAUGAAAACGAUGAAUGAUUCAAUGACGACGUUCAUCCACAGGGGUUCCAGUGAGAUUGUUUCAUCAAUCAAGGAUUUAGGGUUUUGCGGAACGAAUGGAGAUGACAUUGCUGCUUGUUUUGCUGCAACGCUGAAUUCGGGGUUUAGGACACGAUUUGAAGUCCGACGUUGUUCUCAGCUUCGGAGACUGCUGCUAUUUCGUCUGGUAUUGAGUAGAUAAGAGAAUUUUGUUUCAAUUUCAUAUUGGUGGAAAUAUCGACGGUUUGAAGGGACAGUAACAAUGGUACGCGGUGUUGGAAUUGUGGUGCUGGUGUGGUGUGUUGCAACUAGUUCUUCAGACUCGAUGGUUUUUUGGAUGGAGUGAUUUUGGAUCGUGCUUUUUCACGCCGUCGUUCCGACUUCGUUGACCGAUUCUAGGUCUGAUUAUUUGGACACUGUGAAGUCCCCGAAGUAAAUACUUCCGGGUUGUUGGAAGUUUGCUCUUGUGCAGUUCAUAUCUACUUGGCAGUUUUGGAGUAUUAAUCACCUAUAUUCAUGCUUGCAAUGCCAUGAAAUUUUAGUAAUCUUAUUGUUCAUUAAUUCUUGGUGUGUGCGUAUGUGUUUGUUUGGCGGACAGGUGAAGAAGAAAACAGCACGGCAGAAGAUUCGCGAGAAGAAUUUAAAGAAGGAAACGGUAAUGUGUGUCUGCCUCCUGAAACUUAUCGUUUCUCUUCACCUUCAUUCCUAAAGAAUGCCAGUUCGCGCAAUGGAGUUUUCGGGUGACGGAGCUAGUCACAAUCUUUACUGAAUUAUUUGCUCUUGCUACGAUUGCAGAGAGAUGAAGAUCCCAUGGUUCAAGAUGCAGCGAGGUAGUCCACACGUCAGCCAUCAAACUAUGUGCACCUUAAGCUUCAUCUUCCUCUAAUGUUAUCGGAGCUUCUAGUGCAGUUGAAAUAAUGAUGCCUUUGAAAUAACUACAGUGAGCAUGGCAUGUGUUAUAAAAUAAAAAAAAGGCUAAGUACACGUUUUGUGUAAUUGUUUUUGCUUGUGCAGUGAGUGGAGUAGUGAAGCUGGAGGAACCUCGGCGUCUGAGCGAGCUAGUGUGAAGAGGAAGAUGGCCAAACAAAUCCGAUUCUUGAAUAGUAUGUGUCUCGCCACAAGCAGUUUUCUUUGUUCAUCAUUCUUCUUUAUGUCCCACUAUCGAACUGAAUUAUUUUGGCUUGCUUUUACUUCCGCUUUUUUCUGAACUGUGCUCUUUUCAGAAUUGGAGGAAACGCAACGGGUUUUGUCUGCUCAGAAAAAAAAUUUUAAGGUAGUUUUCCGUGAUGCUACUCGUUCAACUAUAUGUGAUUUGCUUCUGUUGUAUGCUCUGCCUUUUGAAUCCCGCCUAUCUCUCCUUGAUAACAGCAGCUUGACAUACAUGUUUAGAUACCUAUCCUUACUGGCUAUAAAACUUUAGCCCUUGUUCACAUUGAAGUACCUAUGGGCAAAAAUUUUCUUUUGUGUUAUCGUUUUUCUGUUCCCUGACUUAUCGUUAUGAUAACCUUGUCCAUUGUAGAAAAAACGGAAAUCACAGAAAACUGGAAGGGCGUUGAACGAUCUUUCUUCACUCUCAGAGUUUUUGCCUUCUAUCACUGCCUCAACUACUACCACUACAUCUUCAAAGGUCCUUCGAAGCAAAGCAAAGCAAACCAUUGUGUAAGUCUCUCUCAUUCCAACAAUUGAUUAAAUUUGUAUUUCUCUGCAGAAAGGUGAAUAUCAAGGCAUAUAUGCAACGUGCAUUGGAAUGUUAUCAGGUCGGAUUAUGAUGUGAUUUUUAAUCCCAUAAUCUAACUGUAAGAGAGGCAUCUGCCACACACUCGGACGAAGUGAAGAGUUUUUAGUGAAAUUGGAGACUUCGUUAUAUUCAACGUGGCGCCACCAUAGUGUGUGUAGUUGCAAGUGUCCUCUACUUCUGGAAAAUUUCUUGCAGGAUAAAUUUCAGUUUUAUAGAUUUUCUAAAGACCUAUCCUAUCUAUAUAUGUUAAACUUAUGUUCUGUCUUGGUGUAUUGUAGAACGAACGAGACAAAGCAGCUUGCUGCUGUUCUUUCGCACCCACAAUUUAAAGCAAACCCGUUUGCCGCCAUCCAACAGCACCUCACCACCACACUCCCUCCGCCACUUCCAGUGCCCAAUGUGAAGGUUACGGCAAAAGCUGGUUCUAAGAAAAAGAAGUAACUAGUAUUUUCUUCAUUGUGUACAAUUUACAUUUUAAUUACCGUGACUAAUUUCCAUCCCUGGGCUUUUUCUGUCGUAGUCCCCAGUGGCGAGAUUUUUGGAAAUUGAAGAAGCCACAGUGAAGUCCUGAGUUUUAGCAUUUCUUAGAACGUACUUCUCUCUUGGGGAAUUCAAUGUUGGCAGAAUUGUCAUGUCAUCUGAUUCUUUUGCGGAUAGCCAGCUUUCGUUAUCCAUCUACUAUCAGAUCUUGUCAGUUUAUGAGCAAUACUUAUCAGUUGAGCUUAGAGUGGAUUUCUGACAAAUGCCUCUUCUUUGUCCUCCAUCUGUAGCCUAAAUGAACUUUACCUAGCAGUUUGAGUUGGUUUGAGUACGAGUGGUUGCAAAGAAGUUGAUCGUAGCUGAAUAUGGUUUUCAAUUUAAAAAUUUUAGGCUUUUUGGGAUUUUUGAAGAUUUAGUUGUCCGUUUUUUGUUGAGGUUCUUGUUCAACUUUUGAUCGUCGACAAGCCAGAUUAUCAUGUUUCUCAAUCUGUAAUGGUCAUCUAGGAAAAAUGUGAAAAGCCGCCAUUGUUACGCUAUUUUUGUGUCACGUCACCUUUUCAGGAAACUUAUAUGGCAUUUUCUGGGAGUCACUGAUACGACUGAUGCCAUUUGAGACCGUUGUUGUAGCCGCUCUUUUAUCGAUCCUUGGAUCAUGUACUUAUGUGAUUCGUCGCAAGAAAACCAUCAUCGCACACUCGUAGUCUUCCAUUCUGACUUAGGAAGUUCGCUGACUGAUUCCUGUUCGCAAUCUUCGACAUCAUGCUAUCGACUUCGAAUUUUCGUCCCUGCCUUGGUCAAUAAGUGCGUUUCGGCGUAGGCUUUCAUUUUGUCACAAUGGACGACACGCACUUCUGGGGCACUGCAGCACGACUGCAAGUGAUGACCAUUGAGGUGCGAUACUCUCCGCACCAUUAGAGAUGGAUUCUGAAACUUACUUUUGCACCCUGGAUAGAUCAUUUCCCAAAGGAACCAGCAGGUUUCAGCUUCAAUGCAGAUGCUGAAGCCUUGUUUCAACUGAAGAAAUAAGAUGAAUCACGGACAUUGCAAGGAAGAAUUUGCGACAACUAAAUACCCCCAGCGCACGACGGAUUGUCGAUAGAACAGCAGUGUUAGCAAUUGCCCAGAUCUUUCUCUAACCCCUUGUCGGUUCGGCAAAACUCCCACCAAUUCGCUUGCGCCGACUUGAGGUGGAUGAGAGAAGCCGGUUUUGCAGACAUGACCCAGGGCAGUUUGGGCGUGAAACCACAGAACUGAGGUCACAUUUUCCGAACAUCUUUAAACGGUGGUUUCAAUGAUCCUUCUAAACUCAUUGCUCAGGUGGGAGUGCAGGGGGGCGGUGGGGGGUUUGGAUUUGGUCAAGUCAGUGGGCAUCUUUUUUCGACGAGUCAAUCCGUUGCAUGAAUGAGCGAUGAAUUCAGCUCCGGUCGUAACCUUGCCCCUACUCUUGAACCCCCGCCACUCCGAUGAUGGGACCCAGAGUGGCCUAGCGAGUUACCGUGCAAAAGUUUCUUUGGUUGCAUUCCCGAGGAAAAGACUAAGAAAACGAAGUGUGGUUGAUGGUUUCAGGUGCUAUGCGGCGCACAUACCGAUGUCGCCACUCCCGGAAAUUUAGGGCCCCUGCGGAUUGACCUCACGUAAGUCACGAAUGGUUGUGAAUGAAGGCGGAUGGGGGCGAGUUUGGCCCUAGUUAUAUUUUUGCGUGCGUGUUCAUUUUAUGACUGAAUCAUGCUAGAAAUCGAAUUUUGGCUCGAAGGAUGGAAAUUUUUACCAUGAAGAGAAAGAUCUACUGGCAUUGCGAUGUCCCUGACCUGCUUACGACGGUAGUUGCGAGCUUUGGAGCCAGUUCGCUGCUGCUGAACAGGAGAGCAAUGCACGCUUGGAAGACUUUUCCUCGUAAUUUUCACAAGUAGAUGAUAUUGUUUAGCAGGUAGGCGUAGUUGACGAGUCCACAGAGAUUCCGUAUUGGAUGCUUUGAUUCGUGAGGUUAGGUUACUCGAACGAAUUGCAUUUGCUAUGUGGGAUUACUUAAGUACCGACAGGUGACGGGGAGGAGCCACAAAAACAAAUAGGGCUUGAGGAGAAUAGGAGAGUGGGAGUAUUUUCGGGAAUGGUUAUGCACCGUGUGUAGGAAGAGCGCAGUUGGACGAGCACCGGUCGAUCCAUCCGUUUUGGUGAUGAUACCUUUCUUCUAGCUGCAUAUAGCUCUUGUUUGCUACGUAUUGAACCAAUUCUUCCUCGAAUUUUAUAGGAAUUCUCUGCCUUCACUCACGUUUCCUUGGUGCUCUUUCAGUACAUACAUCCACAAAAUGGCUGUAACUGACUAUACCAGCAUUAGUGCUAAUGUUCUAGACGAUUUCGCGUGGGACCUUGAGGACGAAGUGUUAAGGAACCCAUCUCUGGCAUGGAAGAACACAGACCGCUACUUGUUCUUAGAGAAGGAGGCCUCACAGCCAGGGAUCGAUUACUUUGUCGCAGCAGGGACACCAUCAGAUUCCGACGUUGAUGGAGUUAAGAAGAUGGAGUGUUGGAUUGGAGAUGACAAUCAGCCAAAAACUCGGAAGAAGAGGUGCCGUGAGUAUCAAGCCCCAACCAGCCAUUAUAGAGAGCGGCAAAGAGGGAAAAAUUGGAAGGAGGCGGAAGAAAAUAUCCUUGUUGAGUCGAGAGGUAAGGGGAUGGACUGGAAAUCCAUCUCUGAAUGCUUGAAGAACAGCGGUUUCACAAGGAAUGAGAAACACUGUACUGAUAAGUGGUACGCACUCAGGAAACAUUACAUAGAUAUACAUGAUUGGAUAACUCACCAUCCUGAAAGCUGUUACUGGAGUCUAAGUGAUAGUGACAGGAUUCGCACUGUACCACACUCCUUUUGCCAGAAAUGGUACGAAAUCUUUGAUGCAGCGGAGAGGCGGGAGGGACGGAAGAAUCGGGCUUCUCUGCAUCAACGUCGAAGACAGGAUAAUGACGAAUAUUUAGCAAUAGUACCACCUUCGAGUCUCUUUGGAGCAAAUCUCGUCGGGGUGCCUUCGAAUUCCACAUCGAGAAUUGACUCAGUGUUUGCGUCAAGGCCUCAAGAAUUUUCACAACGACAUGUUGGAGACUCUAAUUUUCUUGGAGAUGCGUCGCACGAGAACGAACGUCCUGAAACUGGAGACUUUUUGCUCAAUCAAGACGCGUCCGCGGACUGGACUUUAUCCAGAGCAGAAAUUCGGAUGCUCGUGAAAGAAAUUCGUGGUCUUAAUUAUGCACUGCAGAACAAAUUCGCCAGAGAGGAGGAGGAGAGGUCACGCAACCUCCGGAUUAAGGAGCAGAAAUUGCAACUGAAGCAAGACAGGUUCAAUUACAAACGCCAGCGGGAUGACGAAGCUCGGCGGGCAAAGCCGCGGCAAUUUGAUGGGUUCAAUAGUGUAUGACAAUGUUGCAGCGAGGUAUCUCGUAACUGACUUGGACCAUUUUUAGAUUUCUAAGCUCUCUUAGAAGCAUCGGUUGCAGCCCAUGUAGAUAGAUAUCCGACUUAGUGCCUGAUUGAUCCGACUUAGUUGGAUCUGAGAGCUCACGCCGAGAGUUUUUGCGUGUUCGGCAUGGACACAAAUUGGCCGCUCUUAGUUCAAAUGUGAUCUCGAUGUUCAUACAUAAGCGUAGCCUAAACUGUGGAAUUAGAUUACGCUCUACUUACAUUUCCUUUUCUGAGAGGUGCAAUCUUCAAAUGCUCUGCUGACAAUUAACAUUUCAAUUGAUAUGAAGUGGCCACAUUUAGAGGGUGAAAAUGCUAAUCGAAUUCCGUUAUGGUGUUGCUGAUUCUCUGUUGGCAGCUGUUAGAUAAGAUCUUUGCUGUCUUCACUUGUGCAGAAGGCAAAGCCAAGGAAACUCAUCAUCCUAGUGCUUUAUUAUCGUAUCUGUCCAGCCUCGACGUACCAAAAAAAUUCUUUCAAUCUUUAAUAAAAGAAGAACUUGCUGCUCUUUUCCUUCAUACUCCGUGGCAACACCACCAGGCUUAUAACUCCUCAUGUCGCGCCCUUUUUGUUUUUGUUUUUUUUUUUGUUGUAGGUGGGACCCAUAUUGACCAUGAGCAGGUAUGGGGACCACAAAAGGGUUUACUACACACACACCCAGUGAGAGAGGGAGCGAGUGAGAGAAAAGCACCUGCCCCUCACCUUCACGGUCAAGCCUGAAUCGGCAGACCUACCCGAAUGCCUACGAUGAGCAGUCCACAGACAACCGAAUUUGAUAAUAUACAAAUAAGAUUUCUAUUUUAAAAAAAAUGUAUUUUAAAAUAAAAUAAAGUCACAAUUAUUUUAAGAAAUGGAAGUAAACACAAGGUUAGGUCCAACUUCUGCUCUUCGUCAGCAGGACUGCCUGAGAUUCUGCAUCUCUACCUUAAAAUUCUUUUGGAUCUUUGGACUUAUUCUAGGAUUUGGCAUUACAAACUUCUAUAAUGGUGGCAUGAAAUCUCCAUAAGUUUAGAAUAGUUUGACUCUAGUCAAGGCGUUUAAUUGUACUUGUUCAUGGAUAUUUUGUUCAUGUGUAGGUUGAAUGGAAUUUUAAGAUUUUCUUGUUAGUUUUGAAAGUCGCAAUCACUGGAGUACACGCAUCCACAAAUCCUUGUUGAAACUAUUGAAAUCAUUGGAGAAGGGUGCUUGCAACUCAAAUUGAUUCCCAUUUCUUGCAAUCGCCGAUGGACUAUGUUAAGGUGAGUGAAAGAAUGCUAAAACAUGAAACCUAUCAACUUAAACACUCGACAGUUAUCUGCUGUGAAGAACAACCAGGUAAAACUAAUCCGGAAAGAAAACUUUCUGUGUGAAUCCAAUCGGAACCCUCGAUGAGGCAAUGAAGUUGCAAAGUUUGAUUGUUUAAUCCUACCAUUUGUCACAGGAGCAUUUUUAUAUUCGAGCCAGCAAAGACGUGAACAAAAGAAACAUUCAUUCACCCACACAACGAUUUGUAACUGGCUUCACAGAAGAAUCUGUUACAAUCAAAUGCUACGGAGGACAUUUCUAACCCUGAGGCAUACUAAUGCUGACGUAAUUCUAGGCUAAGUAAACUUGAUGCUUUAAACGACAGGCAGGUCGUGAUGUAGUUCAAAGCUGGUGGCAGAUCGAACUUAGCGAGAAUCCCCUCCCCUACAAGAACUUGAUCAUCCUCCUCUCUACUGUUGAUCAUUUUCAGAAAGAAUUAUUGACUGCAAAUGAUAGAUACAAACCUCGAGCUUCUCAGACAAGAUACCAGCCACCAUAUAUCUUAGAUGCCAAUAUAAGAAUAGAAGAAAAGUGGAUAAGGAUCGAAACAUCAUAAGAAUAAAUAAAUAAAUAACUUGGAAAACCAACGAUAAAUUGAACUUCAUCGGAAGUGAGAAGAAAUCAUACCACAGCGUGAGAUGCAGUUGCUAGCAUGUUCUGCUUCACUGCUUAAACUUAUCCUUGUUACUUCCCUUUUGUGAGAACAUGCGUGGACAACAUUGAUGGAACAGCCACCAAAAACGUUCUGAAAAGAAGUGGGCAUAUUUAAAGUCGACAUCAAUUUUCAAACAAUCCCGAUGCGAUCGGUCAACGCGACUCACGUUGGGACAAUCACAGCAGUUGCAUGCUAUUAAUUACUAUACAAAGAUGAAACCAGAGGGAGACUUUUGCAUGAGUUCGAAGUCGAGAAGUCACCUAAUCAUCUGCUGUAGAGCAUCUAAGGCCAGACCGGAUGUCGGGACAUACUCAACCAGCACUUCCAUAGAAGAACCCACAUCGACAAUUGCAGUAGUUGGAAUCAACACUGGGCGGUGAGUCUCUGCACCUCCUUUGUGUGAGGCUAGAGCUAGAACUGGGAGCUCCACUUCGAAGCUGUUCAAUUUCUUAAUGACAUGUUAAUGUUUUUAACUUGAAGAAAAUGAAAUGUUAGGUAACUACAAUAGUCACUAGUAACUAGACUGUCAGGUUAUCCCAUACCCAGUAUAAGUAGGAGAUUGUACGAGGUCUCUCUCUGAGUUCUUGUUUUUAAUAUAUAUAUAUAUUUAUAUUUAUUCAUUUCCCAGAUUAUUUUGUUCUAUUAUGGUAUCAAAUCCUAAAUCCUACAUGGCUAUCUCACUCUUCAAACUUCUCUUAUUACUUCCAAUUCUUGAACUCCUGCUUACUUUCUCAUCUUUACCAUAUGUAUUAGUAUUAUUUUUUCUUAAUAUAGUUAGUUAUACAAAUUGCUUAUAUUCUAGUAUCUUAUCAAUAUGCCAAAGAACAACUCUAUUCUUUAAGAAGUUAGACUAACAAGAUCAUCUAAUUUCAAUGUCUAAAAAUACUAUAUAACUUGUGUAUUGAGGAAGUAACAACUAUGAAGUAUUUUAGAUCCAAUUAAAAAUGACUAGGGAGCUCAAGAAUCACACAUAGAUGAAAAGUUGACCAGUUUCGACCAUUCUAAGGAAUUAUGGAAUUUUUUGAAAGAAACUUAUAAUAUAAACUUAGACAAUCAAAAGUAUCACAUAAAAAAAAAGUUUUUUUUCAUCACUAUGAGCAAUGAGAUAAACUUUAAAAAAUAUUUUAAUAAAUUUAAGAGCAUACUAAUGAAACUAUUUGCAAUAGGAGUCAUUAUUGCAAAUUCUGAUUUCGUCUUCAUUGUAGUAAAAAAUAUAUCCAAUAUCUACAAUCAUUUUUUAAAAUAUUAUACUUGUCUAUGUUAGUAUUGCAAAUCAAUCUUAGAAAAGUAGGCAUGCCAUGAAGAUAAAGGUGAAAGAUAGUAGACAAAGCAACUCAAACAAGGUGCUCUAUUUUUGAAACAACAAAUCCAAUCUAAUGUAAAAUCAAGCAAGUCUUCUUAAAAGACCUCUUAGCUACAAUAUUAAUUUUUAGGUCCUAAGAUAUUGCAACUAUUACAAAAAACCAAAGAAUUAGAAGGGUAUAUGUUCCAAACAACUUAUAAAUAUUUACAAGCUUAAAGCAAAUUAAUACAUAAAACUCCAACAAUGCUAAAGAGACGGUUUUGCAAAUAUUGUUAUACAAGAAGAAACAUAAGCUCUAUUGCAGUUUAGAAAAUUAUUGAUAGAUAACAUUGGCUAAGUUAAUCAUGAUGAUAUUUUUGAGAUAGCUAUCUCUACUCUUAAUAUUCAAGGCAAUGAUUCGAGUUGAUACCUUGAUUAAAGAGCUACAAAGCAUGUAAAUGGGACUACAAAAUACUUUGAUAAUGUAGUUGAUUUUAAAAGCAAUAUUUUAAAAAAAAAAAAAAAAAAAAAAAAACAUGCAAUUAUCAACAAAAGAUCUAUAAACUUUACAUUGUCUUUUAGAACAAUAAAGAGCAUAUGCAAUGUUUUGUAUGUCCUAGGCCUCAAAAAAAAUCUAUUGAUAAUAUAGUCAAUCACUAAUUAAGAUUAUAUAGCUUACUUUGAUGAUAAAAAAUACAUAUUAAUUGAAGAGAAACUACAAAAAAAACUUAGCUAAAGAACAACAUAAUUUAAAGAAUGGAUUAUAUCAGCUAGUAGCAUAAGAUACAUAGAUUUAAGCAAAUAUUGUUUCUUUAUUAAGAGAUUUAGGUAGUCUUUGGCAUAUGUAUCUAGAUCAUAUAGUCUUUAGAGCCUUCAUCAACUUUCUACUAAUAACCUCAUUUAAGAUAUAGUAUAUAUACCAAUUUACAAUGAGAUUUCUAAAACUUAUCAACUUAGAAAGUAAUCUCAAGCAUUAUUUUCAAAUUGUACUAAAAUUUAAUCUACUUGAAUUUUAUAUCUAUUACAUAUAGAUUUAAGUAGACCUUUAUCAAUCUAGUCAGUAAGUUAAUCAUUCUAUUUCAUAGCUACAAUAGAUGAAUUUAGCAUAUAUAUAUGAAUCUGGUUCCUACAAAUAAAAUUAUAAGUAUUUUGACUCUUCUGCAAUUUGAAACUCAUGAUAUAGUUAUAGCUGAAAGCCAAAAUUAUAACCAUUAGGUGAGAUUGUAGAGGCAAAUUCUUAUCCAAAAAAUACUUAGAAUUAUUUUUCACCUUUGGAAUUAGAUGUCAAUUGAACAUUAUUGCUAUUUUCAAAUAAAAUUGGAUAGUAGAAAAGAUAAAGAAGAAAUUAUUAGAAAUGACAUGCAAUAUAUAUUUGGAAGCUGAUACUGUUAAAGUAAAUAAGUAUUACUAUAGGUAUGAUAAAGUAAGUAAGUAUUACCUUAGAUAAGUUGCUAAUGGUCAAAGGGCAGCAAAAGGAUGAAGGGAAGUAACUAAGGUAGCAACUAGGAUUUAGGUAGUAGCUAGGUUAAGAAAGAAUCUAGGAUUUAGUUGGAUGAAGUAAAAAUGGAUGUAAUAUUAAGAAAAUGAAAGUUGCCUCAUUGGUUAGCAACCACCACCUAUAAGUAAAGGAUGUUGGAAGUGGGAGGUAUCUCAUUCCACACUUCUCUUGUGUGUAAUCUUGCUAAUUUCUACUUACUUGUAUUUUGUUUAUUAUAUUUCUUCAAUAGGUUAUGGACCCACUGAUACUUUUUUGUACCAUUCAAAUAAGUUAGUGUCAUUUUCUUAUAGUUUUACUUGUGUGAAAUAGAUCUUAUAGUGUUUAUUGAUGUUAAGAUUUUUAAGAUUGAAACUUGUAUUUUGGACAUGAAGAGAUGUUGACUUUGAUCUUAUAGAUCUCUAAUAUUGCUUUGAAAGUUCUUAUCUCCUAAGAUUAAGAAUUUAAGACGUUAUAGAAAGACCUUGAUAGUCUCUCUUGUUUUACUGAUAUUGUUUCACUUAUCUUGUAUUUAUAGUGAAAUAGUUGAUUCCAAAGAGUGAAAGUUCAUGAUAGUGAGGUUUAUUAGAGUACACAUACUUGUUAGAAGCUUUAGAACUUGAGUUGAGAGUGUUUUGAGUAAAAAAGUACUCAUUUAUUCACAAGAAUGGAUUCUGAGAUUUUGCUAGUAUUAAAUUGUUUUGGUGAUUUCAAGCUCACAAUGACUCAUUUUUUUGGUAUUUUUUGAUAGAGCCCUUCUUAGACAUAGCCUCUAGUAAAAGUGAGGGUUUGAGAGUCAUUGAGAAGUUUAGAAGAGAGAAUUUCUACCAUUGGAAGGUCAAAAUGGAGCUUUUAUUGGUGUCUUUAGACCUUUGGAACAUUAUAGAUGAAAGUAAAGAUGCUCCAAGUAUAUAUGCAGAUGCUAAAGAGAAGAAGGGCUUCAAAAGACAUAAAAAUAAGGCUUUUGGCAUAAUUGCUACUAAUUUGGAUGAAGCCAACUUUUUUUACAUCAUCUCUUUCAAAUGACUAGGAGAAGCAUGGAAGACUCUUUGCAACAUAUACGAGAGCAAGAACUUGUCCAACAUUAACUUCACAAAGAAGAAGUUCUUCACUUGUAAGAUGGAAGAAGGUGAAGGUCUCAUGACUCAUGCCAAUAAAAUAAAGGCUCUUAUAAAUCAAUUAGCAAUUAUUGACAAUCUUUUAGAAGAGAGAGAUAUUGUCAUGACCUUGCUGAUGAAUCUUUCCGAGUCCUACAACUACCUCAUUGUGACAUUGGAGUCUAUUAUGUUGAACUUACAAUGGACUAUGUGAUGGCAAGACUUACCUAUAAAGUGACCAAGAGGAAAGAAAAAGAACCUCAAAGUGAAGAUUCAGUAUUCUACUCACAUCAAAACAAAAGCAACCUUUCAUACCAAUAAGGUAAUGUCAAAACUUGCUUCAUUUGUGAAAAAUCAGGUUAUUUUGCACAAAAUUGCUACAAAGCCAAAAGGAAGAUAGAGAAAGUACCAACAAUGUACAUGAGCAAUUUGGAGGAGAUUAUUUUGCAUUCAUGGCAAGUAAAGGCACCUCCAUGGGUGCCAUAUCCAAGUAGAUUAUUGACUCACAUGCCACUAAGCACAUGACACCAUAGAAGUGUUCAUUUGACACUUAUGAAGAAAUUUCAGCAACAAAUAUUUUUAUAGGAGACAAUAUCAUGGUACAAGUGUGAGGCCAAAUUUCACCACUUGAUGAAAUCUAUGCCACACAAUAAGUCCAAGAGGUGGAAUUAAGGAGCUCUCAAUUAUGUAAUUGUUAGACUAAUUUAAAUCUUUAUAUUAAAAAUUCAAUUAGUUUUAGGCCUUCCAAGCAAUGAUUAGCAACAUUAAAUUAAUAUAUUAAAUAAAAUUUACUUUGCAAACAUAAUAAAAAUAAUUAACUAAGUUAUUACUAUUAAUUGACCAUAAGAAUAAAAACUUAAGUUUGAAUUAAAAGCUAAAUUAAAAGUUAAGUUUAAAAAAAGUUAAAGUUAAAAAUUAAGAUUAAAAGAUUAAAUUAAAAGUUAAAAUUAAAAGGUUAAGUUAAAAGUUAAAAUUAAAAUAUUAAGUAAAAAAAAUCAAGUUAAAAGUUAAGAUUAAAGGUUAAGUGAAAAGUUAAAAUUAAAAGUUAAAGUUAAAAGUUAAAAAUUAAAGUUAAAAGUAAGAAUAUUAAAGGUUAAAAGUUAAACUUAAAAUUUAUUAGCAAAAAGUGAAAUGUGGAGCUUACAAGUCAUUGUAAAGACGAUAGUAAAAAUAAAGUGAGAGAGGUAAAAGCAAAGGUACCUUGACAACACGUAAGGAUUGAAGGCACCAACCCCCUUCUACUCCAAAAUUCGCCAAAAUUUGUAAUCGGCUUCAAUUUGAAUUAUUCUUAGCUUUUUGCAAGGCUGACUUAAAGACGCUUUUGAUCCAACAAUCGUUGUUGCAAUCUAAUGAUCCAGUCGUGAGAAUUCCUCCUUUGAAGUUGAGUGAUCCAAACUACCCCGGUGACCAACCCUCUUCACUUAGAAAUAUACUAAAAAUUCAGAUUGUCUUAAAACUCAACAAAAUUUGUGCCUUCCAGAGCUUAGCUUAUAAAGCUUUAUGCUUCCAAAUUCUCAAAUAAAUCCAAUCACUAGGGACUGAGAAAUUCUUUUCCAAACUCGAUUGAUUCAAACUGCAAAGGCAGUCGACUCCCUCAAACUCAGAAAUUCACCAAAAAUUCCUUCUUAUUCCAAAUCAAGAAAGCCUUAUCUUGUUGAAAAUUCAAGAACAAAAGCUACAACUAUUCAGAAUCUCACAUUGAAACAACAUAAAUUGAUUGACUGAUUGAAGAAAAUCCGAGGCCCUUGAAACCCUUGGGAUAUUUGAAAGGCCGAGGAGAUAUCUACCUCAAUGAAACAUAUUUUAAAACUUAAUGACCAUCCUUCACAAUGCAAAAUCCAUACAUACACAAUCACAAGUUUCACAAUGAGAAUUAAAAUUUAAAUAAAAUUAAGAGUAGGGUUUUAGCCAAUUUUUGGCAUGGCUCUACCCUUCAUCCAAAAGAGGAAAGAGAGAGGGCUUAGAAAACCAAGCCUCUCUUAUACAAUUGAGUGGAGGCUCGUAGAAGGGUGGCUACAUCUCUAUCCUUGAUUUUUAAGAUCCGUAAUCUAGAUCUACGGCCUUCAUUCAUCCAAGAGCCAAUCUCAUUACCAAGGCUGAUGGCUCUUGUAAGUAGUCAAGAAAGCAUUUUUUUUUAUAAAUCUAACUUCACUAUUGUAUUCAAAACACCUUUUUAAGCUAAGAUUGACUACUCACAUGCCUCAAUCCAUGCUCAAUUAUAAUUUUCAUGGAAGUUUUUACUUACAAGGAUCUUGGUAAUUUUUGUGAAAUUCUUCAAAAUGAGAAUUUCAUUGCUUCUCUUGUAAUUUGAAGGAGAGGUUGCUGCUCUUGUUUUCUUCACUCCACGAGAUAAAUCCGGUGCUACCAUUGCAUUAAAAAGACUCCCAUUAAGUAGAAGAACCACCAUGCCGCUUAAAUUUAUCGAAUUUGGAAAAAAAUCCAAAAUUACCAUUGCUAACUUUCCUAAAUAUUUUAAAGAAUUAUAAUUCCAACUCCUAAAUCAUGUGAAUGAUCAUAGAUGCAUUCAUAGGCUUUUAGUCAACCCUUAUAGUAAUGACUAACAACCUCUAAAUUAUUAAACUAACUAAUUUCCUAUUCUAAUUUUCUAACUCUUAUUACUUUAGUCCUAAUUAAUCUAAUUCAAGGUAUUAGACUAUGAUUUAUACCAUCAAGGGUUGUAAUCCUAAAAAUUAUAUAAAACUAAAUUCCACUUAUAUAAAUCCUAAUCUAACAUAUUUAAUUAUCAUAAAAUAGGAAAAUAAUAAAAAUUUAAAUUUUAGAGUAUAAUUGAGAGCUCACAACAAGCUAUUAGAAUAGGCUCCAUUGCAAUUGAGAUUGAUGUGAGAGGAAAAAUAAGGAAGUUUAGAUUGAAAGAUGUCUUGCAUGUACCCAAGAUCAAGAAAAACCUCCUUUUGGUGAAUAAAUUAGUUUCACAUGGUUGUAAGGCGUAAUUUGAUAAGAAUGGGUGCUGUAUAAAGACAUUGGAUAGAGUUAAUGUUGCCAAGGGCUUUAGAGAUGGCAACCUUUAUUUUAUGAAGUACAAGAUGGUGAUUGGAAUUAAAGUGGCCGUAUUUGUUGAGUUUUCACUUGAUCAAGAUAAGUUUGGCAUUUGGCAUCAACACCUUGGUCAUUUGAAUGUCAAGAGCAUGAAGAAACUCCAAUCUAUGGUAAGUGGCAUGGAUCUUGGUAAAUUUAGUCACAAUAUUAAUAUAUUUGCAGGUGAAGGUUAUAUUCAAGGCAAACAAUAAAGGGCCUCAUUUCCAAGUAGAGUAGCAAUACAUACCAGUAAGUUGUUGGAGAUUGUACAUUCGGAUGUUUGUGGACCUAUGAAGACACCAUCAAUAGGAGGAAUAUGAUAUUUUGUCACAUUUAUUGAUGAUUUUUUAAGGAAGAUGUGAAUUUACAUCAUCAAAUGUAAGAAUGAGUGUUUUUUUAGAUUCAAGGAGUUUAAAGUAAUUAAAAAAAAAGCAAUGUGAUUGCAAGAUCAAAGUGUUGUACAUGGAUAAUGGAGUUGAGUACAUGUUAAAGCAUUUUGAUGAAUUUUUGAAGAUUCAAGGCAUUGCAAGACAAACCUCUACUCCAUACACUCUACAACAAAAUGGAGUUGCUGAAAUAGCAAAUCGCACCAUUGUGAAGAUAGCAAAGAGUAUUCUACAUGCACAAAACCUUUGAUUUGAAUAUUAGAUGGAAACCAUGGUAACAACAGUGUAUACAAGGAAUAGGUGCCUUAAAAGUGCACUCACAUCAAAAACUCCCGAAGUAGCUUGGAGUGGAAGGAAACCUUGUAUUUCACACAUGAGGAGUUUUGGAUGCAUUCCCUAUGCUAAGAUACCAGAUUGUAUGAGGUCCAAAUUUAAUGCAAAAGGUACAAAAUGUGUAUUUUUUGGAUAUUAUGAAGGUACCAAGGUAUAUAGGCUAAUAGUUUUGAAUACCAAGAAGAUCAUCAAAAGUCGUGAUGUAGAAUUUUUGGAACAUAAGAGUGCUUGUGAGCAAUUGGAGAUGUGUCCAAGUAGGAGUAAUAGUGUGUUUGUAGAUACAUCUUUAAUUUCAAUAAAGAAAGAAGAAGAUGAUGAUGACAAUGAAGAUGGUGUGAAUGAAGAUGAAGAGAUGAAGAAAGAUGCCUCUAUAAUUUCUAGGACCAUCAAUGAAGAUGUUCAAGAUGUUAAAGAUGAUGAUGAUGAUGAAGAGUAUUAUCCUUUGAGUGAGAAAAGACAAGGUUUAAGAAAGAAAAAGCUUGGAAGCAAGCAUGGAGUGCAGAAGAUGAAUCUUCUUCAAAUGAAAGGAAAUAUCCUUUGAGAGAUAGAAAAUAAUUUAGUGAAUGGUGGAAGAACUACAUUUUUUCUCAAGUAAGUGAAGAACAUGCCAAUGUAGCACUUCUUGCUGAUCCAUUGAAUUUGUGUGAUGCAAUGAAAUGGGAGAAGGCCAUGGAAGAUGAAUACAAAUCACUUAUAGAUAAUGGGAUAUGGAAAUUGACUCAACUUCCUCUAAAUUGAUCUUCAAUUGGUUGCAAGUGGGUGUUGAAAACCAAAAGGGAUGUAAUGGAUAAUGUUGUGAGAUGCAAGGCAAGAUUAGUUGCCAAAAGCUACUUACAAGUUGCUAGUAUUGAUUUCAAUGAGAAAUUUGUUUCCAUAGCCAAAUUCACCACCAUUAUAACCAUUGUGACAAUUGGAGCAACAAUAGACUUGGAGAUGCAUCAAAUGGAUGUGAAGAUGGCUUUCUUGAAUGAAAAGUCCAUUGAAACACCUUUGAAAGCCAACUUGUUGUUGAUGAAGCUCAAAAAUGAAGAAUUUGGUUUGGUUGAAGAUGAGAUGAAAGAAAUUCUAUACAAGAUAGUAGUGGUUGACAAAAAAAUGGAGCUUGUCUAUGCAGUGAGUGUUAUAAGUGAGCACAUGUCAAAGGUUGGACCAAUCCAUUGGGCAACCUCUAAAAGGAUCAUGAGAUAUUUAAAAGGCACUUUAAACUUGAAAUUGUAUCUUGGAGGAAGUAAUGUUGCAUUACAUGGUUAUUGUGAUGUGGAUUGGAUUGGAGAUGCAAAUGAUAGAAGAUCAAUAAUGGAAUAUGUAUUUUUUAUUAGAGUUGGAGAAAUCUCAUAGAAUUGCAAGAGACAAUUAAGAUAAAUAAGUAUUAUCAUAGAUAUGAUAAAGUAAGAAAGUAUUGUUUUAGAUAAGUUGCUAAUAGUCAAAGGGUAAUAAAAGAGUAAAGGGAAGUAACUAAGGUGGCGACUAGGUUAAGAAAGAAUCUAGCAUUUAGUUCAAUGAAGUAGAAAUGGAUGUAAUAUCAAAAGGAUGGAAGUUACCUCAUUGGUUAGCAACUACUACUUGUAAGUAAAAGGUGUUGGAAGUGGGAGGUAUGUCAUUCCAUACUUUUCUUAUGUGUAACCUUACUGAUUUCUACUUACUUAUGUCUUGCUUGGUGUAUUUCUUCAAUAGAUACUCCACAAUUUUUAUGAAUCAAGGCAAUCAAUAUGGCUUUCUUUAUCAUUAACAAGAUACCCAUCCACUCAAAUCUUAAAAAAACUUCUUUCUAAAUAUUAUUCAAAUAAAAGUCUACUCUUGAUUAUAUCUAUAUCAAUAAUUAGAAGGUCUAUAUAUUCAUUGAUAAAAACAAGUAAGAAAAAUUGCAGCCAAGCAUUACAAAAUAUAUAUUUUUUUGGAUAUGAUGAGGAGAUAAAAAAAAAUAUUAUUACUUUAUUCUAUUACAACAUAAACUUAAGUUUAUCCAAAAAAUAAGAUUUAAUGAAAUUCUCAUCUUUUCAACAUCUCAAAUCAAUAUCCUUUUUCUACCAUAUAUUGUCAAUUCAAAAUAAUCUACAUCUUCAUUGGAAAAAUCAACUUCAUUUGAUUCUAAUAGACUUUACAUUUUGGAUUCUACUUCUACCACAUCUUAAUAGUCCAUCAAUUUAUUCAAAUAUAUUGAGCUCUACAAUUCACCUGCAAUAUUGAUCAAGUCCGUAUCUUCGUCUACAAAAGACAUUAUAUUAUUUCCACCAACUACAUUUUUACAAUCACAUAAGUUCAAUUUUGCUUCAAAAAAAAGCAUCUAGUGUUAUUCACAUUGCAGAGGAUAUUAACUUUAGAAAAAUAAAAAGUUAUUUUUAUUGUCAAUUCAAAAAAAUAAGAUUUAAUGAAAUUCUCAUCUUUUCAACAUCUCAAAUCAAUAUCCUUUUUCUACCAUAUAUUGUCAAUUCAAAAAAAUCUACAAAUUCUAUUACCUUUGUCCAUGCCAACUUUCACUUGGUUCACAUUCUAUAAUGGAGUAAGAAUGUGAUUCUAUUAUCUAAAAUAAAAUAUGAAAGAUAUACAAUCUAUUACUUCAAGUAAAUUCCAUUACUAUCAAAUGGCUCUAUAAAACAAAGAUAAUAUCCAAUGGCCAACCAACAAAAUUAAAAGUGUGUUUAGUUGUACAAAGUUAUUAGUAAAUUGAGGAGCUUGACUAUUAUGAGAUAUUUGUCUUAGUAGCAAAAUAGAAUUCUAUUUGCAUCAUCAUUGCUUUAGCUACCAACUCUUACUAGAAUAUCUAACAUCACAAUGUAAAGACAAUAUUUUAAAAAUAUAACUUUAAAAAAUCAGUCUACAUGAUUACCUCUCAAGAAUUUAAUCAUCAUGGCUCAACUAAGAUAUAUAAACUUUAAAAAUACAUUCAUAGACUAAAAUAAGGAUCAAAUACUUAUUUUGAAAAAAUAGAUGAUUUUUUGUAAUCAAAUGGCUUGAACAAGUCAAAAGCUAAUUACUUAUUGAAUUAUAGUAGAGAUAAUAGAAGGAGAGGGGGAUGCUCCCUUUCAUCUUCUAUAUCAACAACCUCCUCUUAACAAAUAACAGUAUUGUUCGAUUUAAAUAAAGCGAUAAAAAAAUUCUUAAUAAAUUCAAGAUAUUAGAUUUGGAUUUGCUCAAAUUUUAUCUUGGAGUAGAAUUUAUCACAUUGGACAAAUGUAUUUUUCUCAUCCAAAAGAUUUAUAUCAAGUCAAUUUUUUAAGAAUUUGAAAUAUAUGAUUGCUAUAGCUCAUCACUUCCAAUACCAAAAGACUUUUACCUAAAUAAAGAAAAAACAACUCAAUUGAUGGACGAAAGACUUUAUUGUAAGUUAGUAGGAAAAAUCAUCUAUUUCCUAAAUUUUAGAAUAGUCAUAUUAUUUAUAAUAGGAUCUAUAAGUUAAUACAUGCAUGAUUACCAUAUAUUUCAUUGAGAAGCAAAAAAACACAAUUUGAGAUACUUAAGAGGUACAACUAAUCACAGUAUCAAAUAUCUUUAAAGUAAAAAUCUUGCUAUUGUUGAAUUUACUAAUACAAACUAGGCUAAUGACACAUACAAUUGUAAGUUAAUCUUAGCGUAUAUCUUUAAAUCUAUAAGAAGAUCCAUCACUUAGUCUUCUAAAAAGCAAUCAAUAAUCAUCACAUCUUCAAUAAAUGCUAAGACCAAGAGAAUUGCCAAAGAUAUCAAAGAAGCAAUUUGGCUUCAAACAUUGAUACAUCGAAUUACAAGCAAUGAAUCUAAGUCUAUCAUCAUGUAUUAUGACCACUAUAAUUCUUUGAAAUCAACAAAAAAUCUAGUAAGUCGUACAUGUUCUAAACAUGUAUAAAUAUGGCAAUAUUUCAUAAGAGAAAAUAUUUUGACAAAUAUAGUAAAUCUAGCUUACUUAGUAAUCAAUAACCAAUUAACAAAUCUUCUCAUAAAAAUCCUUGAAUGUUUGGAAUUUCUUUAGUUUUAUGAUUAAAUAAAAGUACAAUAUCUUAGUGCUUUUGAAAAACUUUGAUCAAUCUUUAUUUUAUGCAUUAGCCAAGUGGUCCUCUAAAUAAAGUGACUUAUUUUAUAUAGGACAAGUUGCUUUGUGUGGUGGACAACUAAAGAAAAUAAUAUAAGAUAGUCUACAUAUAUCCUUACUAAAUAUAAUAUAUAGAUAUUUUUAUUUCAAAACCUAAUUUAACGUUAAUUGAUUUAUAUUUUUUAUCUGUUAAUGAGACUAUUUGUAGAUAAUUACAAUGAUCAAUCUUGACAAUCUCAAGACCUUGCUAUUCAGUUGUUUUAGUAAUAUAUGACUCCCGAUGUCUAAUUAUUCUUUGAAAAUGCUACAAGAGAGACAAAUAAUAAGAAAAAUUUAAUUUUGGCUACAAAAAUUCUUCAAAUAAUCAUAUAUAGAAUAAAAAGAAGAAAACUUGAUCAAAAAUCAUAGAUGAGUUAAAAAUUUACUAUUAGACUUGUUGAAUUAGAAGCCUUAAAUAGAUAUAUUGACUAAAGAAGAAUAUUUUUAAUCAUUGCUCCAACUCUAUUCAUAAAUUUUUGCACAAACAUGAAUGUUAGCCAUAGGAAUAGAAGAAAAGACUCCCACUACAUGAAAAAUGGAAGGAAGAAGGCAUUAGUAAUAUUUUACAAUUCCAUCCUUGAUUCUAAGGAUAUAAUGAAGACACUUGAAACUUACUACAAAAAUUUGAUUUCCAAUCUCUUGGUUGAAAUACACCACAAGAAGGUGAUACUUCUCACACUCUUGCCUACAAAAGGAUUGCCCAACUUCAACCAUCAUCACUACUUUUAAGGAAGAAUAGAUGAUCAUAUACAAGGAGGGCUUUAGAAUAGACAGAUAGAGAACUCCCCGCAACCAAGAUUGAAAAGAUAAUCCUCUCCAUCUUAGAAUAUAUCACCAGUGCUGAAGGUGAGAAAGGAUGUUGCAAUAUUUAUUAUUUUAUCUUGAGGUAAUUUUUAGUUAGGUAACUGCAAUAGUCACUAGUAGCCAAACUGUUAGGUUAUCUCACACCGAGUAUAAGUAAAAGACUGUACAAGAUCUCUCUCUGCGUAUAUGCAUAAUAUAAUGGUUUUUAUUUUUAAGAUAAACAAGUAUAUAUAUAUAUAUAUAUAUAUACAUCCAAAAUUAUUCUGUUUUAUCAACAGAAUAUUAAAUGCCAAAAAGCUAGAGGUGCGAAUCUUAAGACCAUGACUCCAACCACAUACAAGCAAACAUCCAAGAACAAAUUGAAGCAUGAAACCUAAAGAAAUGAGUUGUGUUUAUUGUCCUAUGAUUAGGACUCUAAGAGAGUAACAAGGAUUGGUCGUCCCGAGAGGAGUACCUGACUGUCAAAAAGAUUAUGGUAAACGGUGCAAUGAAGCUUGUGCAUCUCAGCAAGCUUGGUCAUCGUGUGCAAUGAAAGAGCAUCAGCAACUCCGCCAUGAGCCAGAUUCUCUCGCAUCUGUGAGCGUUUUUAGGAUCUUCUACGAAAAAAAGUGUUUGUAAUUUCGAAUUUUUAAGUUUGGAAAUAUUAUGCUGAUUUAAGUGCAGGUGUAUGAGAGCACAUUCUCUAACGGCGCCUGAAUUCUCGUUCCCUCUGCGAGCGGUUGUCCCCAUUUUUUUACGUGUAAAGUGGUCUUUAUAUUUAUAUUUGUGGGACGAGGUGAGCGGUCAAAAAAUUUAGAUUGUUCGAUUGGUCGAACUUGCGACGACUUAAUUCGAAAAGUCAACUCAAGAGUCCAUUUUCACGAGGUGGUUUUUAGAAAGAAAAGAAAAGAAAAGAAAGAUACAUAUUUAUACGAUGUUACUUUCUUUAAUUAUUUUUGUUGGUUUUUAUCUUGUAAAAUUAGAAAUAAUUCAUAAUUAAGUAUAUUGUAGAAUUUUAACAAUACUGGGUCAACAUAAAGAAUUGUAAUUGCACCUAUGGUUAUUUUUUAGCAAAAACUUAAUACAAAAAUGACUCUCAUCAAAAACUCUCUUUCUUUUUUCUUUUUUUCUUUCUUGUAUCAAUUUAAUAAAUAUUCUCUUUUACAAUAGUAUGUAUAGAGAUUUUAAUUUCCUCAAAAAUGGGAUCAUUAUAAUAAUAGAAGCUAGAAGAGAAGAUAUGUACUUGUCCAAUUCUUUACUUGUAAAUUGGGUCUCCAAAGACGCCCCUACCUUGCCCCUACUGUUGCCCCUCCCUUUCUUCUUAACACUCAUUUAUUUAUUCUUUUCCUCCCUUAAAUCAAUGAAUCAAAACCAACCAAGACAAAAACCACACAUUCUAGAAUUGAAUCCAAAAAUAUCUUUCAAGUCUAACAAUAAAGUUCAAUCCAGUUUCUAAAACUAUUUCUCCAAAAAAACUUCUUUUCUUUUCCUUUCAAGUCAGAAGUUCUUCAAAAUCUAUGAAUCGUCAACCCAUUCUCCUCCAUUCGCCUCAUCCUCCUCCUCCAAGGCCCCCAAAAGAAAACCAUGACUUGGGGUGAAUGUCAACAAUCGUGCCAUGUUCCUCUCGAUUCUUCCAUGUCUUCGCGGUCAUUGGCUGCGUCGCGGCGGCGAUCUCGACGUCGGAGUUGCAACGACUACAGCGCGAGGAUCGUCGAUUCAAUAUCCGGAAUGUUCCACAGUACCCAAUUCAUUCGAUGAGAAACCGGACAACGCGUCAUGUGAUGCACUUGAUGACGUGCUUAUUCACGAACUCAUUGAGUGCAGGUUGCGAGGGAUCGAUGAGCUGUGUGGCCAUGCAAUCGACGACGCUCCCCGCAUGCAUCUCGUUUCGUGAUCGCAUAUUGCCAAUUCUGCCAUGUACCCCCGUUUGCGGUGAUUUCACAAUUGCGUGAAGCAUGCCCUGGUGCUUGGAGUGAGUUGUCGAGGAAUCCAUCUUUAUGGGGCUUCGGCCUUCGCCCUGCACAGUGUUUAGCGUAUCCUGAGCUGACCGUGAGGACAUCACCGAGGAUUUUGUUUCUUUCAUCCACCGAUCCCCAGUGGACACUCUGCGUUAUAUUUCAGUGGCAAGACGAACCUUCUCGAUGGUUUGUGGAAGAAGCAUUCUGAAUAGUUGUUGGGGAGAUAAAUUCCAUACGGUGAAUAAUGGACACAGUUUGAAAGGAUCUAGGUGAAAUUGGGAAAGUUUUGGGGAGGAGCGUGAAUUUUCGUGGGACAAGCGUGUUGACUCUAAAUGAUUAAACAUACAGUCGAGGAGAUGCAGCAGAGGAAAUAACUAUUUGAUCAGGCAAUCCAUCCACCAUGGCCUACUUUCAGCACAUGGCAACAUUCCUAGACCGAGUCGCAGAGUUGACACCACAUCAAAGUCGAUCUUUCAGUCUGCACAUUGCUUGUGGACCAAUGGGAUGCUGCCGACAGGGAGCCCCUCGUAGAAUCUUCUCACCGGCACAGAAUCAAAAAAAUAAUUUAUAACUACUAGGCUAGAAAUCUAUUUCCAGUGUAGCCCAUGGUAAAAAGCACGCGCAGAUUGGUGGUAAGUGGAACCAUAUCGGUGGUUAUGCAGAGCCAGAUUGGUGGUAACUAAAACCAGAUCGAUGGUGUACAUCCUAUCGGGCAUGCCCAGGUGCUUUUGAACACUAUGUGGGAAAGUUUAUAAAAAAAGAGUGAAAAAAACGGUUCACACCUCCUUGUACUGUGCGAAAGUCCCAGUCAAGUCUUACAAACAAGUCGGUAGUUGGUCAAAUCCAGUGGUGGUGCAUAGGAAAUUCUAUCACAGUAUCCACCAAUUGCAUUAACAAUCCAGAAUUGUGAGAAUGCAAGACAUUUAAUUACAUCACAAAAUUCCACAUUGUAGUCAGUUAUCAAGGUGGUGCCUCCCCCAAUCCGCGAAUGUAUCUGCCUAAAUUGAAAGGAAAUCCAUUGUUGUGGAUGUUCCACUCAUACGAAGACCUGAUGCACCAACACGGCGUGUUGUUGAUGAGGAGGAACUGCUGUAGAACUCAGUAUGCAGGCUGUGCAAGAACCCUGCGAACAUUCUGGAAAAUCAGACUAUGACGUGGAGGAGAAACCAAAGUCUUGAUCAAUCACAGGGGGGUGUACCCCAUAAUGUAUCCAUGUGAAUAUGCUUCGAUCGUCUAGAUUGCAUCAAUGUGAUCGAUAGAUAAGUGCAUCGAAGCAGUAACUAGUUGUCGAAGUGAAAUAUCCAAUCCAUACACAUAAUCCUAUGAAAUUAAGCUCAGCUCUGAUUUGACGGGUACUUCUCUUCAGUGCAUGGUGGGCAUUUUCAAACCACUAAAGUAGACACCUCUUGCGAGAAUGACUUAUCGUAUGAGCAUGUACAUAUCGAAGUGUUCCUUAAGAUUCAAUUCUUACCUCAGGUUUGGGGCUGCCGCUAAGGGUAAACGAUUUCUGCAAUUUCUUCAAACCACUAGUUUGUGCAUGUAAUGAACUUCCACAACGAGUAUGUAGGAAUUUCCACAAUAAAUCUCCAACAUAAAUAACACCCAACCUCAGACCUUACGGCAUCACCUUGAGAUUUCAAGAAGUCUGAAAAGAACAUCCAUCCUACAUUGCUCUUGACGAAUCUCUUCCACCAGCAAUGUUAAAAAACAUUGUCACCUUGAAAAAUAGAUGGCUUUGAUACAUCCUCAGACUUGCAAACAGGGUUUUAAUGGCUUUGUACCCUGAACCCCGGUCCAUCCUUUUGCUAGUGUUAAGAAAAGUGCUAAGUAACCUGAAUAAGGCCUUACUGUAAUUAGAAUACAAAGACAAUGAGUACGCUGAACUAGGCGGUUACUACUCCCCUGGCUGUGAAUGUGAAUGACGUUCGAUAAUAAGAUUUUGAGGAGGCAAUUGCCAAGUGCACAUUCUGUGCCUGUGAACAACCUAUUACUAACAGCAACAUUGCUGAGCAGGUCAUGAGGCAAACCAUGAUCAAAUCAAAUCUAAGAGGGUAAUAGAGAAGACCAAUUGGUAUAACUGAGAAGGAAACUGUACACUAUUGCAGUAGCUCCUAGCUAACUGGAGCGUAGUGCCGCUUUGGAGAUACGGACACUACACCAACCCCAGGUUCGGUGAAUUUGUACCUGUAUGACAGACGAGUAGUUUAGCAACCUAACGGACUUCCAAUGACUUCGCAUAAGUAACCACCUAGACCUGCCUAAAUGAACUUGGCAUCACAACAGUUAACGUUUAGUGUUUCAAAUCAAAAACAAAAAGAGAUCAUCUGAUUGGACCACAUGAGCCGCACGCACAAUCACAGUAAAAGGCUGAGAGAUUUGUAAGGGGGGGAAUGAGCUGUGUAGUCCUGAGAGUAAUGAAUAUACCCAUGGCUGAGAAGGAAGUUCCUGACCGCCAAUGGGAGAGAAGGACCACCCUUACUGUGCCGCCCAACACCUGGAGGAUUGUGCGACAAAAAAUGAAUAUCAGGACAAAACUCGAGUUCAUUUUUUAUUCAAAAAGUUCGAAUACUAUCACACCAAGUUCGUCGAGAUGGAAUAAUGAUCAUCCUGUUGACAUAAACCCGAUCGUCAAUAACAGCAGGCCGGCCUUCCUUGAUUGGGUAUCGAUUAUAAACUGAAACUAGGUCUGAGGAAAUAAAACCUGUUAUGACGGAGAGCUCGUUUUUCACAACGGCUCGUGAAGCCGCUAAUGGUGACGAAUGUUCCUCCUUGCUAUUUAGCUCCUUGACACCUGACCCUUGUCCUUUCACUUCUAAGGGUGGGCCUGGCACCCGCUGUGAUCUGUAAAUAAAAGCUCGGUCCUUUGCCAACUCUUUCUCAAGAUGAGUAAGCCGUUCUUGUAGAGCCAUAACUGCUUCUGUUGCGUGUAAACCGUGAAGAUCAAUCGACCAGAUACUGGCCGUUCCACCUACUUAAACCAAAAGAAAAACAAGAGAACCAUAAGAAUCACCUCAAUAUUCAACAUACAGGUCUUUGCACAUGACCAGAGAUGCAAAGAACAAGCUAAAUUACAGACAGCUCUGCUCCAUCGAAAACUCCAAAUUUCAAGAAAAAUGCCAUAAUUCACCUCUCAGAUUUCGCAGUUAAAAUUAUUUUCCAUAAGAGUUUUCUCACAUUGAAACAGAAAAAACAUUCGGAGCCCGACUAACCCGCAUUCCUGGAAUAAAGAAUUUCCUCCGCAGCUUGCGCAUGCCCCAGCUCCGCAGUUUUCCAGUUUUCGUGCGCUUCUCGAGAGAACAGCUUCGCAUCAGCGUGAUCCCCAGCCAUGUAGGCAUUAUGCGCAUUCCUAGCAUACUUUCCCCGAGCCCUGUAUAGAAAUAACCAUUUCAGCUUCUAACCGACCUUCCUGAGGAAACAUUACACGAUCAAAAACUAAAACAAAACACGACAGUACCCAACAAUACCUGCACACUUGCUCCUUUACCCCAGUAAACCCAAGAAUAAAAUCAAAAUCAUGGCCCGCGCCAAACCCUCGCGUACCGGCUCAGCCGCAAUGCCUCUCUCCGAAACUUCAAAUACACAUCGUUCUCCUCGCACUCCAUUGCCUCAGCAGGACGCAAUCCAUCACCAGUUGAACCAUCUUUGCCACCUUCCCUUUCAACUGGAGCCGACUUCAGUCCGGCCAUAGCAUCCAGCUGCCCACUGGCCAUGGCCUCGUCCCCGUCCACGGCCUGCAGCACGUCCCGUAGCAACAAAUCAUCCGCCCAGUCAUAUUGCUCGCGCAAUCUAGCAACCGCUACGUCCUCCUGGCUCAAACUCGUCUCACUCGCUCCUCCUCUAGUGGGUAGCCCCUUGCUGACCACACUCACAGACGGCGUUUUCAACCUUGCACGCCGUGCUUCCCCACGUCCUCACUCUGCUGUCUCGCGCCUUGUAAUGACGGGAAGGGAUCCUCGUAGACAGAUUCGGAACCUUUUUGCAUCAGGCGCGUCAGCGACGCCCACCCCUGAGGCUUCUCCACCCAAGCUCUACAAUAAAAAAAAUUACUAUGCAAAAACAUCGACAUGGACAGGGACGACCACCUGCAUUCGUCUUGUGUAGGACGUCUGCUUCCAGUGGCUACCGGCUGCUGGAGCACUCCCCAAGACUGUCAAACCUGUUGAAAGCCCACUGCCAGGCGUUCAACGAAUUGCGAACCUUCCGAUUUUGGAUGGCCAGCGCUUGACGGUUGUAGUCGAAAUGGUAUUUUCUCCGAUGCUGUGAAAGACUACUUUUGAUUCGUUCGGAGAAGACAAGUAUGAGCCUUACAUCUAUGUUCCUAUUUCUGUACUAUCUUAGAAAUAAGAUCAGCUAUUUCCUCUUUCAUGAAGUUAGGGUCUACAAAUAUUGUGGAGGUCAACUCAAGUUGAUUUUUGUGCACAAUGAGAUGCUUUCGGACCUAGGUUCCGAAGACGUUCAGUUGACAGAUGAGACUCGGCAUCAUUGAUUGACAUAAUCGUUGAUCAUAUAAGUUCGAUUUCCACAUUGAUAUUUAGUGCUUCACCUUCAAAAUAUCUUUUUCCUGAACAUCUCUUGUGAGUGCCUCCAGGUAUCCAAACACUAUCAUGAUGUAUACAAGGUCAUCGAAAAUCUAACGAAGAGAAAAUCCGUGUCCACAGCAGGACUCAGGAAAACCAUACUUUCAUAUUUUUGAUAAACUAAUGGAAGUGUUCAUUAGCGAAGCACGCAGCAAGAAAACUUGCAAAUUGUCCAAGUUUUGAAUUCAUAGCAAAGGUUGCAAACAAUCAUAACAACCUCAAGGUAGUAAGGUCCCAAAUUCCUGAACAUGCCGAGAUACAAACGUUAGUUAGUAUCAGCUCUAGCAACAAGGUGGGUGGAAGUCUAACAUUUUCUGGAAUUGAAAACCAACUCCAUGAUUCGUUUCAGCUUCCACUACAUUCCCUACUGCGAACAUUCGUCACGCUGCUGAAAAGCACGCCGCAUGUUUUUGAGCAUUCUGUCAAAACCUGAGAACAAAAUUUGAGUUCACUGAGUUGGAUAUCAGCACGAAGAAAUGGUUCAUAGUUUAUGAUUACCGUCUUUCAAACUACCUACAAUAUCAACUGAAGAAGAUAUAAGAAAUAGGUUGCAAAAUUAGAAUUCUCCUAUAAGAGUUCUCAAAACAUCACAUACCUUGUGCUGAACGUAUGCGCGAUUAAGAUGCCAACAAACCAAAAAAUGGCUUGAAAGUACCACUGCAAAGGCGUUAAAAUCAACCAGACAACUCAGACAUUCGUGCUACUCGCAGUGAUCUUUAAAGUUUCACGAAUGCGCGAAGGGAUAAGAACCCAUGGUCUGUUGUUGGUAUCUACGCCCACAGACUCGAAGGAUAACUGGUAUUGACCAACUGGAAAUGAUGCAACAUCCAGAUUGCAAGAGGAAAACCCUUUUCCUUUUUGAUCCAUGAUAAACCUAGUAAAACUCCUUCCAAAAGCCCCGGCUUUCUUUGCAGAUCCUUUGACACCCUUACGUGAGAAAGUAUCCUCUUUUAAAGUAGGCAGAAAUAAUAGCUCUUGCUCAAGUUUGAUGGCAUCCUGGACAUCGUCACACGUGGCCCGUUGCACAAGUUUUUCAACUAGAGAAAAGUCUAUAAGAGACUGGUUGGAAGCUUGGCCUUCAUGCCACCCCAGCUUCCAAUCUGCGUACAAGUCUUCUUCUACGAGCGAGGCGCUCUCAACACCGUGAAAAGAGAGGACACAAAAGAGGGAAGAAAUUCUUGAAGAGAUUCCCACAGGCACGUUAGUAAGCUGAGCGCAAAUACUCAGAAGAAGAGAAGAACCUUGUUUCACAGAGAGUUCAGUGACCUCUUCACCUCCAGUUUGGGCUACGAACAAUUCCACAGCUGCACGCGGCCUGCUUGUUCACCACAAACACAAGGUAUGAAGAAUUUUCGAAGCCAAAACCUCAAAAAUGGCAGUUCACACGAUGGGGAAUAUACUUUACAUAGGACACGAAACAUUUCCAUUGAUUAUGAUAAAAUUUGUCGAACAAAACAACAUCCAAGUAAUUAUGUCAAAGACUCAACCACCUGAGCAACUGGUCAUAACGAAGAGUUAUGCUACAACGAAUUUUAAGAUUCAUGUUAUAUUUUUGACACCAAAAAGAAAACAUGAAAGCAAGGAAAUACCUUGUGCAAAAAAAGUAUUUUGGAAUGGGGAAUGGAAGUUGUGAACAUUCUCCAAUCAAUAGCUGUAAGAAGCGCAGAGGUUCCACAGGAACAUCCUGGAGGCUGCUUUGCUGUUUCAAUACGGGACUCCCUCUCUCUAGCCUGCUGAUUAUCUUGAUGGCCCAACCACAGACUUUAACGAUGGCACCACGAGGGCAGCCUCCAACAAGGGAAUCUUCUGACUCAUUGUUGGUUCCAAUCCAAGUCUGCAAAAGGUCUAAACCUUCAAAACCAUUAAUGUGUUUCAAGCGAAAGUGGAGAUUCUGAACGGUAGGAUGGCCCCUGACGUUGUCAGCGGAAGUUGAACCCACCGUAAACACAGCGUAGGUACAAAAGCUAAUCAACGAGCAGUUAAUCGCGGCUUCGCAAAGACAUUCAAGGCUCUCUUCAUCCAGGCCUAGGAACGAUAAUCCAAGGAUAUCCAGCUCUUUGCUGAGAUGCAUCAGUUGAGUACAUAUUAUAGAGGCCCUCGCUUUCGCGCUUUUAAAAGUGGACUGAAUUCGCCGAUCAUAUAUGUUGUCGAAAACAGCACAAUCAACACCAGAAGACUCGAAAGCUGGAACUGCGCAAUCCAUAUUCAUAUCAACUGCGGGUUUGGUUGUAUUUGGCAGGCUGUGGCUUGAUAAUACUAGAUUUAAAAUUUGGAGGAUGUCAGUAACAGAUUGUACCAUACGAAGACGAAUCGAAACAAACCAUCGCUGAAAUUCAAACGUCCUUUCAGAGCAUACUCCAGCUGCAAGGACACUCCCUACUUGACGAAGAAGAGGGAUGGCUUUCGCAGCAGCAUCGCCAAAUUUAAGAGUGAAAUUAUCACCUUGGUCCUUUGGUUCCGGAACUGCGCUGUUCAUGUAACCUGUGUCAAUAUCCAUGAGCUUCUCAGUAUCAUUUACUGCGCUAGUUGGUACUGGACUAUCAGAAGACCUCAGAUGUUCCUUGUUGCAGAAUCCAACUGUCCUUUCAGCAGUUGCCAAAAGAGAGAGGCUUAAAAGCCAAAGGUAGCAACCUUCUGAGUGAACCUUUCUUGUGAGUUCGUCGACAAGAGUAUAAACGGGUGACCAGAAUCCAUUUGUCGCUGCCUCCGAAGCUACUUUAUAAGCUACCCAAACUUCUCCAAUUUUGCUCAUCUGAUCAAUACAUUUGGUGAUGUAGCUUUCGAUGUUCUUUCUGUCAUUAGAACUUCUCCCACUUAAACUCCAAAUUCUAAGUAGUGGGGGAAGAGUGGCUCUUAAAAUGUGACAUGCAGAAUCAUCCCCGGAAACUUGUUUCGUCAGGUCCAGAAGUUUUGGAAGAAUAAUACAAGCUGAAUUUGAAUCCAUUCCUGUAGUCCCUGCUCCUCUAACCCCUGCAUACAUGCAAUGGCAAAGAGACAACACAAACUCUAAUUCAACUUCCAGACCACUACCCACAGAUUCGCUUUCUCGCAGAGACACCUUCGGUUCUGUGCUUUCCUUGCUAUCCGUAUCCAUCGAAGUUACUGCCUCUUGCUUGCCAAUCAGCAAUCUUACAUCCUGCACGUACUUCUGUGUGGCUGCUUUAAUCAAUGAAGAAAUUGAGUCCAAAAUCAUGGGUAAGACCUCGGGACAGCUCUGCAUAAGCCGCGCAACGAGUCUGGUUAUAACUUGAAGCCUUGUGGGAUCAAAAUCGUUCUUCGUCUCCUGAAUCUCGCCUCCUGUUACCUUGUUUCUAUCAAUCAACGCGGUGGAACCUUCUAACGCCAGUGUAUCGCAUAACAAUAAUCCUACCCUUGCUGCAAAGUUCAUGUUACUUUGAGGAAUUCUGGAUAAGUUUUUGCUUAUCGAGUUGCCAUUGUACAUAAUUUGUUCUCCUUCUGAGACCUCCUUAGUGAACUCCCUCCCGAGUGUCGGUUUGUCAGCAUCUGGGUAGUCACUCCCUGCCAAAAACCUGAGGAAACCAAGCUCACAUCCAAAGGAUCCCAAGCAUUCAAGAGCUGCUCGCCUCAAUGACCCAGCAUAUUGCAGAAGAUUUAACUCAACGGUCAACAGCAGGCGAAACAACUCGCUUCUGUCUACCACUCUUACGAAAUGGCCCGAUAGCUGCAAAACGAUAAAAUAUGUUGAUACAGAUCCGAAAGAUGCAAAUAAACUAAAAGUUUUGCAGCACGUCCAAAGCAGAUUGUCCACAACGUUUCCUCUCCCCAUCACCACAUAACAGCAUCUACAGAAUUCUACUCUAACUAUACAUGGAUUUCGUGCACCCAACGCCAAUGACGUGAAAUGCAGGAAUGCUGCUAAUUGAGUCCACGUCUGAACAGCAAAGUACAAACACAAACCUUCUGGAGGACAUUGAAUGCUAAAACUCGAAGUGCUGGAGCUGCGGCGGUAUCCUCUGCAACAGAAAGAAGAAUAGAAAAGUUCCAGUUCCUCGAGACUAAGGAUCUAGCAGCUUGGGACGCUAGUUUGGAAAGGCAGUGAAGAGCAACAGCACGGACCGCGGCACGAGGAUCCGAGCUCACGUACGCAAACAGCAACUCGACCUGCAAUUGACCUGCCCACUUUAAUAUCAACAGGAGGUGGCAUUGCAAGACUCACUAGCAAACAAAAGAUCGGGUGAGGGACUAUCAACUUCAGCCCACAACAGACCUGAAAGCAAGGUUUAUCCAGUUAUGAAUAAGCUAGCGAGGAAUAAUCGAUAUAAAAGUGAGUACCAUCACAGAAACCAUUAUACCUGGGCUUAUGAAAAAUUCUUACAUAACACUCCACAGUAAUUCAGAUUUAGAUGAGAAAAUCUGUAGUGGACAUAGAGGCCACACGAUGCUGAUAUAGGUAACAGAAAACUAUCCAAGAAAAUUUCAUGCAAAGGAAGUAGGUUGGAAGAAUAAAGGCCUCAAUACAAGUGAUAGUAAUUCCAAAGCUACAUCUUCGUUCAUCAAGCAAGAUAGUAAAGUUAAAGAAAUUCUACCUGUCUCUCAAUAGUGAAAAUUGAAUUGAGUGCAAGCAUCGUAAGUGAGGUGAGCAUUGCCGACACAAUAUCUGUAGUGGGCAAACGCAGCAUCAAAGAUUCUCCUGCCUGCACAUUAUCAUCAACAUUAAGACCAAAUUGAAGCUUCCAGAGAAAUGUGACAAAAUAAAUAAACAAACACACAGAUAGAUACCACAAACCCCUUCAAGCGACAGAGAAAAAACCCUCUGACGUUCUUAGUUGUUAGAAGAUUAACAUUGGGUCAGAACACAAACCUCAUGGGCUUUAAAUGCGAGGUGAGGAGAUACUCCAAGCUUAGAGAACACUCUAAUUGCAGAGAGUUUCGUCGCCGGAGAAGACCCCAUCGCAUUCGCGAUUUCCACAACUUUCUCCAAGACAAUCUCUGCAAAACUUAAUGACAACUCGCACAGACAUCCCAUAGCAAAGAGUGCCGCCUCUACCUGAUGAGUGUCAAAUAUCACAGAACAGAUAGCUUAUGGAUCAGAUAAAUAUCUCCCAAACUGUUAAUUACGCCAAAUGAGCUGAUGAAAAUUAAAGGGACACGACAAACGUAUGCGGGACAUUUCUAGAACUUAUAAAUAAAUACAAAUAACAUAUUAGUACGUUUAAAAUAUCUGAAAGAUACACAAUGAGCUGCAAAGGCAGACAAAGAGACUGUCCUUGCAAUACAAGUUGUCAUUUUAAAAGAUUUUACUGCGCAUAUAUGAAGAGUUCACAAAUUUUUCAGAAGGAUGCGUUUAUUGACCUCCUUCUGAUGAGGUGACUCGAGGGCCUCGAUGACUAGCCGUUGCACAUCCAAACUGUCAGCCGCAAUCUCCCCCAGGCAGCCUAACAUCCUCAAAGCUAACGCCCUAGCCACCACAUCACCGCUGUCCAUCACAGAUUUCACCCUUUUCAACACUUCUUGGUAAUUAGCAAUCCUCUCUUUUUUGAACAACCCGGUGCCAUCACGUCGUCCUCUUCGUCGUAUACUCUUGGAAACGAGAAAAAAGGCCUUCAGUAUACAUAGCCGGGUAAAGUUGUUUCCAGUUCGGAACGAGUCAGCGAGACGUUGCACCAUUGCAUUAGCGAAGGUUUUGUCCUGGCCAUCAACAAGUUUGUAGAGGGUGGCAGUUUCUACAGAGGAGAUUGGCUCAUCAUUCCACCACAGCAUCCGCGGCCCUGUCUUCAGAAUUGCUUCACAAGGUGCACCUGUGGAAUCCCACACUACACUUUUACAAUUUAUCGAAUACUGCGCUAGAAAUAAACCAGAAACAGAGAACAAAACCAUAUCCACUCUAUAUCUCCAUACAUUCCACCAGAUGAACUUAUGUAUCCAUCUCAUCCAAUCCGCAACCCCGAUCAGAGCAGUGAUACAAUUAAGGAGAAAAUAUCAAAACGCGUCAUAUAUUGGUGGCGAAUAGUCCAGACCUUUCGCACAUCGCUUCAUCAUACACGCCGUCAAAAUUAGCUUGUUCCACAGGAAACAUUACACAAAUUCCUAGGAAGCAACCACAAUGUUUCCCUGACACUCUACUUCUGUCGCCAAGUAAGAGUGAUCCGUCAGACCACGAAGCUUAAAAUUUGGGCCAACCUAGAAUAACACAAAGUGCAAGAGCAAACCUGGUCUGGUAAGACGCAAGCCGCGUUCGAGCUCCACGUUCCAAAUGAUGGCUUUGGCAGCAGCAAUAUCAGGCAGGCCAUUCGCGGAAGGGGCACCGGGCACCCCGCUCGCACCCAAUUGCUCCCCCAUCGCCCUAGUUCAAUCACCAAGAACCUCUCAAAGGCUCAAGUCUCGGCACUGCGCCUUCCGAAUAAACCCAUCUGCUCCUUCCAAUCAAAACAUGCCGAAAAGCACACACACACCGAACUCAAAUUACUCUCUGCAUCACGCCCUCCACCGCCUCCACAUGCAGAGUGCUCGAUCCACAGGGAGGGCUAUCGGUUGAAACCAUGUAGAGCUGGAUCAUUUUCAGAAUCGUGAAGGUAUACGAUGCAUCCUCAGCAUGACAUUGUUGAUGAUUGCCGCACCUGUGAUCAUCUGGUGCAGAUAAGCGCAUCAACUGCCCGAUCUCCCGUUCGAACAAAUCUCUAGGGAUGCUGCGGAAACGCAGCCUUCACUCAUGAACCCUGACGAAACACCGCUAUUUCUAUCACGGAAUUUCAGACAUAGCCGUUCCUUGUGGACGAGAGCCUCCCCACCGCGGACCGGGACCUGACUCUGUAAUUUCCCCUCUAUAACCAGCCUCGGAUGUAAAGUCAGCUGACUCUCAUAUCGAUGUACGAAUCGUCUCAGUUGAAAAUAUCAUCCUUCCAGGAGCGGAUGAAAAACUGAUCUUCGUCUUGGUGUAACUCGUAAUUUAAAUCUGACGACAAAUUUAGUUUAAAUUGAAAAAACUGUUUAAUUUCAAUUAAAGGCCUAGAACUGUUUAAUUAAACAAAUACAUAUAUUUACAACUGAGGUCAUUAUUUGUGGGAUGUGAAAUUUAAUGAUAAGUACUACAAGUUGAAAGACAUGAAUAUUUAUCAAAACCAAUAAAAUCAGGUUUGAAGAAUAAAAUAAAUUAGAAAAAGCAUGAAUAAUCAGUCACCAUUACAUAAUUCACAUAUAUGUAUAUAUACAUAUGUGUGUGUAUACCAUGUGUGUGGGUUUUGAUGCCUCUUUUUAUUACUUAAAAAAAUUCUAUUAUAGAAAAACAAAGUGUGAGAAUUUCUAUUUUCAAUUUAUUGUUUCUCUUAUCUCUUGACUCAAAUGUUUCUAGAAACUUGUUGCCUGUACAGAGGUACAGUCUUCAGACCCAACUGUGUUGAUUUGUGUUUAUCAGCACCGAUUUUCUGUGGCAAUCUACGUUUGUUCAAUUUAUGUUUACCAGCAAACUGUAGGGUGUGCUCAAGGUGGGAGUUGCCAGAGUGUUGCCGAAGUGGUAGAUGUCUUCACUGUAUGUGUUCAUGUAGAGAGAUCUGCACUGAACAGAUAAUAGUGGUUAUGAUUUCCACAGUAAUUGUCAUGAAAUCUAUGUAAUGAGUCUUUAGAAUUGUGCUACGGAGCUGCGACGGGUCCAGUUUCUAAACCACAAAGGUCCUAGUCUAGUGCAAGUUUGGUUUAAUAUUCUGAAACUGAAUUUCCACCACCCCAGUUUCCUCGGGGUGCAGACAUUGUCGUUAAUCUCGUUGCGAAAUGCUGCAGCGAAGUUCAAAGCAUUGUGUGCAAUAUCUGCAUGCGGUAGGAACUCUGGUCUUGAAUCGAAUGAUCAUGUCAUUAAGCAAAGGAAUUUUUACUAGUGUGUCCCAAAACUAGGUCAAUCACCUGUGACGAUGAGACCCACCUAUUGAUCAGUCGUAGAAUCAGAACUGUGUAUCUGAACCCACACGCCUUUCCCAGCCACCUUUCUCUGGAUUGGCCAUAGAAGAUAGUGGCUCUCCGGUGCCACAAUUGAAUUCGGCGGUGCCGUGACUGUGGUCUGAUACAUCCCCCUCCUCCCUAAUUCAACCGGCUCCGUAAUAUUUAGCUUCAGCAUCCGCUGUCCCUGUGAGAAGGAGUGCGUUGUGAACGGCGAACUAAGCAAGUUGAGUUCGAAAUCACCCGUGCGAUUGACCACUGUGAACACCGCCGUGAAGGUCAACGAGUAUCUGAUCCUCUUUGUGGUGAGGUUGAAGAUCGAAGGCCGGAUGUCCUCGUAGCUGGAGGAAGAAUCCAUGAAUCAAAUUAAACACGAAUGGAUUCAUGAUUAGAGAUGUUGGCAGGUGUGAAAAGCAAAAUGAAGGGUUUAGAAGAGAAGUGUACAAGAGAGGAGAACAUCAUUGACUUACCAGGUGAUGGGUUUCAAAUACAAAGAGAUGAGUAGAAGGGUGGUAAUUGUCGGCAGUUUACCUCGGAUCUAGAUAAGGGGGAUCGAAGGCUUCAACUCGAAGUUCCGUGGGGAAGUCACCGGAGAAUGUGUAAUACUGGUGCGUGUUGCUCCCUGCAACGAUAAUGCGCCCGUCGGAGAGGAGAUUGGCAGUGGAAUGAUACAUUCUGGCAAUGGUUGUGGCUUUCAGAACAUGAAACCUUGCUUUGGCAUUGUCGGGUGAGUAUGUAACCGGCGAGUAGGCAGGGUUAGUGGCUUUGUUCCAGCCUUGAGAUCCAUUUUGAGCGCCGUUUAUGAUAAGCACGUCGGCAGUAGGAAGGAUGACCAUGUCACCCAUGACGCGCCGGAUGGGCAUUGUCUCCAUGACCCACUGCGGAUCAUCGGAGCUUGUUGCAACAAUCCGACCGCAUGUUUCAGACGCUGGAGAGUCCCUGCCCUUGGACUUACUAUUCGCCCCAUUGUGUGCACCUCCACAAACUAGCACCUCUGCAACCGUAAAAUCAUCGUCAUGUCGCAAAGGUAACAUCACUGAUGACCCAGCGGAGGGAUAGUUCCUUGGCUCACCCGGAAUGGUCGGAUACUUCCUCAGAACCUUGUGACGCCGGUAAUCUAAUAGGAUGGCGUCUCGAUUGGCGAAGAUGAACAGGUUUCCGUCGGGCAACAAGUGCACGAAAGGGUACAAGUUGUCAUUCUGCGCAUCCUUGGUCUCAUUCAAGAAGUUCAGCUCAUAUGAUCCUUCACGGGACUUCCUUUUCGGAACGAACUCGUACGAGUAUGACUCGAUGCCUCCAACAACAAUCUGGCGUCCGUCGGGGAGCAGUUGGUUAGUAGAAUACCAUCGCUUGUCUUUGAGAUUCUCGGUAUCCGACUCCAUCCAAUCGCAUCCUCCAUCUGGUCCACACGGGUCCAGGAGACGAACCUUGCGCAUCCCAUCAAAGUCGCCGCCUGUCUGCACAAGCGUGCCAUUUGCGAAGAACUGUCCUGAAGAGCACCAUGUGUCCGUGAUGAUGGUAAGCGGUCGCACUUUCCCAGAUACUGGGUCCAGCAUUACCGAGUGCGCACUGCAAUCGUGUUUCAGCACACGAUCCUGCGGGUUGUUGCGGCAAUACCCGUUCGUGAAGUUAAUCUCGGACAAUCCAAUGUUGGUUCUAUCUAGAAAGAUGACAGAGUCGUAGAAAUUCACCGCAGUGUGCAUAGAUGCUAUCCCAGCAUUUGCCGUCAAAACUCUCCAUUUACCAUUGUAGGCGUUAACAGUAGCUACGUCCAAUUUCAACAGAAACAAAAGAUUGACCGUCCAGAACCUUAGAAUUGUGGAGAAACAACUGGAACUAGCUGCUACCCUCAUCCUCGCAGAUGGGUACUAAACUCAAGCUUGCAAAUCCGGUGGCAAAUGCAGGGGGGCCUCUCUAUUUACCCACAGCAUUCCUCAAAGAAUCUGCUCCAGUAACAUUCCUAUGCAAUAACCUAAAAACAUAAUCAGCACUUAUAUCUGGGUUUAGGCCGAAAGUUCAAGCCAGAUCCGUGACCUCAACAACCUUACGUGUAAUUGUGAUUGUUGUAGGUUGAAAAAUAAGAUCAUUUAACCAAGAUGCUCAUUAAAAUGACAAGUAGCAUAUUGACGAAGACUCCUGAGAAAAAACUAAGACCGUCAGAAUUUCACGUUUUCUUGUAGUUGGGCCUAAGUUUUUAGUAUUUUAACGAACCUGCCAAAAUUAGUGAUCAUCUGAUUGAGAAAGAAGUCACAACUGCAUGGGAGUGCACGUCGGCAGCUCGUGAGUCAGUGAGAUCUCGUGAUGCAGUGACCAGUUGAUUGCAGGAAGUAUUAGUCUUCCAGUUUGAAUUCGGUUUAGCCAUUGAAUUGUAGAUGAUGUGAUUAUUGACGUGAGGUUACUUCCAAUUUUAGCAAUUUUUAUGUGACACAAUCUCAUAAAUACCACAUGUAGUCGGUAUUAGUGCUCAAUUAAAGCUUUAUUUCAAUAUAUUGUCAUCCAACAGGCAAUGAGAUCCUAACUUUCCAACACUAAUAGUCAGCUUGAUCAAGAUUAGGUGUGAAGUCCCAGUAAUAUCUACAAUCUUGAAAUAGCACCAUCGCAUUUUGUGACUUAACUACACUUUGAAACAUAAAUAGGGCUUCAUGCAUACAGACAUCACAAAAUUGCUCUCAACAAGAAUGUGAUUGCUUGGUUGGUUCUUUUAUUUGGUGUUGUACACUCUACUUAUAUGUCAUGCAUAAAAUUAAUUAUAUGAGAUAGAUAUUUUUGAUAUGUGAAUUGAAAUAUUUUAAAACUUUUUUUGCUUAUACAUUUUGAGACCAAUUCAUUACUACAAUUGCAUGUUACAAUUUAAAUUACUUAUAUUCUUGUGCAAUUGUUUCACAUUUUAAAAUCAAGUCUAAAAGGGUUUGAUUCAAAUUGUACCAAUUUUGUAUAUUCUGUGUUUGUACCUACACAUUCUGGUAAAAUCUUGUUGCAAGUACCACAUGUAUCAUAUUUACAGAAAUAUAAAAUCAAGCUCAAAACAAACGAACUCACUACUUUGGUAAUAGAUAGUAAGCAUAUCCAGAUAGCCAGAACCAAUACAUUUUCUUGGAUUUAUUACGGCGCAAACUUCAUGAGCCUGGGUGGGUACCAAUGCAACGCAGAUUGAAAGUCUUCUAGUAUUCAUUUGACAAAGAUAAAUUUCAAUAGCGUACGUACAAGUCCGAAUUGAGAGUUCUUCAAAGAACGAACUAUUGCCUCACAUUCUGUCUGAAGGCACUUGAGAUCCAACAGUAUUGGGAAACGUGGCGCAAAAGAAUAUUUACAACUUGCUGGAUCGCAACGGCAGGUGAGAUUCCUCCUUAGCUGCAAUCUCAGAAUACAUUUCUGCAAUGGCCGUUGCAAAGCGAGCCUUAGCUUGGGGUCGCUUCACCUGCACAUACCCAAAUUCAUUCUAAAUCAUUGAUCUUCAUUUAUUAGUUGAACAAUAAGGAGAAAAUCCAAGGAAAACUGCAGAUCAUUUCUUCAGGAAAUGCACUUCUGGAUGAGAAUAAAUCAGAGUUACCUUGAGCGUGGGUGUAAGCAAUCCAUUUUCUAUUGAGAAUGGUUCAGGAAUCAACGUCACAGCUUUGGCAAACUCAAAACCUCGCAACUGCAAAGAAAAAACAAUGAAGUAUUCUCUGAAAAAAUGAACCAGGUAGAAGCCUGUGACAAAUCUUACACAGCUAAGAGAAUUUCGGAACUGCGAGUCCAUAGCAACACAAAGAAACAAAGGAACAUAGAGAAAUUGAAUCACUCUGUUACAAUCGCUACUUAUCUAUGCUUAAGCUGUACACUACUGUGGAAAUAAUUAAAACCAAACCUGUGCUUCGCGACCGACAGUAUUCAUAUCCGCAAGCACAGCCACUCGUACAACAGGAUCAUCACAUAGCCGCUUCAAAUCAUCUGAGUGCUGCUUCCACCAGAAACAAUAUAUCUUAAGCUUUUAUACUGAUAAGGUUCAUCAGUAAUCAUUGCAGCUCCUUGACAGUUUAAAGUUAUUUAAUGGUGCAAUUACCACAUCCAACUGACAACCAACGUAAUAUGCAAAAAGUAGCGUUCAGGAUCUGCAUGUUGGGCUAUAUGAUUUUACUAAUGGCUACUGUUGUCAAAGGAAAUUAAGUAGGUCUAUGAAAUACCCACCUUCAUACCCCUCGAUUUUGCCCAGGCAGACAGAGUCUCUGGAUCAACGACAGCAACUGCCACAAGACUCGAGUUGAAACUAUCACCUGUGCAUAUUAAUCACCAAUUAGAUAUUUCAAGGAAGACGAUAAAACAUAUAUGGCAGGAUAGACAAUCAAGAUAAAAUAAUAUUAAUAAAAUAAAAUAAAAACCUCAUUUCAGAUGAAAAAAAAAUCUUAAGUCAUCUACACCAGUUGCAACUUGUUUAGACCACAAGAAAUGAAGAGUUCCUCCAUUUAAAAAAUGAACAUACCAUGUAUGUAACACUGUGUUAUGAAACGACUGCGAAGGUAGACAUUCUCGAUCUUCUCCGGGGCAAUGUACUCUCCUUGAGCCAACUUAAAGAUAUUCUUCUUCCUGCAAUGUGUGAUGAAUGACUCAACAAACACGAAGAACAGAACAUACUACUUGUGAACAUUCCUGAAAAAGUAAAAGCUAAAUUGAUCCACUCACGACACCAGAAGUAUAGAGUAAAUCUAACGUUUUGCCCUGGUAUAAAUCAACAGACGUUUCAAACGAAAAAUGGCAAAUAUCAUACACCAAUCGCGAUAAUUAACGACAGUACCUGUCGAUGAUUUUGAGCCGACCACCUGGCAACCAACACCCAAUAUCACCAGUAUGUAACCAGCCCUCUUCAUCAAAAAUCUCCCGUCUGCAAUAAAAGUCAACUGUGAACGCCAACUUCCUUUCAAAAUGUCAUGGGUAGCAAGUAAGCAAGAGCAAGGCAGGAAGAAAAAGAGCAAGAGGAGUACGUUUGAACUUCAUCUUUGUAGUAGCCUUUGAACAAUGUGGGGCCUCGAACACAGAUUUCUCCUCGCGGGUAAGGUUUGUCGUCGUUAGUGUAUUCCAUCUCCGGAACAUCAGCAAGCUUAACCUCUGAUAUAUAAAGUCAACAGAAUCCAAUCAAUCAUAUUAUCAUACGUCUUAAAUGUUUUUGGUAAGCACUGGCUAUUAAGUACCAAGCCACAAUCAUGUUAAGUUACAUCCUUGCUACAACCAGCAAUAACUAAGCCGAAGCGACAUGAAAUCUUUACCGCAAGAUGGGCUUGGGGCUCCAACGUGCCCAGAUGUGUUGUCUCCGCGUUGAGAGCCAGCAAUCAGGCACGACGUUUCCGUCAUUCCAUAGCCUUCAGAAACAAAACCACCAAAACAACUGCAACCAAGAAAUGCAGGUGGGAGUGAUUAGAUCAAAAAACUUGUCAGAUUAUCCUUCAGAAUUACAAGCACUUCAAUGUGAUUUUAGACCUACUGCUAAGUAAAGAAAAACGAAUCACACAUUCAAGAACUAGUGCAAAACAGUAACAGCUCAUUGAGCUAAGUUAAAGUCGGUAAAGGCACCCACAUUCUUAAGAAGUCCAGAACAUCUGGGGAUAUUGGUGAUGCGCCUGACAAGAUGAUACGAACUCGUCCCCCAAGAGCUGCCUUCACUUUGUUAAAAACCAACCGGUCCCACAUGGGUGAAGGAGAUUUUCCUGCAAGAUAACAAGACAAAAACUUAAAGAAGCUUUCAAAAGAAUGAAAUGCUGACAAACAGGUAUGCAUUUAUGACAACAUUAAUUUCAGUUUAAUACGAAUCAUAUGCGAAACAAUAACAUGAGUGGCACAAAUUUUAGACCAAUAAUAUGAGGACAUAAAUCCUUAUAGAGGUGGAAAAUAAUAAGCUACAGUGGAGGUAGUAGAAUCUCACCCUUCUCAAGUGCUUGUUUCUUUGCAUUGUAGGCAACGUUAAACAGCUUCUCACGUAGUCCACCUGAAGCCUUCACUGUUCCCGUGAUUCUGUUACAUCAAUAGCAUCAAUUAGAGAAACGCAGAGUUACAGAAGAUUGAUUGACGUAACGAGCCGAAGGUUUCCUAUCUGCCCCUUUUCACAAACAAAGAUGUAAUUACUACACACUCAUGGACAAGCAUCAAAAGUCAUAAUUCGAGACCAUUCGUCUAGAAAACUCUGCAGCUGUCAAAUAUCACCUUCAGAGACUCACUUAUCAUAAAUGCGAUUAUAAAGACGUGGUACACUGGCGAAUAUUGUAGGUUUCAAGGUUUCCAUAUCAUCCAUUAGCUUCAAAAUAUCCUGCACGACAACCACGAAAACUGUAGGUCUAAGAGGCCAGCUGGAAGACUCUUCAAAACUGGUUAACACCAGAAGAACGAAAACGCUCGAGACAUUUAGGUGUUGCAAGUUCUGUGAUCAUCUUUACACAUAAAAUUUCCAACACACACUACUAAACUAUCCUACCAGACUGCUAUGAGGCCACGUGCCAGGCCUUUGAAACGUAAGAGUAAAGUGAAUGAUUCUAAUACGUCAAGAGUUCCAAGAGUCUUGAAGAGGUCAUUCAGUUGUGAUAGAAUCAAACAUCAAGCGCAAUUUAUGAAAAGUAAAUUAUGACUAGAAGGUGACACGACUACAACAUUGCAUAGACGAGAUACAUGGAUAAUAACCGUUACAAAAAUGAUCUAGUAUUUAGGUGAAUAAUGAGAUGACUAAUAACAGUUCCUUACUCCUUGAUAGAAACCAACUGCCACACCAUGAUGCAGCAUGACAAGCAUGUUCAUCCUCUCGUAAAUAUGAGCAAGUGGCAGAUACGAGAUAUGCCUGUAGGCAAAACAAAACCAAGAAAAUCAAGAAAAUACAAAGGAUCACGUCUAAAAAAAAUUAAACAUCAUAACCACACAAAAGUAGGAAGAAGAAUUUGUCAACUUACACGUCAGAGGGGUAGAUAGGUGUAGAUUGGCUACUCCCAGCAGCGCUUGCGACAAGGUUGUGGUGAGAUAUCAUUGCUCCCUGUUUCCAAGGUGCCAAUGUUAGUCCAAAAUGAUUAUACAAAGCACAAAUUUCAGCCCAAGGCAUAAAGCUGGUCUACCAUGAACUCAGUUAAUGAUAACAGCAGUCUCCAUGCAAAGCCUCAAAUGCAACAGUUUCUUAAAAUCAUAGACAAAUGCAUAAAGUACUCUGAACUUGGAAAUGGAUAAAAGUAUAACAUGGAAAUUGAAUAGAAUUAAGAGGACCAUCUCCAAAAAAUAUUCAUCAUAUGCUACAAUUGGUUAGGAGAAAUCCACCGCACGUUACGUCACAUUCAAAAAAACAUGUGAUUCGUCAGAUAUUCAUUCAAAUUCAAAAUAAAAUUUUUUAAAAUAUGGUAAAAUGGCUACAGUUUCGGGGUCAAAAGUCUACUCCAAAUACCUUGGGAACACCAGUAGUACCACUUGUGUAACAUAUAGUAGCUAGAUCAUGUGGCUUUGGUGCCACAAAUGCUCGCUGAUCUGCUUUACCCUGUUGGAAACACAAGAUAUCAAACUUAAGUGACCUCGUUAUUAUUGCGAAGAACUGUUUCAGCAGCAUACCCUCAUUUUGGUUUUUUGAUCGAUGAAUUUAAGAUCCUCUACACUUGACAUCCGUGUUCAACUCCAAAGACUUUUUUGAUAAAAAUCAUUCAGCAGGUUCUGAACCAGCUGAAGAGAAAAAUAAAAUUUAAAUAAAUAUAUAAAUAAAUAAACUGCAGAAGGUAAUUCUGCGGGGAUGGACAACGGUACCUGAGCUUCGAGUCGAGAGUAAGGCAUAAUUUCAACCCCUGACUGGGGUGGGAGUGAAGGCACUAAAUUCUCAGCACCUCCCACAACCUACGUCUCACAACAGAAAUAUCAUUAAAUGCAAAACGCAAGCAAAGCAAGGAACCUUCAAAAGUUACAUUCUGCAUCUCUGAAAACGCAACGCGGCCAAUUUAGUCAUACUAGAGCACCAGAGAUAUUCACAUUGAGGACCCAUCAAACCAACCUAAAUAACACUAAUUUCACAUUCUUUGUAGUAGGACAAUAAUCGUGGACAAUAAGAUUAACACUGAAAUAUGCCUAGGGUUUGCCAAAUGAGUAGAACAUCACCAACAGAAACAAGACUACUUGAACCGAAUGCAACAAAGAAAAUUGUAACAGUGCCUACCACAAUGAGCCGUAAACUUGGCAGUUCCGCAAGACAACUCAGUAACUGCUCCAACCCAUCCACGCCAAAAACAUAUUAGAUGUUUCCCAACACAGCUAUCAUAAUAUAACUUUUUGAUUCAAUCGCACAAAUUAAAGGUGAAUCCAACAGAAGCAACUCACAGUCUGCAAUUUGUCUGGGGUACAAAACACAGCAGCGACUUCAGCAUGGUUGACAAUGUAUGUCACAGCAUCAGCUCCUGCAAUCGACUUUAAUAAGUUGAUGUACUCAAAUCUUCCCAAGAACUAAGAAGUUAUUCGCAAACUGAGCUUGGUCUAGCAGCUUCCAAAUUAUUAUCACAUCAGGUUCUUACUAAGAACUGAUUAGUUACGAAAACAACUCAAAACUAAGAGUCUGAUUAGUUACGAAAUCGAGACAAAUAAAGACAUUUAGCUAGUCUGUUCAAUGUUGAUAUUUCAGAGAAGGGUGCAGCUUACCAAGAGUGUCAUAAAGUGGAACAGACACAUAGGAAUAAGCGACACAUGCUAGUUCUGAGAUGACCCAUUCUGCUCGAUUGAUCAUGUAUAUUCCAACACAUGAACCCUGCGCAUACCGAAGUCAACAGUGCUGAACCAGGGAAAACCUUUUUAGAGAAGCCUGGAAGGUAAGAAUACAAAUCACAUUCAACAGGCAUUGGAAGCCUGACAGUUGAAUAGAAAGUUACAGAAGUACAAUUUUCUCUGAGAUUUUCUACCAACUUAUUCCGCCAUUUUAACUGUUUCCAAACUUAAAGUGCUUACCUUAGGGAUACCAUGCUGAACAAGACCUGAUCCAAUCGCAGUGCGUGCCGUUCCUACCUCUCCAUAAGUCAUCCACCUAUACCUGAAGUAAGGACAGUCGUGAAGAAAGUGAGACAAGGAAACAAAAGACCCCCGCCACCCUCAGAAGUGAAGCUUUCAUUGCAUCACAUAACACAUCCAAGAUAUUCAAGCCCCAAACAAUGUCGUGAGUCUAGCUUACGGCUCGUAUUUACAAGAAUUUGUCACUUAGAUAUACUCCACGAAAUAAACAGAAUUACAGUGCAUUGAUACGAAAGCAUAAAGAGGAAAGGGGCAACUUACUCGCCAAUUGUACCAUCCUCUCGGAUACGAGUUCCCAUACAUUUGUUCUCUGCAAAGGCCCCCUUCGCGUACCUUCAGAUGAAACCAUGCAAGCAAGGUAUUGUAAGCAAGCAACAAUACAAGUGUGUUUGUGAGCAAGAUACAGAAACACCCACAGUGUAAGUAGUUCCACACAUCACCAUCGUGCCUCAAGCAGUACCAAGGCUAAUAUCAAAUGGUCUAAAAAUCAAUAUAUUCGCUACACAGCAGCAAAUCAAGAUAUAGCAGGAUAAUAUUUACAACCAGGAAACAUGGAUGUCUUACACAAAGUUGUCGUGCAGAGUUCUAAUCUCUGGGUGUUCAGGCCAAUGAUCCAUGAGCUCAAGGGGGCUCAGCACUGAUCUGUAGUGACCCAAGCCACAGAAUCAAAUCUCUUGAUUAAAUAACCAAACCAGAACACCUUCACCUUUCGUUGACUUCAGCGGAAAUGUAGUAAGUAGAAAUUGAGCACACAAAAGAUUUAUAUAAGAAGCAGAGAACAUUACAAGAUUAAAAUAUUCGAUAAACACAGUUCAUAAACCAAGUCAUACAGUUCUCUACAUAUAUCAGGAACCAGCAAAUAACUUGCCUUGUUGUGUUGAUUUACAUUAAUGGGUUGCACAUGGUAUUUUAGAAGGCAUUGCACACGAUAAAGGAAAUAUUCGGUGCAAAGAGACCGAAAUAAAAGCAGGAUACCUGUGAACGUUCCACUUUCCCGUGCUCAAUUUCUCCGGCAGCUUUACACUGUAUACUUCCUCUGCGCAAAACAUAGGCGAUAAUGAACAAAAAAGGAGACUCAAUGGCCAACUUACAGACACAAGCUAGCUUCAACAAGUAAUCAAACUAAGAACAACCGCCAAACCAGCGCAGAGGAUGCGAGGAAAACAAGAACUAAAUACAAGGAGCUGUACGUCUACGGUAUAGCCCAAAUGUACAAAAAUUCUUCGUGACACCGCAAAACAUUAGUGAUCAUAUACGGGCUACCAGAACAAAAAAAAGACGACUAAGCCAUUGGUAACCAUUAAAUGCGCCCACCUACGAUAUAUUCGGCAGCCGUUGGUUGAUUCUCCAGUUGUGGACGCUCCUCUGCACAAAAGAAAGUUAUGAGUGAACAAAUGCUCAAGGUUUUAGUUCACAGUAAUACUAGCAACACCAUUGAAGGCCAAAAAUUAGCAACACAGCUGCUAUAACAAGAUUAUAAUUCGGCAAACUAUGCACCAAUACAGAGAUAACGACCGCACCAUCUUCACAAUAACACCAUACACUACAGGAAAAGAGGAUGCCGUGCGUGCUGUACAUUACUGGCAUCCUGCAGUAGAUAUUUCUCACCACCUCUGUUUUUCCUCACUAUUUUUAAGUGCACGCCAAUUCUUCCCACAAUUGCAUUCUAGCGGUACAUCGAAGACUCAAAUUAGAUAUCCUGAGAUACAUACCUGAGGCCCUCAUCUGCAAAUGUGCAUUCACGAUGCGCAUCCGCCUGUCUUGUGUGGUCUCCAUUACCAGGGGAUCCGCCUCCAUCUCUCCGCCCACUGGUGGCUUCUGAGUAUUGCAGUCUCAAAACUGAACAACAACACGACCACAUGAAACUCACAGUUCCUAUUAACAAAAAGAUGCAGCUCAUUGAUUGAAUGAAACUGUGCAACGGUUUGAGAACAAAACUUUAUCAAUUCGAACGAUAUUCUUAAAUUGCGAAAGCAACUUUAAGCGCAUCACUGUAAAUUGUCGAAGCUUGCCGUUCGAGCAAUCGCGAAUCGGGAAUCAUGCACGAACUGCAAACCUAAAAAAAGAUAAAUGUUGACUUAAGCCAUGGACUACGUCGGCAAUUUGCGAACAACAGCAGUAAGGAGACUUCUGACCCCCAUGGAUAUCCUUUCAAGUCAAAAACAGCCAUGUAUGCAGCAAGAUGAAAGCUAUUGACAUACCUCAAGAAGAUAGAUAAUCAACAAUUCCAAUGUGACAUUGACCUAAAUCGAAAUUGAGUUAAUGGUGCAAAAAAAACAAUAUGAAUUACUUUCAUAAAGCUACUACGUUUCAAGUAUACCCCCGUUUCACGAAAGAAUCCCAAGACCAUGCAUCAAGCCCAUUAAUCCGCCUAAUUGGGUAUUCAAUAUGAACCCAAAUCUCCAGGAGAAAAAUUCUGUUUGUUGGUAUUUUGGACGAGAGACAAAGCAGGAACUUCAAAACCAUUCAGCGAAAGAAAACAGACCGCUAUUACAUCUCAAGCUCCACAGCACACAAGAACUAAAUGAAAGAGUCCUAGGUUUUAUAUGUAUCAAACGCAGCGAGCAGUUCGUCCACUUGUAACUUACUCGUCGUCUAACUCUAGCUUUAUGCGACCCCAAAACAUAACUAGUACCACAGACGCAUCAUAAAUUUAGUAACGCCAACACUGCCCCUUGGGGUGAUCAUCGUAACAGAUUGCAACCAAGUUUCCUAACGUAGCCGAAGAAUUGAUGGGGAAAAUACGGAAUUGCCUUCUUGUCCAGCCAUGAAAUCUGAUGAAGAUUUUAGUCUUCAGCUUAUUGGGAUACUUACAAUAUACGAACUGAAAGGCUUGGAAGUCAAGUCAUCAUCGGCUACCAAGGUCAAACAUUAGUCCACACUCAAGAGUCUUCCCGUGCGACUCAUCACACAGACGGUCGACCAUUACACCCCCUCACAAAAAUUUAAAAAACAAAAAAUAAAAAUAAAAAUGAAAAUCUCCUAAAACUGGCAAAAGCCAAUUUCACAGUUCCGAUCAGAGACCUGCAGCUCAACGCUGCAUAAAUCUAUGUUUGACACAAUCCCUCUAGAACUACUUGGCAGAAAACCUUUCAUUUCACAAAGCUUCAUCACCCUACUCCCAAAACCCACAAGUGCGACACAAUGUUGAGUGAACAACACAAUUUCGGAAAUUUGCAAAAUUCUCACUCACGGUAAAACCACACCAAAAACACACGAAACCACCAAAACGUCGAAAUCAAACACGAAACUCACAAGCACACUUCCACUUCUUCUUGUUCUGCUUCUUUCGUCUUCGACUACCUCGUCUUCUCCGACUGAGCUUCCAGGCACUUGACUCUACUUCCCACUUCAAGUCCGACGAGAUCCUCGAAUCAUAAGCUUAGAGCGAUUUCCAGCCCGAGGGGUGACGGAUGGCAGAUUGAAACGGUGACAGUAGCUGGGAUCCGCAGAAGUAGAGAACUUUGAAGUCAUAGCAAGUGUCUUUUAAAGAGUGGGGCCAAUGGGGAAGCGGGAGAGAAUUGCGGGGGGCUGGAUAAAGAUGCAAUUACGGUGGAGAUGCGUUGCGUUCGGUGGGAUGGCGCAAGCAGGCAUGAGCAAAUCAUCAAAAAAGGGUAAGGUCCGCGAAAAUCAUCCGAAGGGCGUGGCGUGCGAGCCUCGCCUGCGCCACCGCGCCACUGACAUCCCUCCCAAGCAUGGCUCUCCGAUGGAUUAGUAGCUCACUAAUCCAGGCGCUCAUCCACCCACUAAUCAUGUCACUAAUCCAGCAACUAACAAGCUUCGUGGUAUGACUCUUUGAACCAACACUCCAAAUCAAACUCGAUCUUAUCCAUUCCACUCUUCUCUGUGAGUAUUUUUUUUCUCUUGUACUGGACUCGCAGUGUGUAUGUGAAAGCCUAAUGCAGGUUUAAUAUUGUACAUUCAAUGAAAAAUCGUUGCUGUGGUGAGAUGAUGAAUUUCGAUCACAUUUGAGGAAUUUGAAAUGCUGCAAUCAAUUGCAAAAUUGGGUGGUUUUGGAAAGCGUUGAAAUGCUUGUUGAAAAGAUUAAGUGCUUUCUUUAAUAUAUAUAUAUAUAUAUAUAUAUAUAAUUGCUGCAUUCAAUUUUUUAGAUAUGUGCAUUGCAAAUAUAGAAAUAUAUAAGUAAACAUUUUAGGAGAAUUUAUCAGGAAAUUCACUUGCAAGUUUAAUUCACUUCUCACCAUGACAAAGUUUAUAUGACACAUGGAAGAUUUGGGACUAAAAAACAUUUAAGAUUUCUCCUCUUGUAUAUUUUCUUAAAAUCAUUAUUCAAAGAAAGAAAACCUUUAAAGAUAGAAUUGUAAAUAAAAAUAAGUUACAGUAAAAUUGUAUACUGCAUAUAGGGACUUAAUUAAAAUCAUUGUUUGAUCAUGAAUCAUAUAGAUUGAAUCAAACAUGCAUGAUAUCACCACUUUAUUACACACACCCCCCCAAAAAAAAAAAAAAAAAAAAAAAAAAAAAAGUUAUUUCAGUAAGAUCGUAUUCAUUUAUGUGUUCAAUGUGCUUAUGAUAAAAUUCUCAAAAAUGUUAUGUGGACUUGUAAAAGAAUUCCAAAUGCAAUCAUCAUUACCUGAAUUUUUUUUAAACUAAUGAAGUUUAGAAAGAAAUGUAGAAUGUGUUCCCUUUUUUCUUUUCUUUUUUAUGUCAAGUCAUUCAAAAUGUUAUUAUUACAGUCCAAUAAAUUAAUGAGAAAAAAUUAUUCUAAGAUUCUGAUAAUACAAAAAAAUGAUACUAUAAAAAAAUAAAAACCAUCUUUAGUUCGUGUAAAAAUGUAAGAAAUGAAUCAAAUCUUUUGCUGUUAUAAAGUGUUUAAUGAUCUAAUUAUUAAAUGCUUGAAAUAUCAACUGAAUACUAUUCUCAACUUGAAACUAAGCUUAUUCAGAAAAUACACUGCCUCUUAGAGUCAUUUAUAAAAAUGUAAAUUACAUCUUUUUUUAAAAUUCUGUUAAGGUCAGACAGUUGAUUAAAUAGAAGAUCAUCUACAUGUAUUGUUGCAUUUACUCUGCUUUUUGAAACUGGUUAAAUCGAGAUUAUAAAAUUGAAUAUUCAUUUUAAAACUUGUUUAUGAAUUUUGAUGAAAAGACAUUGUAUAUAUUUUUUAAAUUACUUUUUUACAAACUUUCUUUCUACAAAUUUGUACUAUCUGGAGGCACUCUUUGAUCCAAAAACUAAAAAAUAUAUAAAUUUGUAUUUAUUGUAAAAACUAAAUGAAAUAUAAAUUUACAUGUAUGUAUGUAUGCUGGCACAUGUCGUCCUCAAAAAUGAAGUUCUAAAAUUUAGCUUCUAUUUUAUGAACUCAAAAAAUUUAAGUUGUAGUAAAUUUUGCAUUUGUAUAUAUGUAGGAAUUAAUAAUGCUACUACAACCUACUAGCCACAACAUGCCAUCCACACCAACUUGAAGAUCACGAUAAUAUUUUUCCAAUUUGAACAUCAACACCACCUAUUAUAAUUGUAGGAGGCAUUGAAAUGUUGUAUCACAAUUAUAUAACUUACAGCUUGGCUUAUCUCUUGCAAAUAGGCAACUAAAGCAUUACAACUUAUGAAGGUGCUAAUAAUAUUAAUUUGCAUGAGAAAGAAACAUUACAUAGAAAGUUGUGAACAAAACAUUAGAUGCAUUGUAAACAAAAAGAGCAUAUGAGAUGAGGGAACAAGAGAAGUACAUAAGAUAUUGAAAGACUAUACAUUAAAAAAAUGGAGGAUUAUGGAAUUAAUAACAAAAACUAUGGUGACAUUAGCAAUACUUGUGUAUAUGUAUGUAUGUGUGUAUAUAUAUAUAUAUAUAUACAUAUUUAGUAUAACAAGGUAUAGAUAAGAUAUUUGUAUUGUUGACACAUAGAGUUAGAUAGUUGGAAUUAUGUUUCAGAAGUUUUUAGAAUUGGAGGCUAGGUUAGUAGGCUGAGUAGAAUCUAUUAUGGAACAUUCUAGAAAGAACUUAGGGCGGUUAUCUAGAAAUGACUUAGGAUAGUUAUUUAAAUAAGGUGUGCUAUAGAACCUUCUAGAAAGAAUUUAGGGUGGUUAUCUAAGUGGAGUCCACCAUUAGGAACAUUCUAGAAAGUUCCAAGAUGAUUGAAUAAAGCAUAAAUAUGAUUGUCCAAGGCCUUUCAGGCAUCUAAUCACAUAUGGUUUUGGACCUUUUUUCUUAGUAAGGUUUGAUUUUGCAUCUUUCUAUUCAGUUUUGUUCUAUUCUAUUUUCAUUUGCAAAGUUUUUUUUUUCAUGUUUUACUUUAUUUAAUUUUUUUCAGUUUGUUCUAGUCCGUUUUGUCUUACUCUAUGAUGAAAUUUAUAUUGCUGUGGAUUAGAAGGAUCUUAGAUUCUUGAGAUAGACAUGUCAUGUUUCACUUAGGCUAUAAGCACAUCUCAAAUUGUUAUACGCACAACUAUUAUAUCUAUACACAUAUCUCAAAUCGGCUACUCUAGACUCUCUUUUCCUUGUCUAAGGAUUGAUCAAGAAUCUUCUUUCUCUCUUCUUUGUUUACAUUUAGGUCCUAGACCUCCUCCUCUUAUUUCUUGUCCCAAUGGUGGGACUAGGAAGUUAAGAAAAAAAAUCCAAGACUUGGUUGAGACAAGAAAGAAGGAAAGGAGGUCCAAAAUCUACACCAAGACAAAGAAGAGGAGAUCUAGAAUAGCCAAUCAGUGACCUUAGAUGUGAAUAUAUGCAUAAUAGAUGUGUAUAUAGUAGUUUGGAUGUACAUAUUGCCUGAGCCAUCUAUAUAUAUAUAUAUAUAUAUAUAUAUAUAUACACACAUACAAAUAAAUAAGGAAUAUUUUUUAAAAACUAUCAAAAUGAUGAAGCAUUAAUGCAUUAUUAAACACAAAUUACUUGUUAAUAAAUACACACUCUUAAAAGUCUACACAACACAUACAUAAGUUUUAUAAAAUCCUUAUGUAUGUUGCUUGCUAAUGGUAUUUCUAAAAUUUUCAUUACAAAUAUAAAGACAAAUACCUCUUGAGUCAAAACAAAGUUUCAAAACAAAAAAAAACAAAAAUUGCUCAAAAUUCACAAAUGAGUUUGAAAAAUAUUUCUAAUACCAUGUACAUAUUAGCAGAAAUAUAAUUAAAUAAAGAAAAAUAAAUAGCAGAAGAAGUAAAAGAUGUUCACAAGAAUUCCUUAACAAUUCCUCAAAGAAAUUACUUCAAAUGCACAAUAUUAUUUUCUGUACCCAUUGAAGUGCUUGAUUUUUGCUUGAAACACUUUCAGACAAAUGACAAACCUGACAAACAACAAUAACAAUCAUAAAGAAAGAAACAUGCUCUUUAGUUUCCACAACAUAAACAACUGGAAUAAUUGCAGUGUCAAUGCUGUUUAGCUGUGGACAUUCUAUAGUUUUAUAAAUAGCUCAUUCCCUUGAAGGCCCUAUCGGUUUUCGGACAACUUUGGUGUCGUAAGAGGUUAAGAAAGGUGUUCCCUUUGGACUUCCUACCGUGUACAAAUGCAUCAGAAGCAGCUGAUUCGAAUUCUGAAGCAUCUCAAAAGCUUGGAGAUCACCAUAUUUCUGUGGUACACCAUGACUUUUUCUCAAUAAGACAAAAUUCAUCCCUAGUUCUCUAUAAAGGUGUCGAGUGAAGCAGCAGUAGUGUGCUGACUACUUAGUCGAAGGGUGUGUUGUUGCGAGGUCUUAAACGCCUCCGAGGAACUGAAUUCUCAAUCGGCAUCACAUGGACAGUGUUCAUGUCUACCAACUCCUCAUUGCUUGUAACUUCGUCGAUAAGAGGUUGAAAGAUUGGGCUGUGUCGACCGAAAAAUACCCGAUGUGAAGCUGAUAUUAGGUGUGACUUCGAAAUGUCCUGGUUGCAAGGGGCUCGAGACGCUGUUUUUGCAAUGCAAAAAACCUGCAUUUGUUUAAGCAUUUCAUUCUGCGGGCGAGGGCACGCAGAAAAGUCCGGCAUAGUCGUUAGCUCCCACCUGUUCCAACUCGCUCUCAAGAUACAUUUCAAGCUUAGAAUUGCAUUAUUCGCGGAGUUCAAAAUUCUAAAACUGCCCAGCAGAAUACUGUGUACUUCAACAUUAUUGCUUCCGAUUGCUUCCUAACACAGAAUUCAAUGACGCUGGUUCUGCCCACCUCAAACUAGACACUGACAUGGGCUCAUUAACAAGAGAAUGGCGGCGAGAGGCGUGAGGCCAGGAAGCACCCUCUUCAAGACUACAAUCUAAACUGCGCAUAGUGUGCAAUGCAAACAACGAAUGGUCUUAUCUUCAAAAAUUGGCUAAGUCCAGCAUUCAAUCUUAUAUCGAGGUUCCCGAUUUGGAGGCACAAUGCACUCAAACAAAGUGACUACUAUAGCAAAGUAAAUGGCUCUAAAAAUUUGAAAAUUUAAUAUCUUCCAUCUUUCUUGAAGAUAAAUAUCUAUUAAUAUAAAACCUAAGUUUACAAGACAAAUCAAUUCAAAAAUCGACUUUACCGAGUCAGGAUAAACCAAAACUUGGUAAAUGAGGCAUGAAUUCGGGUACAGUUCAGAGGGCACUUAAGCUACUCCAGAAUAAAUUCACACAAUCUUCUGGUUAGAUCACGCAUUACAGGAAAAGGUCACAGACAGUAAGAUCCUGUGCCACCUUCAACGGCCAGGAUUCCUGCAACCGAUCGAAUCUCCAUCCGAAGGCUCUGUUCGAACUGCUACCAAGCAGCAGCACGCAAACACUCCAUCAACCAUCAUCCUCACCUACAGUUAUCAUUUAACAAAUCAUAAAAAUAAGCAAGGCCUCACAACAAGAAGCCAUUAAGUCAAGUGAAAUGUGCGGGACAGAACAUCGAGCAGCCACGGAUAUCAAGCGAACAAAAACCAGGAUCAAGCCUACAAUCGUAACAACAUAUUUCUCAUGCAGCCUACAGAAUGAACGAAAAUUGCAACAGCAGAAACGAAACAACAAAUAUGACCAACUAACCAAAAAUAACACGUAAACAACAACUCUCGUCCGCAAAUAAAAAUUCAAAUCGACUCAUCCAGACCGACAAAAUCAAUGGUGACUUGCAUCAUAAUGCACAAGACGUACGAAACAAGAGUGACUCAACAACGAUCCGGCACGAAGUUCAUCUCCAGCUCAAGAACCAGGCCAACGUCAAUCGGCGACAGCGUAAGUAACCAAUGUAAAGAAGCCACGCAUCCCUAAAAACAAGGUCGAUUCCCCUUGAUGCACGAAGCUGGUGAUUGUGGCUUCGUUUCCUCCCCUUAUCUCACAAACACUCCGUGCAAUUGUCCCCCAAGUACCACAUAAUGCCUCUUCACAACCUUAGGUCCCAUCGAUCCAUUGUCACGGGCAGUCGCACACUCAUUCCAGGUGUUCGAUGUCUCCGAUCCGUAUUCAUCCACGCCCGAUCGAACCCAUUGGUUCCUCGAAGGCAUACGCAAAUUUGGACUCCGACCAGAAGCGCUACCAUGUCCGAUCCGAAGUCCAACAAACUCCUGCAAACUCCUACCUCCGCGAACCAGAGCUGAAACGCACCAGAGCCUCUCGGCAUUCUAGGGUCAUUGGAUUUCUCGCCGAUGUUGUUGGUUGUCUGACCCUCUUGCACCAACACAAUCGCUGGUUGCAAUGGUGUGACGCUGAAGUGGGCGCUCUUCCGUCAGCGCUCGGAGGGAGGUCCAUGACGGCGUUCUCGAAGUGGCAUGCCUCGCUGGUAUGUUCGGGCUCAAGGGCUCACGUUUCUCGAACGUGACUGUUGUAAGCGCGCUGGGCUGACGGCAUGCACCAUGUCUGUAGGUAUCGAAUCCUCCGAUGCCCUUCUUGUGACAUCCUCGUAGACGGUGGAUUGGCCUCGUGGAAACGCGUGCAGUCCAAUCAGCGAGGAUAAGAGAAAUCAUGUGUGGUGUGGAUCUGCGUCCCAUCGUCUGGGCUACUUUGGACAAGCGAGGUUUGCAGCGGCAUUGCAAGUAACCAAGUGUAUUCUCUCGUUGCGCGCAGGCAUUGGAUUUUCUGUUCGACGGAGGAGUAGGUUUUUCCAUGUCCACGUGCUCCACGGGUAGCGCGUCCUCGCACGCCGCAUCUCGCAUCACCUGUGUUGGUCGCUACACAACCGGGGGAAGCAUCCAGAGAAAAACCGCGUCGACAAACAUCAGCGCAGAAAAUGCUUGAAGACAUGUCGAGGCAUGUCAUCGAUAAUUGACUGAGAACGACAGCAUCGUCAGCCGACGGGAGCCGAGGCUCAUGCCAAAGAAUGGGCUGGAUCGGGACAUCGGCCGUGUCCCGCUUUCUUCAUCACGUGAGUGUGUGGAAACCGACGCCUGAGGAUCCAUGUGCUGAUUGGACUCUAUCCAGGAUAGAUUGUAAAAAUCAGAAGCUGCUGCCGAGCGAGGAGCGCGGGGGCAGUGGAGUGGCGCGGAUGUUGCGCCGAAGUUGUGCGUGGAGCAUUGCAACAGUCGCGUGCGAGACCUAUGAAGUGUCCACUGUGAGCAGCAGCCACGUGAGGACGGCCUGCCCGGCGAGGAGUGGGCACUGGCGAUUGAAGAGGUUCACGAGAGCCGGAGAGUCCAGACUUUAGUUGUAAUGGCCCCGUUGGCCUUCGUAAGCGGCCGCUCCAUCGUGGUCUCCCAGAAGUCGCAUCGCCGAAACGGGGGCAUGGCGAGUGCAAGCCCCGGAGGAGGGAAGGGCAUCGCGGGCGUUGGGCGGGGCGGGCAAAACGGAACAGAGGAGGGGCGGGAGCAGCGCUUGAGCACUUCGGGCGGAGAGCGUGGCGAGGACUGGCAAUGCGGCUCCAGCGCACUUCUUUCCAAGUGUGAAGCCCAGGAAGAGGUGCAGAAGGCCGGGAGGGAACCGCGCGGGCGAAUCCUCCCGCGGGGCUGGAAAACAGGGAUUACCGAGGGUGAUCGACGCGCAGGACUCUCAGACAAAACCGAGUCGAGGGCGUUCGACGGUUGGGCUCGUUUCAACGUUGCUGUUAGAGAAUCAUAAAGAGGAACCGGUUUCCUUCUGACAUCCGCCUUCCGUAAUAGUCUAGAUGGUUAGGAUAACUGGCUUUCACCCAGUCGACCCGGGUUCGAGUCCCGGUUACGGAGCAUUGCGGGGAUAGCUCAGUUGGGAGAGCGUCAGACUGAAGAUCUGAAGGUCGCGUGUUCGAUCCACGCUCACCGCAUUCCACCUUUUGUGGAAAAGCUAUAAAGCUUCUAUUUUUUAUAUUAAAUGUUUCUUUGGAUUUGUAGAUAAAUAUCCAAGGUGAGUAUUUAGACUUUAUAAGGCAAGAUGGCAUUCAUUGGAAAAUCAAUGGUUGUUGAAAUCAAUGCAAUAGACAUUUACUAUAUUAUAAAUCUAUUGUUGUAAAUGUAAGGAUUUGAAACAAACUUGAAUUCAAAGAUUGAAAGAUCACAAUAAACCUUGUAUAAAAAGGACAAGGAAUACACAUUUUGCAAUCAAUAUUUGGUCUUUAUUUUUUAGUGUGCUUUGAAACUAAACCUAAUUCAUGGAAUUUUUAUCAUGAUAGAUUUUGAAGUAUUAAUUAAAUACAAGCUUUUAAAUAUAAUUAAACGUGGUAUGUGUUGGUUGGUAGGUUAAAUACCUAGCCAAUAAGUUACCCAUGUAUUGCACAUGUUGGUAGCUUGUGGUUCAAGUUAAAUAUAUGGCAUACAUGUAAGAGACUUGGCUUGUAAAUAUGGCAUGUGUCUCACAAGGUGGACAUGUUUUAGAGGUCUUAUAGAACCUUGCUACAUAGCUUCUACUUAGAUAGUAUAUACAGAAGCAAGAAUGAAGCCUUCUUCAUUCUUUUCAACACCUUUAUUGUUAGUCUUGUUUUAAGAAUCUUCAGUCUUCUUGGCUUUGGCAAUAGCCAUUUUAGUUUCAAUAGUAUACUAUUUUGAGUGAAUAUCUAUUCUUUCUAAGCAACAUAAGAAUAUAGAAUAUGUUUUAUUUGUUUGUGAUAUAUGUACUUGAUAAUUUGACAAGAGCACUACCUCAUUGGCAAUUCCAAGAAUCAUAUGGACAAUACUUUAUAAGACUAUGCACAUUCUUCUUGUCAAAGGUAUCUUGAUAAUUUUGGUAUUAGCAAAGAUCAACACCCUCAUAAAUCUUUUCAACAAAGUAUGGAUAGAACAUAGUAUAGUAUAAUUGCCGUAUCCGGCAAUCCUCCUCAGUUGAAUCGGCUUCCCCCAUCAAACUUCCUACCACAGCACCUAGCCGAGGAUGUUCCUCAACAACAGUCCAACCUCUAAUAGACAUAUUAGAAGAUUCCACAACUUCUAUUUGAGAGCAGAGACUUGUCAUUGGCUAUAGAUAACCUAUUCGACGAAGUGAACCAAGAUCUGAGCAACCAGGAAUCGAUCCCCAAACUCACCAUACACUCGACCAUGAUGCCAACGAAAUACGACUCCCAUCUACCCUGUUUGAAAUUAGUGAUCAAGAUACAUCACAACAGAUAGACACAACCCUCAAACAAGAAAUAGAAGAAAUUUUGGUGAACAUGGAGCAAGAACGGAGGGCCAUUCCACCAGAUUGACCACGAACAACACGGCUUCAUCAACGUAUCAACACAGAAUGACAACGUCACUUUGACACAAUACCAUACGGACCGGAAGACCUUCACAGAAUAGUUGAAUCAGCAAGAAACAACCCACAAUUUCGGGAAAGUCUAACUGCAUCAGAGAUCUAUGCGUCAACUACACAAUUUCUACAAGGCGAAAAUUUUCACAAUUGGUUAGCGGAUGGAAGACAAUUCUUUAACCUCGAUAACCGACAUCCUUAAUAAGAUCAACAUAAACAAGGCCUUGUGUAGCAAGAAGCUAACUACUCUUUUACAUUGAUGUGCGAUGCAAACACAAUUGUGUCAUUUCCUGGUCUUGCUACUCUCGAGCGGAUGGACGGACCUGCUGCUUCGAACCGGACACAACGAGCGCAUUAGUGGCCAUAAAUAACCUACUUGACGAAGUGAAUCAGAUAGGAGCAACCAGGCCCCAAUCCCCACGAUUCACCAUCUAAUCCACCUCAACGCCAACGAUAUAUGACUCCCAACUACUCUUUUCAUAUCAGCAAUGACGAUACAAUACAACAAGAAACAACCCUCAAACAAGAAGCAGAAGAAGAUUUGGUGAACAUGGAGCGAGAACGGAGGGCCUUUUGCCCAAAUUUACCACGAACAACACGGCCUCAACAACGCAUCAACAUAAAACGACAACGUCUCUUUGACGUAAUUCCAUACGAGCGGAAAGACCUCCACAGAACAGUUGAAUCAGCGAGAAACAACCUACAAUUUUGGAAAAGUCUAACUAUAUUAGAGAUGCGGAGGACAACUCUUUAACCUUGGUAACCGACAUCCUCAAAAAGAUCAACAUCAACAAGGCAAGUUAGUUUUUUCAUUACAUCAAAUAAGUAACGACAACAAAAACAGGAAGUUACAAAAUCCUACCUCUAGCGACAGAUGUCCCCUGUUUAACCCAGCACGGCCAUAGGCCUCAGUUUUCUAAGCUAAAGGUCUAGACACCAGCACUGAAAUGGUGCUAGAAUUGAAACGAUAAGAAUCCACCUACAUCCGGCCAGUAGCCUAGUCACAUGUGUCAGACACAAAUUGUAACACACAGUUGUGUUUUCAGUUUUAAUCUCGAUGGGGAUUUUAAGGUUGGGAUAAGUGGCUUAGAUUUUUCUCUAAUCUAAUUAUUUUAGGAUUAUCAUGAUUAAAGUAGUAUAAUCCUUAAAUAGACUAAAAUCUUUGGAACCUUAAUUUUUAUUGUAAUUUAACUAAGAACUAUAUUUUUCAAUUUAAAAGUCACAAAUUUACAACAAUCAAAUCUUCAUUAGUAGAUGCAAGAGCUUUCAUGCAUACUACAAAAGACUAGUCACCUUUUGUUAUAUAUGCUACACCCAUUUUUGAUGUGGAAAGAUUACAAGUGGCAUUCCAAGCUAAUACCAAAAUUAUCAAGAUACCUUUGACAAGAAGAAUGUGCAUAGUCUUAUAAAGUAUUGUCCAUAUGAUUCUUGGAAUCAUAUUUGAGGUAGUGCUCUUGUCAAAUUAUCAAGUACAUAUAUCACAAACAAAUAAAACAUAUUCUAUAUUCUUAUGUUGCUUAGAAAGAAUAGAUAUUCACUCAAAAUAGUAUACUAUUGAAACUAAAAUGGCUAUUGCCAAAGCCAAGAAGACUGAAGAUUCUUAAAACAAGACUAACAAUAAAGGUGUUGAAAAGAAUGAAGAAGGCUUCAUUCUUGCUUCUGUAUAUACUAUCUAAGUAGAAGCUAUGUAGCAAGGUUCUAUAAGACCUCUAAAACAUGUCCACCUUGUGAGACACAUGCCAUAUUUACAAGCCAAGUCUCUUACAUGUAUGCCAUAUAUUUAACUUGAACCACAAGCUACCAACAUGUGCAAUACAUGGGUAACUUAUUGGCUAGGUAUUUAACCUACCAACCAACACAUACCACGUUUAAUUAUAUUUAAAAGCUUGUAUUUAAUUAAUACUUCAAAAUCUAUCAUGAUAAAAAUUCCAUGAAUUAGGUUUAGUUUCAAAGCACACUAAAAAAUAAAGACCAAAUAUUGAUUGCAAAAUGUGUAUUCCUUGUCCUUUUUAUACAAGGUUUAUUGUGAUCUUUCAAUCUUUGAAUUCAAGUUUGUUUCAAAUCCUUACAUUUACAACAAUAGAUUUAUAAUAUAGUAAAUGUCUAUUGCAUUGAUUUCAACAACCAUUGAUUUUCCAAUGAAUGCCAUCUUGCCUUAUAAAGUCUAAAUACUCACCUUGGAUAUUUAUCUACAAAUCCAAAGAAACAUUUAAUAUAAAAAAUAGAAGCUUUAUAGCUUUUCCACAAAAGGUGGAAUGCGGUGAGCGUGGAUCGAACACGCGACCUUCAGAUCUUCAGUCUGACGCUCUCCCAACUGAGCUAUCCCCGCAAUGCUCCGUAACCGGGACUCGAACCCGGGUCGACUGGGUGAAAGCCAGUUAUCCUAACCAUCUAGACUAUUACGGAAGGCGGAUGUCAGAAGGAAACCGGUUCCUCUUUAUGAUUCUCUAACAGCAACGUUGAAACGAGCCCAACCGUCGAACGCCCUCGACUCGGUUUUGUCUGAGAGUCCUGCGCGUCGAUCACCCUCGGUAAUCCCUGUUUUCCAGCCCCGCGGGAGGAUUCGCCCGCGCGGUUCCCUCCCGGCCUUCUGCACCUCUUCCUGGGCUUCACACUUGGAAAGAAGUGCGCUGGAGCCGCAUUGCCAGUCCUCGCCACGCUCUCCGCCCGAAGUGCUCAAGCGCUGCUCCCGCCCCUCCUCUGUUCCGUUUUGCCCGCCCCGCCCAACGCCCGCGAUGCCCUUCCCUCCUCCGGGGCUUGCACUCGCCAUGCCCCCGUUUCGGCGAUGCGACUUCUGGGAGACCACGAUGGAGCGGCCGCUUACGAAGGCCAACGGGGCCAUUACAACUAAAGUCUGGACUCUCCGGCUCUCGUGAACCUCUUCAAUCGCCAGUGCCCACUCCUCGCCGGGCAGGCCGUCCUCACGUGGCUGCUGCUCACAGUGGACACUUCAUAGGUCUCGCACGCGACUGUUGCAAUGCUCCACGCACAACUUCGGCGCAACAUCCGCGCCACUCCACUGCCCCCGCGCUCCUCGCUCGGCAGCAGCUUCUGAUUUUUACAAUCUAUCCUGGAUAGAGUCCAAUCAGCACAUGGAUCCUCAGGCGUCGGUUUCCACACACUCACGUGAUGAAGAAAGCGGGACACGGCCGAUGUCCCGAUCCAGCCCAUUCUUUGGCAUGAGCCUCGGCUCCCGUCGGCUGACGAUGCUGUCGUUCUCAGUCAAUUAUCGAUGACAUGCCUCGACAUGUCUUCAAGCAUUUUCUGCGCUGAUGUUUGUUGACGCGGUUUUUCUCUGGAUGCUUCCCCCGGUUGUGUAGCGACCAACACAGGUGAUGCGAGAUGCGGCGUGCGAGGACGCGCUACCCGUGGAGCACGUGGACAUGGAAAAACCUACUCCUCCGUCGAACAGAAAAUCCAAUGCCUGCGCGCAACGAGAGAAUACACUUGGUUACUUGCAAUGCCGCUGCAAACCUCGCUUGUCCAAAGUAGCCCAGACGAUGGGACGCAGAUUCACACCACACAUGAUUUCUCUUAUCCUCGCUGAUUGGACUGCACGCGUUUCCACGAGGCCAAUCCACCGUCUACGAGGAUGUCACAAGAAGGGCAUCGGAGGAUUCGAUACCUACAGACAUGGUGCAUGCCGUCAGCCCAGCACGCUUACAACAGUCACGUUCGAGAAACGUGAGCCCUUGAGCCCGAACAUACCAGCGAGGCAUGCCACUUCGAGAACGCCGUCAUGGACCUCCCUCCGAGCGCUGACGGAAGAGCGCCCACUUCAGCGUCACACCAUUGCAACCAGCGAUUGUGUUGGUGCAAGAGGGUCAGACAACCAACAACAUCGGCGAGAAAUCCAAUGACCCUAGAAUGCCGAGAGGCUCUGGUGCGUUUCAGCUCUGGUUCGCGGAGGUAGGAGUUUGCAGGAGUUUGUUGGACUUCGGAUCGGACAUGGUAGCGCUUCUGGUCGGAGUCCAAAUUUGCGUAUGCCUUCGAGGAACCAAUGGGUUCGAUCGGGCGUGGAGAUAUAAUAUAUGAAGUGUCUGAACUGGUGACAUACGAUCAGAUUUUCUUUCAAGUUACUUUAUUUGUGAUGAAGGUCAUCACAAAAUGUAAGCAUGUGUACAUGUUCAGUUCAGGAUUUUCGAAGUGACUAUUCAGGCGUAGAAUAACCUAUUCAAGCAUAUCUAUGGCCAUGCGAAAUUAGGAUUGCUUUGAAGGCCUUCGCACAUAGCUAACUGAUCCAAGACAUGGAACACAGUGCAAAUGCCCCUUAAGCCAAUUCUGCCCUUUUAGUGUUGUCUCCAAUCCACUUCAAGUAUUUUUCACUUCCACCAGUGAUAGGCAAAGCAAUAACCUCUGGUGUGCUGCACAAAGGCAGCACAUGCUGAAUGAGUUAGGCUGGUGAAUUCCACAAUUUUCAUGUCGAUUUACAAAUGCAACAUGUAUUUAUCCCAGCAACCUUGUGAUAGCCAGAAUUAUCCAUCGUUUAUAAGCAUAGAAUUUAGAAGGGAUUGAAGGGGUCAGCAACGGUCAAACCGUCGGAGUAGUGAUCCAGAAUUGUAAAAUUAAUAAUCAAGCGCUAGAUCAAGGCAUGGACUUCUUGUCAAGGCACUUACUCGUAAGGGUGAUUGUUGUUUACAUGGUCCGUGAGUUCACCAAGAAGGGCUUGCCGAGUUUUUAUCAUGAGAAGGAUUUCUGUAUCUGUCUCAACCUGGGAGGUCAACGAACCCAUAGAUGCAUUGGUACACAAGAUAAAAGGUUAAGGACUUUAGUCAAAAUCCCUUGCAGCGAGGAAACUCACUAACUAUCAUUAAACAUGUGAAUGAACAUAAAGUACUCCGGCAAGAACUACGACGCUUUCCAAAUUUAAUGUUUCAUCUGAAACGUUACUUACAGCAGAGCGUAAGAAUUUAAUUAUGUAUGAAUCAUUAAAUUCAGAGGUAAUUGAGCGAUUGCAAUGUAUAUACUACCUUGCCCUCCCACCAAUAAGUGGAUUCCACGCCUGAAUGAAUUCCCAGGGACACAAACAUAACCACUUGAAUGAGUUCCUAGCUUAAGUGAAAAAACGACUCUAAGUGGUUAAUGUAGUUUUGCUACAAUACUGGCUUGAUCCAUAGCAGGCACUAAAUAAAUUAUUUUUGAAUUUAGAAGCAUUUUAGUGCUUUACAAAAUGAAGUUCAAAAAAAGCGCCACGACUGUCGGUGACGGUUUGGGAGUUUCAAUUUUGCAUAUAAUUAACGCCGUGGCAGAACAAGGCUGUGGAUACAAUGCACACAAUCAAACAGAUAAUAAAAGAAAAAUCUUCUCCACUCUACCAUAGAAUAGAUGCUACAUGCACCUGUGACUUCCAGAGAUCACUACUAGGUAGACUGGCAUUCAAGAAAAGCCAGCGGAACGGACCUGGAAUUUGAUUUACACAGGCGGCAAGCUUAUUCUCAAUAAUGCUAUGCGCCAGCUUUGUCCCUGAGUUCAAACCCAGAGGUACUCAUUCAUUCACAUUCAUUCUUACACAGAACCUAGUUCAAUGCAGAGCAUUUACACCUUUGGAGAUUAUAUUCGGGUCAAUCGUUAGCAUGUACUCAAAACAAUCUGAGCUUUACUGUAAUCCAAAUACUUCAGAAGCAAAUUACACGAAGGGAAAGGCAAAAUUACCAGUUUCUUUGUUGGGAACUGUCACAUAAACAACGAUGGAAGGCGCCGCAUCAGGAGUUGCCAUAGAAUACACUCGAGAAGCUGCUGCGGUGAGUAAACGCGAGUGAACUUGAGAGAGGUUGAACCAGCCUGGGCUGAGAAAGUUGCCAAAUGUCAGCACCAGCACUAUUCCGACUACCAAGGUCUCCAAUCCUCGGCGCACUGUCAGCAUCAUGGGUUCCUUUCACUCUGAACCAUACAUUCUGUUCCUUCGGAAGCUAAAAACAGGAAGUAAGGAAUGCACCUCUAAGAAGUUCUUCAAUAUUACUGUUGAACGUGAUGAAAGUCGGGAAACAGACAGUGAACAGAAUGCAACUAGAGCUGAAUUCUUCAUGGGUACAUGAAAAUUCAGAAAGAGCGAUGCAUUUUUUACUAGAUACAUCGUAAAAUAAUAUAUUUAACAAAUGAUAGUCUCUACAGGGUAUGCUUUCAACACCAACUAGACCUGCCUCAGAACGAUUCCGCACCGGGCCUUACCAGAAACUAAAAGAAUUGUGUGCGAGUCUGCUAAGGGGUCGCUAAGCUGCUGUACUAUUUAUAGUAAAUCAUCCUGGUUCUUGUCCCUCAUAAGAACAUCUUCCUCAGUUCAUAUCAAAGAUCGUAUUAAAGUAUCCACUAACCUGCAACGAAUGUGAUCUCGAAAAAUAUUUGUCUUUGACGAAAAACCUCUAAUUUCAAGUUUGCUUGAACGUGAGAUGCUCGCCUGCAAACAUGAUUCAAUAACUAUAAGAAACAAGAGAAGAACAAUAACUACAGCACAAAUCUCUAGAGCCAUCAGGUUCCGAUCACACGAAACGCUAAAGCAUGUUGCAUUCUGGAUAAUUAACCAAGAUCUUAGAGCAUGCAAAGUUAUGAAUUACGUCUUGCAAGAGCUCACGUACAACUCUAUGAGACACCACCAAAGUAAAUUGAGUUGGACUCUUAAGGGAAUGGUGUACCAAGUUCUGCGGCAUUCUGACCAAUUCAGACGUCGUGGUAUUAGCACUGUGCCGUAGCUGUAAUGGAGGAAGAAUUUCUCACCAAACAGAACUCAACGGAAGUAGUUGACUAAUCCUUGUCUGGGAUGUACGAACCAAAACCCUCGAAUCGAAAUUCGUGCUAUAUACUCGAAUGAAGUCAUUUCUAAUCAAGAAUGUGUGCGACAUCGACCAACAGUACUCUAAAAACUGAAAUCAAGGCGUCGUCAAACAAAUGAAGGAGAUGAAGCUUUCUAAAGAUGGUAGCAAAUGCUCCUUAAAUAAUGGCUAAACCUUAAGAAACAUCGAGAUUUCUGAGGAAAUGCCCAAAGCAUUCACGUCAAACAAUCGCAAAAAGAGAAAAGAAAAAAGAAAAAAAAGGAAGAAAAAAAAAACACACACAAUCCAUUCAAUUAAAAUGUAACAAAGCUAAGGUCAGAAUUUUAUACUGCCACGUAUUUAGGUCUGUUACUGCAUGUGACUCCUAAAAUCCCGAUGAACGAGCGGUAAAACUCGAUUUUUUUUUAAAAGAGUUCAACAUUCUCAUCAAUAACUUCUAGCCAUGCAUUCCUAGGAUGAUUCAGGCUUCUUCUCGGCAACACUCAAAAUCCCGCGACAUUGAAGUAUACAAAUCCUAGCUCAUGAACACAGUGUGUGAUAAAUCCAAAUUGCACUAACGCAAACGACUCCAGAUCUCUCAUUCCCGUUAUGAAAAUUCACAAGCGAUGGACGCCAGGCAACAAACAAAUUCCAGUAAUCAAACGUGCACGCCAUUGGACAAACACACAGCAAUUUGUUAGGACUCACAGACACUACCAAAUAUGAGCUAUAGAAUACCAGAUGAAAAGCUGCUGAGGCGACGCAACGAGUGUUUGUGCAGACGAGGGAAGCGACGCGAAGGACGGGAACCCUGAAGGAGGAGGAGAAGAGGGCAGGCAUGGCCACCAUCGCUGGACCACUUCUUCGCAACCUGCUCUGGCGUUGCCGUCGUCAAGAUAGUGCUCGACAGAGGAGGGAGAUGACCCUAAAGCCGUCAGGAUGAACAAUGGAUGGAUGUUCGAGAGGAUGAUUGGGCUCGUCUUCAUCUGUCGAGCGUCCAUGAUUGGAAACUUGAUAUACAAUUACGACGUUUAGAAUGGAAUGAAUUUGGAAAAGAUAAGUGAAUACAAUUUCUACAUUUUUUCUCCCCAACGUGUUGUGGUCCAAGUUUUAGUAAAGUUUCUUUUGGUAGCAUUCAGUUUGGUUCAUUCUAUAAGAAACAAAUAUACACAUGAGUUUGUGUGUGUAAUUAUAUGUGGAUGAAUUUGUAAUUGAGUGUAUGAUCUAUCAGUUUGUUGAAUUUAGUGUGGCUGCAUUAUCAACAUUUUACUAGCUUUAACUUUUAAAAAUUUAUGAAAUUAUCCAAUUAUUAUAGAAUAAAUUUUAAAUAUUAUAUAUAUAUAUAUAUAUAUAUAUAUACCACAUGUCAUAAUGGUUUUUGCUAAUGCCACCAUAAGUUGUUCUAAACUUAUAUUCCUUACUAUAAUGCACUUUUAUUGAGCAUUUUUGAUUUACACCACAAUCAAAAAAAAAGUAUAUUUUUUUAUAGAUGUGUACAUUAGUAUUCCAUAAAGUGUAUUGUAAUGUGCAAUAUAAGUUUAGGACAACUUGUGGUAGUAAUAGCAAAAAUUGUGAUGACAUGUGGUCGAUGACAAGUUGAAAUUGUAAUAGAAAAAAUCAUAGUGGCAUUAGCAAUAUCCAAUAUAUAUGUAUAUAUAUAUAUAUAUAUAUAAAUAAAUAAAUAAAAAUAAAUAAAUAUAUAUAAAUAUAUAUAUAUAAUAUUUUUUUUAACUAAUAUUCUUUUACUAAUUUUUAUUACUUAGCUAAUAAUAUUUGCUAGCACAAAAAUUAUGCUUAGAUAAUAAACUAAUAAUCUUAAUUUUUGCAUAAUUUAUAAAAAAUAUGAAUCUUUAUAAAUUAAGUGAAGAAGAAAGUUUUGAUUUUGUAAUUUAAAGAUUGUGAUUUAAUAUCUAUACUAAUAUAGAAUUAGAGAUUAAACUUAUAUAUAUAUAUAUAUAUAUAUAUAUAUAUAUAUGUAUAAAACAAAUACAACAUAAUGACAUACUUUAAGUAAUUUUUUGUGUAAACAAAGAUUGUUACAUACACCACAUCAAGUACUACCAAUUAAUUAUGAAGUAUGUAAUUUAAACCAAAGAUAAAUGCACAUUCAGCACACUGUCAAGAAAAGAUUAGAAAUCUAUACCAAAUUAAAUUAAGCUAACUUUUACACCACAAAGGGCGAAUCUAAGGUUGCAAAUGUGAAAAUAAGAAAUAUCCUAAAGCUUUUCUAAAAUGGCUAAAACACCGUAGUUAAGAAAAUCCUUACAAUAAGUUUUUUCACUCUCAAAAUCACUCAUAAGACUUAACUUGACAAGAAUGUGAAGUCAAAUUUUUUUUCUUUAUUUAUUUAAAUACUUAAAUUCUAAUUGAUAUGAACAAGUAAACAAUCAAAAAAACUAUCAAUGGAUGAAUAACCACUAACUAAAAUAAACUAUAUAUAUUUGAUUGGAUUUGGUACCUAAUGCCAUACCAUGUCAUAGCUAUUGUGCAAACAAAGAUUCUUACACUCAAUAUAUUGAGUAUUAUUAAUUAAUCAUAAAAUAUGUAAUUUAAACCAAAUAUAAAUAAACAUCCAAUAUACUCUCAAGUGCCUUCCUUAGUUGAUUAAGAGCUCAUCCAUCUAACUAGAACUACAAACAUACAUUGUUCAAGAUGAACACCACCAUGAUGUAAAUGCCAAACUAUAUUCUUUCAAAUUUAGUGUUUUCAUAGUUAAACCACUAAAGUUUUUGACAUCCAUAAUAUAAGAAAUCUUCAAUCCUUAUUAAGAUAUGAGACAUAGCUAGAAGACUUUUUACAAUAAGGACAAAAUCAAUCUCUUGAUAGGAAAGUUGAAAGAGGUAGUGUCAAACAUGCCAUAAGCUAUUUACAUUGAUAUUGAUCACAUAAAAGCAUGAUAGCAAUUCAUUUCUUCUUACUAUAUAUAAAACAAAGAAGAUCAAUUUGUAUAAUUGUCAAUUUAGGAUGUAUAGAAUUAUUAAUAGGAAGAUAAUAAGGAAUACAAUUCUUUAAAUGCUUUCAAUAUUCUUGUCCAUCUUUACCUUCUAGCAACAAAAUAUUACUAAAAAAAAUAUAUUCUUUAAAUAUAGAAUUGUGUGCCUUACUUUAAUAUCAAAUGUUAUAGGUAACUCAUGUUGUAAAUAUACAUAAUCUUAUUUAGAAAAUCUUUACAAUUGAGAUCAAUAAAUUCUAUUACAAAUAUGAACAUAUUGCAAAGUAUUAUAAUGUUGAGCAAUAGAUAAGUUUUCCAUGGCAAUAGACAUGGCUUGUUUAAAAAACUCUGCUCGCUCAUAUAAACAUUGAGCCUAAACAUCAAAAUUAUGUAGGUGUAUAAUUAAAACUAUCUACUUACAUAUUGAGUUGGAUAGAAUUAACUCUCAUCUAUACAACAACUAGUAAAGACUAUAAGAUAUUAAAGAUGCUUAUCUAUUGAAGAAACAAUCCAUUGCAAUCCAUUGAAAUAUUAAGUCUCAUUUACAAUGGUUGUGAUGAAGUAAUCUAUACUUUUAUAAUCUACAUUUGACAAUCUAAAUAACUCUUUUAGUAAGGCUAUCUAUCUCAAGAUUAUUUCUAUAAAUAGUAUAAUAAUCUAUUAAAGCUUCAGUAUAUAAAGUUUUAAAAUUUUCAAAAAACUCUCUUCCUUGAUCUGUUAAGACUUCAAUAAGUAUUCUAAGACAUGACAAUAUUUGAUGAAGAAAAGCCAUAGGUGCCAAUUCUGAAGAAUUUUGUGAUAAGGCCACAAAUUCAAUCCACUUUCUAAAAUAUUCUACUAUCACAAAUAUGUAUUUAAUUCUACAAGAAGUAACAAAAAGUAGCUGGAUAAAGUCCAAAGCCUAACAAUAAUACAAAUCUAUAAUAGGUAAUGGCUUAAAUUUAGGUGGUAAAGUAUUAAAGCUUAAUCUAACUUGAUUACAUAGUUCAUACCAAAAAGCAUAUGUAGCUACUUGUUAAUACAUACUACUCCACUAAUAUUGAUUAUUCAAUAUACAAUAUGUGUUGUGUAUCUUAAAAUGUUCAAGUACUUUAUGUACUUGUUGUAUUAAAGAUGUUCUUUGAUCUCACCUUAAAACUAUAUGCUUAGCUCCAUUAAACCAUAGAAAAAAUAACAAAUUAUUUUUUUAAAAAAUCUUUUUAUUUAGUAAAUAAUCUUAUCUCUUUUUAUAUUAGAGAUAAUUAAAAAAAAUAUUCCUUGUUGAAGCUUGUCCAAGACUAUAAGAUCUUUCCACAUAUUACUAAUUACUUGAUUCUUAUCCAAUUCCUCAUUUGAAUUUUAGUUAAGAACCAUGGUUGCAGAACCUCAUAUUAAAGUCAAGUCUGUGGCUACAUUUGAUCUAGGAACUACCUUUCAAUUGCAAUUUUUAUGCUACCAAGAUUUGGUUAAUUCUUCUUUUGAAGGAUAUAGAUUACAAGAAAAUCCAUUAGCAUCCAAAUUGGUAAUGCUUGCUUGAUGCAUAACCUCAAAGUUGUAUUCUUGAAGCAACAAAGUCUAUCUUGCAAGUUUAUCAAUAAAUUUAUUUGAUUCUAUAAGCUACUUUAAAGAUUGAUGGUCAAUUGCCAAUAUAGAAAAUUGACCAUACAAAUAAGAUCAAAAGUAGACAAUGGCCCAAAUUGCAACUAAAGCUUCUUCUUUAUAAGAUGAAUAAUUGACUUUGUAUUGUUAUUACUUUUAGAAUCAAAUAAAAUAAUAAAUUCUUGUUAUACAUCAUCUUUUUGUAUCAAAACUACUCCCAAUUCUAUUGCAUUCCAAUUUGUAUAUAAUUGAAAAGGUCUAUUGAUAUCCAAAUAUUGAAAUACUAGAAUUGAAUCUAAAUUUUGCUUCAAUGUGUUAAAUGCAUGUUAUUGCUCAUGUUUCCAAGUCUAUUGUUGAUUUUUAUUUAUGAGAAUAGUCAAAGACUUAGCAAUAAUGGUAAAGUUUUUAAUAAACUUUUAGUAGUAGUUUGUCAACUCUAGGAAAGCUUGAUGUUGUGAAACAUCACUUAGUGUUAGAAUUUUCUACAAGACAUCUAACUUUGUUUGUUGUAUGCUAAGAUCUUUUGUGAUUAAAGUAUGAUAAUCAUUCAUAGAAGAAUUUGUACUUUUUAUAAUGUAAGCACAAUUUCUACCGCUAUAAUUGCUUAAAUAUUGCUUGUAAAUGCCUCAUUUGAUCUUAUGGAGUGCUUCUAAAAAUGAUAACAUCAUCAAUGUGGCAUCUACCAAAUGACAAGUCAAAUACCAUUUAAUCCAUUACUUAUUGAAAUUUCGUUGGUGCAUGCUUAAGACCAAAUAGAAAGAACUUCCAAUGAUAGAAUUAAUCUUUGUUAUCUUAAUCAAUUCUUCAAAAUAUUAUCUUCACCCAAUCUUUAAUAAUAUAAUGAUAAUAGGUGAUAAGUAGAUCUUAAAUCCAAAGUAUUAAAUACUGGAAAGAAUCCUACUACAUUAAAUAAUUCUUUUAGUAUUGACAUUGGAUAUUAAUUAGAUUUAGUUUUAUGAUUAAUUAAAUAAUAAUCUCUAUAUAUCUAUUUUUUUUUUAAUUUCUAAAAAUAUAUUUUUUUAAAGGCAUGAGUGUAACAUAAGCAUACUCACCAUUUGAAAGCUCAAUCAAGCCUAUAACCAAUAAUUCUUGAUAACAAGCUUAGACAUCAGCUUUUUUUAAGGCACUAAGUCUAUAAAGUCAUGAAAAGAUUAGGUAAUCAUCUUCCAAUUGGAUGUGAAUAGGUUUGCCUUUAUGACCUUUAAGAUCUUCAAGACUAAAGGUAAAACGAUUGCAAUACAAGCGGAUAAAAACUUGUAUCUUUCAUGCUUCAACAUCAACAAGAUGUGAUUUUAGCUCCAAUGGCCAAUUAUCAAACUUUAUGGCCUCUUUUUUCACCAAUGGAGUAAUACUACAUACUGAUAUGGCCUUUAACUGCUAAUCUAUUGAAAAAACAAUUUCUAUAGCAUCAAAAUCCUAACUUCUAAUAAAAUUAGAGUCUUCAUUACUUUAAUGUUUGUAUGAAUUACAAAUGUUGGUAGAAUAUGGACUGUCUUUCAAAAACAAAUCUUGUGAAAGAAUCUCUUGAACAUUUGUUUUGUUUUAGUCUUCAACUAAAAUUAUAAAGACACAUUGAACUUGUAGCUCAUCAAUUGCAUGCCUUUGUAAGCAAAGAAAUAACUUAGAUUCCUCAAUCUUAGUAAGUUCAAUAUCCAUUGUCCUUUGACUAUUGUUCUUUAAUCCUAGAAUAUUAAUAUAGUCAUAAAAAUAUUUUUGAAUAGUAAAGCAUAUACCAAAAAUCUAUAUUAAAGUAUUGAAGUCCAUAGCUUAUCCUAAGAAAAAAUAUCAUUAUUCUCAAUAAGAUUAUAAGCAGCUAUGAUACCAAUUAAAAAGCCCAUGGCAUGCUCCCUUUCAUUGGCAUUAGGUUCUUCAUAGGUUUGUAAAUUGACAUCCCAAAUCAUACUAGGUCUACGUGCUUAAAAUGCAAAUGAUGUUGAAAAUGUCACAAAUAUAGGAAAUGUGCCAUCAAGUGCCUCCAUCUUAUUUACCAAGGCAAAAGGAGAUUCAUGAACUUUAGUGACAACCAAAUAAAUUUGAUUAUCAUCCAAGAUAUCAUCAUCAUGGUAUCCAAGAGGUUAUUUAAUUUUAGAAAGUAUUUUUGUAAGUAUGUGAAAUAAUGCCAAGUUGAUUCAUAUCAAAUAAGAUUGAUGGAUAUAUGAAGCUUAAGCAUCAACAUCCACAAAGGUUAAAGAAUCAAGGAGUUCAUUAAUAUAUUGAUAAUUCUUCAAUACUUAUGUUUAAAUAUCAUUUAAUACUAGUAUAUUUUCAAAAAAGUACCUAUGUGGUAUAAUUUGAUGCAUAAACUACCAUUAUGUAAGCCACAUUAAAUUUGUAAAUAAACUAGAUUGAUGAUCAUCUAAUCCUUGAACAGUUCCAACACAUGAAUGAUUUUGACAAUGUCAUCUAGCAAUCAAUAGGUCUAUGUGGCCUAAUCUCCUCAAAUCUUCAUCACUAAUGAAGAUAAUAUUAGAAGGAGUUGACUAAAAUAAUUAAGAAUAGCAAGACAUUAUAAUUUUUUAGGAUAUGUAACCAAUAAUCUUUGGAGAUGAUGUGAGGUUUCUUGAUUAGGUGUAAUCCUUAUAUCUAUAUGAAUAUAUUAUUGAAUAAUAAGUCAAAUAUCUAAUAUUACUGCCAAAUCUAUAGUAAUGAGUGCAAAGAGCUCUACAAGGAUAAUACCUUCAUUUAAUGGAUGCCAAUGAAUAGUUUAAAUAAAGAUAUGUAAGAAAUAAGAUUUUGAUAUCUUUACUAUAUUCAAGGAAGAUAUAAUCUCUUCACAUUGGCAAAAUAAUUUUGUACAUGUUUUUUAGAAAGAGGAUGGAUUCUUCCAAUCUCUUGCAUAAAAUUCUAAAGAAGGUGGAUUAGUUGGUCCUAUAGAAUGGAACAUAAAUACUAAUAUUUCUUCUAAUAGAAUCACUCCACAUGUCAAGAACAUAAAUUAUAAGAAAAUAUAUAAACUUAUAAAAUCCGUAUAAAAAACAAAGUGAUAAAAUAAAAUAAAAUAAAAAUAAAUAAAUAAAUAUAUAUAUAUAUAUAUAUAUAUAUAUAUAUAUAUAUAUAUAUAUUAAAAAGACACUAGAAUGACUAUUACAAAAAGAUAAGAAAAUUAGAGACUCUUGAAUCUAAAUUAGAAGCAAGAAAGGAAUUGACAAGAGUAAAAAAAAGCUUCACUCUUAUUUCUAUAUAUACUAUCUAUCUAGGAUCUAUGUAGUGACAUUCUAUAGGACCUCCAAAAACAUGUUAACUUUGUAUAAUAUGUAUCUUAAUUUGUAAGUUUUUUAUAUGAGCACUACAUAAUUAGCUUGUUUUACAAGCUAUCAAUAUAUGUGGCAUGUAGUUAGCUUAAUGAUGAAGUUUCUAAUCUAUCAAUCAACUACAAAUACAUGUAAAGUCAAAAUAAUAUCUAAGAAGCUUCUAAGAAGUUUUUUUUAGAAGAUAUUAUGAAAUUAAUUUAUUUUUAUCUACUUCUAUUUAUUCAUAUUACCUAGAUAAUAAUUAUAGUAGAUAUAUAUCUGUGAUAUUACAUCUUUUUUUUUUAUAGACAAAUUCCAUGAGGAGCGGUGAUUAUAUAUUAAGGAAGUCUAAUAUACAGCAAAUUAUAUCUGCUACAUACGGUGAUCUUUCUUCAUUUCAAAGGUAAUUGAUAAGUCAUCUUAGCUAUUGAUAAUGUGCUAUUCCAAGGUAGAAAGACCACUCUAUGAUUUAAUUAUUAUUGAAACCUUUGUAACUUACUUCAAACAAAAUAUUUUUAACACCAUUAGAAGUUGUGCCUACUUUCAAUAAAAUCACUAAACAUCGAGAGUCUUUUCUCAUAUUGUAAUACCAAAUGCAUUGUAUCUCUCUAUCUAUUUGAAGAAGAACAUGUCAUUUUUAAAUGUCUAUAUUCCUAUUAUGUUGUCUUAAAGGUUGUGAUAAUCAUAAUGUCUUAUUCGGUGUCGUAUCACGUGAUUUGCUAUUUAAGAAUAUACUAGAUAUCUAGCUAUAGAGAGUUUAGCUUAAACUAUUAUAUGUAUCUUGUCUUAGCUUCCAAAACUCCUUUAUUUUGCAUAAAAUUCAAAAUAUAGCAAAAUCCCUUCAAAACAUAUUUUUCCCGUGAAGGAUUUUUUCUUUUGGAACUUUAAAAAUUCAUAACUCUUGAUCUAACCAUUCAGUUUGUCUCAAAUUGAUAGGAUAGGUAAAAUUCAUCCUUAAGUUUUACCACAAAAAAACUGAUUGUAAAUUCAUUCUUGAUCUUUUGGCAUCUAAGAAAUCUUAGUAAAUGCUCCAAAUCCUAAUUUACAAGCACUUAAGUAGUAUUUUCUUAAUAUCUCAAGAAUCCAAUAUUCAAAUACCAUCAAACUUAUGUAUAAAGUUUAUUAACAUGAAUAUAUAUUUUUUUAAAAGUUUUGAGCUAAAAUCUUGUCAAAUUGCUCUAGAUAUAAUUUAAGACAUAAUCACUAGUAAAUCGGGUCACUUACUACCUUUAGAUUGCAUGCAUUGACUUCAAAAUCCAAUAUCUCCUUUACCUUAACUUAGAAUCCAGUAAGUAGUAUACAAAAAGUAUAGCCGCAAAAGUGCUCUCUCUAGUUGUAGUUGCCGAUCCUCAAUUGCCCUCCAUACACAUACAUUAUGUCAAAAAGAGUGAGAAUAGCUCCCAAAUCAACACCUUAACUUUAAGUGCCUAUAUCUCCUUUAUAUAAAUUUCAAAUCAUACAAGAUUUGCACCAAAACCAUAGCCAAAAAUCUGAGCUCUUUAACCUUAAUCUUCAAAGUUCAAAUGGCUUCGAAAAAAUAAAUCUAAUCCCUAAUAUGGCCUCAAGUAGCCUCCUUCAAGUCCAUUGGGCAUGAUUUUUAGCAAAUAGGAAUAGAGAUUUAUAUCAUCCACCUCCAUUCAUCCAUAUUAGUGCCUUAAUUACUCUUUUUGCUACCAAAAUCCUUCUUCAAUCUUUUUUCUUAUAAGAUUUAUAUAAUUUAUGCUCUAAACAGUAAAUAAAAGAACCAAAAUAAGUUUUCAAAGGUCACUAAUGUCUAAUAAAGGUGACUCUAAAUAUUUAGAAGUUACUAUCAACCAAAACCAAUCUUAAAAGCCACUAUUAAAAGAAAUUAAAGUUAUACAAAUUCUAUAGUAAUCUUUUUAAACAACCUCUUUUCAAGGUAAUAAUCAAAUUAUAUUCUACAAUUAACUAAAAACUACUAAUAUGGCUCUUAUUAUCUUACUUAAUAAAUUAUAUAUUAAGUACAUAGUUACAUUAUUUUCAAACAACAGCCGAAUCGUAACAUGACAUCGAUUAGUCAUCAAACGAUGGAUCUUGAAUUGAAUCCGUCACCUAUUGAUUUUCCAUCUCUUUAAUGCUAUAAUUAUUUAGAAACUACAAAUAAGGAUAGAAUGUAGAAUAUAAUCUUCCUUGAAUUGUAUUUUUUUUAUAGCAAAGAUUUGCUAUCUUUUAUCUUGAUUUUGAUAGAUAUUGUUGAUAAAAUUUUUUAAUGUUUUCUAUUGCAUUUGUAAGAUUUUUUGUUGGCUCCCAUAUGCAUUCAUAAAUAUCAUAUCUAUGCCAACAGACAAAACAUUCAAACUUUUUUUUCAUGCGCCUUGAGUCUAGAACUUCUUCUACUUCAAACUAUUUAUUAUUGUCCACUUCUAUAAGAGGAUGUCGAACUUGUCAUUUUUUUGGUAUAUUUACAGUUUUGUAUGGUUCAAGAAGAGACACAUGAAAUAUAAGAUGGAUCUUAAUUGACUCCAAUAGAUAUAAUCAAUAAGUAACUUGAUUGAUUUAUCCAUAAAUAGAAAAAGAUCUAUGCUUAUGGUAGUCCACCUUAUCACAAGGACAAGUAGUCUUGAUAUUACAAUGAAAUAAUCAUACAUUAUUACCUGCAUUGAAUUAUGAUUAUUCUUUUUUAUAGGCAUCCACAUUGAUCUUUUGUUAUUCUUGAGCUUCCUUUAACUAUACCUUCAUUGUUUCAUAUAGCUCUAAUAAAUAAUUUAUCAAAUCUUUUGUCGCUGUCAUAUUGUAAAUGCUUAUAGUAUGUAAAAAUUAAUUAAGACAUAUAAUAUGUUUGUAAGUCUUGAUGUAGAUUAGAGUGGUUACUAAAUAAAUUUAAAGAGAAUUGAUAUAAGGAAAUUUAUUUAUAGAUUUAUCUAUUUUGAUUAUAGUGUUUAUAUUAUGUAGGAUUUAGAUAUCUAGUAUAAAGCUUAAGAGAAGGUUGGAGUUUAAAGAUGAAAGUCUAAACUAUUAGGAGGCUUAUUGGGAGGGAUGAAAGCAAGGCAUGGUUAGAUGAAGGCAGGGAAUGGAGAUCUUCAUUCUUAUUGGUCGAAGGCCAUGCCCAAUGGGUUUCAAGGAGGCUGCCCGAGGCCUUAUUAGAGAUUAGAAUUUCUCUUUCAAAGUCAUUUGAGCUUUGGAGGCUAGGAUCAGCAAGUUCGAGAUUUUGGGUAUAAUUUGGAUGAAGAGUUUGUGUGAUUUCAAGUUUUUGUGAAAGAGAUAUAGGUGUUCAAAAUUAAGGUGUCAAAUUUGUAUCUACUAUCACUCUUUGAAGCAUAACAUAUGCGUACGGAGAGCAAUGAAAGAUCAGCAACUGAAGUUGGAGAGAACACUUUCUUGGCUACACUUUACAUAUACUAUUUGAUGAAUUCCAAGUCUAAAUGAAGGAGUUAUAGGGCAUUGAAGACAGCAUAUGUAAUUCAAAGGCAAUAAGUAAAUCAUUUUGUUGAUAGGUAUGGUUGAAGCCAUAUCUUGAGUUUCUAGAUGAAUUUUUGGCUCAAAAUUUCCAUAAGUGUGUGUUAUUAAGUUAAGAAGCUAUAGAUUAGAGUUUUAUGGUAUUUGAGUACUUAUUUUGUGAGAUAUGAAGAAAAUAGCACGCAAAUGUAUAUAAGCUAGGAUUUAAAGCUAUUAAUAGGGUUUUGGUGAUAUCUUAAGAUCUGUACUGAAUUUGUUGUUGAAUUUUUUUGUGGUAGUUUUUGAGAGUAUAUUAGUACUUCAUGUAAAAUUUAGGAUUUUUUGGACAGUCCAAUCGUGAAAUAUGAGCUAUUGAAGUUCAAGAAACAUUUCUCAUAAGGAUAUUUAGGGUUUUAAAAUACUUUAUCAUACAUUUGGGUGUUUUUUUGGUACUUGGGCUUUUGUAUUGAUGUAAUUGUCUUAAAAGAGAAAAUAUUAUAUAUAUAAACUUGAUACUUUUAUAUCUUAGACUUCAUUGAGCAUUUAGUGGCACCCAAAGGCCUUAUGGUUUCUUGAGGCAAAUUCUCUCUACUCUGACACCACACAAUUAUCAGCUUUUGAAAAGUUAAAAGUAUGAAUCAUGGAUGAUAAUCAUAAUUGGCAAAAGAAUUUCUUUGUUGCAUAGAAAAAUGCAUCAUAUUAUUACAAGAAAAUUCUACUAAUAGCAAGAGAAUUCUCUAAUUAUCUUAUUGCUAAUUGAUGGUACACCUUAAGUAUUAUUCUAAAAUUUAAUUUACAUGCUUUAUCUUUCUAUCAAUUUAAAGAUGAUAAGCCAAAAAAAUCUUUAUAUCUAUUUUUAGAAUCUUAAAAAAGAUUCUUUAAAAUCUUGAUAUAAAUUGGAUACUCCUAUCUCAUAUAAUAUCUUUCAACAAUCCAUGAUAUCAAUAGAUAUUGUUAAGAAAAAGCUUGGCAAUUUCUUCACCUAUGAUAGAUUUUGUGCAUAGUAUAUAAUUUGCUAUUUUGGUAAAAUGAUCUAUUAUGACAAAUAUAGAAUCAUAUGAACUUAAGAUUAAAAGAUCUAUAAUAAAAUCUAUAGAAACAAAAGACCAUGGUUGUUCUGGAAUAGAUAAUGGCUAAAGAAGUCUUUAAGGUUGAUAACAAGGAAUUUUCGACAUUGAAUAAAUGUCACAUGAUUAAAAAAAAUCCUUUUAAAGUCUUCUAUAUUUACAGCUACUAAAAAUCUCUAGUUAUUAGCUCCGAAGUCUUAUUGUAUUCAAAAUGUUUUGAUGCUGGAAAGUUGUCAUGUGCAUGAAGAAUACAUAAAUGUGCUUCUUCUUCAGGAACAUAUAAGUGUCCUUUGAAAUAAAGUAGGUUAUUUUUGAACUUAAACUUACAAGUAUCAAGAGACUUAGAAGAAUUAUUCUUGAUAUCAUGAAUAAAAACAUUAGAGAACAUACUUGAUUGAAUUUGCUUGAAAAAAACUAAAUCAAUAGUCAAUAUCAAUUUCACUACUCAAAGAUGAAUUUUUUUCGACUUCAAUAAAAUUAUCUUUUGUUAAAAAAAAGCUACAUUUCUUUCUAUUAGUACAAGAUAAAAACGUAUUGAAAGGACAUUAGACAAAUCUUAUUAUUUUCUUGGCCAAUAAGUGAUAUUAAACUCAAAACUUGACAAAGAUAUAUUCCAACAAGCCUGACAAAAAUUUAAACUAUGUGCUAAUAUAAAAUACUUGACAUUCUUAUGAUUUGUAUAUAUGGUGAUCAUACUAAAAGUAUCUUCUAGAUAAUGAUGCUAUUCUUAAAAUGAAUCUAUAAUUGCAAGAAGUUCUUUGUCAUAGAUCCCAUAGUUAAUCUUGAUUCCUAAAAAUUUUCUAAAAUAGAAAGCUAUUAGGUAGAGCUUAUUAUCUUCUCUUAUUUAUAAAAAAUAGCAUCUAUAGCAAAAUCUGAUGCAUUUAUUUCUAUAAAAAAUGCCUUAGAAAAAUUGACGCAAUACAAGAUUGAUACAAAAAUAAAUGCCAAUUUGAAGGCUUCAAAAGAUACUUGAGCUUCUUUACUCCAAAUAAAUUUGUUUUUGCAUGUAAGAUGUGUACGAAGAAUUUUAACUUAAAAAAAAAUUCUUAAUGAAGAUCUAAUAGUAAUUAGCAAAGUCCAAAAUAUAUUGCAUAUUUUUUAUUAUUUUUAAAAUCUUUCAAUCUAUAAUAAUGUAAACCUGAUUUGGAUCCAUCAUAAGUCCUUUGUUAGAAAUAAUAUAUCUUAAGAAGUUAACUUGAGUAAUGUAGAAUACACACUUUUUCAAAGUGGUGUACAAUCUCAUAUCUCUAAGUUUUUUUAAUACACAACAAACAUAAAUUUUAUAUUUUUUUAUGUUCUUUGAAUAUAUUAAAAUGUUGUCUAAAUAAUAGACGAAAAAAUCAUCUAAAAACUCACAAAAAACAUCAUUUAUAAGAUGUUGAAAAGUAGCUAGUGCAUUUAUGAGUCCAAAACAUAUGAAAUUAUAUUCAAAAUACCUAUAUAUUGUUCAAAAUAUAAUCUUCCAUUCAUCUUGUACUUUAAUAUGGACCAAGUUGUAUGCUCUUUAUAGAUCUAUUUUAUAUAGAUUUUAGUUUGAUUUAAUUGAUCAAAAAGUCUAGAUAUCAAGAAUAAAGGAUAUCUAUUCUUCAUGGUAAUCUUAUUGAAUCUUUGAUAAUCUAUGCACAUUUAUAGUAAUCCAUCUUUUUUCUUUAUAAAUAAGAUAGGAUCUCCUAAAAGAGAUUUUAAAUUACGUAUAAAAUUCUUGGCCAAGUUCUUCUUAAUGUACUUGAGUCAAAUGGUAGAUGACUUCCCUCUUUAAGGUGAAUUGAGUAAUUAUAUGGAUGAUACUUCAAAAAAAUAUUUACAUUUUUUUUCUCAAAAACAUCUUAAAAAUCUUCAUAUUAACUUGGAAUGCCAUUUGAAGUCUUUCUAUUAUUUAAAAUGGAUGUGGCAUAAUUAACAAAAGAUAAUCUUUUUUUUACAGCAUGCAAGAAAGCUUUUGUGCCUAUGAGUACGAAUUUGGCUACACUAAAUUCAUGGCUUUCCACAAAACUCUUAAUAAUACUUUGAAGAAAAUCAAGUUUAUGUGAAAUCCAAUCUAUCAAAGAAUCAUAUUUUUUUAGCUACAAUAAACUUAAAAUAACCAAAUUAAAAGAAAAUCUAAUUAUAUUAAAAAUUAUUCAAUUAUUAUGACCAUUCAUUGCUAUAUCUAUAGGAAUUGUUUUAUAAGUAAUAUCUUUUGAAGAUAACAAAUGGCCACUUAUGAAUUCUACAUAUAUGGGUUUAAUUUUUUGUACUAAUGUUAUUCUAUGGCUUUUAACAAAGUCUUCAUCUAAAAAACAAGUUGAGGUUCCUAAAUCUAUCAAAGUAGAGGCUUUGUGAUUAUUAGGUCCUAAAUGUAUAUUUAUUGUAAAACAAGGAGAGGGUUUUGAAGAGAAGAUAGGACCUUCAUUUAUACAAGAUUUCAGCUAUAUGGUCCCUAUUAUAGCUGGACAAAUUUGUUUUUCAAUAUUUUCUCAUCUUUGAUAGUCUUAUUCCUCAUUUUGUAGUUAUGUUGUUUAUUUGGACAAUAUUAAGCAAUAUAUUUAGCUUCUCUAUGGUAUAAAUACAAUCCUUCUCAACAACAAUGAAUCAUUUCUUCUUCAAUAAGAGAUUUAAAACAUAUUGCAUCAAUUUGCAUGUCUUCUAUUUUCAAAUGUUUAGAAUGAGAGGUUGUCAAUGUUAUUAUUGAAUUAUAAUAAUAUAGAGGUUCUCUUGGGCGAAUCUCAGAUUGAAAGUCAAAAAGCCAAAUAUCACACUUCACAGCAAAGUCAAUUACUUGACUCAAUGUCUAAAGAUCAAGUAAGUUGAGCAUCAAUUUCUUUAUUUCAUAUUGUAAUCCAUAGAAAAAUUGGGUCAUAAGAGCAACAUCAUCCUACGUGACACCAAUUGCUACUUAUCAAAAUUGUGAAGCAUAUGAUAUCGCUGAUUGAUUACCUUAUUACAAGAUACAAAUCUUAUUGCUUGCAAUAAGAUUAUAAAAUAUUCUCCACAUAUAGAUUAAAACUCUAUCAAAAAAGCCUUUAAAUUAUCUAAUAUUGAAUCUUGUCAUUCAAAAAAAGAUAAAAAAUUAUGAUAAUACCAAACUUAAAAGAAGUAUACUAAUAAAUCUAACUUAAGAUUUUGGCAUUGGAUAGCUUUGAAAUUGAAGUUCAAUCAUAAAUUUUACUUGAUUGAUGAAUCCUUGAAACUUAGAUUUUAUACCAUCAAACUUAUUGAGUAAGACAACUAUAGGUUGUGUAACAUUGAAAGGAUGUUUUACCAUAGGAGAAGAGAUGUGAUUUGGUGUAGAUGUUGAAGCAGCUCCAAUCAUGCUUCUAUCUUCACUUCUUACCAUUUUUAUUACUCUUGGUCAUGAUAAAUUGAGUUGAUACAUUGCAAGCAUCAACUCACUCAAUUUCUCUUGUAUUUGUGCCAUUGAAUUUUUCAUUUCAAGAAGCUCUGCCAUGAUAACAUCUAAAAAAAAAAAAAAAAAAAAAAAAAUCUAAUAUCAUUCAAGAUAAGCAAAAAAGAAGACUUGAAAGAAAAAAUACAAAGAAUAAUAUUAAUUUAAAAGAAGAUAAUCUACAACUUCUAAUAUUCUUAUAACUUAUAAAAAAAAGAGAGAUAAUCUAUUUUUAAUCAAGAGAAGACAAAGCUCUAAUAUUAUAACUAGACUCUUAUCUAUCUGUAAAGAAGAUGAAUUGAAAGAAGAUGCAUAAACAUAUGAAAUCCAUAUCGAAAGAAAAGUGACAAAAUAAAAAUAAAGAAGUAUAUAUAUUAAAAGGACACUAGAAUGGCUAUUGCCAAAAGAUAAGAAAACUAAAGACUCUUGAAUCUAAACUAGAAAUAAGAAAGGAAUUGAUAAGAGUGAAGAAGGCUUUAUUCUUAUCUCUAUAUAUACUAUUCAAUUAGAAUCUAUAUGGCAAAAUUCUAUAGGACCUUCAAAAACGUGUUGAAUUUAUAUGAUAUGUAUCUUAACUUGCAAGGAAAGUUUUUUUAUAUGGACACUAUAUAGUUAGUUUAUUUUACAAGCUACCAAUAUAUAUAGUAUGUGGUUAACUUGUUGAUCAAGUUUCUAAUCUAUCAAUCAAUUGCAAAUACAUGUAAAGUUAAAAUAACAUCUUAAAAGCUUCUAAGAAGCUUUUUUAGAAGGUAUUUUAAAAUUAAUCUAUUUUUAUCAACUUCUAUCUAUUCAUAUUAUCUACAUAAUAUUUAUAGUAGAUAUAUAUCUAUGACACCAGAAGACAAAUCAAAUGCCAAUGUACUACAAUCAAAUAAGAUUUUUACUAACAUAAUCAUAGCAAUGGCUACAAAUGUGACUAGAAUGAAUUCUUUCCUACCAUUAUCAAUAGACUAUCUUUGUCAAAUCUAUGCUUCUUUAAUCUAAUUAUCUAGGUCAAUGUCAAAUACAUAAAAGGCUUAUUGAUCGACUAAAAUAUCAUAGUUGGUGGUACUAGUCACUACAUACGUUAGAGAUAAGUGUAAAUAAAGUGGAUCAGAUCCAAUGAAAAAUAUUAAUUAUAAAAAUUUCUUGGUAUAGCUAGUAGCUCACUUUGUGCCUCCUAUUGAAGUAAUAAUAGUGAAAAGAUAAGUUUUCAGGUCUAUAAAAGUGAGACUUAAUUCUUAAGAAAGCCAUUUAUAAAUCAUAACUAGUUGAGCUCCAAAAUCUAGCAUAACAAGUAAAAAUAUAGCAUGAAUGGUAUUGCUAUAAGUAUAAUUAAUAAUAAAUAUAUUAUUAUUUUUAAUUAAUCAAAAAACUCUUAAAUACAAAUUUUGAUAUUUUAAAGUAAGUCUAGCUACAACAUUAGAUAAAAAUGCUACCUCUAUAGCCAAUGGCACCUUACUUGAAGGAUUUAUGUUUGUGGCCUUCAAGUGAAUGUCAUCAAAUAUGGCAAUAGCUUUAGCUACAAGUUUUGCUUGUAAUUGAGCUAAAUUCUCCUAUUUUGAAGGCUUUGUGAUUACUUGAGCCUCUUCUAAUGAUGGAAUAUGCACUUUGACUUUUAAUAUUUUAUCAACCAAAUGAAAGAUCCUUGUUGAUUUAAAUUUUGAAGCUAAAAAAUCAAUAUUAAAUAAUAUAGGCAUAUUUAUUACUUUGUAGCUAAAGUAUGUAUUAUAUUUUAAUACUACAAUCUUCAACUUGUAUUAAAAAUGAAAUAGAAGGCUUUGCUACAAAAUUAACAUCCGCAAGGCCAAAUAAUAAAGGUAAUUGCACAUGAAUGUUAGAAUCUCUAUGAUUGUUUGAACAACCAGAGCAAGGUUUUAGUAUUUCACUUGUUGUAGGUGCUAUAUUCUUAACUAUUGUUUGGAUACAUUAUCAUAUGGUAUGAUUUUCUAUCUAAAAAUAUAUUGAAUAUCUAGCUGUAGAAAAUUUAGCUUUAACUUAUUAGCCAAGUUCUAAUAAGUGAUGUAUUCUUAUUAUAGAAGAUAAAUAAAUAUAAUAAUAUCAAAAAAUAUUCUAUUAAUAAAAAUCCUUUUAUAUUUAAGAAGUUUUGUACAUAAGGCUUUCUAAAGCAUCCAGAAAUGCCUUAACAUCCAUUGCUAUACCAAAUCACAAUUAAUUAUUUGCCAAUAAGCUAGAUUUCAAAAAACUCAAAGAAAAUCCAUAAUCUCCUUUUAAAAAUCUAUCUUUACAUCAUAAGUUUUUCAUAGCUUCAUAUCUCUAUCUUUCACAUAUAUAUAUAUAUAUAUAUAUAUAUAUAAAGUCUUGGCUCUCAAAAAUCUCUUUACUUUACAUAAAAUGCUCAAAUUGUAGCAAAAUCCUUUUAAAACAGCUUUUCCUUGACAAAAGAUUCUUUCUUCUCAAAAUUUAAAAAUUCAUAUGUCUUGAUUCAAUUUUUAAAUUUUUCUAAAAUUUUUAGAUAAUCUAGAAUUUAUCUUUAAGCUUUUCUACAAAAAAAAAAUAUCAUAAAUCUACUUUUGAUCAUUUGGCAUCUUAGAAAUCCUAGCAAGUGCUCCAAAUCCUAAAUUAUAAGCAUCCAAGUACUAUUUUUUCUAUAUCUCAAAAACCUAAAAUUAAAAUUCUAUAAAAUUUGUUAUAUAGCUUUUUAACAUAGUAUUAAAAUUUUAAAAAAUAGUUUAGCCAAAUAUUUGUCCAAAUAGUUGAGAUAUGGCUAAAAUCAAAUCUUUCAUGAAAUCGGCUCAUAGACAAAUCUCAAUUUGGAAGUACUAUCUUCAAGCAAUCAUAUCUCUUCUAAAUCAACUUUAAACCUUUUUUUUUUGCAUACAAAAUAUAUUUCUUUAAACCAUCUUUUCAACCGCAUAAUCCAAUCUUCAAAAUUCCUCAUACACAUGUACUAUGCCCCAAAGAGUAAUAAUAGGUACAAAAUCAACAUCUUGAUUGCCUAUAUUUCCUUCAUAAAGACUCCAAAUCACACAAAAUUUAUACCAAAAGCAUAUCUUAAAUCCUAAACUUUACGAUUCUAACCUCUAAUUUUUAAAUAAUAUCAAAAGAAUAAUCUUAAUUCUUAAUAAGGCCUCGAGAAGUCUCUUUGAAGCCCAUUGGAUAUGACGUUUAGCUAAUAAGAAUAGAAAUUUUCAUCAUUCAUUUCCAUUCAUUGAUAUGGUUGGGUCAACUACUCUUUUUAAAUAAAAAUACUUUUUAAAUUUUUUUUUAAUAUAUUUUAUAUAAUAUUAUCUUAAAUACCAAAUAAAAAAAUAUCAAGAAUCAUCAAUAUUUAAUAAAAAUUUCUCUAAAUAUAUAAAAACUAUUAGUAAUAUAAAAUCAACUUCAAUAAUAGCUCUUUGAAACUAACUAAUUCAAAAUAGUAAUCUAAUCACAUUAUAUAAUUAACUAAAACCUAAUAACAUAAUUUUUAUAAUAUUAUAUAAUAAAUUAUAUAUUAAAUAUAUAUAUGCAUUAUUAUCAAAUGGUAGUCAAACCACAAUACAACAAUGUGUGGUAAUUUUAACCACUAUUUGUCUUCUUGCACCAAACAUAUAAUUUUUUAAAGAAGAAGAACUUUUUGUACUUCUAAAAGCUACAUGAGAUUUGGUGAUUCGUCUUAAUGAAGCCACAUUAUUCAAUCUCUUUUUUAAUUUAGAAAUUUUAGCUUCUAAGGCUUUUUUCUUAUUUAAAAUAUGUCGUUUAUAUGGAUGUAAUAUGAAGCAAUUAUUUUCAUUGUAAUUAAGCUUAUCACAAUGGAUAUACUUCAAUUAUUUCUUUUUAGAUCUAUUUUUUAAUUUAGCCAUCUCAACUUUUGGCUUAAACUUCUUUAUAUAUGAAGCUUUUUUCUUUUUGGAAUAGUUGGGAUCAUUUAUUGUAUGACCAGAUUCACUACAUCUCUAAUAAUAUAUAGUCUUUUUAGGUUGAGUUUAUGUCAAGCUACUUGUAGAAGCUACCAUCUUCUUGGACUUAGAUACAUCUGCCAUCUAAGCUACCAUAUCAAUAGCAUUAUGUUGACAAAGUACCUUAUAGCAUUUUUCAAUUUUAACAAACAUUUGUGUCAAUAUAGCCUUGUAAUUAUAAUUGAAAAUAAUUCUUGGUGUGACUAAAUCCAAGAAUCUUUUAUUAAUCUUAAAGAAGAAAAUCUUAACAAGUUGCAUCUCAAUAAAUACACCUCUUGAUUCUAUUAUAAAAUGAGCCAAAUAUAUAUGUGUAUAUAUAUAUAUAUAUAUAUAUAUAUAUAUAUAAUAUGUAGAAUAUAUUUAUUUUUACAAUAAAAAUCUUAAAUGCAUUGUAUUUGAUCAUACCUAAAAUCUUCAUACUUAUGUUUUAACUACUUAAUAAAUAUUUGAAAAGGUUCAAAUGAUAGUGGCUUGCCUAUUGUAGAUAAAAUUACUUUCAUUGCUUGAACCAUAUAAGACAAAGUAAUUGAAGUACUAGUUCAAGAAGUAGCUACUUCUUAUUCUAUAUUAUCUUUCAAUAAAGUACAAAUUUCUCCUUGGAUUAAACCUUCUUCUUUCACCAUAAGCAUGAAGCUUGAAAAAACAUCUAGUAUCAAGAACAUGAACCUCAAAAAAUCAAAACUUCAAUAUACUCUUCUCUCACUUGAAAAUACUAUAAAAUGAUUCAAAGAUAAUAUAGUAUUAAAAUAGAAUGGCUAUUUUUUAAGACAAGAAGACUUAAAAAUUCUUAAGACAAGAAUAAAAACUAGAAAGACAUUGAUAAGAGUAAAGAAGGCUUCACUCAUGCCUCCAUAUAUAUUCUUAAUUAAGAGUUAUAUGGCAAUAUCCUAUAGGACCUCUAAAACCUAUUGACUUUAUAAGACAUAUAUCUAAAUUAUAAGAUAAGUUUUUUUUAUGUCCACUACAUAAUUAGCUUAUUCUAUAAAUUAUCAAUACGUGGUUAAGUUGUUGAUUAAAUUUCUAACCUAUUAAUCAACUACAAAUAUAUAUAGAUCAAUGCAACAUCUGUGAAGCUUUUAAGAAGCUUUUCUAAAAUUAUUAUAAAAUAAAUUUAUUUUUAUCUAUUUCUAUUUAAUCAUAUAAAAAAGUAUUAGAGCAAAUAUGAAUAUCUAUGAUAUUCCUUCCUUUUCUAGGAACAAGUUCCAUAAAAAAUAGCCAUCAUAUGUUGAAAAAAUUUAAGAUGCAGCAAAUUAUAUUUGUCCCAUAUUUUGACCUUUAUUUUCUUUGAAGUUGGUUGAUAAGUCCUCUCAACAAUUAAUAGUAUUCCAUAUUAGAGUAGAAAGACUAUUCGGUCAUUUGAUUGUUGUUGAGGCCUUUGUAACUUCCUUCAAAUAAAACAUUUGAAAUAUUGUCAAGAAUCAUUUCUACCUCUAAUAAAAUCACCAAAUAUGAAGAGUUUCUUCUUAAGUUGUGAUAUCAAAUACAUUGUAUCUUGCCAUCUAUUUGAAAAAAGACAUGUCAUUCUUAAGGAUCUUCAUCUUAAGUAUGUCAUCUUAAGUAUGUCAUCUUAAAGGUUGUAAUAAUCAUAAUGAUUAAUUAGUAAGUGAUAAAUCUUGAGUAAAAUCUAGUAGUUGUUGGUUCUUCAUCUCUUUAGAGUCACAAAUACACAAAAUUUACAAACAAGAGUAGAAGGUAGAAUGUUAAAUUUCUUAAAUUUUGUUUCUUUUAUAACAAAGAUUUGUUAUUCUUUAUCUUGGUUUUUAUAGAUGUUGUUGAUAAAAAGCCUCAACUUUCUUUAUUGUAUUAUAAGAUUUUUUUAAAUUUCCAUAUGUAUUUAUUAAUAUCAUAUCUAUGCCAAUAAACAAGAUAUUUUAAUCUAUUUUGGUACUACCUUAAAUCUAAGAUUUUUUCUUCCCUGAACUUUUGAUUAUUAUUCAUUUAUAUAGGAAGAAGUGGCAUUUGUCUUUUUUUUGAAAUAUUCAUUGUUUUAUAUGGCUCAAGAAGAAAUAUAUAAAAUAUUUGAAGAAUCUUUAUAGAUUCCAAUAGAUGUAAUUAAUAAGCAACAAAAUUGACUUGUUCACAAAUAAAAAAAGAUCCAAGUCUAUAGUAGUCUAAUUUGUCACAAGGACAAAUAGUCUUAAUACUGUAACAAAGUAGCCAUACCUUAUCACUUAUAGUGAAUUAUGGUUGUUUCUUGCAAUAGGCAUCCGAAUUGAUCUUUUGUCAUUCUUGAACUUCUUUUAAUUACAUCUUCAUUAUUACUUGUAGCUUUGACAAACAAUUUACCAAAUCUUUUAUAGCAAAAUUAUCAAUUUUUGAAAAGUCAAAAAAAUAAGUUAUAGAUGAUAACCAUAAUUAGCAAAGAAAGGUGUUUGUUGAAUAAAAGAAUGUAUUAAAUUAUUGUAUGUAAAUUUUGCCAAUGGCAAAAGAAUUAUUCAAUCAUUUUGAUUAUAAUUGUUAAUAUACUUCAAAUAUUGUUUCAAAACUUCAUUCAUCCAUUUCAUUUGUCCAUCAAUUUAAAGAUAAAAAGUCAAAGAGAGCUUUAUAUCCACCUUUAGAAUCUUAAAAAGGAUUUUUCAAAAUCUUGAUACAAAUUGAAUCUUUUUAUCUUUGGAUAAUCUAUAAUAGCAAUAGAUUUUGUCAAGAAAAAACUUAGCUAUUUUGUCACUUGUGAUACAUUUUUUAUAUUAUACAAAAUAUGUCAUGUUAAUAAAACAAUAUACUAUCAUAAAUAUAAAAUCAUAAAAACUUAAGAUUAGAAGAUCUAUGAUAAAAUCUAUAGAAACGCAAGACUAUAGUUGCUUCAAAAUAGGUCAUGGCUUAAGAAGUCCAUAAGGUUGACGACAAGGAGUCUUAGAUCUUGAAAAAAUAUCACAUGAUUGUACAAAGUCUGUAGUUGCCUUCUAUAUUUGUGGCCACUAAAAAUCUUUUGAUAUGAAUUCUUAAAACUUAUAAUAUCCAAAAUAUCUAAUUGUGGAAAAGUCAUGACAAGCUUGAAGAACAUGUAAUUGAGCUUCGUCUUUUGGAAUGUAUAAUCAUUCCUCAAAGUAGAGUAGAUUACAUUUGAACUUGAACUUGAAAGUAUCAUGAUAUUUAGAAGAAUUAUUCUUGAUAUCAUAAACAAGAGGAUUAAAAGACAUAUUUGAUUGAAUUUGCUUGAUAAAGAUUGAAUCAAUAGCCAAUGUUGAUUUUAUUUCUCAAAGAUGAAAAUACUUUGGUUUCAAAAAAUUAUUCUUUAUUGAUAAAAAGCUAUAUUUCUUUCUUUCAAUACAAGAUAAGAAUGUCCAAGAAAAGCAUCUAAUAAAUCCUAUUAUUUUUUGGAUCUAUAAAUAAUAUUGAAAUCAAAUUUUAAUAAGACAUACUCCAAUAAGCUUAAAAAUGAUUCAAAACAUAAGCCAACAUGAAGUACUUGAGGUUCUUGUGAUUCUUAUAUAUAAUAAUUGGACUGAAAGCCCCUUAUAUAUAAUGAUGCCAUUCUUAAAAUGAAUCCAUAAUUAUAAGAAUCGAUCUUGUACUUAAUUUUGAUUGCUAAAAAUUUCUUGGAAUGAAAAGCUAUCAAAUGGAUCUUAUUAUCUACUCUAAUUUGUGACAAAAUGAUACUCAUGGUAAACUUUGAUGCAUUUAUUUUUAUGAAGAAUGUCUUAGAAAAAUCAAAACAAUAUAAAAUUAAUAAGUAAAAAAAAUACUAAACCAACUUAGAUAAUUGCUUCCAAGACUUACUAAGAUUCUAAUUCUACAACUAACACUCUAAUUUUCUAUUUGACUAAAGAUUUUUAUACUAUUUACUAUAUAUUAUGGUUUUAAGUACUCUAAAUGCAUCUUUUUAUCUUAAAACAACUAGUGAGUCAAUUUGAUGACUCGCAUAUUAUGUCCAUCUAGAACAACUUGAAGAGGCAAAGGAUCCAAAACUCUUGUUUUGAAGGCAAGUCCUUAUCUAAAAUUUAGCAUAUUCAAUUUAAUAUUCUAUCAAAACUAUAAUAAUAGUGCUAUAGAUCUUGAGAAAAAUAUUUAUAUGAAAGAUUGUAUUCAAUAUUAGUGCACUCUUAUCUUCUAGUAUAAUUUUUCUUAAGUUAGAAAAUUAUUGAAGAAAUUAGUCUACUUAAUAAAAUAAGAUAAGAUAAAUCUAUAGAAUAAAAAAAGAGACAAUAAAAUAAGAAAAAAAAAAUCUUCUAUAUAAAAAUCUAAAAGUUGGUGCUAUAUAAUUCUUAUUCAAAGAAAAGAAUUUAAGUUAGUAGCUAUGACACCUAUGUUUCUUCUAAGUUACAUACGUUAGCCACUUUUUUGCUUUAAUACUAGUUCAUAUAGAUAGUUGUCUUUAUAGACUAGAUUCUGUCACGGACACAGAAAUACAGACUCAAGAUCUAACAAGAAGUUCAAGAAGAAUUGACAAGAACUAAAUUAAUCAGAUGAGAACAACACUAGAGAGCUAAGCUAGAGCUCCAAGAGAUGUGUUGUCGAGACUGAAGAACUCUUCAGCCUCGAUUCUAAUAUAUACUUCUAUUUAGGAAGCUUCUCAAGCAACUUCUACUAACUAAGAAGCUUCUAGAAGGUUCCAGAGACUUGCUUCUAGAAGGUUCUAAAAACUUAUCUCUAGAAGGUUUUAGAAACUUAUCUCUAGAAGGUUCUAAGGACUAUGUCCCUAAUAUUUUCUAACAACUAAGAAGCUUCUAAGGACUAUGUCCCUAAUAUUUUCUACCAACUAAGAAGCUUCUAGAAGGUUCCAGAGGCUUGCUUCUAGAAGGUUCUAGAAACUUGUCUCUAGAAGGUUCUAAGGAUUAUGUUCCUAACAUCACCCCCUCCUUUAGCUUCGAGGUCUCUGAGAAGCAAUGUUGUUAUUAAUCAGUACCAACGUAAGAAAAUGAAGAUCUGUCGCAUAACGUCUGCUAUGAACUCCAACCGUUAUUCACGAGGCAAGUGGUUCAUCGACCCUUGAAGCCAACAGUAGUGGCCCACUCCUUCAAUUUCUGAGCAAGCAUGAACUUCCAUGUCCUCAUUGUGAAAUUGUCUUGCAAACAUGCCUUUUGGCUGACCGUCGUAAGUAGGCUCAGACUCAAAUAUAAUCACCAGUGAUCGGUUAUUCGGUAUCCUCCGUCGUCGUCGUGGUAUAGGCAGUUCUUCAUCUCGGAGUCACCUUUGUAAGCUAGUCGGUUGAAAUAAUCUGACUGGCAUAGUAUCUAUCUCUUGGCUAUCCAUAUCAGAAGACCAAACUAUGGCUACUGAAAAAAUUCUAUUUUAUCUUGGAGAAAAUAACUACAUCAACUACGAAUUUUGGUAGUGCUCUCUCCCUUUCUUAUAUUCUUUGGUGAGCAAGCUUCAGAAGGAAACUAUCGUCAAAUCGGCUUAGGUUUAUGAGGAUGUUGUUGAUGAAACUCCUGUAUCUUUUGCGGCGCAUUGGCGAGAUUUUCAGCUGGCUCCCACAUUCGUUCAUUAAUGUUGUAGCCGCAUCAAUGAACAAGAUAUUCCCACUUGCUCCACCUUCGUCGUGAAUCCAGUACCUUUUCAACCUCAUAUUCCUCAUGGUUCUCGAUCUCAAUACUAGAUAGUAGACAUUGUACUCUUCCAAAAAAAGACGACUCUCGAUAAGGCUCUAACAGAGAAACAUGAAAGACUGGAUGUACAUUCAUAGAAGCUGGUAAUUCCAGACGGUACGCCACUGGAUUGAUUUGCUUUUGGAUGAUAAAUGGUCCCAAUCUUCGAUAGUCUAACUUAUUAUAUGGUCGCUUGGUCUUGAUAUUCCGUCGAAGAAGCCAUGCUUUAUCUCCAAUUUUGAAAGUAGGUGCUUGAUUCCGAAAUCUAUCUACAGACGCCUUGUAGGAUUCUUGAGCAGAUUGUAAUUGAAGCUUCAACGUAUUUUGAAGCUUUGAUAGUUGUUUCGUAAAUCCUUCAGCUGCUGGAUUGUUAUUUAUUGACGGACUCAAUAAAUCAAGCUUUGGAUGAUACCCAUAGUUGGAAAAGAAUAGUGUGUAUUUAGUCCACGCAUGGAGGGUGUUGUUAUAUGCAAACUUGGCUAGCGGCAGAUAUGUGGUCUAAUCGUCUUGCUGAUAGUUGAUGCUAUAUCUUAAGUAUUGUUCCAAGACUUGGUUCACCCAUUCCGUUUGGCCGUCAGUUUGAGGAUGAAAAUUCAAAGAAAGCUUGAUAUCCACCUUCAAUAUCUCAAAGAGAGAUCUCCAAAACUUUGAUACGAACUGGGUUCCUCGAUAUGAUAUGAUAUCAUCUGAUAGUUCAUGAUAUCGAUACAUAUUGUUGAGAAAGUGCCUUGUUGUGACUUCAUUGGACAAUGUCUUCUUGCAAGGAAUAAAGUAUGCCAUCUUUGUAAGCCGAUCUACUACGACAAAGAUGUUGUCAAAUGAGUUCGAUGAUGGAAGGUCCGUGAUGAAGUCCAUGGAAACUGAAGACCAUGGUCGACGUGGAAUCGAUAAUGGCUGUAGGAGUCCAUAAGGGUGAUGUCGAAGAUUCUUGGAUCUUGAAUAGAUGUCGCAGGAGAGGAAAAAAUCUUUUACAUCCUUCCACAUUUGGGGCCACCAAAAAUCUCGAGAAAUAAUCUCCAAGGUCUUGUUGAAUCCAAAAUAUCCCGCAGUUGGAAAAUCAUGGCGAGAUUGAAGAACUCGGAGUCGUACUGGUCCUUUUGGGAUAUACAACCGCUCUUCAAAGUAUAAAAGAUCUUCUUCCACCUUGAAUUUGUCGUCAUUGGCACACUGCUUGAUAUCAAUGGCUACUGAAUCUUCAAUAGUCACAGCAUGUACCUGAUUCAGGAAGUGAACAUUAAUUGGCACAAUAGUAGCGCAAAGCCAAAAUUGCUCUGGCUUCAACAAUGUCAUACAUUGUUGAUGAAACGCUACUUCUCCAGCCUUUGAUACAAGAUAUGAUCUCCUCGAUAAGGCAUCAGAUAGUCCUUACUGCUUUUCAGGUCGAUAAGUGAUAACAAAAUCGAACCUAGAUAGCAACAUACUUCAUUGAGCUUGAUGUCGAUUUAGAACUCGAGCCAACAUGAAAUAUUCCAAAUUCUUGUGAUCUGUGUAUACGGUCACUGGGUAUGCAGCUCCUUCAAGAAAAUGACGCCAUUCUUGGAAAGAAUCCACUAUAGCAAGAAAUUCCUUAUCGUAGAUCUCAUAAUUGAUUUCAGCAGCAGAGAACUUUCAAGAAUAGAAUGCAACCAGAUGGAGCUUCUUGUCUUCUCUCAUUUGUAAAAGUACAGCUCCCAAAGCAAAAUCCGAAGCAUCAGUUUCUAAAUAAAAGGCCUUUAUAAAGUCUAGAUGUACCAAGAUUGGAGCCGUAGUAAAUGCGGUCUUCAAGUCUUGAAACGCCUUUUCCGCUAGAGGUCCCCAUUCUAGCUUAUUCUUGCAUGUCAACCGAGUGAGAGGAGCAGCAACUUGAGAGUAAUUCUUGAUGAAGAUCCGAUAGAAGUUGGCAAAGCCAAGAAAGCAAUAAAUGUCUCUCACCGUCUUUGGAACCUCCCAAGACAUGAUUGCUUCCACUUUCUUAGGGUCCAUCUUCAAGCCUUUCGUAGUCGCAACAAACUCCAAAAACUCCAUCUCUAUUUGGUGAAAUAAACACUUCUCCAAAUUGGCAUAUAAUCCUCGCUCGCGUAGUUUCUUCAAGACCAAACGAACGUGCUUUUCAUGCUCUUCCUCAUUUUUGGAGAAUAUCAAAAUAUCAUCGAAAUAGAUGACAACAAAAUCGUCAAGGUACUCUCGAAAAAUGUCAUUCAUCAUAUGUUGAAAGACCGCUCGAGCAUUAAUAAGAUCAAAGGGCAUGACAUUAGACUCAAAAUGGCCAUACCUUAUACGGAACGCUGUCGUGUUGUAACACGAGUAUACAGUGAAAAUAAAAAGAAAGGGGAAUUUUAUUAAUAUUCAGUUACCUCAAAUAUUGGGAGCAUCGACCAACUCCAAUACAAAUACUGAGUGGUCAGGUUCAGUCACUCCGUUACAGUCAGCCGGGGCAUACUGAAAUGCUCUGUUCGAUUCCAAUAACGGGAGUCAGCAGGAAGAGAAGGACCAAUUCACACGACGGGUUCGAGGAGCCAAUUGGAUCCAAUUUCGAUAAUCCAAUCCGGGUCCUCUUAUCCAAUAUGAGACCUGAAUUGGCCGGUCAACCCAAUGCAGUCUAAUUACGGGAAAUCGAGGUCUUACUACGGGUCUUAGCCAAUCUGACGCAAGGACCAAUUUGACCCAAUUACGGGAACAUCCAGGUUACUACGGGCAUCUUUUCCAAUAUAGGACCUAAAUUGGUCGGGCGACUCAAUGUGGUCCCGAUUACGGGGUUCGAUUCUGUUUCAGGCUGUCCUGUUCUCUGUGCCGUUUCAAGGAACGUUGUUUUCGGUAAAUGGAUUUCUUAAAGGUAAAAACGGAGGAGAAAGCUUGACGGCGAGAGCCAAUUUCGGAUCCAAGCUUGAGGUGGGAGCCAAUUCCGGAUCUAAGACGGAAGAUUGAAGAAAUUCAGAGGAUAAGGUUAGGGGGGGAUAUAGUUUUGAGGGGGGGAGGUUUCAAUAAUGGGGGGAAUCGGGGGGNNNNNNNNNNNNNNNNNNNNNNNNNNNNNNNNNNNNNNNNNNNNNNNNNNNNNNNNNNNNNNNNNNNNNNNNNNNNNNNNNNNNNNNNNNNNNNNNNNNNNNNNNNNNNNNNNNNNNNNNNNNNNNNNNNNNNNNNNNNNNNNNNNNNNNNNNNNNNNNNNNNNNNNNNNNNNNNNNNNNNNNNNNNNNNNNNNNNNNNNNNNNNNNNNNNNNNNNNNNNNNNNNNNNNNNNNNNNNNNNNNNNNNNNNNNNNNNNNNNNNNNNNNNNNNNNNNNNNNNNNNNNNNNNNNNNNNNNNNNNNNNNNNNNNNNNNNNNNNNNNNNNNNNNNNNNNNNNNNNNNNNNNNNNNNNNNNNNNNNNNNNNNNNNNNNNNNNNNNNNNNNNNNNNNNNNNNNNNNNNNNNNNNNNNNNNNNNNNNNNNNNNNNNNNNNNNNNNNNNNNNNNNNNNNNNNNNNNNNNNNNNNNNNNNNNNNNNNNNNNNNNNNNNNNNNNNNNNNNNNNNNNNNNNNNNNNNNNNNNNNNNNNNNNNNNNNNNNNNNNNNNNNNNNNNNNNNNNNNNNNNNNNNNNNNNNNNNNNNNNNNNNNNNNNNNNNNNNNNNNNNNNNNNNNNNNNNNNNNNNNNNNNNNNNNNNNNNNNNNNNNNNNNNNNNNNNNNNNNNNNNNNNNNNNNNNNNNNNNNNNNNNNNNNNNNNNNNNNNNNNNNNNNNNNNNNNNNNNNNNNNNNNNNNNNNNNNNNNNNNNNNNNNNNNNNNNNNNNNNNNNNNNNNNNNNNNNNNNNNNNNNNNNNNNNNNNNNNNNNNNNNNNNNNNNNNNNNNNNNNNNNNNNNNNNNNNNNNNNNNNNNNNNNNNNNNNNNNNNNNNNNNNNNNNNNNNNNNNNNNNNNNNNNNNNNNNNNNNNNNNNNNNNNNNNNNNNNNNNNNNNNNNNNNNNNNNNNNNNNNNNNNNNNNNNNNNNNNNNNNNNNNNNNNNNNNNNNNNNNNNNNNNNNNNNNNNNNNNNNNNNNNNNNNNNNNNNNNNNNNNNNNNNNNNNNNNNNNNNNNNNNNNNNNNNNNNNNNNNNNNNNNNNNNNNNNNNNNNNNNNNNNNNNNNNNNNNNNNNNNNNNNNNNNNNNNNNNNNNNNNNNNNNNNNNNNNNNNNNNNNNNNNNNNNNNNNNNNNNNNNNNNNNNNNNNNNNNNNNNNNNNNNNNNNNNNNNNNNNNNNNNNNNNNNNNNNNNNNNNNNNNNNNNNNNNNNNNNNNNNNNNNNNNNNNNNNNNNNNNNNNNNNNNNNNNNNNNNNNNNNNNNNNNNNNNNNNNNNNNNNNNNNNNNNNNNNNNNNNNNNNNNNNNNNNNNNNNNNNNNNNNNNNNNNNNNNNNNNNNNNNNNNNNNNNNNNNNNNNNNNNNNNNNNNNNNNNNNNNNNNNNNNNNNNNNNNNNNNNNNNNNNNNNNNNNNNNNNNNNNNNNNNNNNNNNNNNNNNNNNNNNNNNNNNNNNNNNNNNNNNNNNNNNNNNNNNNNNNNNNNNNNNNNNNNNNNNNNNNNNNNNNNNNNNNNNNNNNNNNNNNNNNNNNNNNNNNNNNNNNNNNNNNNNNNNNNNNNNNNNNNNNNNNNNNNNNNNNNNNNNNNNNNNNNNNNNNNNNNNNNNNNNNNNNNNNNNNNNNNNNNNNNNNNNNNNNNNNNNNNNNNNNNNNNNNNNNNNNNNNNNNNNNNNNNNNNNNNNNNNNNNNNNNNNNNNNNNNNNNNNNNNNNNNNNNNNNNNNNNNNNNNNNNNNNNNNNNNNNNNNNNNNNNNNNNNNNNNNNNNNNNNNNNNNNNNNNNNNNNNNNNNNNNNNNNNNNNNNNNNNNNNNNNNNNNNNNNNNNNNNNNNNNNNNNNNNNNNNNNNNNNNNNNNNNNNNNNNNNNNNNNNNNNNNNNNNNNNNNNNNNNNNNNNNNNNNNNNNNNNNNNNNNNNNNNNNNNNNNNNNNNNNNNNNNNNNNNNNNNNNNNNNNNNNNNNNNNNNNNNNNNNNNNNNNNNNNNNNNNNNNNNNNNNNNNNNNNNNNNNNNNNNNNNNNNNNNNNNNNNNNNNNNNNNNNNNNNNNNNNNNNNNNNNNNNNNNNNNNNNNNNNNNNNNNNNNNNNNNNNNNNNNNNNNNNNNNNNNNNNNNNNNNNNNNNNNNNNNNNNNNNNNNNNNNNNNNNNNNNNNNNNUACAAGAUCGUAAGUACAAAGGGGUAUUGAAGAUUAACAGUUUGGGUUGUUCGGGGUUCUCUGUAACGUCUAGAGACCUAUCGGCUGGGGCAAAAAAAAGACUUCAACAAGCAGUCGAAGAGCAUCCGUAUAGAUUUACGGUACAUUGUUGCAGUCGUUUAUAUUCUAGCAGUCAAAAACUGAUAGAUUGCUUGACUAUCGGCAAAUCUCCAUACUACCUUCUACAGCCAGAUGCCCGACGCGUUCUCGAGUAGAAAAGCACGUAAUACGACAUAAGUGGUGAACCCAACGUGAAAGCUUGAGGUAGAAGGUAUUGGAUUUCGGUUGAUUUUAUCUUUAUUUUUAUGGAAAACGAAAAUAAAAAUUUUGAAGGAUUUUUGAGAGAAGUUUCUGGUGGGGAGUCUUCUAAAGGACAAGGUAUGCACAUGGAUCCGUCUAUUGCUAGUUUGUUUCAAGCCUUCUCAUUGUCAAUGCAGCAACAGCAAAGCAAUGAUCGAAAGGAAGCUUUGGCAACCAAAGCAUUGCAAGCAGUGGUCAAUAAAAUUGAUCAAUUUGAUGGGAGGAAUAUUUCAAGGUAUUUAAGAUGUUAUAUUCAUGAAAUGGAAUUAAAUCGGGUUUCUGAGAAGAAAAUGGUUGCACUAUUUGGACUUGCCACGAUACCGGAGAUAAGGGACCACAUUACAUCGAUUACGGAUCGUUGUGGGAAUUCAUGGGAGGAUUUUUCACAUGCAUUGAAAGACGAAUAUUUCUUGAAAGAUGAUGAUCGCAUUACUAAGAAGCUAUUUCUGGGAUGGAUUGAACGGCCCAAUAAGAAUUUGCAAGCAACAGAGCUACUAAGGGAAUUUGAGAGGCAGUACUCUCAAUUAUCAAAAGUAGAAAAAUUGACAUUGGAGCCGAACAAAGUUGAUCUAUUUUUUCAAGCUGCUGAUGGAGAAUUGCAAGAGAAAUUAGAACCCCUUCUUGAAGACAAAGAAGAAGAUGAAGGAUUGACAACGAAGUGGAAGAACGUUGAAGAUGCGGUGGGGUUGCUUACAAAAAAAGAAAAGAGGAAGGAUAGGAGUAAUAUUCCGAAAAUGGUACAAGCACCCAAAGCUCCAGUACGUACAACACCACCGACAAUGCCUACAGUUCAACCUUCGACAUCCUUGUCAAAGAAAGCAGAUAUGGGUAUGGAAGAAAUUAUACGAGGAAUGCGAGAUCUUCAAAUCAAAUUGGCAAGACUUGAAGAGAAUACUUCUAUAAACAAUUCGAAGAAUGUUUCAAAACAAGAAUAUGUACAAAGAUGCAUUUGGUGUGAUGAUGCUUCACACACUAGAAAAGAUUGCAAUGAAUUUAAUAAUAUGAUACGGCAGGGAAUUAUUUGCUGGAAAGAUGGGAAGAUAGCAUUGAAAGAUAGGGAGGAUCUUCUUCAAACCAAUUUUGGCAAGGGAGGAAUGAGAGCAUUGGUUCAAGAUUACUUAAAAGAGCAUGAAACAGUAGUACGAGAAAGUGCAAGUUAUGGUGCUAGAGUAGAUGAUGAAAUUGGUGGAAGUACGGAAACUAGUGAGUUUUGGGCUUCUGCCGUUUCUACAAUGCAAGAAGGGAAAUUACCUCGAGAAGCGCUAUUGAGAACUGCAGCUACAAUACGAGGAAGAACAGGUUGGGAGGAUCCUGUUGAGUCUCUUUCAGUUCAUGCAUAUAUUGCUAAGAGCCAACAUGAAGCUUUGAUGGAAGAAAAAAGACGAGGAAAUUUUGAUGAUACUAGAGAAGGAAAUUCUUUUAAGAGGCAAACUCGAGGAGACAAGGCUCGGGAGGCAGCUUCACAAGAAUUGCCUGUAAAGGAUACCUCAACAUCAUUGGGAGAAAAAACAAUGGAGACAAUAGAUAAGGGCAAAUCAAUUGCUUAUAAGCUACUUUCUGACAUUGAAGCGGCAACAAAUUUGAAAGGGGUGUUGGAAGAACGUAUAUUAAACGCUAAGGUGGAAUUCACAUUGAAAGAAGUCUUGAGAAUUGCAAAGAAGGAGUUUGAUGAUGUUAUCAUUGACAGCAUUAAGCGAAAGAGGCAAUUAAUGAGCGAAACUGGAAUGAGUCAUGCUAUUGAUGCAAGAAUAUGUAGAGAUGAAGAAGAGGUUGAUAUUGGUUACAAGCAACCAACAAAUGAAAAGAAUGGGUAUAAUUAGCGAGUACAUUUCGAAGAUUCUAGUGACAAGGGAAUGGAAACUUUGAGCCAUUAUACUCGAAAGCAUUGGGCAAGGGCAACUACUGAGGUAUUGGUGAAGGUAGGAGAUAUAGAAGAACCAAUAGUUGCCUUGGUGGACCAUGGUUCUGAAAUAAAUCUCAUGUCUAAAGAUCUUUAUAAGAAGCAAAAAUGGCCAAUUGAUAUGGAACAUGGAUGGGCAAUACGAGCAGCUAAUAACACACGAGGCGAAUUAUAUGGAGCUUGUCCAGAUGUCAAAAUUCGGAUUGGGGAUGUUGCGACGGAGCAACAUUUCUUCGUUCAAGAUACAACGUCUUAUCCGUUGAUUUUAGGACAACCUUAUAUCACGGCAACACAGAUGGAAACAAAGGUACUUGACGAUGGUUCUUCUUAUGCAAGGGUACGGAGCGAAGAUGGGAGGAAAGCUGUACAAUUUCUAACAGUACCUCCUAACCAUGAACGGAAUCGAGAUAGGUUGAGGGAGAAACCAUUGCCAAAGAUUGUUGAAGGAUUUAAGGAUUUUGGGGAGGUACCACUGUAAAGCGAGAUUAUGGAGGUACAAAAGAGGAGGUACUCUCGCGAGAUGAAGGUACCUUUGAUGCGAGUUUUAUUGGUAUAUUGGAGAAUGGAAAUAUUAUGUAUAAGAAAGUUGAUGAUUUUAAAAGAAAGGAAAGAAAAAGAUUAUAUGAUAUUGAAGGACAGUUACACAAGAUAGGUACAUUGCAAGAUGAUGAGAGGAUUUUGGGUGUUUAUGAAGAAAAUGGGCUGGAAGAUUCAUUGGAAUUGAUUACAUCUAUUGGGUUAGGGGAUAAUGAUAAGAUUGUUGAGAUUCAUUCGAGAGAAGUUUAUACCAUGCUUGAAUCUUUUCAAGCACCAGAAGUCACAGUAGAGACGAGAUAUAAAACGGCAGAUAAGAAGGUAAAGCCUGUUGCCGGACCAUUACCAGAGGAUUCUAAAGAACAAAUAGGAGAAGCAUCAAAAGAAGCAAGUUUAAGAGAUCCAAUGAGUAUUGGACAUCAGUUUACUGAAGAGACUUUUGAAGAAUUGAAGAUUGGUUCUGAUGGUUCUUUAUUGUUGAAGGAAAUUACUUGCUUCAAAAAGAUGUUGGCUAAACAAGGUAGAUCGUUUGCCUUCGAAUCUCAUGAAAUUGGGUGUGUGGAUCCAAAUAUUAUAACACCUAUGGUUAUCUUCACUGUACCGCAUGUACCUUGGAAUCUAAGAUCGAUUCCAGUACCGAGGGCACAUUUACCUAAAUUGGUGGAACUAUUGAAAGAAAAGAUAAAGAUGAAAAUAUUGGAACCUUCAUUUGCACCGUAUUAUAGUCGAUGGUUUACGGUACCUAAGAAGAAUGGCUCACUACGGUUUAUUCAAGAUAUGCAGCCGAUGAAUUCUUUAAUUGUCAGGAAUGCAGGAAUUGGACCUAUUGUGGAUGAAUUUGCUAAGGCGUUUGCUGGAAGGGCGAUCUAUUCAAUGGGUGACUUGUAUUCAGGUUAUGAUCAAUUUGAACUUGCCGAAGGAAGUAGAGAUAUGACAACGAUGAGGACACCGCUUGGAUUGGUUAGAAUGUGCACUCUUCCUCAAGGCGCGACCAACUCGGUUGCGCAUAUGAUGAAUGGGAUAAUAAGGUAUUGAGAGAUUUUUUUCCGGAAAAGACUAUGCCUUUUCUGGAUGAUGUUCCUAUAAAAGGGUGCAGAGAAGGAGACAAGGAUAAAACUUUAGAUACGAAGGGGUGUCGCAGAUAUGUUGUUGAUCAUAUACAAGAUUGUGAAAAGAUUUUAACUCGGCUUGGAGAAGUUCAUCUUACAUUAUUGGGUAUGAAGUCCAUAUUUGGAGUGCGAGAAGUUGUAAUUGUUGGACAUUUAUGCGGAUCUUACAGAAGAAAACCAGAUCCGACUAAAGCUGAUGCAAUUGGAAGGAUGAAAGAGGAUUGUGGUUCUUUAACAGAGGUUCGCAGGUUUUUGGGUGCAUGUGUAUUUUAUCGAAUCUGGAUCCCUCAUUUUGCUCACAUAGUGGAUCCAUUAUAUGAACUGUUAUACAAGGGUUACCGAUUUGAAUGGAAAGAAAGGCAUAUUCAGGCAAUGCAAAGAUUAAAGAAAUUAUUGAUGUCACCUCCAAUAUUGAGGAAGGUUGAUUAUAAGUUUAAUAGACCAGUGAUUCUUACUGUAGACGCUAGUCCAAUUGCCGUUGGAUGGACAGUGGGUCAAGAUGAUUCGAAUGGGAGUAGAUUUGCAGUUCGAUUUGGGGCUAAAGUUUUAAGUAUUCGUCAGCGUGCAUAUUCGCAAGUCAAAAGAGAACUUUGGAGAGUCGUUUCGGCUAUGAAAGCUGAAAAGGACUAUUUGAUUGGGGCAGUAGUAGUAAUUGAAACAGAUUGCUUGCCAUUGCUUGGAAUGAUUAUUAACUGUUCAACGCCAGAUAUUGCAAUGUUGAGAUGGAUUGCUUAUAUUAAGUCACUAAAUCCAGAAUUUAAGCAUAUCACUAGAAAGGACAAUUUAGUAGCAGACAUGCUAUCUCGAGCAAGAUAUGAGAGGGAGAACGAAAUAGUUGAAGACAUUGAUGAUGUCGGAUUGAAAUUCUAUUCAAUAUCAAAUCUCAACAGAGAAGACAAGCUAUUUCUUGAAGAAUCUUAUGAAGGAGAAUUAUUGGAUAUUGGUCAUUAUUUGAAUACCUUGUCUAAGUAGGAGAAUUGGUCUACAGAAAAAUUCAAACAAAUAAGAAAAAAAGCAUAUGGAUUUUUACUUCGAGAUGGAUUCUUAUGGAAGAGACCGAAGAAAGGAAUUGGGAUGCCACAACGAGUGAUAGGCAAAAGGGAAGAAAAACUAAAAUUAUUAAAGGAGUUUCAUGAUAGUUUAUGGGCAGGGCAUAGAGGAAUCUGGGCUACUUUUGCUAAACUCAAGGAACAAUAUUGGUGGAAAAAUAUGUAUCGAGAUGUGCUCUCAUUUGUAGAGUCAUGUGAAAUCUGUCAAUCGUAUUCUAAUAUCCGACAUCGAGAUGGUCUUCAUCCUACGUAUCCUCUGGCUAUUCAUUUUAAAUGGGUUGUUGAUUUGGUUAUUAUGCCGGUUGGGUUAUGGCAGAUGAGAUAUUUGGUUUUAGCUCGUGAAGAUUUAUCAAAUCAAGUAGAAGGAAGAGCAUUGAGGACAAAAUCUACAGAGGGGAUUUGUAGGUUUUUGCUUGAAGAUGUCAUUUGCCGUUACGGGUGCGUAGGAAAAAUCACUGCAGAUCGUGGAGAAUUAAAUGCACAAGAAGCUCGUAAGUUCUUUGAAAAAUGUGGAGUUAAACUAUCACUGACUACUGCUUAUAAUCCGGAAGGGAAUGCAAAAAGUGAACGUGGUCACCCGCCGAUUGUGAAAGCAUUGAUUAAAGCUUGUAAUGGGAAGGUUAAAGAGUGGCCACGGCUUUUGUCAUUUGCAUUAUGGGCUGAUCGAACAACACAUAGUUCGGUGACAGGAUAUAUGCCAGUAGAACUUAUGACUGGUCAAAAACCAAUUAUGUCGAUUGAAGAAAAGGUACUUACUUGGAGUAUGCUACCAUGGGAAGAUGGAUUGACAAGAGAAGAACUUCUGGCUAUUAGGAUUCGACAAUUGGAGCAAAGAACGGAAGAUGUCCAGAUAGCAUUGGAAAGGUUAAAAAGAGCAAGAUUAGAAAAUAAGGCGCGAUUCGAUAAGCAACAUCGAUUGAGACCAAAAGCAAUCGAGGAAGGUGACUGGGUACUUGUUUAUGACAAUAGUCUGGAUAAUCAACAUAGUACUUUGCGGAAAUUUUCAAAACGUUGGUUUGGACCAUAUGUUGUAACAACUGUUCAUGAUAAUGCUACUUACUCAUUACGGGAGUUAGAUGGUACAAAAUUGAAAAUACCAAUUGCAGGGAAGCGAGUAAAAAUAUUUAAACGAAGACAUGCAGAGAUGAAUAUGGAAGACCAUAAUGAAGGUACAGAGAUUCCGCAGCAAGAAGAUGAAAGUGAUAUGGAUAAUGAAGGUGACGAAGACGAACUGGAGAAAGACGUAGGAGAUAUAUUCUGAAUCAAACAGCAAUUGGGUAAAUUGGUGCAUACCGGAGGAUGCACAGGUUCAGAGGGGGUGGAUGUCGUGUUGUAACACGAGUAUACAGUGAAAAUAAAAAGAAAGGGGAAUUUUAUUAAUAUUCAGUUACCUCGAAUAUUGGGAGCAUCGACCAACUCCAGUACAAAUACUGAGUGGUCAGGUUCGGUCACUCCGUUACAGUCAGACGGGGCAUACUUCAAUGCUCCAAUAGGUUCCUAUAACCUGAGUCAGCAGGAAGAGAAGGAUCAUUUNNNNNNNNNNNNNNNNNNNNNNNNNNNNNNNNNNNNNNNNNNNNNNNNNNNNNNNNNNNNNNNNNNNNNNNNNNNNNNNNNNNNNNNNNNNNNNNNNNNNNNNNNNNNNNNNNNNNNNNNNNNNNNNNNNNNNNNNNNNNNNNNNNNNNNNNNNNNNNNNNNNNNNNNNNNNNNNNNNNNNNNNNNNNNNNNNNNNNNNNNNNNNNNNNNNNNNNNNNNNNNNNNNNNNNNNNNNNNNNNNNNNNNNNNNNNNNNNNNNNNNNNNNNNNNNNNNNNNNNNNNNNNNNNNNNNNNNNNNNNNNNNNNNNNNNNNNNNNNNNNNNNNNNNNNNNNNNNNNNNNNNNNNNNNNNNNNNNNNNNNNNNNNNNNNNNNNNNNNNNNNNNNNNNNNNNNNNNNNNNNNNNNNNNNNNNNNNNNNNNNNNNNNNNNNNNNNNNNNNNNNNNNNNNNNNNNNNNNNNNNNNNNNNNNNNNNNNNNNNNNNNNNNNNNNNNNNNNNNNNNNNNNNNNNNNNNNNNNNNNNNNNNNNNNNNNNNNNNNNNNNNNNNNNNNNNNNNNNNUUCCGAUCCCAGCUUGAGGUGGGAGCCCAUUCCGGAUCUAAGACGGAAGAUUGAAGAAAUUCCGAGGAUAAGGUUAGGGGGGAUAUAGUUUUGAGGGGGAGAGGUUUUUUUUUUUGGGGGAAUCGGGGGGGGAGCGAGUUUUCAAGCUUUUGCAAGGUUACCAGUUCGGUUUUUCAUUGGAGGUUUUUGGAAGAUCAAGGGAAUUAGAGAGAGGAGCUUCAUGCUUCGGAUCGGGGAAGGAAAGACAUAGAAUUUGGAUUUUUCUUCUUCGUAGAGUUUUGAGAAGACUGAGGCAAUCGUUGCUGAAGUCAGUGUUGUAAUGGUGAAUCGGGAUUUUUAAAUGAAGUGGAUUUGAAUACUCUUGACUGUUUUGUAAAAUCGAGUUACGUCUGUGAUUGAAGGAUUAAAGGAGUGUCUAUAGGAUUGAGUAUGCGGAGUGAAUGAAAUUUAUUGGGUUAAUCUAACAGAACAGUCAGUGGAUACAAGAUCGUAAGUACAAAGGGGUAUUGAAGAUUAACAGUUUGGGUUGUUCGGGGUUCUCUGUAACGUAUAGAGACCUAUCUGCUGGGGCAAAAAAAAGACUUCGACAAGCAGUCGAAGAGCAUCCGUAUAGAUUUAUGGUACAUUGUUGCAGUCGUUUAUAUUCCAGCAGUCAAAAACUGAUAGACUGCUUGACUAUCGGCGAAUCUCCAUACUACCUUCUAUAGCCAGACGCCCGGCGCGUUCUCGAGCAGGAAAGCACGUAAUACGAUACCGUUACAGACAGUCGGGGCAUACUGAAAUGCUCCGUUCGAUUCCAAUAACGGGAGUCAGCAGGAAGAGAAGGACCAAUUCACACGACGGGUUUGAGGAGCCAAUUGGAUCCAAUUUCGAUAAUCCAAUCCGGGUCCUCUUAUCCCAUAUGAGACCUGAAUUGGCCGGUCAACACAAUGCAGUCUAAUUACGGGAAAUCGAGGUCUUACUACGGAUCUUAGCCAAUCUGACGCUGUCGUAUUACGUGCUUUCCUGCUCGAGAACGCGCCGGGCGUCUGGCUGUAGAAGGUAGUAUGGAGAUUCGCCGAUAGUCAAGCAGUCUAUCAGUUUUUGACUGCUAGAAUAUAAACGUCUGCAACAAUGUACCGUAAAUCUAUACGGGUGCUCUUCGACUGCUUGUCGAAGUCCUUUUUGCCCCAGCCAGUAGGUCUCUAGACGUUACAGAGAAUCCCGUACAACCCAAACUGUUAACCUUCAAUACUGCUUUGUACUUACGAUCUCGUAUCCACUGACUGUCUUGUUAGAUUAACCCAGUAAAUUUCAUUCACUCCGCAUACUCAAUCCUAUAGACACUCCUUUAAUCCUUCAAUCACAGACGUAACUCGAUUUUACAAAACAGUCAAGAGUAUUCAAAUCCACUUCAUUUAAAAAUCCCGAUUCACCAUUACAACACUGACUUCAGCAACGAUUGCCUCAGUCUUCCCAAAACUCUACGAAGAAGAAAAAUCCAAAUUCUAUGUCUUUCCUUCCCCGAUCCGAAGCAUGAAGCUCCUCUCUCUAAUUCCCUUGAUCUUCCAAAAACCUCCAAUGAAAAACCGAACUGGNNNNNNNNNNNNNNNNNNNNNNNNNNNNNNNNNNNNNNNNNNNNNNNNNNNNNNNNNNNNNNNNNNNNNNNNNNNNNNNNNNNNNNNNNNNNNNNNNNNNGAUCGGCCAAUUCAGGUCUCAUAUUGGGUAAGAGGACCCGGAUUGGAUUAUCAAAAUUGGAUCCAGUUGACUCAUCGAUCCCCAAGUGUAAAUUGGUCCUUCUCUUCCUACUGACUCCCUUUAUUGGAAUCGAACGGGGCAAUCCAGUAUGCCUCGGCUGACUGUAAUGGAGUCACUGAACCUGACCACUCAGUAUUUGUACUAGAGUUGGGUGAUGCUCCCAAUAUUCGAGGUAACUGAAUAUUAAUAAAAUUCCCCUUUCUUUUUAUUUUCACUGUAUACUCGUGUUACAACACGACAACGCGAGGACCAAUUUGACCCAAUUACGGGAACAUUCAGGUUACUACGGGCAUCUUUUCCAAUAUAAGACCUAAAUCGGUCGGGCGACUCAAUGUGGUUCCGAUUACGGGGUUCGAUUCUGUUUCAGGCUGUCCUGUUCUCUAUGCCGUUUCAAGGAACGUUGUUUUCGGUAAAUGGAUUUCUUAAAGGUAAAAACAGAGGAGAAAGCUUGACGGCGAGAGCCAAUUUCGGAUCCAAGCUUGAGGUGGGAGCCAAUUCCGGAUCUAAGACGGAAGAUUGAAGAAAUUCAGAGGAUAAGGUUAGGGGGGGAUAUAGUUUUGAGGGGGGGAGGUUUUUUUUUUGGGGGGAAUCGGGGGGGGAGCGAUUUUUCAAGCUUUUGCAAGGUUACCAGUUCGGUUUUUCAUUGGAGGUUUUUGGAAGAUCAAGGGAAUUAGAGAGAGGAGCUUCAUGCUUCGGAUCGGGGAAAGAAAGACAUAGAAUUUGGAUUUUUCUUCUUCGUAGAGUUUUGGGAAGACUGAGGCAAUCGUUGCUGAAGUCAGUGUUGUAAUGGUGAAUUGGGAUUUUUAAAUGAAGUGGAUUUGAAUACUCUUGACUGUUUUGUAAAAUCGAGUUACGUCUGUGAUUGAAGGAUUAAAGGAGUGUCUAUAGGAUUGAGUAUGCGGAGUGAAUGAAAUUUAUUGGGUUAAUCUAACAGAACAGUCAGUGGAUACAAGAUCGUAAGUACAAAGGGGUAUUGAAGAUUAACAGUUUGGGUUGUUCGGGGUUCUCUGUAACGUAUAGAGACCUAUCUGCUGGGGCAAAAAAAAGACUUCGACAAGAAGUCGAAGAGCAUCCGUAUAGAUUUAUGGUACAUUGUUGCAGUCGUUUAUAUUCCAGCAGUCAAAAACUGAUAGACUGCUUGACUAUCGGCGAAUCUCCAUACUACCUUCUAUAGCCAGACGCCCGGCGCGUUCUCGAGCAGGAAAGCACGUAAUACGAUACCGUUACAGACAGUCGGGGCAUACUGAAAUGCUCCAUUCGAUUCCAAUAAUAGGAGUCAGCAGGAAGAGAAGGACCAAUUCACACGACGGGUUCGAGGAGCCAAUUGGAUCCAAUUUCGAUAAUCCAAUCCGGGUCCUCUUAUCCAAUAUGAGACUUGAAUUGGCCGAUCAACCCAAUGCAGUCUAAUUACGGGAAAUCGAGGUCUUACUACGGGUCUUAGCCAAUCUGACGCGAGGACCAAUUUGAUCUAAUUACGGGAACAUCCAGGUUACUACGGGCAUCUUUUCCAAUAUAGGACCUAAAUCGGUCGGGCGACUCAAUGUGGUCCCGAUUACGGGGUUCGAUUCUGUUUCAGGCUGUCCUGUUCUCUGUGCCAUUUCAGGGAACGUUGUUUUCGGUAAAUGGAUUCUUAAAGGUAAAAACGGAGGAGAAAGCUUGACGGCGAGAGCCAAUUUCGGAUCCAAGCUUGAGGUGGGAGCCAAUUCCGGAUCUAAGACGGAAGAUUGAAGAAAUUCAGAGGAUAAGGUUAGGGGGGGAUAUAGUUUUGAGGGGGGGAGGUUUUUUUUUUGGGGAGAAUCGGGGGGGGAGCGAUUUUUCAAGCUUUUGCAAGGUUACCAGUUCGGUUUUUCAUUGGAGGUUUUUGGAAGAUCAAGGGAAUUAGAGAGAGGAGCUUCAUGCUUUGGGUCGGGGAAGGAAAGACAUAGAAUUUGGAUUUUUCUUCUUCGUAGAGUUUUGGGAAGACUGAGGCAAUCGUUGCUGAAGUCAGUGUUGUAAUGGUGAAUCGGGAUUUUUAAAUGAAGUGGGUUUGAAUACUCUUGACUGUUUUGUAAAAUCGAGUUACGUCUGUGAUUGAAGGAUUAAAGGGGUGUCUAUAGGAUUGAGUAUGCGGAGUGAAUGAAAUUUAUUGGGUUAAUCUAACAAAACAGUCAGUGGAUACAAGAUCGUAAGUACAAAGGGGUAUUGAAGAUUAACAGUUUGGGUUGUUCGGGGUUCUCUGUAACGUCUAGAGACCUAUCGGCUGGGGCAAAAAAAAGACUUCAACAAGCAGUCGAAGAGCAUCCGUAUAGAUUUACGGUACAUUGUUGCAGUCGUUUAUAUUCCAGCAGUCAAAAACUGAUAGACUGCUUGACUAUAGGCGAAUCUCCAUACUACCUUCUACAGCCAGACGCUCGGCGCGUUCUCGAGCAGGAAAGCACGUAAUACGAUACCGUUACAGUCAGCCGGGGCAUACUGAAAUGCUCCGCUCGAUUCCAAUAACGGGAGUCAGCAGGAAGAGAAGGACCAAUUCACACGACGGGUUCGAGGAGCCAAUUGGAUCCAAUUUCGAUAAUCCAAUCCGGGUCCUCUUAUCCAAUAUGAGACCUGAAUUGGCCGGUCAACACAAUGCAGUCUAAUUACGGGAAAUCGAGGUCUUACUACGGGUCUUAGCCAAUCUGACGCGAGGACCAAUUUGACCCAAUUACGGGAACAUCCAGAUUACUACGGGCAUCUUUUCUAAUAUAGGACCUAAAUUGGUCGGGCGACUCAAUGUGGUCCCGAUUACGGGGUUCGAUUCUGUUUCAGGCUGUCCUGUUCUCUGUGCCAUUUCAGGGAACAUUGUUUUCGGUAAAUGAAUUUCUUAAAGGUAAAAACGGAGGAGAAAGCUUGAUGGCGAGAGCCAAUUUCGGAUCCAAGCUUGAGGUGGGAGCCAAUUCCGGAUCUAAGACGGAAGAUUGAAGAAAUUCAGAGGAUAAGGUUAGGGGGGAUAUAGUUUUGAGGGGGGAGGUUUUUUUCUUUCGGGGAAUCGGGGGGGAGCUAGUUUUCAAGCUUUUGCAAGGUUACCAGUUCGGUUUCAUUGGAGGUUUUUGGAAGAUCAAGGGAAUUAGAGAGAGGAGCUUCAUGCUUCGGGUCGGGGAAGGAAAGACAUAGAAUUUGGAUUUUUCUUCUUCGUAGAGUUUUGGGAAGACUGAGGCAAUCGUUGCUGAAGUCAGUGUUGUAAUGGUGAAUCGGGAUUUUUAAAUGAAGUGGAUUUGAAUACUCUUGACUGUUUUAUAAAAUCGAGUUACGUCUGUGAUUGAAGGAUUAAAGGGGUGUCUAUAGGAUUGAGUAUGCGGAGGGAAUGAAAUUUAUUGGGUUAAUCUAACAAAACAGUCAGUGGAUACAAGAUUGUAAGUACAAAGGAGUAUUGAAGAUUAACAGUUUGGGUUGUUCGGGGUUCUCUGUAACGUCUAGAGACCUAUCGGUUGAGGCAAAAAAAAGACUUCGACAAGCAGUCGAAGAGCAUCCGUAUAGAUUUAUGGUACAUUGUUGCAGUCAUUUAUAUUCCAGCAGUCAAAAACUGAUAGAUUGCUUGACUAUUGGCGAAUCUCCAUACUACCUUCUACAGCCAGACGCCCAGCGCGUUCUCGAGCAGUAAAGCACGUAAUACGACAACGCAGUCUUCCACUAAUCUCCUUCUUUGAUUCGUACGAGGUUGUAGGCUCCCCUUAGAUCAAUUUUUGUAAAGAUCCUUGCACGUCCAAGUUGUUCUAAGAGACCAAAAAUCAAGGGUAACGAGUAACGAUUCUUCUUUGUUACCUUGUUGAGGCCUCGAUAGUCCAUGCACAUCCACAAUGAGCCAUCUUUCUUCUUCACAAAUAAGAUGGGUGCUUGAGUUGACGAUUUUGAAUGAUGGAUGAAGUUCUUGGCUAGAUUCUUGUCGAUGUACUUCCGCAACUCCACCAACUCCGUCUGCGAUAGAUUGUAGAUUAGGCCAAAAGGCGGUUGUACUCUUUCCUAUAAGUCUAUGGCACAAUCAUAUGGUCGAUGUUCUGGUAGCAUGUAUACAUUCUUCUUUUGAAACACGUCUUUAAAAUCCUUAUAUUGCUCCAAUAUACUUGUUGUCGAGAUCUUCUCCCCGAUAGUUGGAGCCACAUAAAUGACAAACGGUGUGCCUUCCUUAGACGAUCUUAUAAACACUCUUGCUUUAAUAAAUAAGGAUUUCUCUAUUUGGGGUUUUCUACUAGACUUGCUCUUGGAUGGUUUUGUGGGAAAGAUCAUCUUUCGCAACCUCCAAUCUAUGCAUGGGUUAUGCUUUUCCAACCAGGAAAGACCAAGAAUAACAAAAUUUGAUGGGAUUCUAAUAAUAUUGAAAAUAAUAUGACUACUAUGGUCCUUAAACGUCACUUCUAUAGGUUCUGAUUCAUGGGUGACACUACCAAACAAUAAAGGUCGUCCAUCUAUGACCUCAACGUGAAUAGGUUUGGAUUUUUGUACUAAAAGGAUCUUAUGAUGCUUUACAAAUUCUUCGUCUAAGAAACAAGCAGAUGCUCCUAAAUCUAAUAAUGCUAAGGUUCUCAGUUUUUGAGGGCUAAUAAGCAAAGGGAUUGUAAAACAAAGGGCAGAUUGAGCGGAAAGAAAGGAACCUAGUUCUUGUUGCAAUAUUUCAUUGUCUAGCCGUACGAUUCCUAUUGUACCUGGGCAUCCUCAUUUUCCUGAAUAAAUGUACUCUUAGUCUUGGCAAUACGUCAAUUUUGCUUUUUGGGGCAGUUUCCAACUUUGUGGCCUUCUUCACCGCAAUACAAGCAUAGACCUUCCUCCAUACGUCGCUUUUUUUCUUCUAGAAUAAGGAAUUUGAUACGUACCACAUCAAUUUGCAUGUCUUCUACCUCUGAAGGUGAAUUCACGCUGCUUGCCGACAUAGUUGGGGCGUGGUGAACUGUAUGUUGUCUUGAACGUUGAUCUUGGCGACGUUGGAAUAGGCGAUUAUCACACUUCACAGCUUGGCUAAUAACUUUAUUGAGCAUUUGCGGAUUAGGAAGAAUUAACAACAAAUCCUUCACAUCGUCCUUUAAACUCCAAUAGAAUUGACUCAUCAACACUUCUUCAUCCCAAUUGAUGUCGCAUGCUAAUUUCCUGAAAUCCGAUGCAUAGAUUGAUGUAGAGCGCAUCCCUUGUCGUAGUGACCGGAUCUUUGUUGUAGCCCAUCGAACCUUGUCGUGUUCACCAAAUGCUUUUGCAAAUGCCUCCAAAAAGUUUUCAAAGUUGUUUAGUAUGGACGAUCGUUUCUCAAACAAAAGAGCAAACUAUGAUAGAGCUUGUCCUGUAAGUAAGGUUCUAACAAGUCCAACACGUGACUCCUCCGUUGGAUAGUUUUCAGGCUGUAAAACUGUUAUCAACUUGAUUUGGUUAACGAAUCCUCGAAACUUGGAAUGCGUACCAUCAAACUUGUAUGGAAGGCUGACUCGGGGCUCCUUAUGUUGUAGAACUAGCGGUACUUGUCAAACCUGAGGCAAAGUUGCUUCUCCAAGUGCAGAAGUUUGAGGCUGGUGCAACCUAGAUUAUGCCAUCCUAGAUGCUCCAUCAUUAUGAAGCCUUGCCAUGACUCCUUCAAUCUUUGCAGUUCUUUGCAAUUAUGUAGCGAGGGCAUUCAUGAUAGCAUCCAACUUGGACUUCAAACUUUUUGUCAUACUAAUGUCUUAGCCCCCGGCUAUUCUAAAAGAAGGACAAAAAUGACUCUACAAGAAGACAAUAUUGGUUUAGAGGAGGGUACUCCGCAACGUCUAAAAUGCCUUAAGAGCUUCAAAAAAAGGAGUAAUCCACUCUCUUCAAGAAGAAUAAGACUCCAAUAUUGUAACAAAAGAAGUAUCAGUUUAAAGGAGGGUAAUCCGCAACCUCUAAAAUGCUAGUACACUUUCAAGCAGAGGGAUAAUCCACACUCUAACAAAGAAGAAAGUAGCUCUGAUAUCUGAGGUGAGUGAAGUCUCGACAAACUGUCACGGACACAGAAAUAUAGACUCGAGAUCUAACAAGAAGUUCAAAAAGAACUGGCAAGAAGUAGAUUAAUCACAUGAGAACAACACCAGAGAGCUGAGCUAGAGCUCGAAGAGAUGUGUUGUCGAGACUAAAGAACUCUUCAGCCUCGAUUCUAAUAUAUACUUCUAUUUAGGAAGCUUCUCAAGCAACUUCUAUCAACUAAAAAGCUUCUAGAAGGUUCUAAAAACUUAUCUCUAGAAGGUUCUAAGGGCUAUGUCCCUAAUAUCUUCUACCAACUAAAAAGCUUCUAGAAGGUUCCAGAGACUUGCUUCUAAAAGGUUCUAGAAACUUGUCUCUAAAAGGUUCUAAGGAUUAUGUCUCUGAUAGAUUCAAACCUAGGAUACCUUUUUCAUAAUCACUUUUGUGGUCAACCACCUAGCAACCGAAGGAUGCUAAUUAAUUCCAAGUCAUUUCUAAAUCCUCUAAAAUAUAUAUAUAUAUAUAUAUAUAUAUAUAUAUAUAUAUAUAUAUAUAUAUAUGUUGAUUUAUUACUUCUAAUAUGAAAGAGAGAUAAUAUUCUAGUAGAACUAAGAACCUCAUAAAGAAUAGUUCUUUUUUUUUUGAUGAAUUAAGAUCCCUAUUUUCUUAAUAAAAAUCAAAUUUGACUAAGUUAUUUAGGUAGAUCCUUAUUCUUUUAUGUAAAUAAAGAGUAUAUUUUUUUUUCCUUCUAUGAAGUUAAUUAUUCACAUUUUAUAUUCUUUACAUCUAUUUCCAAAUAUUCUUGUUAGAAAUAGUUCACUAUUUAGUGUUUUUAACUAUAAAGAGUUGUUGUCAAACACUUCCUUGAUAUGAUAAGGUCCUAAUUAAAGAGCAUGAAAUUUUUCAAGAAAUUCCAUCCUCUUAGCAUCUUGUAAUAGCACUAACAUCUCCAAUUGUAAGACUUUCUUCUUGUAUUUUUCUUUCAAAAGAAAUAUUAUGUAUUGAGCCUCGGUCCUUUGUAUUUCAUCAAGGCCUUCAAUUUAUUCUAAUCAAUCUUUCAAAGUUUUUUGGAUGGUUAAUCUAUCAUCUAUUACUAUUGAUAGUAAAUUAACUUCAAAUUCUAUUGAUAAUAUAGAUUCUAUUCUAUACACUUAGAAAAAUAGAGUGCCAUUGGUUGUGACCUUAAUGUUUUCUAGUAAGCCUGUAAGGUUGCUGAUAAUUUUGUGUCCCGGUCUCUCUUUGAAUCUUGUACUAUCUUUCUUAGGAUACUAACUACAGUUUGGUUUAUUCUUUUUGUAUGUCUAUUAGUUUAUAGAUGGUAGAGAGUAAUAAUAUGAUAGUUUAUAUUAAACUUAUUAGUCCUCUCUUCUAUCACAUUGUUUAAGAAGUGUAUUCCUUAAUUACUAAUCAAAAUUUUGGAAAAACCAAAUCGAGUAAUGAUUUACUCAUACAUAAAAUUAGUUGUAUGGACAGCAUCAUUAGUUUUUAUAAUUCUUGCUUUAGUCCAUUUUGUUAAAUAUUUUGUAGCUACUACAAUGUGUUUCAUCUUUCUUGAAGAAUUACAAAAAAAAAUUCUCUUAUAUAAUUAAUCUCCUAUUUUUCAAAAGGAACUAAAGACAAGGAUAUGUGGAGAGGAAGUACUAUAUGCAAAUCAUUUUUUUCAUAACCUUGGUAAGCAUUGUAUUGUUUAACAUAAUCAUGGGCAGCUUGAAACUUAGUAGGCCAAUAAUACCUAGCUAUCAUUAUCUUUUGAGCCAUCAAUCUACUCAAGAAGUGUCUCCUACAUGCACUAUCAUAGAAUGCCAUUAAUAUGGCUAGUACUUCACUAGCUAUCACAUAUUAUCUGAGUAAAUUAUCUACUCCUUGAUAAUAUAACCACUUUUCUAUAAUAGCAAAAUAAAUGAUUUUAAUUCUAAUCUUUCCACGUUCAUCUUUGGACAAUUCGUUCAAAAUUUUAUUAGAAUUCAAAUUUUUUGUAAUGUAAUUAUAUCGAGUAGGAUGAGCGGAAAUGAUAAAAAGAGAUUUAUCUACCAAAUUAUCAUCAAUAAGAUUAGGGCUUAGUUUUCCUUCUAACCUUGAAAAGUGAUUGGCCUGAUUAUAUAAUUUUUUGAAUUUGUAUUCUACCUUAUAGUCAAAUUCUCCUAGUAAUAAUAUCCAUUGAGCUAUACAACUAAUCAAAUCUACUUUUUUGACUAUGUAUUUGAUGGCCAUAUGAUCAACAAAAAAUAAAACAAAAUUUAAUAAAAGAUAAUGCCAAAAUUUCUUCAUAGAAAAAACCAUGGCCAAGCACUCUCUUUUGGUCGUACUAUAAUUUUUUUUUGCCAUAUUUAAUUUCUUCCUAGUAAAUAUAAUAGGAUAAUCUUUAAUUCCAUCUUUUGUUAAUUAAUAUAACAUACUAUUUAUUACUAUAAAUAAAGCAUCAUAAUAGAUAUGGAAAGAAAUAUUCUAAUUAGGUGAUUUUAAAACGAGCUUAACUAACUUUCUUUUGAGGUUGGUAAUGGAUGAAGUUUUUGUAGCAUAAUCGGGAAUUAAUUCUUGAUACCAUCCAAGAUGUCUUAAGAUCCUUUCCACCUCCUUGAUAUUUGUAAGAGGUUGCAUUUUAAUUAUGACUUCUAUUUUUUUGAAUCAGGUUUUCUUCUCUCUUUAGAAACCACAUAAUCCAACAAAACCUCCUUUUAGACUGCCAAGUAUAUUUUGUUAGGAUUUAAAGUAAUUUCCAUUUUUCUAUACCUUUCUAAGGUUUCUUCUACAUGUUUUAAAUGGUUCCUAGCAUUAGAUUGGGUGCUAAAAUCAUGUAUAAAUAUUGUCAUAGAUUUAUAGAGCAAAUCCAAAAAAACAAAGAUCAUGGCUCAUUGGAAGGUAGAAAGAGCAUUACAAAGCUCAAAAGGUAUGAUCAAAAAAAUAAAAGUACCUCAAGGAGUGGUCAAAGCUGUUUUAUAGUAAUCUAUUGAGACUAUUGCAAUGUGAUUAUAAUCCAAAUAUCCAUCCAUAAAAGUAUAGGUUUUUUUAUCCAUUACUUCAUCUAGAACUCUAUUAAUGAAAGAAAAAAAAAAUUGGUCUUUCUUGGUGUGCUUGUUGAAUUUUCUAUAAUAUAUACAUUUUUAAUUUAUCAUUAUUUUUUUUCAUAAGUACCAUAUAAAAGUUCCAAAAUUUUAUUUCUACUAGCUUAAAAAAAUCGACUUAUAACAAUUUUUUCAACUUUUCUUUAAUAAUCAAUUGGAAUUGAAGGUUCAUAUGUCUUUCUUUUUGACUAAUUGCCUUGGCACCAAGAAUAAGGAGAAUAUGGUGUUGAGUCACCUUAUGUAGUAUACUCUUCAAAAUUUUAUAGAACCAUGUUAAAACGUCUUGAUAUUUCAUAAUUAAAUCAUGAUAUCUAGAUAUCUCUUCUUGAUUUAAAUGAAUUCCAAUUUUAAUAUUUUUGGACUCUUCUUCUUUAUGAAAAACAUCUAUAAGUUUCCAUUCAGAUUCUUGCAUUAGGGAUUGUUCUAAAGAAUUUCUAUACUAAUUCCUAGAUAUAUGGGAAUAAUUGUCAACUCCAUUGCCAAUUGAAAUUUUCAAUGAAGUCUUUUUCAAUCUAAGAGGUGGUACCAAGUCAUCAUUUCUUUUAAGGACUUCAAUUUUUUCUUCUAAUAUUCCAUCUAUAUUAAUACUAAAGGCAUGAUUUUCCUUAAUUUUUACAAUCUCCAACAUGCCCUCUAAAAAUUUAACUGAUUUAUAAAAAUUAGAAUUGGAAUCUAUAUGAUCAUGUAGCUAUUGUGUAAAUUUUCUAUUAUCCUUUCAAUGAUAUAAGUUGGGACCAAGGCAUUUGAUUUUUUUUUUUAAUCCUAUUCAAUUGAAUUAACCACCUUUGUUAAUUUGUCUUUCCUUUUGGAUUGUUGCAUAUCUUUUAACAAAUCAAUGAGAUUAUUUUUUUCAUAAUCAAAGAUAGGUUAUAUAGAGAUUUUGGUUCUAUUCUCUUAUGGACCAAAGAUAAUGUAGGACUUCUCUCUCUCCUAGUUGACUAUGGCUUCUAAAUCCCUCAACCAUGGUCUAUCAAAUAAUAAAAAAAAUGAAUCUUUUGAUGUAUGCAUUCAAAUGACAUAAUAUAUCAAGGCAUAUUCUUCUCUCCCUAUCUAAGUUUUAAAAUUUUUAAUUUAGUCUACUGAAAUAGAUAGACUUUGAUUUGUCAUUUUGAUAACAAAAGAAGAUGGGCUAGUGAUAUUUAGUCCUAAUUUUUACAUAGUUUGAAAAGGUAUGAUAUUCAAACCACUACUACUAUCUACAAUGGUAUAGGAAAUUGUUUUGUCGAUAAUAGAAACCUCAAUCUAUUACCUUCACUUCACUUUAUUUAGCAUAGGCAUCUAUUUUUUCCAUCAUCCUAAUCUUAAGCCUUCUUUGGUUUCUCAUAGAAAUGUAGGUUUUUAGUACCUUUUUAAGCAUUGAAAAAAUAUCCAAUAAUUGGACAAAUGUGAUAUUAGCUCUUAACUUAUUAAGAUCAUCUCAUAAAUUAUAUUCUUGCACAUAGGAUUUUCCAUCAUCCUUGUGUUAUUGAAAAACUUCAAACAUUAGAAUUUUGAAAUCCUCCUAACUAUGCUUGUUUCAAUUAAUACUUGGCUUGUAUUUAAUCUUACAAUUUUUUAAAAAAAAUCUUCUAUCAAGAGAUCAAAUCUUACAAAUUUAGCUGUAUUGAUUUGAGUUGCCUUAAUUAUGUCCCUUGUGACUUGUUCUAAAUUUAAGAAGCAAAGUAGACUCUUUAAGGUAUUAUUCUACUCUUUUUGAUGGAUAAGUAAAGAUACAAUCUUAGAUCUAAUUAUUACUACUAGGACUUGUAUCACACGUAGGUUCUUUUUUUUAUUGAUUUUUUUUAAAAUAUUAUAAAAUUUAAUUUGGAUAAAAAAGAUUGAUUAACAUUAGGUUGGAUAAAAUCUUGAAUAGAUUCUAACUCUUGUAUGGGCUAAAGCAUAAAUCUCAUAUCAUGAGACCUUUGACCAUAUCUAGGUUGGUUAGAUGGAUUUUGACUUUGAUUAGGAUUUAAUAGAAUUUAUUAAAAACUAGUUUAAAGUCCACUAGGUACAUUUUGAUUCCAUCAAUUUUUUCAUAGUCAUAAUAUAAAUUUGAGGGUUUCAUAUUAUUAUCUGUUGGAGACUGUCUUCUUCUCCUUUGAUUGUUAAAUGACUAGUAAAGAUAAUUACUAGGUAUAGGUUGUAAAAGAACUAUUCUACCUAAUUUUUUAUAAAAUUUUAUGAGAUGAUUCGUGAAAUUAUACUUGUUAUCUUGCUUGAUUCAUAGGACCUUGGUUCCUAGUAUUAAAUCCUUGUUGUCACAAAUUAUGUCUUUGAAAGAUUUAAUUUUUGUGUCAAGGGGCAUAUGAUUAGAAAUUUUGAUCUUAUGAAGGAAUGGAAUUUUAAAAUUGGAUCAAAUGCCUUGAUUGCCUACAUUAAGUACACCAUAAUCUUGUUGUACAUCUUCCUAACUCAAUGGAAGGUGGGAGCGGUGUGAGUGUAAAUUUUACUCUUCAAUCAUAAUUACAAAAUGGUAUCAAUUAAGAGUUGCUUGUAAUUAGUGGUAUAAAGUAAAGUAUACAAUUGGUAAAAAAUCAAAGAAGAAUAACCAAAAUACAAGUAAAAGAAAUAAAAUCAAGUAAUUACAACAUCCAAAAUUAAAUCAUUGUUUGUUCAUUAUUUUUUCAUCUUAUAAAAAGUAAGAAUGAAAAAUAAAAAAUAUAUUUUUAGAUAGAUAAUUUUAUUAUCUUUUAAAUGACAUAAGAAAUAUAUAAAUCCAAAUUAUUAUAAAUAAGUUAUGAAGUUUUAAAUAUAAGAAGUAAAUAAUUAAAAAGUGAAGUUAAAAUAUUUUACAUCAAGAGUAACUUGCUUAUAGAUCAAAGAUUCGAGCCUCACCAAGGCUCACAUGUGGUAUAUAAGAAUGUCUAAGAAAGGCCACCAGGCCUUAGUCUUAUCUUCCUAACUACGUCUAAGAUGCUACAACCCACAUGGAACUUAUGCACCUUCCUUCUUAUGAAGACUAUACUAGUUACUAGUCCUUCUAUUUUCUAAUAGAAGAACCAACAUUUUUAUAUUUUUGACAUCACCAUGGUAUUCAAAAACAUCCAAUUAGUAAAAAAACCUUGCAUGGCCUUCAAAUCUUGCUCCAUUUCUUCAUAAAGGCUCUCAAAGUGAUAAAACUCAUUUUUACUAAAAUCUUAAAAAUCACUCAAAAAAUUCCUAAAAAAUAUUGUAUAAAUUCUAAAUAAAUUUUGAAAAAAUUUAUAAUAUUUCUAAAAUACUAAAAUCCAUUUAAGGCUAUAUUUUCCUACCUUGGUGAUUUUUGAUGAUAGAAAAAAUCAAUUUAAAUCCAUAAUAAACUUUAUUUUUUAUAUCAAUAAUUAAAAUGACAUGAGGUUUUUUCUCAUGCUUCUUCUAACUACUAAUAUUUAUAGUUUUUAUAAGUAGUACAUAUAGAUAAAAGACCAAUAUAAAUAUUGGUCUUAAUAAAUAAUCCUUAAUAUUCAAAAAUGAAUAAAAAUACUAAACCAACAAAGAUAAUUGGCUCCAAGACUUAGUAAGAUUUCAUUUCUACCAUUAACAUUCUAAUUUUCUAUUUUUCUAAGGAUUUUUACACUAUUCACUAUAUAUUUUGAUUUUAAGUAUUCUAAAUUUAUAUUUUUUAUUCUAAAAUAAUAAAUAUUUAAUUUAAUGACUCAUAAGAGGGUUGGAAUUGGAAUUUUUAAUUAGUCUUAUUAGUUGUUUUGUCAUCAAUUUAAUUUGAUGAGAGAUUUGAAUUUAGAAAUCUAACUAAGAUGCCUUCAUAUCUUUUUCUAAAUCCUCCUUCUACUUAUUAUCUUCAAUAGGAUAAGUUAAAGUUAAUGAAUGAGGUAGAAGCCUAGUAUUUAAUGGUAAAAGAUAGGCUUCUAUGGUUGUAGGAAUAAGUAGCAGUUGGUCAUGCAAUUGACAGCUUAAGUCAUAAUGAUUCCUAAUAUAGAUAGAAAUGAAGCUAAAAAUAUUGUGGUCUUCUUUACACCAUAGCCUUUCAUAUUUUUUUUUAUUUUUUCUACUUCUUUUGCUUCAUGUUUGGCCGUUGUGAGAUCUUUAGGACAUGCAUGAAGGAUUUCUUUAAUAGUUUUUUCUUUGGCAAAUUCUUGAAUGAAGAAAUGCUUCAAGGUAUCAUCAAUGAGCAAAGUCUCUACAAACCUUGUUGCCACUAAUUCAAAACAUUGAAUGUAUGAUGUAAUUUUUUCAUUCUUCUUUCUUUAAGAGAAAAUAAAGCAGUUAAGGCCAUGCUUUAUCUUACUUUAAGCCAAAAUUGCUUUAUCCUAUAAAAAAAGCAUAUUGAAUCAUAUCCCAAUUUAAGAAGAUAUUAUGAGAAUGGUUGUGAUACCACUCCUAUGUCCCUUCUUUUAAUGUGGUUGGAAACCAUACUAGAUAAAAACAGCCAUUUGUUAUCAAAUAUGUAAUGAGUGUUUCAUAGAAACACUCUAUGUAGGCCGAAGGAUCUUCAUCCCUUGUAUCUUUCAAGAUAGGAAGAUUAAGAGGCAUAAGUGCAAUAUUAAGUCCCUUAAGAACUCAAAUAGAUAAAUUCUUUGAUUGAAUGAACGAAUUAAUUAGUAUGGAUGGUGAUUCUUUCUAUUUUGCUCUAUUUGAAUCUAUUGGUUCUUACAAUUGAGGUGAUUGAAUACCUUCUUGAUCCAAAUUACUUAUAUUAUCUAUCAAAGGAUUUGAAAAUAUUUUUUUUGAGUUUUUUUCAAGGUCUUCUAAAGAGAGGUCUUUAAAUUCUUCAAAGAGGUUUUUAGGUGUAUUUAAAUUAGGUUCAAGUGUCGAAUUCCUAAUAUUCGGCAAGGAAGACCUAAUAAUACUUAGAGACUCUGGAUUUUCUAUAGAGUGUAUUAAUAUGAGUUUAUGGGACAUAGUAGAGAGGUGCAUUAAAUUGCUACAAUUACAACGUCAUUUCUAAAAAUUAAAAAUUAAAAUAAUUAAAUAAGCCAAACAUGGUAUCUUAUGAAAUUUAGAUUUUAUUAUCUUAUGUUUAUCAACCUACAAUCUACUUAAUCAAUCUUUCCAAUAUAGAAGGAUAACAUUACAAAAAUAAUUUAAAAGAAGAAUGCUUACUUGAGUAUCACUCCAAGUAAGACUUUCAUAUUCUUAGAUUAUUAUAGGAAACGACCUUGUGUAGAAGUAACUCUAAACAACAUUCAAUGCAAAGGCAUUUUGUUACUAAUAAGGAGCCUAAUUUUUUUUUUUUUUUUUUUUUUUUUCUAUUCUUUACACCAAUGCAGUUAGAAAAUUAUCUAUUACUUAGUUAACAAUAAAUAUACUAGAAAAAAAGGGUUCUUUAUAUGCAUCUAUCUAAUUUGAAGUAGAAUUCACCUAGUUGCAUUGCCAGCCAAUCAAACAUAUCUUAAAAAAUAUCCAAUAUAACCUUCUUUCUAUCUGAUUUGAACUAAUCCAUUUAAAAAAAAAAAAAAAAAAAAAAAAAAAAAAAACUUUUGAAUUGAAUUAGAAAAGGAUUCUAAGGCUCUAUUGAUCCUAAAGAAAAUAAAAUCUAUAAGAAGAUUUAAAAGAUUAUCUUUUUUUACAUCUUCUUCCUAAAUUCUACCCUCCAACUUGUAGCUUCGACUAUUGUGAUGUAAGACAACUAAUAGGUGAAAGAGUGUAGAAAUUAUUAUAAUAUAAGAGAUCUUAGUUCAAAGUAUUAAAGAAAAUCAUCUUAGAAAUAUAGUUAAUAGUCAAAAGGGUAGUAAAACUAAAAAGUAUAAAUAUUACGUUUUACAAAAUGGCCUUCUAUUUACUUUUUUGGACCAUAAAUAAGGCAAAAUAAAAUAGAUUAAAAAAAUAAAGAAUAUGAAUAUUUAUAAGAAGAAGUUAAGAGUUGAUUUUAAUAAAAAUUAACUCAAAAAGAAAAAAUUUGAUACCCAAGGAGGGCCGGUUAUCAACCUUGAUCAAAAUCAAAUCCCAAGGUACAAAACUGAGCACCUUCGGCAACUUGGAGAUUCUUUUGCAAAUCAAAGAAUGGGAUUUGAUAGCAAACUAGAUGAGAUUUUUAUAAGCAUUGGUUUUUUAUGAUUUAGACUUGUAAUGACUUUGUAAGAGCUUCACAAAGUCAAGUUUCUUUGGAAUAAUUUGGAUUUUAGUGAAAUAAAAUAAGAUUGACGUUUUGAGCAAUUUUGAGAGUUUUGUAAUAGAUCUAUAAGUGAAAUUAUGUAGAUUAAUGGUUACAGUUAUGCUUAAUAUGUAUUUUGAAUUUUAGCUUGAUCUAAUGGUUGAAUUGAGGAUUAUUGAGGUUUAAAUAGGUUAAGGUCUCAAAAAGUAGAAUUUUAGGUCUAAUGAGGAUUUUUAAGAUUUCUUGCAAUUUACUAGUUGGAUUGGAGUGAAAUUUAUGUAUGAGAAUAGUAAAUUUUUUUUAUUAUGUAUAUGAGAAUUUUGAGAUCAAUUGAAUAGUGAAAAAGAGAGAUAUUGGCUUUGGAAGAUUAGCAUCAAGGUCAGACAAGGAGGCCAGCCAAUACCUGAGCAUGUUUUUGAGGUUAUCAUUUAUUUGAUAGUUUUGAUCAUUUUUUUCUUUAUCCUUGUUAUUAAUUUAAUUUUUAAGAAGUAUAAAAAUUUUGAAUUAAAAUCGACGGUUCAUUCAUUAGUUAUUGAGGUUUAAAUGUAUUAUAAGAAUUAUUUGGGAUUGAUUAGGAUUUGGUUUAGGAUUUAGUAUUUAGUUUAGGAUUUAGGAUUUGAUUUAGGAUUUAGAAUUUGAUUAGGGUUUGAUUAAGGAUUUAGGAUUUGAUUAGGAUUUGAUUAAGAUUAGGGUUUGGUGAGGGUUUGGUUUAGGAUUUAAGAUUUAGGAUUUGGUUAGAAUUUUAUUUAAGAUUUAGAGUUUGGUUAGAGUUUGGUUUAGGAUUUAGAAUUUGAUUAGAAUUUGGUUAAGGAUUUAGGAUUUGGUUAAGGUUUGAUUUAGGAUUAAGGUUUGGUUAGGAGUUGAUUUAGGGUUUAGGAUUUGAUUAGGAUUUGAUUUAGGAUUUAAGAUUUUAAUAGGAUUUUUGAGGUAAUGUAUUACAAUCAUUUAAAAAAAAUUCUUAAAGAACUAUGUUGAUUGUCUAAGCUACUAUUAUAGAUUAAUAUCCAAUCACCUUCUUCAAUUGUUUUAGAUUUCAAUCAAUGUUGCUCAUCAAAUCAUGCCUUGUUUUAUAAUUAUGUAUUUUUUUUAAUCAUUUUGAUGCUAUUUGCACAUCUUUUGGUCUUUGCUCCAAUUAUUAAAUUUUAAUAGCUAAAAGUUCUUCUCUUGUCAAUUCAUCUUUGAAUGGCAAUAUACUCCAAGUAGGUACCUUUUCUUCAAUUGGCAUAAUAGGUUUUUGACUUGUCAUGAGCUCAAUAGGUAUAUAUUCUAUUACUAAACUAUGAAUUAUUCUAUUAGUCCACAAUACAAAUGGCAUAAGUUGUGGCCAUUUUCUAACCUUUCCAUUACAAGCUUUAACUAAUGCUUUUAUAAUUGGUGGAUGACUACGUUCACUUUUUGGAUUUUUUUAAUAUUAUAAGUACUAGUCAAUGAUAACUUAAUUCUACAUCUUUCAAAGAAUUCAUAAGCUUUUUGAACAUUUAAUUCUCUACUUUUUUUAAUGAUUUUUCUUAUACAUUAAUAGUAAAAAAUAACAUCUUUAAGCUAAAAUCUACAAAUCUCAUUUGUAGACUUUAUUCUUAAUGCUCUAUCUUCUACUUGAUUUGAUAAAUCUUCAUGAGCUGAGACCAAAUAUCUUAUUUUUCAUAAUUCUAUUGGCAUAAUAAUCAAAUCAAUAACCCAUUUAAAAUGAAUAAUCAAAGGAUAUAUAAGAUAUAGACCAUUUCAAUGUUAUAAAUUAAAAUAAAUUUGACAAAUAUCACACAAUUCUAUAAAUAAAAGCACAUCUCAAUACAUAUUUUUCUACCAAUAUCAUUCUUUAAGUUUAGCAAAAGUAGUCCAAAUUCUUCUAUGACUUUCCUAUAAACUAUGAUAAAAUCUGUUUAAUAAUUUUUGUUGCUCUUUUUUAUUGCCUAUCACUUAUUAUAACAUUCCAAUCCCUUUUUUUGAUUUUUUUUAUAAAAAUCUUUUUUGAAGCAAAAAUCUAUAUGUUUUUUUCUUAUUUAUUUAAACUUUUUUAUAGACUAAUUUUCUUCUCUAGUCAAGGUAUUCAAAUAAUAACCAAUAUCCAAUAACUCUCAUUUAUAUAGUACUUCAAAAAAUAAUUUAUCUUUUCUAUUAAAAUUUAAUAUUGAAUAGAAUUUUGAUCCAAUAUCAUCAAUAUCUUCAACCAUCUUGUCUUCUCUUUUAUAUCUUAUUCAAGACAACAUGUCCACCAUCAAAUUAUCAUUUUUAAUAACACGCCUACAUUUUAGAUUAAAUGAUUUGAUGUAAGCAAUCCAUCUUAAUAUUGCAAUAUGUAGUAUUGAACAAUUAGUAAUCAUUCCAAGCAAUAGCAAGAAAUCUAUUUUAAUUCCUAUCACUAUUCCAAUCAAAUAAAUUUUUUCAGCUUUCAUAACUUAUACAACUUCCUAUAGUUCUCUUUUGACUAUGAAAUAUACACAUUGAUAACUACUUAAAAUUUUAGCUCCAAAUCAAAUUAUAAACCUAUUUCCACUUGAAUCAUCUUAACUCAUAGCCCAUCUAAUAGCAAUAGGAUUAGUAUCUAUCAUAAGUAUUACUUGCCUAUUACAUUAAUAAUCAAUUCUUCUUAAAAUUGGAAGUAUCAACAAUAAUAUCUUUAGCUUUUACAUUCCUUCAGUAUGCUUUCUUUUCCAUUUAAAUCGUCAAUCCUUGCAUAAUAACUUAUACAAUGGAUCUGUUAUAUCAGUACAAGAAAGAAUCUAUAUAAAAUAAAAUGUGCAAGCUCCUAAAAACCUAUGUACUUCUAUUACCAAAUCACAUAUAUACUUUAUUCUUUCAAUUGCAUCAACUUUACCUAGAUCCAAUUUUCUUCUAUAAAAUCUACAGAAAUAUCCAACAAUAACAACUCUUAUAUUUUAAAUGUAGAUUUUUCUCUCAAAAAUGUAAGGUGAAAUACUUCAAGUUGCAUUAAAAUCUUUUCACAAUCUUGUAAAUGAUUGUUGUUCUCAUUGUAUUCAAGCUUCAAUAUACCAAAGCAAUUGAACUAAUAGAGGUGGAUUCAAACAUGAAGAAAGAAUGGUUAUAUGAAAUGGAUCUGUUAGUGUCACAAUUGACUGUACUCUAGCUAUCUGAAAUCAAUUAUCAAACUACAAAAUACCAAGGCUUAUUACUUCUGUCUUAAUUCAACGCAUAAUCUAUUCUACGACUAUCAAUUCAAUAUUACUUCUAUAUUCUUAUCCGUUCAUCUUCCACUUACUCUCUUUGUGGUUUAUAUAUAUUCAAUUACUGAUCUCCAACUUACCUAUUAUAUUUAAUUUCUCAAUUCAUCACACAGAAUUCAAUAUCUCGGCUUACGACUCUCAUAGUUUGACACUCCAAACUAACUUCUCAGUAUUCAGAAAUUAUCCAUUACUCGUCAACAACAAAGAAACAAAAAGAAGUAGUACCAAGCUUAUCCUAGCUUAUGACUAUCACAGUCUAGUCCCGAUCUCUCUUUUUUCAACUUCUUUAUCCUAUCCAAAAGAUAGUCCAUGGGCCAGCAGAUUCCAAAGGUUAUGACCCUUUGAACUCUUAACCAUUUAUUCCACUAACAACCUACUAUUACAACCUAAACUACUUAACCAUCAGUCUAAUUCUUAAGCUAAUCAAUAACCAAUCAGUAACUUAUCACAAAGUUUAUUUGCCUAUUCUACAUAGCUCCACUUCUAUUUGUGCAGUGUCCUCACAAACAUUAUUUAGCCUCAAUUUAUAAAGACGUAGUAGUGUUGGCUUCUUCAAUCAAUGGCAUUGGCUUACCAUCCUUUGAAUUGGUGACCUUCUUCUCUUUACAACUUCAUCAUUUUUCUUGGUGUUUGAGGAUUCUCCAUCCAAAUGUGCCGUCAGAUCUUCAUUCAACAAAUCCUAUUCCCGUACUUGAGACUCAAGACAACAAUUUGUUUGUUGUGCUCUUCCAACAUCUUCUACUAUUCUUCUGUCAGUUUCAAAGAUAUCUCCGAAGGUGUUGUCAAUGAAAUUGAUGUAUUGGUCCCCACUAAAUUAUUGGCCUCCUUUGCUAAUGCGACUAAUUUAGUCUACAACAUCACAACCUCUACUUGCACCCGUUCUUGCCGUUCCUUCCAAUCGGUCUCCAUCCUUGCUUUCUCAGACACCUUGUUUGUCAUCUUCUCCUUAACCACAAAAGAAAACACGAUGCUUGUCAAGAGCCCCCCUCCUACUACUUACUAUGAUUCAAUCAAUUGGGUCGACUUUUCCUUAUUUUCCAUGAUUUGUCAUGAUGAAAUAUUCUAUCAUCAUUAUUAUUUAUUUCCCCCUCCCUUUUGAAACAGAAAACCCAUCUCGGGUUUAUGUAUAGUAAAGUUUAAGCCAAUUGCUAUUGAUCCAUGUUGUAAAUUUAGUACCCAUAAAAUCUUCCAAUUACAAUGAACCAUUUGGAAAUCCGUUAAUAACUUGAUAUGGCCCAUGCCUUCGAACUUGGAAUUUUCCUAGAAAAUUUUUAAAUUGACUAUCAUAAAGAAAUAUCAAAUUAUUUGGCAUAAAAGCCUUUGGACUAAGCUUACUAUCAUAAUAAGUCUUCUUUCAUUUUUGUGUAGUUUCCAUAAUCAUUAAUGCAUUGGCUCUGAAUUCAUCUAAUUUUUUCAAUUCUUCUAAACGGUGCCGUAAUGAAUUCUGAUCUUCCAAUCUAGUAUCUAUAGCAAUUCGUAAACUUUGGACUUCCAAUUCAAUAGGUAAUAUUACUUUCUGGCCAUAAACUAAUUGGAAAGGAGUAGCAUUGGUAGUAACUUUAUACAUAGUACGGUAUGUCCAUAAAGCUGCGAUGAACUUAGUGUCCCAAUUUGUUUCCGCUCCUAAAAAUAUUUUUGUUAAGAUUUUAGAUAAAAUUCUAUUAGUCUUUUUCGUUUGUCUAUUGGCUCUAAGAUGAUACGGUAUAGUCUUUCAAUGUUUUAUCUCAUAUUUAGCCAUGAGUGCUUCGAUUGUACUAUUUAUAAAAUGAAUUCUUCGAUCACUAACCAAUUCUCGUGGACAAUCAAACCGUGUAAUAAUAUUUUCAUACAAAAAGGUUGCUAUUAUACUUGCACUAUCAAUUUUCAUAGCUACGGCUUCAAUCCAUUUUGUUAUGUAAUCCAUUGCUACUAAUAUAUACUAUUUUUGUCUAUUUUUUGAGGCUAGUAAAAUUGGUCCCAUAAAAUCAAUUCCCUAUUUUUCAAAAGGCGCUUGAGCCAAAAUUGGUACCAAUGGCAUUGCUGAAGUUCUAGUAGGUCAAUCCGUUCUCUGACAUGGAUCACAAUGACGGACAAAUUGGUGGGCAUCUGCAAACAUUGUUGGCUACCAAUAACCAGCUUGUAAAGCUUUACAAGCCAUGCUAUCCCCUAUAAAAUGUCCACCACAACUGUCCAAGUCGCAACCUUCCAAUAUAGUACACACUUCAGUUUGAUAAAUACAGCGUUGCAAAACUCCAUCCUUGCCUUGUUUAUAUAAAGCUUCAUCAAUCAUUAUAUAAGGUGCAUAUUUUAAUAUUAAGCAACAUUUAAGCUUUUCAUUAAAAUUAGGUGGAAAGGUUUGAAAUGUCAAGUAUUGAAUUAUUUUACUAUACUCUGGAGUAAUUACAUCUAUCACAAACAGUUCCACAUCGGGUAGUGCAUUGUUAAUGGGUUCAUUACUUAAUAUAUUGGAUAAUCGAGAUAAAUGGUCCACAUUGGAAUGUGAUUUUCUUGGUCUUACCUGAAUAGUAAAGUCAAAUUCUUACAAUAGUAAAAUCUAUCGUGUAAUAUGACCACUCAAUUGAGGCUUAUUAAUCAUAUAUUUUAAAGCAUCAUGGUUGACAUAGAAAACAAAUUUAUAAUCAAGAAGAUAAUGUCAAAACUUUUGUAUGGAAUAAAUCAUCCCCAAUACUUCUCUUUUGAUUGUUGUAUAAUUUCUUUCAGUUCCUAUCAAUUGACGACUUGCAUAAUAAAUAGGGUGAUCAAAAUUCCAAUCAUCUUUUUGGCUUAGCACAGAACCAAUCGCAAUAUUAGAUGCAUCCACAUAAACUUGGAAUGGUUUUGUCCAACAACGUGCUACCAAUAUUCAAGCUGAAACCAAUUUCUAUUUCAAUAUUUCGAAUGCAAUUGUACAUUCCUUUAUCCAAAAUGGACUAGUCCCAUUGGUUGGUGGUUUCUUCAAGAGAUUUAUUAAGGGAAGGCAUAUAAUUGCGAAUAGAUAGAUAAAUUGUCGAUAAUAACUGACAUGGCCAACAAAUGCUUGAACACCCAUAAUAGUGUUUGGUUGCUUUAAUUCUACUAUAAUCUUUAUUUUAUCUAGAUUAGUAGCAAUUCCUGCCAUCAAAACUAUAUGAUCCAACAGUUUACUAAAAGGCACACCAAAUUGGUACUUUUUUGAAUUUAUAGAAAUUUCAUAUUUGGCACAUUGAUUCAAACAUUGACCUAGAUAUUCUAAAUGCCUGGCUCUCGUACUAAAUGUAUAGAAAUCAUCUAGAAAUAUUUCCAUUAAAAUUCGUAGAUAAUCUUGGAAUGUGUGCAUCAUUAUCCUCUGAAAUGUAACUGGUGUAUUACAAAAUCCAAACGGCAUAACCUUAUAAGCAAAGGUCCCUCAAUUCGUAGUAAAAGUAAUUUUUAACUGAUCUUCUUUUACAAUUUUAACUUGAUUAUAAUCAAAGAAUCCAUCAAGAAAUGAAUAACAUUCAUGUCCAACGACAACAUCCAAUAUACUAUCCGUGAAUGAUAAAGGAAAAUAAUCCUUCUUGGUAGUUGCAUUUAAUAUGCAAAAAUCUUGAUACAUGUAAAUUUUUCCAUUCUUUUUUGAUACCAUAACAAUUGGUGAAAUCCAUUCACUGAAAGGAAUUGGAUAGAUAAAUCCAACCUCUAAGAGUUUAUCCAACUCUUUUUUUACCAUAAGUAAGUAUUAUGGAUUAAGUUGAUGUUGUCUUUGGCAUACUAGUGUAGCGUUCUCCUCUAAUAUAAUUCGAUGCUCACAAACUUCACUUAGAAUUCCUUUCAAAUCCGCAUAUGACUAUGCGAAAGCAGUUUUAUGCAUUAAAAAGUAAUCUACCCAAAUUUCUUUCUAUUUGUCUUUUAUACCGUCAUAAAUCUGAAUGAUUUGGAGAGCCUCCCCUGUACCUAAAUUAAUUGAUUGACAUCAUGGAAUUUUAAGAGUCUCUAGGAUAAUAUUUUGCUCUAUUCCAGAAUCUUUCAUAAAAUCCAAAAAAUUAGAACUUUCCAACUUCAGUUUCAUAAUACUAAUGUGAUUAAUAUCCUAUCUAUUCAUCCAAUAACCAAUCAUAUGAUCAAAAUCAUCAAUAACAUCUAGAAAAACUAAGUACUUUCUCGGUCUCCUAUACUGGUAUUUCAUUCUAAUGUGCUUGAUAACUUACCUUGUAUUAGCAUAAAUUGGGUCAAGUGCACCAAUUUCUUCUUCUGUAGACUCAUCUUCACAAUCCGACAUGAAUUUUGAACUUGCCAAUUGAGUUUUUCCAUGAUAUUGGACAAGAUACAUUUGAAGCACAAUUUUAUCAUUACCUUUUUCAAUUAUCAAUGUACCACGACCCCAAUCAUUUCGAACUUUAACUUGAUACAACCAUGAUUGUCCCAAUAAAAUUGGAUAUGACAAUAUAGAGCUUCGCAAUCGAAAAACAAUAUAAUCAAUUUUUUAGGUAAUCUCCACAAUUACUAUAUCAAUACUUCGUAAAAUACCCAUAAGUUUAAUUCAAUUAGAGUGAGCCAUUCUCAAAACCAUUGUAGUAGGCAAUAAGUGAUCCAAAUUUAAUUGCUCUAUUGUAGCAACAUUCAUAAGAUUUACACUAGAUCCUCUAUCUACUUGCACUCCCGAUAGUAACACUCCAUUAAUUGAAACAUCAAUCGUUGAUGCACUGAAAUUGGGAUUCAAACUUACUUCUCAGAUUUCUUUAUUUUGAGAUCUGCGACGAAUUAAUGAAGAAUUCAAGAUAGUUCGGCAUUAAGGUGCUACAACCAAUAAUUUCUUCAUAGAGAUCGUGGGCUGUAUGGUGUCCAAAUCUUUUAGAAUAUCAUAUGGUUUGUAUUAGUGGUAAUUUCCAAUGUCCAUUUCUUCUUCCCAGUCCUAGACAUCGAUGUAGGUAAAUUGGUAUUCUCUAUAUUGGAAAUUGGUAAAGCUACUGGAACUAAAUUUGAUAGAGCUUGUAAAAUUGAUUCUUUCAACGGAUAAGAUUGUUCUUCCAAUUGGGUUGAUAUUGGUUCCUUAGAAUUCAUGAUUCUGAGAAGAUCUUUCAAUGAAAAGGACGUUUCUCAAAACUAUGUUGAGAACGAAACGCCUUGAAACAAAACCAAAGCCUCCAUAAUCGGUACCUCAUUAAGGUGUAUAACCGAUUCAGGUCUUAUACUGAGUAAAGGACCCAUGUUAGGACUUAGAUUGGAUGGCCUCGUAAUUGGGUCCAAUUGGCCAUUUGCUUCAGGAUCACCCAAAUAUUGAAUUGGUCCUUUCUCCUUUUGCUGACUUCUUGUAAGGACAACUUGGACUACUUCUACUCGAUGAACUGGUGAAUCUUGAGGACCUUGAUUUAUCUCCUCUAUUUUUCCUUGGCUUUAGAUCUACUGAUCUCGAUAAUUGAAAUUGAAUGGAGUAUUACAUUGCUGAUAAGUAUAUCCCGACUACUUGUAAUUCACACACAUUGGCGCAUAAUCGUCACUAGCUGUGGGAUUGGGACAUUUAUUGGCAUGAUGACCAAUCUGUCUACAACAAAAAUAACAAAGUGGUCUUCUUGUACCUCUAUUUGGCAUAUUGGAUGUCUCCACUGGUAUAUAUCUACUAGGCUUGUUCCAAGUAGGAUUAGAAAAUGAUCCUAAUUGUCCCAUUGGUACUGAGGGUAUUUAGUUCGCUGACGUCGGUGGAGCAUAUUGCUGAUACCUCUGCUGCUCUUUUCUGUAGUUCUAGGGGUUUGAUAGAGACCUUUGAUUAAAAUUCGAACUUUAAAAGUUAUUGAAUGUUUGAUUUUAUCGAUUAAAUCGAUUUCCAUUCUAUCCAUACGUAUUCUCCAUUUAAAUUUGAUUGACUUUCCAUUAAGUUGGUAGAAUCAUGGUCUGAUUACUGAAUUGUUGUUGUCUUUGUAAAUGCCAGUAGUUUUGGGUAGGGUGCUUUCCUCCACAAAAUAUACAUUGAACACCCAUUUGUUUGGGUGAUGGACAUUUUGUAUCAAAAUGACCUUAUCCCUUACAAUUAUUAUACCAUACAUUAGGUUUCAUAUUAGAAGGCUUAUGUCAUUUUUUCUUAUCUUUAGCCAAAUUUACGGCCAAUUCUUCCAUCUUCUUCGUUAGAUUUAAUAACAAGGCUUUAUUUGGAUCUUUAAUAAUUACAUUUGUGAACAAUUCCAGUUAUUGAUAGAUUGGUGAUGUAAAAUAAUGUGUCAUUGUUAUUGGUGCUAUUGCUUGAAGUGGGAUAGUAUUAAUUGGUUGUUGCAAUAUAACAUUUUUUAUGUUGGAGUUAGUCAUUAGUGGAUAAUUAUCCAUUGAUACAUUUUCUAGUUGUAUUUGUUGGCUUCUUGAACUUGGAAUCAUCGUGGCCUCCAUUGUUAACAAUUGGUCAUAAUGACAUUCUUCCCACAUCUUUGCUCGUACCAACGAUGCUUCUACCGUAGCUAGUCAAGCCUCUUUUACAACUAUUUUUAAUUCUAGUGGAUGCAAAUCGUUAAUUAAUAUUGACAAUAUAAACGUAUCUGAUAUUUGAUUAUUUGACCAUUUACAAAGUAUAUCUGCAAUCCAACUAUAAUAAGACUCUACUGAUUUUUCCGCAAAUAUCUUGCUAUUCAUAAACUUUCUCUAAGCAGAUCUUCAAAUCCAAUUGGUCUAAAAUGGAUUAAGAAGGCAUUCCUCAUGGUCUCCCAAUUGAGAAAUCUAUCCACUGGUUGUCAAUUAUAUCAUUCAAAAGUUAUAUCUUUUAAAGUUGUUAACAACCAUCUCAACUAAAUGUCUUUAGUUUUACCAUUAUUAGCUAUGUAGGCUGUCAAGAAUUGAGAUAUAUGGUGAUCGGGAUCAGAGCCCGGCCAACCACUAAAAGUAGGUAAUGGUGCCACACUUGUAGUUCGGUCUCCUACUACUUCUAUUUGUACUGCAAUUGGUACUUCUAGUACUCCCGCGGCCAUUGGUGUUAUAACUCGUUUCCUUGCUAUUUGAAUUUGAAUUUUUCUUCAUUUGGUUUUACUUAGACCUACAAUUCCUUCUUGUCAUUCCCAUAGGAGAUUUCUUAUGUGUAAUUGCUCCUGUCUUUCUUUCACUUGUCAAUUAAUUCUUUGAUAAUCCUCUCCUUCAUGAUUAUUACUUAUAAUCUUUCAUUCUUCUUUAUAAAAUCAAUAUUUUCUUGAAUUAUAACUCACAUAUUUGUAAUCCUAAAAUUAGUUCUUUUCACAUUCUCAUUCAAUAUAUAAUUCCAUCUCCCAUACAAUCAAUUUCUAACAUUUCAUAUUAUUAUCAUUUCCUCGGCAAUAGUGCCAAAAUGUUGUUCUUGUUGUGUUCAAGCUUCAAUAUAUCAAAGCAAUUGAAUUAAUAGAGGUAGAUUCGAACACAAAAAAAGACUGGUUAUAUGAACUAGAUUUGUUAGUGUCACAAUUGACUGUACUCUAGCUAUUUGAAAUCAAUUAUCAAACUACAAAACACCAAGGCUUACUACUUCUAUCUUAAUUCAAUCCAUAAUCCAUUCUACGACUAUCAAUUCAACAAUACUUCCAUAUUCUUAUUCGUUCAUCUCCCACUUAUUCUCUUUGUAGUUUAUAUAUAUUCAAUUACUGAUCUCCAACUUACCUAUUAUAUUCAAUUUUUCAAUUCAUCACACAGAACUCAAUAUCUUGGCUUACGACUCUCAUAGUUUGGCACUCCAGACUAACUUCUCAGUAUUCAAAAACUAUCUAUUAUUCGUCAACAACAAAGAAACAAAAAGAGGUAGCACCAAGCUUGCCUUGGCUUACGACUAUCACAGUCUGGCCCCAAUCUCUCUUUUCUCAACCUCUUUAUCCUACCCAAAAGAUGGAUCGUCAGCUAGCAGAUUCCAAAGGUUAUGAUCCUUUAAACUCUUAACCAUUUAUUUCACUAACAACCUACUGUUACCAAUUAAAUUGCCUAACUAUCAAUCUAAUUCUCCAGGUUAUCAAUAACCAAUCAGUAACUUAUCACAAAGUUUAUUUGCCUAUUCUACAAUGAUCAACGUUAUUCUUGCAACAUCCCUUCUUAUCAAAAGUCUCAUUUUUUUUUCCUUCAUUACAUCCUUUGCUAGGAAUACCAUCUAAAAAAGGCAUAAUUUUUUUAAAAAUAAAGUCUUUCAAUAAAAUAAUCAUUCCAUUUAUUAUUAUCACAGAUAUAUACUUACUCAUUACUUAAGUAAGUAGAAUAAGGUAAAAGUAGAUUCAUUUCAUAAUACCUUCUAAAAAAGCCUCUUAGAAGCUUCUUAGAUAAUUUUUGACUUUAUAUAUGUUUGUAGUUAAUUGAUAGGUUAGAAACUUGAUCAACAAGAUAUUCAUGUGCCAUAUAUAUUGGUAGCUUAUAAAAUAAGCUAAUUAUGUGGGAGCCAUAUAAAAAACUUGCCUUACAAGUCAAGAUAUGUGUCAUAUAAAAUCAAUAUUUUUUUGGAGGUCUUAUAGAAUGUUGCCACAUAGAUCCUAAGUAGAUAGUAUAUAUAGAAGCAAGAAUAAAGCCUUCUUCACUCUUGCCAAGUCCUUUCUUCUUUUCAGUCUAGAUUCAAGAGUCUCUAAUUUCUUUGUCUUUUGAUAUUAGUUAUUUUAAUUUCAUUUUAAUGUACAUAAUAUUUUAUUUUUAUUUUAUCACUUUUCUUUUGACAUAGAUUUUUUAAGUUUAUGCAUCUUUAUCUAUUUCAUGUCCUUGAAAAAUUGACAAGAGUAUACUUAUAAUAUUAGAGCUUUGUCUUCUCUUGAUUAAGAAUGGAUUAUUUAUUUUUUUGUAUAAAACAUAAGCAUAUUAAAAAUUAUAGAUUACCUUCUUCUAAACUAAUAUUAUUCUUAGUAUCUUCUUUAUUCUCAAGUCCUCUCUUUAGUUUGCUUUAAGCAAUAUUAGACCUUUUUUAUAAGUAUCAUCAUAACAAAGCUUCUUGAAAUGAAGAGUAUAAUGGUACAAAUCCAAGAACAAUUGAAGGUGUUGAUGCUUGCAAUGCAUUAGCUCAGUUUAUUGCUACUUAGAGCAAUAAAAAUAAAAAAAUUAAAGAUAUUGACAUGAUUAAAACCGCUUCAAUAUCUAUAUUGAAUCACAUCCUUUUUCCUAUAGUGGAACAUCCUUUCUAUAUUAGAAACCAAUAGUUGAUUUGUUUGAGAAGUUUAUUAGCAUAAGAUCUAAAUUUCAAGGAUUUAUUAAUCAAGUACAACUUACGAUUGAAUUUCAAUUCCAAAGUUAUCUAAUUCUAGGAUCAUAAGUUAGAUUCAUUGGUACACUUCUUUUAAGUUUAAUAUUAUCAUGGUUUUUAUCUUUUUUUGAAUGACAAGAUCUAAUAUUAGAUAAUUUGGAGGCUUUUUUGGAAGAGUUUUGAUCUAUGUAUAGAGAACAUGAUGCAACUCAUGUUGCAACAAAUAAGAUUCAUAUUUUAUGACAAUGCAAUCCAUUUAUAACAUUAUAUGCUUUAUAAUAUUAAUAAUUUACAACUGAUAUCAAGUGAGAUGAUAUUGCACUUAUUAGCCAAUUUUUCUAUAGAUUAAAAUAUAAAAUAAAAAAAAUAAUUUUCAACUUACUUGAUCGUCAAACAUUAAAUCAAGCAAUUGACUUUGCUAUGAAGUGCAAUAAUCAGCUUUUUGAAUUUUGAUUUGAGAGCCAAAUAAAUGGGCUUCAAUGCUAUUAUAAUUCAAUAGCAAUACCAAUGCCUCUUCAAUACAUACAUUUGAAAGUAGAUGAUGUGUAAAUUGAUGUGAUACGUUUCAAAUCUCUUACUAAGUAAAAAUAGAUUCAUCACCAUCAGGAAGGAUUGUGCUAAUAUUAAAGAGAGUCUAAGCAUAUUGCUUAAUAUUAUUCAAAGAAGUGAUGCAAUUAUAAAAUAAAGAGUACAAAUCUCAAAGAAGAUAUUAUAUUAAAAAAUAAAUUUAUCGAGCUACAAUAGAGAUUGUGCAACUAGAACCUUAUACAAUAUCUAAUAAAGGUCCUAUUCUCUCUUUAGAACCGUCUUCUUGUUUUACAUUAAAUAUUAUUUUACGACCUAAAUAUUACAAAGCCUCUCGCUUAUUAGAUUCAAGAAUCUCAGCAUAUUUCUUAGAUGAAGAAUUUGCUAAAAGAAUUAUAACAUAUCUUUAGUGAAGAAAACUAAACUUAUUCAUAUAAAAGUCAUAGAUGGUCAUCUAUUGUCUUCUAGAGAUAUUACUUACAAAACCCUUCUUAUAACCAAUAGUUAUAAUAGCUUUGUAGUGUUUAACAUCAUUAGAUCUCCUUCUAAUCCAAUCAUUUUAAGCUUAUCGUGGUUAGAAAAUAUAACCCUUGAAUAGAUUAGAUUUCUUGUAUUCUUGACUUUUCUAAAAGUAUAAUCAAAAGUAUAAUUAAUUAAGUAAAAAAUCACAAGUCUAGUAUAAUUAAACCUAUGUUUGUAAAUGCAAGAGCUUUCUUACAUGUUCCAAAAGAAGAAUCACCUUGUGUCAUUUAUGCCACACCUAUCUCUAAUAGUGCAAAGACUUCAAAUGGUAUUCCAAGCCAAUAUCAAAAAUUUUAAGAUAUAUUUGAAAAAAAGAAAGAUGAUACUCUUCUAAAACAUUGUUCCUAUGACUACUCAAUUGACCUUCAAGAAGAAGCACAACCACUGUCAAUAUAGAGAGAGUUUGCCUCAACAAAGUGCUUAGCUUCAAGCUACCACUAAAUGCUCAAUCAAGUCUAAGAUAUAAAAGUAUCAAGUUUAUAUAUGUAAUAUUUUCUCUUUUAAGAAAAUUACAUCAAUACAAAAGCCCAAGUACCAAAAAAACACCCAAAUGUAUGAUAAAGUAUCUUAAAACCUUAUAUAUCCUUAUGAGAAAUGUUUCUUGAACUUCAACACCUCAUAUUUCACGAUUGGACUGUCCAAAAAAUCCUAAAUUUUACAUGAAGUACUGAUAUACUUUCAAAAACUACCACAAAAAAAUUCAACAACAAGUUCAUUACAGAUCUUGAGAUAUCACCAAAAUCCUAUUAAUAGCUUUAAACCCUAGUUUACAUACAUUUGCAUGCUAUUUUCUUCAUAUCACAUAAAAUAAGUACUCAAAUACCAUAAAACUCUAAUCUAUAGCUUCUUAACUUAAUAACACACACUUAUGGAAAUUUUGAGCCAAAAAUUCAUCUAGAAACUCAAGAUAUGGCUUCAACCAUACCUAUCAACAAAAUGAUUCACUUAUUGCCUUUGAAUUACAUGUGCUAUCUUCAAUACCCUAUAACUCCUUCAUUUAGACUUGGAAUUCAUCAAAUAGUAUAUGUAAAGUGUAGCCAAGAAAGUGUUCUCUCCAACUUCAGUUGCUGAUCUUUCAUUGCUCUCCGUACGCAUAUGUUAUGCUUCAAAGAGUGAUAGUAGAUACAAAUUUGACACCUUAAUUUUGAACACCUAUAUCUCUUUCACAAAAACUUGAAAUCACACAAACUCUUCAUCCAAAUUAUACCCAAAAUCUCGAACUUGCUGAUCCUAGCCUCCAAAGCUCAAAUGACUUUGAAAGAGAAAUUCUAAUCUCUAAUAAGGCCUCGGGCAGCCUCCUUGAAACCCAUUGGGCAUGGCCUUCGACCAAUAAGAAUGAAGAUCUCCAUUCCCUGCCUUCAUCUAACCAUGCCUUGCUUUCAUCCCUCCCAAUAAGCCUCCUAAUAGUUUAGACUUUCAUCUUUAAACUCCAAUCUUCUCUUAAGCUUUAUACUAGAUAUCUAAAUCCUACAUAAUAUAAACACUAUAAUCAAAAUAGAUAAAUCUAUAAAUAAAUUUCCUUAUAUCAAUUCUCUUUAAAUUUAUUUAGUAACCACUCUAAUCUACAUCAAGACUUACAAACAUAUUAUAUGUCUUAAUUGAUUUUUACAUACUAUAAGCAUUUACAGUAUAACAAUGUUUGAUAUCAUGACCUAGAAAAAGACUCUUGAUGUUUGGUGAUUUUAUUGGAAGUAGGUACAACUCCUGAUGGUGUUGUAAAUAUUUUCUUUGAAGAAAGUUACGUAGGUUUCAACAAUGAUCAAAUCACAAGGUGAUCUUCUCAUCCUAGAAUGGGAUAUUAUUAAUGGCUAAGAUGAUCUAUCAACUACCUUCUAAAGAAACAAAGAUCAAAUUACGUAGCAAAUAUAAUUUAUUAUAUCUUAAACUUCCUCAAUAUAUGAUCACUACUUCUCAUGGAACUCAUCCCUAGAAGGGAGGAUAAUAUCACAGUGACAUAUUAUGGUUAGGCUUCCAUAUGAAAAUAAUAUAAUUAUAUAUUUAAUAUUCAAUUUACUUAGCAAUAUGGUGAGAGCCAUAUUACGAGAUUUUAGUUGGUUUUAGAGUGUGGUUAAAUUACUACUUUAAGAAGAAGUUGUUUCAAAUGAUUACUAUUAGAAUUUGUACAACUUUAUUUUCUUUUGAUAGUGACUUUGAAGUUGAUCUUAUUAGUAGUAAAUUUGAAUACUUAGAAUCACUUUUGUUAGAUAUUGGUGACCCUUAAAGUCUUAUACUCUUUCUUUUAUAUGGUAUUUAGGACAUAUAUUGUAUAAAUUUUAUAAAUAAAAGAGUUGGAGAGGAAUUUUGGUAUCAAAAAGAGAAUUUAAGACAUCUAUAUGGAUGAAUAGAGAUGGAUGAUAUAAAUUUUCAUUCCCAUUGGUCAAAAAUCAUGAGCAAUGGACUUCAACAAGGCUGCCUAAGGCCAUAUUAGACAUUAGGGUUAGUUUUUUGGAAGGAUUCAAAUAUCAAAGGCUAAGGUCUAUAGGUUCAAGUUUUUGGCUAUGGUUUUGGUGAAAAUAUUCAGUCAUUUAGAGUUUUUAUGAAAGAGAUAUAGGUACUCAAAGUUGAAGUGUUGAUUUUAUACUUACUGUCACUCUUUUGGAUAUAAUACAUGCGUACGGAAAGCAACUAAGGAUCAGCAGUCAAGGUUAAAAAGAAAACUUUUUUGGCUAUAUUUUAUGCAUAUUUUUUGAUAAUUUCUAAACUAGGAUGAAGGAGAUAUUAGAAGUUGAAGUCAGCAUUUGGAAUCUAAGUAGUUGUAAGUGACCCAAAUUGCUAGUAGUUGUGUUUUGAGCUAUAUCUUGUGCAAUUUGAUAAGAUUUUGUUUAAGAAUUUCUAAGAAUGAAUAUUUUUAUGUUACUAAAUUUUAUACAUAGGUUUUGUGAUAUUUGGAUUUUGGAUUUUUGAGAUACAAAGAAAAUAUUACUUAGGUACUUGUGAAUUAGGGUUUUAGAGUAUCUCCUAGGAAUUUUAAGAUGCUAGAUAAUGAGUAGCGAAUUUAUGGUUGAAUUUUUGUAAGAUAAAGUUUGAGGGUGAAUUCUAUGAUAUUUUUGAAUUAGGAAAAAUCUGAAUAGCUAGACCAAGUGAUAUGAAUUUUUAAAGUAUAGAAAGAAGAAAUCCUUUAUAUGAAUAUUAUAUUUUGAAGGGAUUUUAUUAUAACUUGAGAAUUUUAUACAAAAUAAAGGAGUAUUUGAGAGCCAAGACUUUAUAUAUAUGUUGAAGAUGGAUAUAUGGAGCUAUGGUUGAAUUUUUGUAUAAAGAUGAGCUUUUGAGAGGAGAUUGUGGAUUUCCUUUGAAGUUAUUGAAAACCUAAUCUACCAACAAAUGGUUAGCUAUGAUUUCGUAUAGCCAAAAAUGUUAGAAAAUUUCUAGAUAUUUUAGAAAGCCUUAUAUAUAAAUCUUCUUAAAUAUAAAAAUAUUUAUUAAUAUAAUAUCUAUUUGAUAUUAUAGUAUUUAUUUAUCUUCUACUUUUAAGAUUAAAUAACUUAUUAGAGCUUGGCCAAUAAGUUAAAACUAAACUCUCUACAGCUAGGUACCUAGUGUAUUCUCAGAUAGAAAACUAUGUAAUACAACAACGGAUUUAUACCUAUUGUAAUCAUUACUUAAAUAGGUAGAAUUAGAUAAAAGUAAAAUCAUUUCAUAAUUCCUUCUAGAGAAGUUUCUAUGAAGCUUCUUAAAUGAUGUUUUCACUUUAUAUAUGUUUGUAGUUGAUUGAUAGGUUAGAAACUUGAUCAACAAGCUACACAUGUGCCAUAUAUAUUGGUAGCUUAUAAAACAAGCUAACUAUGUGGCAACCAUAUAAAAAACUUUCUUUGCAAGUUAAAAUAUGUGUCAUAUAAAGUCAACACAUUUUUAAAGGUCCUAUAGAAUGUCGCCACAUAGAUCCUAUAUAGAUAGUAUAUAUAGAGGCAAGAAUAAAACCUUCUUCACUCUUGUCAAUUCCUUUCUUCUUUUCAGUCUAAAUUUAAGAAUCUCUAAUUUUUUUGUCUUUUGGAAUUAGCUAUUUUACUUUCAUUUUAAUGUACAUACUAUUUUAUUUUUAUUUUGUCACUUUUUUUUUUACAUAGAUUUUUCAGAUUUAUACAUCUUCUUCCAAUUCGUGUCCCUCAUAAUUGUAUAUACAACUAAAUUAGUUGCAUCUUACAAAAGAGUACACAUUUUAAAUAGUCCAAGUGGUAUUGUCAUUAUUGUUAAAUCUCUACUUCAACAUGUAAGUUGAAAUUGAUUAUAACCCAAAUAUAAAUUAUCAAUUGAAUAAAUCACCCUUCCUGUAAAAACUUCUUUAAACUCAUAUAUUAAAGAUCCUAUACUUGUAUUUUAAUAGUUACUGUAUUUAUUGGCUGCAUAUCAUGAAUAAAAUGCAAUAAUCUAUUUUUCUUAGGUACUAUAAACCAACAACUAGAAUAUGGAACAAAACCUAGUCACAUAUUAUAUGAAGCCUUUCUUGAGAAUGCACCAAGUACUUGGUUGUAGAAUGUAGAAAGAAUAUUGCAACAACAUGAUUUUAAUUGUAAUAGAAUCAUAAAUAAUUCCAAUUAAAUCUUAAUAAUGCUAAUUAAGAUUUAAAUAAUCCAAAAAAAGCUCAAAAAAUUACAAAAGAAGCAUGAAAAAAUUGAAAAGAAAUUGAAAAGAAGUAUUAAAAUAAAAUCCAAAAUAUAUUACAAAUAAAUUUCAACCAAAUCUUACUUUAGUCUUACUUAAAAUUUUAAUAGUCUUUAAUUAUAUUCUAAAUCAAAUCCUCAUUAAAUCCUAAAUAAAUCCUAAAUCCUAACAAAUUUUUAAAUCCUAAAUCAAAUCAUAAUCAAAUUAACCUAAUUCUAAGGUAGUUUAGAACCUCAAUAUUUAUCAAUUUUACCAUUGAUCUUGCUUAAGAUUUUACACACCUUUCAACAAAUAAAUUGGCAACAAGUACACAUAAUUUCAAGAAAAUAAAAUUUACCAAAUAGAUGAUCAAUUCUAAAUUCCCCUUGGAUGUUGGCUAGCUUCCUACUCCAAUCUAAAUGUUGAACUUCUAGUGCUAAGAUCUCCUUCUUGAACUAUUAAAUUACCUUCUAAAUAUACUUUAACUAUAGGAAAUCAAGUCUCCACAAAAAAGUUAGCAAUUUGGGAUUGAGUAGAGUUUUCAUGAUAUCUAAAGAUUUGCUUAUUAGAACAAAGUGAAAUUUAACAUAGUGUUAGAGGACUUAAUGUCACGGACAUACAUAUAAUUACCUAUAUGAAUAGAUAAAAGUAUGUAAAAGUAGAUAAAAGUAGGUUAAUUGUGUAAUAUCUUCUAGAGAAGCUUCUUAGAAGCUUCAUAGACGCUGCUUUGACUUUAUAGGAGUCUAUAGUUGACUUUUAGGUUAGAAACUUGGUCAACAAGUUAGCCAUGUGCCACACAUGUUGGAAGCUUAAAGAACAAGCUAACUACGUGGUCCAUCCAUAGAAAACUUGCCUUGCAAGCAAAGGCAUGUGGCCUAGAAAGUCAACAUAUAUUGGAGGUCUUAUAGAACAUCGCCACGUGGCUUCUAGUUAGAUAGUAUAUAUAGAGGCAAGAGUGAAGCCCUCUUCACUCUUGUCAACUCCUUUCUUGCUUCUAGUCUAGUUUCAAGGGUCUCUAGUUUUCUUGUAUUUUGGCAAUAGCCAUUCCAGUUUCUUUCUUAAUAUACAUAUUUCUAUUUUGUCCUAUUUCUUUUUGAGAAAAGUCUCACUUACUCUUUAGCUUUCAUCGAGUUCUUGUCCUUGACAGAUUGACAAGAGUACACUUACAAUAUCAGAGCUUUGUCUUUUCUUGAUUAAGAGUGGAUUACCCCUUUUUCUUGAUAAGACAUAAGCACAUUAGAAGUUGCGGAUUACCCUCUUUUAAACUGAUAUUGUUCUUAGUAUUUUCUUUGUUAUCAAUUCCUCUCUUCUAUUUGUUUUGAGCGUUAUUAGACAUCUUCUCUUUUCUAAGUGCUACUAUGGCAGAGCUUGUUGAAAUGAAGAGUGCAAUGGCACAGAUGCAAGAGCAAUUGAGGGAGUUAAUGCUUGCGAUGCAUCAACUCAAUUUACCACCACAAGGAGCAACAAGAAUGGUAGGAAGUGAAGAUAUAGAGAUGAUUGAGGCUGCUUCAACAUCUACACCAAACCAUGUCCCUUCUCCCAGAAUGGAACACCCUUCGAGUGUUAGAGAACCGAGAGUUGCCUUGCCCGAGAAGUUUGAUGGUACCAGAUCCAAGUUUCGAGGAUUCAUCAAUCAGGUCCAACUAGUAAUUGAACUUCAACCCCAGAGCUAUCCAACUCCAGGGUCACAAGUUAGAUUCAUUGGUACACUUCUUUCAGGUUCAGCAUUGUCAUGGUUUUCAUCUUUUCUUGAACGACGAGAUCCAAUAUUGGAUAAUCUGGAGGCUUUUUUGGCGGAGUUUCGAUCCAUGUUUGGAGAACAUGAUGCAAUUCGUGUUGCAACCAACAAGAUCCGUAUUUUGCGACAAGGCAAUCGAUCAGUAACAUUAUAUGCUUCGCAAUUUCGACAACUUGCAACUGAUAUCAAGUGGGAUGAUGCCGCACUUGUGAGUCAAUUUCUCUACGGAUUACAAUAUGAGGUAAAGAAAUUGAUGCUUAAUUUACCUGAUCCUCAAACAUUGAGUCAAGCAAUUGACUUUGCUGUGAAGUGCGACAAUCGACUUUUUGAAUUUCGAUCCGAGAGUCGUACAAGUGGGCCUCAACGUUACUACAAUUCAAUGGCAACACCGACGUCUCCUCAACACAUACCUUCGGAAGUAGAGGAUAUGCAAAUUGAUGCGGUACGUUUCAAACCUCUUACUGAGCAAGAAAAGUCUCGUCGUCGACAAGAAGGAUUGUGCUUAUAUUGUGGAGAACCUAAGCACACUGCUCAACAUUGUCCAAAGAAGCGACGUAACUACAAAAUGAGGAGUACGACUGUGAAAGAAGACAGUAUGUCGGAAAACGAGUACGUCCAGCUACAAUAGGGACCGUGCGGCUGGAAUCUUGUACAACUUCUAAUGAAGGUCCUAUCCUCUCCUCAGAACCAUCUCCUUGUUUUAUAAUAGAUGUGCGUUUAGGACCUAAUAAUUACAAAGCCUCUGCCUUGAUAGAUUCAGGAGCCUCAGCUUGUUUUUUAGAUGAAGAAUUUGCUAGAUGUCAUAGAAUAUCAUUAAUACAAAAAACUAAACCUGUACACGUAGAAGUUAUAGAUGGUCGUCCGUUGUCUUCUGGAGAUGUAACUCACGAAACACUUCCUGUAGAUGUAGUAAUAAAUGGUCAUAAUAGUUGCGUAAUUUUUAAUAUAAUUAGAUCUCCCUCUAAUCCAGUAAUUUUAGGCUUAUCAUGGUUAGAAAAGUAUAAUCCUCGAAUAGAUUGGAUUUCUCGUAAACUUGAUUUUCCUCGGAGCAUUAGUAACAGUUCUAUUAAUCAAGUAAAAAACCAUGAGUCUAGUAUAGUAAAACCCGCACUUAUAGGUGCAAAAGCAUUUAUACACGCAGCAAAAGAAGGAUCAACUUUUGCUAUUUAUGCUGCACCUAUUUCUGAAAGCGUAAAGACUUCAAGUGGCAUUCCAAGUCAAUAUCAGGAUUAUCAAGACGUUUUCGAGAAAAAGAAUGCAGAUAUUCUUCCUGAGCAUCGCCCAUACGAUUGUUCAAUCGAUCUCAAGGAAGGAACUCAGCCACCAUUUGGACCAAUUUACAGUUUAUCGCAAGAUGAGUUGGCUGAACUCAAAACAUAUAUUGACGAGAAUUUAGCGAAGAAUUUCAUACGUCAUUCAAAAUCUCCAGCAGGAGCUCCAAUUUUAUUCGUAAAGAAAAAAGAUGGAUCUUUACGAAUGUGUGUUGACUAUCGAGGACUCAACAAGAUCACAAUCAAGAACAGGUAUCCAUUACCUUUGAUAUCAGGACUCCUUGACCAGUUAAAUCAAGCUAAGAUCUAUACAAAAAUAGAUCUAAGAGGAGCAUAUAAUCUAGUACGGAUCAAAGAAGGAGAUGAAUGGAAGACUGCGUUUCGAACCAGGUACGGACACUUUGAAUACAAUGUCAUGCCUUUUGGACUCACGAAUGCACCAGCUGCUUUUCAACAUCUCAUGAAUGAUGUAUUUCGUGAAUUCUUAGACAAUUUUGUCGUCUGCUAUCUAGACGAUAUCCUGAUCUAUUCCAAGAACGUUGAAGAACAUGAAAUACAUGUUCGUCAAGUAUUACAAAAACUUAGAGAUGCAGGAUUGUACGCCAAGAUGGAAAAGUGUGUAUUUCACACUACUCAAGUUGACUUUUUAGGAUACAUCAUUUCAAAUGAUGGUCUCAUGAUGGAUUCUAAGAAAGUCCAAACAAUCAUGGAUUGGAAGAUUCCAAAGACUGUAAGAGAUGUCCAAUGUUUCUUGGGAUUUGCCAAUUACUAUCGAAUCUUCAUCAAAGACUUCUCACGAGUUGCAGCUCCACUUACACGCUUGACUAGUAAAGAUAAAUUUCAAUGGAAUCAAGAAGCGGAAGCAGCAUUUGAAGCCUUGAAGACAUCGUUUGUCUCUGCACCAGUCUUAUAUCGUGUUGACUUUUCCAAGGUAUUUUUUAUGGAAACAGACGCAUCGGAUUUUGCCUUGGGUGCAGUUUUAUCACAAAUGGGAACAGAUGACAAACUUCAUCCGAUAGCUUUUCAUUCAAGAAAAUUCUCAGCAGCCGAGAUCAAUUAUGAGAUCCACGAUAAAGAACUUCUUGCGAUCGUGGAUUCCUUUCAAGAAUGGCGUCAUUAUCUAGAAGGCGCUUCUAGUCCAGUCACUGUGUAUACAGAUCACAAGAACCUCGAGUAUUUCAUGUCAGCACGCGUGUUGAAUCGUCGUCAAGCUCGUUGGAGUAUGUCUUUGUCAAGAUUCGACUUCAUUAUCACUUAUCGGCCAGGAAAACAACAAGGUUUGUCCGAUGCCCUGUCUAGACGUUCUUAUUUUGCACCAAAAGAAGGAGAUGCAGCUUUUGAGCAACAAAGAACGGUCCUCUUGAAACCGGAGCAAUUUCAUCUCCGAGCAGUGAAAUCAACAUUGACUGUUGAUUCAACUUUUCUCAAGCAAAUCCAGUCCAGUAUGUCCUCAGACCCUCUUGUUCAUGAUAUCGAGAAUAAUUCUUCCAAGUCUCAUGAUUCUUCUAAGUUCGAGUUCAAGAAUAAUCUAUUAUAUUUUGAAGGACGCCUAUAUGUUCCAGAAGGAAAAGCACGUUUGCGUGUUCUUCAAGCACGUCAUGACUUUCCAGCAGCAGGGCACUUUGGAUAUAAUAAGACUCUGGAACUCAUAUCAAGAGAUUUUUGGUGGCCACAAAUGUGGAAGUCAGUCAAAGACUUUGUACAAUCAUGUGAUAUUUGUUCAAGAUCAAAAAUUCCUCGACAUCGACCUUACGGACUUCUUCAGCCAUUACCUAUACCAGAACAACCAUGGUCUUCUGUUUCUAUGGAUUUCAUCACAGAUCUUCCAAACUCAAGAUCUUAUGAUUCUAUAUUUGUGAUAGUAGAUCGUUUCACCAAGAUGGCACAUUUUAUGCCAUGUACAAAAUCUAUCACAGGUGAAGAAACAGCUAAGCUUUUCAUUGAUAAUAUCUAUCGCUAUCAUGGAUUACCUAAAGAUAUCAUAUCGGAUAGGGGAACUCAAUUUGUGUCGAGAUUCUGGAGGACUCUUUUCAAGAUUUUAAAAGUGGACAUAAAGCUAUCUUCAGCUUUCCAUCCUCAAACUGAUGGACAAACAGAGCGCGUAAACCAAGUCUUGGAACAGUAUUUAAGGUGUACCAUCAACUACCAACAAGAUGAUUGGACAAACCUUCUGCCAUUGGCAGAGUUUGCUUAUAAUAAUACGGUACAUUCCUCCACGCAACAAACACCUUUCUUUGCCAAUUAUGGCUAUCAUCCACGACUUGAUACUUUUGAUUUUUCAAAAGUUGAUAAUCCUGCAGCAGAAGAUAUGGCAAAUCGGUUGUCAGAGUUACAUGCAAUAAUGAAGGCGCAGUUGAAGAAAGCUCAAGAACGACAAAAGAUAAAUGCAGAUAUAUAUCGUAAAGAGCAACCACAACUCAACGUGGGUGAUAAGGUAUGGCUACUUCGUCGCAAUAUCAAGACCACUCGACCUUGUGACAAAUUGGACUAUCGUAGGCUUGGCCCCUUUUCUGUUUCUGAACAGAUCAACCCAGUUGCAUAUCGGUUACAUCUACCGGAGUCAAUGAAGAUCCAUCCUGUAUUCCACGUGUCUCUUCUUGAACCAUAUAAGACAGUGGAUAUACAAGGAAGAAGACAAAUGCCACCGCCUCCUAUAGAAGUAGAUAAUAAUGAAGAAUUUGAGGUGGAAGAGAUAUUAGACUCAAGGCGGUGCCGAAAUAAGCUAGAAUAUCUUGUUCAUUGGCGCGGAUAUGAUAUUAGUGAGCGCACAUGGGAGCCAUCCAGGAAUCUAGCAAAUGCAUCAGCUAAAGUCAAAGUUUUUCAUCAACGACAUCCAUCAAAACCAAGAUGAAAACCUCUCUUAUAAAAGAGACAAGAUUGAGGCAAGAUAACAUUCAAAUUCCUAUCCUUGUUUGUAACUUCUUUGCAUUUGUGACGCUAAUUAGAUGGAGAGCCAACAACCAGCGGAUUCAACUCAAGAACCUUCGUUUGCUGACUUACCGGAUGAGACAUUACGAUUGUCACAACCUUCAAGACGACGCAACCGAGAUGAAGAUCCUCAAGAACGACAUGUUCUUCCUCGAAUAGAUGGUGAGAUACAACGCGUUUGGUAUCACGACCUUGGAAGAGAUUCUCGAUGUUUGGUGAUAUUAUUGGAGAUAGGAACGACUCCUGAUGGUGUUUCAAAUGUAUUAUUUGAAGGAAGUUAUGAAGGCCUCAACAGUGAUCAAAUAACAGGGUGGUCUUCUCGCCCUGGAAUGGGACACUAUCGAUGGCUAAGAGGACCCAUCAACUAUCUUCGAAGAGAACAAAGAUCAGAGUAUGUAGCAAAUACAAUUCGCCGCAUAUUAGAUUUUCUCAAUAUAUAAUCACCGCUCCUCGUGGAACUCGUCCCUAGAAGGGGGGGUAAUGUCACGGACAUACAUAUAAUUACCUAUAUGAACCUAUAUGAAUAGAUAAAAGUAUGUAAAAGUAGGUUAAUUGUGUAAUACUUUCUAGAGAAGCUUCUUAGAAGCUUCAUAGACGCUGCUUUGACUUUAUAGGAGUCUAUAGUUGACUUUUAGGUUAGAAACUUGGUCAACAAGUUAGCCAUGUGCCACACAUGUUGAAAGCUUAAAGAACAAGCUAACUACGUGGUCCAUCCAUAGAAAACUUGCCUUGCAAGCAAAGGCAUGUGGCCUAGAAAGUCAACAUAUAUUGGAGGUCUUAUAGAACAUCGCCACGUGGCUUCUAGUUAGAUAGUAUAUAUAGAGGCAAGAGUGAAGCCCUCUUCACUCUUGUCAACUCCUUUCUUGCUUCUAGUCUAGUUUCAAGGGUCUCUAGUUUUCUUGUAUUUUGGCAAUAGCCAUUCCAGUUUCUUUCUUAAUAUACAUAUUUCUAUUUUGUCCUAUUUCUUUUUGAGAAAAGUCUCACUUACUCUUUAGCUUUCAUCGAGUUCUUGUCCUUGACACUUAAAGACCAAGCCAUAAAUAAAUUUUGAGCUGAAGUUAAUGAUUGGAGAAGAAAAAAUCACUAUUAAAACAUAUGCAUCAACUUUUGAGUUGUUGGCCAAAUAACAUGAAUAUAAUUUUAUGGAUGUUUUCUUAUAAUUUAUAAGUUGAAUUGGGCUAAAUUUUUUAAAGCUUAUAGAAGACUUAUAGUGACAUUUUAAUGCCAAAUUUUACACUAAGUAGAUAUUCAAAUUAGAAAUUAUAGCUUGCUAAAUUUCAUUGACAAGGAUUAAGGCUUGCAAAGAUAAAUUGAAAUUUCUUAAUUAUGAAAGUAAUAAUGCAAUUGGAAAAUAUAUAUGAUUGAGGUUACUAAGAAGAAUGUUUUUUAGUACUUUGUAUUGAUUUUAAGUACUUUUGAAUUAAAAUUUGAAUUGCAUUCUCCUUAUAUAGGUGAAGCUAAUUAGGAUUUUUGAGAUACUUAUAAAAGAAAACUUUACCUUCUACAGCCAAAUAUUUAGUGCAUUUCAAAACAAGACAACAUGUAAUAUAACAAUAGAAUAUGGCCAAUAUAUAAGGUAGUAUUAUUUGAGGGUUUAUAUAUCAAGAUAGAUCCUUAAUAUGUGUGCUAGGCUAAAAGGCAUCCAUGGAUAUCAAGCUUCUAAUUGUUGGCUAACUUGCUGACCUUCCUUUGAGGUAGAUGCAUUACUAAUAGGGAUCCGACUAGAUCCCACUUUUUUUUUUUUUUUAAUUUCUAUCUAUUUUAUAUAAAUGAGUAAAAUCAAAGUAAAAAAGAUAAAAAAAUAAUAUAGAUAUAUAUAUAAGAAGAAAUUAAAAAUAUAUUUUAGCAAAAUUUACUUCAAGAAGCCAAAAAUUGAUACUUAGAGAGGACCAAUUAUUAACUUAGGUCAAAAUCAAACUCUAAGGUAUAAAAUUACGCAUCUACAUUGACUUUAAGUUUCUUUGAUAGAUCAAAGAGUAAGAUUUAAGAGCAAACUUGAAGAGAGAUUUUUAAGCAUUGAUUUUAUGUCAAUUGAAUCAACAUUGAAUUUUUGAGGAAUUUUUGAGGAAUUUUUAAAAUUAUUGAUAUUUUUGAUUGAUUUAGAUUUUUCGAAAAUAAAAUUAUAUUUAUAGAUUUGAUGAUUUCUUGAGUUUUGUGGUAUGUAUAUAGGUAAAUUUUGGAUAGUAUGUUGGUGUUCUAGUUUUUAAUAUGUGUACGAAUUUUGAAGGCAAUCAAUCAAUUAGAUCAAAGUGUAUGAAGGUUUUUAUGGGUUAAGGUUACAAAAAUUGGAGUUGAAGAUUAAUGAGUAAUUCUAAGAUCUUCAGCAAUCUAUUGAUUGGAUUGAAGUAAAUUUUUUUGUAUAGAUACUAGACUUGAUUUUCAACAUUUUAGAUGAAAGUAAGAAGCAAUUCAAUAAUUCAAGAAAGAGAUAUUGGUACUGGAAGUUUAGCAUUUAGAUUGGAGUAGAAGGCUGCUUAACAUCUGAUUAGAUUAUCUUGCUUUUCUUUCAAUUAAUACGUAUAAUUUAUUUUAUUUAUUUUUUGCUUAUUUUUAACUAAAAUAUUAAAAAGUGUAAAAAAUUUGAAUUGAUAGUAAUAGUUUGAUUAUUAAUUUUUGAGAUUCCAUUUGCUAUAGAAUUUAUUAAGAAUUUGUUUAAAAUCUAAGGUUUGAUUAGGAUUUAUUUUGGAUUUUGUUUGGGAUUUGCUUAGGAUUUGGUUUAGAACUAAUCAAGGAUUUUUCUAAGGUUUAGGAUUUCAUUAGGAUUUUAAUUAGGACUAGAUGUAAGGUUGACCUAGGAUUUGAUUAAAAUUCAAUUAAGGUUUUAAUUAAGAAUUGACUUAGGAUUUGAUCUGAAAUUUGAUUAAAAUUCAAUUAAGAUUAUAUUAGGAUUUCUAUUUUUAGUAUUUUUAGGAUUUUUUUUUUUUUAAGAUUUCUAUUUCUAGUAAUUUUUUAAGAUUAUUGUCAUUUUUAAAGGUUUAUUUUUAUAUUUCUUAAAGAUUUCUUAUUAUUUUUCUUCUAAAUUUGUUUGGAACUCCUUUGUAUUUCUUUAUAACUUUUUUUAAAUUUAUUUUGGAUUGAUCAAAAUUCAAUCAAGAUUAUUAAGGUGUACUUUAGGUUAUUUAAUAUUCUAUUAGAAUUAAUAAGAUUUUUCUUAUAUUUUUACUUACCAUCCAUAAUUAAGCAUUUGGUACAUUCUCAAGCAAAAACACAUAUAAUUCGACAAUGGUAGAAUGUAGAAGGAUCCUUGUUAUAGUUAUUUUUUAAUCAAAUAAUGGACUACAAUUGUAUUAUCAAUGAAGUAGUGACAAUUCAUGGUUUGUAUUGCAAUUCAAUAGAGAAAAAGCAGUUUGGUAGAUACAUUCCACAUAGCAUAAUGUAUUUUUUAUUUUAGUGGCUCGGAUGAAUUACUUAAAGUUGUGGCAAUGCUAAUAUUUUCUUAUUCUAUGAUUUUUUUAAAAGAAUAGUAGAUUUUAGGAGAAAUCAAGCAAUAAUAGGUUAUAUUUGAUGUUGAUUAGAGCAUCCCAAGUAGAUGUUGAAUAGUUCAUGUCAUGUAAGUAGAGUGCUUUUCAACUCAUCAAGGCUCGACUUUGGCUUUGGCAUUGAUUUUAGUAUAAACCAAUGUUGUUGCUCGAUGACACCUAGUUACACAACAACUGCAAUUACAUUACAAGGAGAAUCCAUUAUUUUUCUACUCUAAGGUUCUUGAGUUUGAAGGAUUAUCAAUUUGCAAAGAUUACAUCUAAGAUUUUCCUUAUAAGUUUAUAAUAAAAAUACAAAAAUGUACCAAGCUCAAAAAAGUCACUAUUAAGUAGAGUUUGGACUACUACAUAGAUAGUUUUGACUUCCUUACAUUUGGUGAGAUUUUGCAAGCCAAAAGCAAGUAUGUUCAAAUAAUAUUUUAUUAAGAUUAAGAGCAAUGAGGAUUUGACCAAAGUAUAAUUUGACCAAAGUAUGAUUUUGAAUAAAAAUAUUUGAUGUUAGAUAAAAUUAAAUCAAAUAUGAACUUCAAUUAAAGUAGAUGAUAAUUUAUAGAAGAAAAUAGAUUAAGAUUGGAUGAUUUUUUAUUUAUAGAUAAAAACUUAUUUAAAAAUGAAAAAUUUUAAUCAAAUAAUUUUUUAUAUUUCAAUGAUAAUUAAUAUAAGAUAAAAAAAAAAAAAAAAAAAAAAAAAAAAAAAAAAAAACCUUUUUUUUAAAAAAAUUUAACCUCCAUAAAAAAUUUUUCUUUUGAUUAAGUUUAUGAUUUUUAUUUAUUAAGUGGCUUACAUGAUGUUGUAGAUGUGUAAGUGUGACAUUUAGUUAAAUAGAAGACUAAAAGAAUUUCAAAUAAGUAGUAAUAGGAAGCAUUAAGGUAAUCAAUUCAUAAGUUAAUUAAUAGAUGGGAAUUAGAAUACAUCACCUAUUAGAGUGGAUUUGAAUUCAAAUUCCACCACUAUAUAAAACUAGUACUAUACAAUACAUUUGAGAGAUAGAAUGGAGAACUUCUAAUUGUACAAUUUCUUAAUUAAUUCAAUUGUAUGUGUUUGUAAUUCAAUUUAACUUACUGCCUUUUAAGUACUAGUUACAAAUAUUAAUCGAUAGUUUAUUAUUAUUAUUGUUAUAAUUUAUUGAUGUUUCUUUUAUUCUUUUAUUAUUUUUAUUUUAAAAAAAGUUAAAUUAAAUUUAUUUUUAUAUUUAUAUAUAUAUAUAUAUUUAUAAAUAUAUAUUAAAAUUAAUAAAUAUUUAUAUUAGAAUAAAUGAAUUAAUUUUAAUAUAUAUUUAUAUAAAUAUAAAUUAUAAUAAUAAUAAUAAUUUAUUGAUUUAUUUUAGUAUAUAAAAAUUAUCAUGCAUGUAAAAGAUAAAUAAAAUGAAAUUAAAGUAAAAGUGGAAGUAGAAGCAAAAUAAAAGUAAAAUAAAAAUGGAAGUAAAAGUAAAAUAAAAAUUUAAAAAAUUAGAUAAAAGUAAAAAUUAAAAAUUAAAAAAAAUUAAAAGUUAAAAGUUGGAAGUUAAAAUUUGAAUUAAGGUUAAGUCAAAAGUUAGAAGGUGAAGUAUAAAAAAAAAAAAAAAAAAAAAAAAAAAGAUAAAGAUGGAAAGAACUAACAUCAACCGUGCUCUACUUGAGGAUAAUAGACCUUCUUUUAUUCCAAAUUUGCCAAAAAUUCAAAUUCAAAAUUAAAAUUCAAAAUUAAAAUUAAAACUCUUAUUUUAAAUAUCUUUGUAGCAAUCCAAUACUUAAGCCACGAGAAAUGCCCCUUCAAAGAUGAGUAAUUGGUAGCCUAUCCUCUUUCACUUGGAAAUUUAUCAAAAAUUCAAAAUUGACUUCAAUUUCUAUGAAAUUUGUGCCUUUGGUAUCUCAGCUUAUAAACCUUGUUUUUCUUGAAAUUUUAGAAUAAUACAAUCAUAAUAUACUAAGGAUUGCCUUUUCAAAAUUGAGUAAUCCAAACUGCCAAGGCAGUCGAUCCUCUUAUACUCAAAAAUUCACCAAAAAUUCGUUCUAACUUCAAAUCAAGUGAGCCUUAGCUCGUUGAGAAGAUGACAACAAGGGAUAUGUGUUCAAAAAAGAUUCUCUUUCAAAAUCAUAAAAAUAAUAGACUGAUUGAGGAAAAUCCAAAGCCCUUCAAAUCCCUUUGACUCUUAUAGUGUUUGAGAACCACUAAUUCUAAUGGAGUGCCUUCUAAACCACAACAAGCACCACCCACACAUAAAAUCGAUGCUUCUACACAUUUACAAAGUAAAAAAUUAGAUCUAGAAUUCAAAUGAAAUUAGAGUUAGGAUUUGAGGCCAAAAUUUGGCAUGGCUUUGCCCUUCACUAAAACAAAAGAGAGAAAGACAUCUUGGGCAACCAAACCAUCUUAUACAAGUGAGUGAAGGCUCAUAGGAGGUGGCAAAAUCUCCACCCUUGAUUUCUAAGAUCCCUAAUCUAGAUUUAUUGCCUUCAUUCAUCCAAGAGCUAAUUUUAUUACCAAGACUGAUGGCUAUUGUAAGAAGUCAAAAAAACACUUGUUGAUAAAUCUAGCGUAACCAUUGUAUUUGAAAUACCUUUUCAUGCUAGGAUCCACUAUUUACAUGCCUCUAUUCAUGGUCAUAAGUAAUUUUUAUAAAGAUAUUUACCUCCAAAGAUUUUAGCAAUUAUUCAAAACUUCUUCAAAAAUGAUAUCUUCAUGGCUCCACUUGUAUUUUGAUAGAAAAAGUAUUGAUCUUAUUUGUUUCACUCCAUAAAUUGAAUUUGAUGCUAUCAUUGCAUUUGAAAGGCUUUCAUCAAUUAAAAAAACUACUUUGCUGCUUGAAUUUAUUGAAUUUGGAGAAAAACUUCAAAAUUGCUAUUACUAAACUUCACUAAAAUCUUUUAAAAAAUUAUAAUUUUGAUUCAUUUUAAAUCAUAUGAGAUGAUUAUAGGUGAAUUCAUAGGUUCUCAAUUGACUCUUAUGGAAAUGACUAAUAACCUCUAAAUUAUUAAAACUAACUAAAUUAUUAUUCUAAUUUUCUAAAUCUUAUUACUUUGGUCCAAAUUAAUCCAAUUCAAAGAAUUAGGCUUAGAUUUACACCUUCAAAGGUUAUAAUCCUCAAAAUUCUAAAAAAUUAGAUUUUUCUUAUAUAAAUCAUAAUUUAACUUAUUCAAUCAUCAUAAAAUUAAAAAAAAAUACAAAAAAUACAAAAAAAAAAAAAUUGAAGUACAAUUUUAGUAGAAAUUAUAAUUAUAUGAGCCAUGAUUUGAUGUACUUAGAUCUAUAUUGGAGCAACUAAAGAAUUGACUUUCAUAUCAAUGAUUUUUCAAUAAUAACAUUAAUUAUAAAUUUUAUAAGUCACCAUUACACAAUUCUAUUUACAAAGAUGCUACCAUGAUUAUCAUUUUAGACAAUAUUGAAUGGAAUAAUCAAUAGCAAUGUUGAUGGAGUCAAUGUAUUGUGAAAAUGAAAGCAUUGUAAAUGCAACAACUAUACAAAUAAAAAUUGAGAUCUUAUUAGCUAGUAUUGGAGGUUGGAUCUUUUAGCCUUUUUUUGAAAAUAUUCAAAUGUAUAAUUGGCUACCAAAUGAAUAAAAGUUAUAAAAAAUUGAUCAAUUAGAGAGGAUAUUAUUAGUUACUACAAAAAAAACUAAGUAGAAGCAAAUACUACUCUUAGGUCUAUAGUUAUAAUAAAAAGUGAAAUCACUUAAAUAACAUUAUUAGAUGGAUUGUUAAAAAUGUAUUCAUGAGCAAUAUUUAGUAGUUACGAUAUUUUGAUCAUUCAAUCUAGCCAAAGAAAAAUCUUAUUAUCAAUACUAAUGAUGGCAUCUAUCAUAAUAUUGAAUCAAAUAAUUUUUAUAUUUAUUGCUAUUGUUCUUAAAAAGAGAUAUGUGAUAUUGUUCCCUAAAGUUAUUUAAAAAUUAGCUAGAAUAAUGUACAAGUCUAAGAGCUUAGUAAUGGUUAGAGAUAUCACUAUUACAUUACAACAUUUGUUAACAAUCAAUUGAUGAUCAAUAUCUUAAAUCUACUCAAGUGCAAUCUAGGAUCCUAUAAAGAUACAUUUUUGGAAGAAACAAUACAAUUGAGUUGAAAAAAUAGAACUAAUAUUAGAAUUGGUGGUCUUAUGAUGUCAUAUUAUAUGAAGUCUAUUUAAGAAUGUAGUAGAUAUCUAAUUGUGGAAGAAAAAAUAAAGCUUGUAAUAAGCUAAUCUUAACAAUUCUAAUAAAAUCUUUAAAAAAUCAAUUAAAUUAUAACAAUUUUAAUCAAUUUUUAAUUCAAUCCAAAAGAAGUUUUAAGAAUUUAUAAAAAAAACCUAAAGAAAUUAUAAAUUAAUCAAUUAAUAGAAAAUAGGAGGACUAGCAACUUCUUCUAACUAUUAAAUAAUAUUUAUGUUUUUUUAUAAAUAAUAUAUAUAAAUAUAAGGCCAAUAUAAAUAUUAAAAUUAAUAAAUAAUCCUUAAUACUCAAUAAUAAGUAAGAAUACUAAAUCAACUAAAAUAAUUACCUCCAAGACUUACUAAGAUUUUAUUUUUAUAACUAAUAUUCUAUUUUUUUUAUUUGUCUAAGGAUUUUUAUACUAUUCAACAUAUAUUAUGAUUUUAAGCACUCUAAAUACAUCUUUUUUUCCUAAAACAAUUAGUGAGUUGAUUAAUGACUCAUAAAGAUCUAAAAAGUGGAUCGCAUUUGCUAAUUUCUACAUUUGACAAAUUUUUUUUUUUUUUUUUUUUUUUUUUUUUGUAAAGCAUGUCUAAAAUUUAUUGGUAUAGAUUUCUAUUGCUUAAUAUAGGUGAGGAUUGUUUUAAAUUUUUUAAUGAUAUAAAAUAGUCUUCUUUAUCUUUUAUCAUAGCCAAAUGAUCUUCAAAGAGACUAUUAAAUACACUAACUUAGGAUAUUUUCAACUGCCAUCAAAACUACUCAUCUUCCUAAUACUUGUUGAUAAGGUUUUGUAUUCCACCAAAAAACUUUGAAUUCCUAUAUCUACCAAAAUCAUGUAUUACUUGGUGUCUCUACUAAUAAUUUGGCAAGUUGUGAUUGAUGUCUUAGCCAAUCAAGAUUAACUAAUGAAGCAUGAGUUUUCAACACAUAAUAAGGCAUACUUCCAUUAAAAGUGGACAUGAGUUCUCAACAAAUUGCAACCUAGUGACGGCACAAGUUGGUUGUGAGAUGAAAGUCAUCCACAAGGUACAUAAUAUGUACAUGUAUCAAGCAAAUGGACAGGCCGUUGUGCUAGGCAUUUUUAAUAUUAAAAUAAUAUGAGGGAAACACCCCUGCUAGCCCUAUAAGUUAGGCUCCUCUAUGAUCUUAUUGGCUAGCACAAUAUUUGUGUUGAACCCAUUUCUUAUCCGUACACACAUCCCAAACCCUAUUGUCACAGUUACAUGCAGACUGCUUCUUUUAUAUGAUCAACUUCGGUAAAACUAUUUCUAAAAAUAUCAGUCAAUUAUAUGCAGCACCUCUAUCUUGGAAUUUGAUAUUCACAAAACAAAAACCAAUCGCAGUGAAAUUUUCUCUUGUGUUACUAAUUUCCACGACUAAGAAUUAAUUAUACUACUGACUUGUCUACAUUAAAAAACAGGUACUAUGUUACGAAUAUACUCUGAUAUUUUAAAAUAGCAUUGAAUGUUAUUUGAUGUAAUCAAUCAGUACUAAUUCUGAUUGGAAUGUGCAGUUUGUUACCUUGCCUUUCACACCAUGACAUCACUGUAAUAUAGGCUUCAGAAAACAAUCAUUCUGUGAACUGCAAUGCUCCAACUCUUUAUUCAUUUUAUUCUCUUUUUCUUUUUCGUUUUCUCUCUCUCUCCCUCACUCUCAUUUUUUUACCAAUAAUGCUGACAGUUGAAAUUAUAACUUCAUUUGUUUACUUUUUUAAUUCUCUAUGUAAAUGAUGUGCAGAAAUGUAACAUACGAUUUUAAAAAGACAUAGACCUUGGCUGUUUCAUUGUCGAAUACAAUUUGGAUUCAAGAGAAUAAAGACGUGAAAAGUUGGCUUUCUGCAUCAGCCAACAUGCUUAGAGAGUUGAAAGCAAAAUAUAUUUGUUGACAGUGUGUGCCGUUGGGGAGUAAGAGCAGGCUGGAUCUCGGUGAAGAAAGACUCAAUCAGUGUGGGUGGUCUAAUUCAGUGACUUCUCCAUGAUAGGCUCAUGAAUGUGGCGGUGUCUCAAAAGCAUCCACUCUGACAUUCCUUGACUAGUUGGUUUCUUCACAAAAACGACCCAAUUUAAGGCGGGGCGUCCUCCCAAGCCCACUUGCGUUGCCGAUGCAAUCUUCGGGCGCAAAAGAAGGGCCCUUCCUCUUCGUUUUCUUCUUAAAAAACCGUGAUGGAUAUAAACAAGGGGCGCCAUUUGGGUUCGCAGAGGCGAACUGUCAACAUUUAGGUUCACAUCGGCAAUGAGCAUGCUUUGUGGGACGACGUGUCCGUUUGUCAAGUCUUGAAGUAGAAAAGUUAUGGAAUGUCGAUUUCUGUUGAUGUUUUACGACUCCGUGGUCACCAAUCCAAUUCACUUAUUCAUUACUUAUUUUUUACCUGCAAUUUUUGUUUCCUCCGAUACCCUGGUCUACAAAUUUUAGAGAUGUACAGUAAUUAGAGCAUUUCAUGUCGUGUUGGAAUGAAGAGCGGUCUUCGUUUCAGAUACGUUAUUUUCCUACUUUAUUCAUGUUACUGACCUUGAAUAGGUCCGUCGUGGAAUGUGAGGGAUCAACAAGUUCAGCAAUCCGCGGUGCCUUUAAACCUACCAGCGUUGAAUCUUACACGCAUCUGAAGACUGAUAUCGGGGAGGGGGUGGUAUCAAUGCCGUAGAAUAUACGAAUCCUUUCACGCCCCGCAAAUGUAUAAAACUAUCAAACCGGAAUCAUGACCCCCUCCCCCACCAGUUUACUUCAUCAUUUGAAAGUAAACUUUUUUUAUUUUUUGCAAUCAAUCAGAAGAGGCGAGCGUCGAAGUGGCAGGUAACACAAGGUGGCGUCGCCCCACCUGUUCUGCAUGCAGAGCCUGCCAUGCAUCUUAUCACUGUGUACAUCAUCACAAAUCUGACUCGAUCCUCGUUAAAAUAUUUACUGUACUCUAGUGUUCUGAGAUGCUUUAUCUCAUACCGAGCGCCUUAAAGAUGAGUGCGCAUCGGACAGUGCUGAAACACGACGGAUCGACACAAUAUUUCGAUGCUGCACUCGAAGUUUGUCUCGGAAACGUAGCAUUUCACCCAGUCGCCUGAACUCUUGCAAGAUUUUUGGCAUCGAGCAACUAUCCACGCAGGCCUUACUCAACUGUGUGUGUGACUGUUUUGAAUCCCCUUCUGCGGUGACACGGGAGACCAAAAGAGUGCAAUCUCUGCUUUCACGAUGAUUCCCUUGACUGAUACAAAACUUGAGGCGAUGACUGUGUGCCGAAUCCCGCAGUGAGACCCGUUGCGAGAGCCUCGUUGGAGAUUGCUGUUAAGCUGCUGGAUCAUGGCGUCAAAUAACUGGAAUCAGGGAGGGUUAUCGUUCGUGUCUCAGGUUCCUUCUUCAUCGGCAAGUGAACGAAAUCCAGAAGCUAGGAUCGACAGACUCUCUGGAUUUUGAUGCUGCAAGUUGCUGCCGCGUAGAGGUGGCUUCUUCACCUCGAAAUCGUGGGUUGAGCUCUUGCCGAACGCCGCAACAGAUCUGUCAACGGCAGUCUGCGAGAACGAGUGAAUGCUCCCCGCAUUGCAUCGUGUCGAACGUCUGCGGGCAUAGGUCCCUCGUGAAGCCCUCGGUCAUGGGUUCGGCUGCUCGCUUUCGUGACCCACACUCGUCAUAUGCAGGAAAUGUGGUACCAAUGUCAACUCCCCAAAAUUUUAGAAUCGAAAUUUCAAUAAAUGAUAAAGGAAUCCAUAUUUGUGCUGAUAAUCUUCACUUCUAAAUUUAUAAAUUUAUCAUGGAUAAAUAUGGGCAAGUAAAAGUACAUCAAGUAUAUAUAUAUAUAUAUAUAUAUAUACAUAUAUAGUAUUGUUUAUAAUGAUUACGUAGGUUAGUUGAUUACAUAAGUUGAUAAUGAUUUAAUUGAGCUUUUGAAUGUAAAAUAUGGUAAAUUCAAUAAAAUAAUAAAUACAGAGUAGAGAUAUUUUGAUACCCUCAUUGUUAUUUUGGUAUCUCUUAAAGUUUUUCAUAGGUUUUCUUAAGAUUAUGAAAUAUUUUGUCAUCACCAGACACAUUUUAAUUGAAUAAUAAAAUGUAUAUCCAAUAAAAUUUUAAUAUAAAAAAAUACAUGAUAUCAAAAUUUUGAUACAAAAAAAUUGCAUUCAAUUAUUUAAAAUAUUAAAAACUACCUUUUUAAGCUAAAAAAAAACACAUGUAUAAAAAGUAGUAUGUACUAUUAAGUGAUUAAGUUAGUAUAGCACAUCAACUAUUAAAACCGAUAUUGCUAUUUCAAUUUGGUAUAAUAAUAAUGCUAUAUUAUAUUUUAAGAUAUCAUUCUGCAACAAGGUCUUACCAUAAAAAUAUUUUAAUUUUUAUUUGCUUAAUAUAUAUAUAUAUAUAUAUAUAUAUAUAUAUAAUGAUUGCUGUUUGUCCACAAAAAUUACUGAUUGGCUGAGGGUAUUAGAACCAUUUAAAAUAUGUGAUUGGCACAUAUUAGUUAUGACCACCAUAUGAAAUUAGUGAUUCAACAUGCACUCAAAUUUCAUCAUUUGUUUGAAACCAAUCCAAAUAAGUGUGCUUGCAAAAUUUCACCAUAUAAAGACAAUCAGCCCUCACAAAGAGAUGAUUAUUGCUCACAGGAACACAAAUUUUUACAUUAGUGAUGUUUAUAGUCCGAGCAUAGUCUCACUCUGUCCCCACCAUCCCCCGAUCACAAAGAGCACAAAAGUACAAAACAAAACAAAUGAAAUCAAACUAAAAUCUGGACUCUGAUUUACUUCAGCCCAUUGCAAACGACGCUGACAAUCAUUUAACUUGCUAAAUGGGUUUUCUUUGUUAUACCAAGAAAAAAUGUUUUAAACCGUAUAAGAAAUAUAAAUAUUAAAUGCAUGUUCUGAUUUUAAUGUGGUUAGACAUUAGGACAAUAAUCUCUAAAAUUCAUAACAUAUAUAUAUCCACUAUUUUAUAUCAUACACAUUUAAAUUAUCUACAUGAAAACUUAUUUGGAUUAAAUUAGUUACUUUGUAAAAAUAAAAAAACUUUUGAUUGCAUCUAAUAAAUUUAAUGGAAGAAAUUUUAAACCAAAUCAAGAUUAUAUAUAUAUAUAUAUAUAUAUCAAGAAAAACAAAAAUUCAUUCUAUUUAAACCAAAUUGGACUUAAUAUUUUGAAUGUCAUGAUUUUUUUUUUAUAUUCAUAAUAAUGUUUAGGAUUUAAUUACUAUAUUAAUAAACUUAAAUUUAUCAUUAAGCUAAAAAAAUAAUAUAAGAAUUAAAAUAUGAUUGUGAUUUUGAUUUAAAUAGUAAUAAGAGUUGAUUCUAAGACACACAAAUGUGCAAAGGUUACCAUUAUCUCUUUGAUAACACUAAUAUAAAAAUAUCACAUAAGUUGUGGUUAGAAAUCAAAAUUUCAUAACUUUUGGUUAAAAUAUAGUAUAUUUUUAUAAUUUAAAGUAGUACUUUUUCAUUAUAUUACACAAAUUUAGUGCUACUAGUAUCUUUUUUGUAUAUAUAUAUAUAUUCAUACAUUUAUUUAUCUUAAUAUAAAAUAAUAUUUUAAUUUUUAUUACAAACUAAUAAUUUAUGUAUAAUUAGAUUUUAAAAAAUAAAAAUAUUUAUAGAAUUUUAUUUAUUUAUUAACUGAUUUUUUAUAUUUUGAAAAGUUUAUCAAUAAAGUUAUAUAAAAAUUCAUCUAGUUUUACAAGUGUCAUUGUCCAAGUUUCAAUUAUCACUCACUCAACAGAAUAAGUCAUAGAACAUCAUCAAUAUCAAAAUUUGAGAUUUAAACAAAUAAUUAGUCGAAACUAUAGGAUGGGUACCAAGAUCAAUCUUUCAAUUGCAACCGCUUAUCAACUAGACCUAAAUCCAACCUGGCAUGAAUAUUGUCCAAAUGAUCUCAGUUUUAAGAUAUAAUCCUCACAAUUAAUCAGUAGAGGGAAACAUCCAAACUCCCAAGUCAAAUUCCUAAUAGAAAACUUGAAGAUGAAAGAGGAAACAUAACGGAGAACAUCAAACUAAAGGGAGAGGAAACAAACAGCCUCGUUCAAAGUAAAGAGAUGAGAAGCAACAGCUCAAACGAUGAAAAGAAUGAGAGGGCCAGUUCGUCGCAAAACGCUCGCUGAAGGCCCAUUCAGGGACACUAAUAAAGCAACAACAUUACUAAUAUUGCUCAUCGGAGUGCCAAAUGGGACUGUGAAGAAAAAGUAAUUAGCCCCAAGGGAACCCUGGUGCCAUAUUUAGACACUGGAAUGUGCGAAGAGGUCCACCGGUUCGGCGUUCGCCAAAAGCAUGCUUUCGUAGGCACAAGUCAAAUCCUGCGAGCAGCUCCCACCUUCUAAAAUUUCUCUGAUCCAGUUCUAUCCACUAGCCUCGAUCUAGGCUCGCCUGCUUUAGCCCCAUCCAGACAUAGUCUUGCCGUUGCGGUGAUGCGUUGAAGGGGUCGCUCGCCUCGUCGGAUCGACGACGACACCUUCAAGAUAUGUAUCAAAAUCCUGCUCGUCGCGAGCACCUCGAAACAUGUAAGAGAACUGCAGUCGUCGUGCAGAAUCACGUCGAUAUGUACCUCGCCUCGCAGCUAUGAGUGCAGUCGCCGGAAAAUGAACUCGCCCAAAGGGAGGAACAGUGUAAAGAACUGUGCAAGACGAGUGACGAACUUGUUUUUGAAUUGACGGUAUUCAUCGGCGCAGCAACGUGAAGAUACUCAUCGGAUCUGGGAAGUAUUGAUCUAGAUGGUGAUGUGAAGGGGGUCUGGGUGGGACGGGUCACGGUGAAAGCACAUGCAGAGAAGCGAGACACAUGUCGGGGAAGGACGAUCUCCGCAGCGUUAAAAUAAGCAAAAGAAAUAGAGAGUCUGGGUGGGAUUCGAAUACGCAGUAGUAGAAAAGUCCCAUUCCAGGGGAGGGUGAAGAUGAAGGGAUGCGGGAACAGGUGGGACUGGCGGUGCUAGCCACGUGUGCCGGGUCUUCUUCGCUGUAAGGAGCAACCACCGCGGCCCACGACAUUACAAGACAGACUCCGGUCCAAGAGACGCACUUCUCUCUCCCUCUCGAACGUCCAAUUCCGUUUCAGAGCCCUGAUCUCGUACCAGCAGCGUGGAGAUCGCAUUUGGCUGCGAUCCAGGAGGUCGAUCGGUGAGCGGCUGCCUGGAGUGGUGGAGGUGGUGUGAGCUCGUUCGAUGAGUUUGGGCGUCGAUCCAGGCUUGCAGGAGUUCGAUCCAGAGAUGUUGGUGUUGGUGGGUGGGGCUGAUUCAGUGUAGGUCCCGGCAGUUGCAUCGGGCAUCGAGGAAUGAGUGUAGAAUUGGGAUUUCUUGUGGGAGGUGUCAGGGUAGGGUGGACAAGUUGACUGUAGCGGUUUUUUUAGAAUCGUGCUGGGGUGGAUGCACGGGGCUUCCGAGCAAGGGGGAUGCUUUUUUAGAGCAGUCCCGUAGACUUCGCCUGGUUUCGUUGAAUACGGGUGGGUUUCAGACCGAGCGAGAGCGAGAGAGAGAGUUUGGAGCGUGUGCUUGCUGCUUGUGGAAGUGAUUUGUUGAGAUCCCUCACGACGUUCUGCCUUGAUUUCGACUCGCCAUUUGAUUGGGCGUAUUAGAAUCUAUGUGUAGGCUUGAAGGUUGUGUGUAUUGCUCUGAUUUAGGAGGAGAUGUGAUACAACCUUAAUGUCGACGGGCGCGCAAGAGGUGCAGUUGUACCUGCUCAUAUCCUCGUUCCGUCUGUUUGUGUGGACUUUCAUACACUUGUGCGGAUACUGUACAUAGUCUUCGUGGGUGACCUUCUCGGUGAUCGCUUUCAUCACCCGUCCUUUCCCCGUGGCUAUGGAUAGAAUGCUCGCUUCAAUACACUAUUGAACCCAUUUUCUCCAUCCUUUCAUCGUCUCACUUCUUCUGCUAGAUCUAGAUUUACAACUCAUGCAACUUGAAGAGGUGGAACCAAUCGUCUUGCGGUGCUGAAUCAGGUGACUGUCUAUUUCUGUGUCACGCACACUAGAGCCUCUACAAUUUUGUUCUGGUAGAUGUUCUGCUACUGUAGCAUGUGGGCUUGCCUAAACACAUUUCGGUUCUUGUUGUAAUGCAUGUAUUCGAGUAAUUUCAGUGGGAGCCAUAUUUUUGAACCAUUCCAGUUUCUUACUCAGUACGAAACUGAACAUUGUAUGGCAUCCGGGGCUGUGAUGCCACGGGCUAUAUUGAGAUAGUACAGAUAUAUUCGAGAUUGAAGAGACUUGUGGUUCCUGAAAUGGCCACAGAUUCAUACCUAGCUCUAUAACAUAGAUAGAUCACUCUCCUAGCGGACUACUCUCAUUUAUAGUGAUCGCAUUGAGUUUUACAACGUAGCAAAGUCCUUUUGCAGCAAAUCCAGGAAAAACUACAUGAAAUAUCGGCUUAUGCCCUAUUCCCACCUGUGCUGACGAGAUUGUUACAAUUUGAAGGUGUGUAUAUUGUCAAUACUAUCAACACAGCAAGAAAAAUGAGGUUUAAUGUAAAAGGAGCAACCGGCGCUGCAGCUGUUGCUGCCAUAGGAAAUUUUCUUCAAGGCUGGGAUGGUGGCGCCAUAGCUGGUAAGAACCCUUUCCUUUUAAUAUAUGUAAAACACGGGGCAUAUGUCAUGCGGUUCACAACCUCAAUUUUUCAUGAUUGUCGAUGUUUUGGUUUAUGUAAUCAUGUAGAAAUUGCUGUGCAUAUGCAGGAGCGCUUCUUUUCCUUAAGCCCGAGUUUCAUUUAGAAGCAACUCCUGUACUGGAGGGUUUGGUGGUUGCCUCUACACUCUUAGGCGCUGUAGUCAGUGUAAGCUUGGCCGGCCCAGCUGCAGACUGGUUAGGUCGGAGAUUCAUCCUAUGUAUAUCCAGUGUGUUGUAUUCUAUAGCAGCAUCGAUUAUGCUGUGGUCUCCGAACGUGCACGUGCUGAUCCUGAGCCGGGUCAUAGUGGGGUUAGCCGUUGGAUUGGCAUCAACAAUUUCACCAAUUUUGAUAUCAGAGUCUGCACCAGCCGAAAUGCGUGGCCGACUUGGAACGCUUCCCCAGCUCUUGGGAUCCCUAGGGCUUUUCUUGGCCUAUGCAAUGGACUUCUACUUGUCACUGCAAGUCAAUCCCAACUGGAGGAUCAUGCUGGGCGCUUUGGGUGUACCCUCUUUAAUCUACUUUUUGUUCUGUCUCUUUGUUCUGUCGGAGUCUCCUCGGUGGCUCGUAAGCAAGGGACGCAUGUACGAAGCAAAAGUGGUGCUGCAAAAUCUCCGUAAUCAAGAGGACGUGUCAGGUUUGUUAAGCUUUCCCCCAACUUGUGAAGUUUUGCGAAUCAUUUCACAACUGUAAUGGUAAAACGAAACACAUGCACAUGUUCUGACCAAACGUUGUUCUCGUCUCUGUGCAGCCGAGCUCGCAUUGCUGGUCGAGGGUCUAGGGGUUGUCACCGAAUCCCGCCUCGAGGAAUGGCUUAUCAAACCAGCUGGCGGAGACGAAUAUGAGCAUUAUAUGGAAGACAACUUGAUAAAGCUAUUCGCUGCUGACGAAGGUGUUAGUUGGGUGGCUACUCCCAUUGUCGAUGACUGGGGUCAUGGCGGACUAGCGCGGACCGGCAGUCAUGAUUUCCAGAGCGUACUUCCAAAGUUAGAUACAACAGUUGCAUUGUUGGGGAAUUUCCAGAUGAAUAACUAUGAUUAUAUGACCUCACGGGAUGUCUAUGACGAUGAAUACAAACACGAUCGGCGGUGGGACGAAGAAGCUCCUAGGACGCCGAGGUAUGGAGCGCAGGGCUAUUACUCUGAAACUGACAUGGGUAUGGUGGAGAGCCGGGAUAAUGAUGACUCGUUGCAGCUUCCGCUUAUCGGCGGUAGUGCCUAUGGAACUGGCAGAUAUGGCAAUCUUACUCCACGCAGCCGGUACGUGCAAUCAGUUCGUUUUCCAAGAGCAUGUACUUCGCUUCUAACAGUGACUAGAGUAUCGCUUGAUCUUUUCUUCCACCUGGUUUUGAUAGUUUUGAUUAAUUCUCUCUGCAGGCUGGCAUACGGUUUCUUCGCUCCUACAAUGUCGAGGCAAAGCUCAACAAGAAGCACAUACGACGAUACAAUUGCAGAGGCUCUAGGAACUGUAGGUGUAGGAGGAGGUUGGCAGCUAGCAUGGCAGAGGGAUGGCGAAGAUGGUUCACUGAGGAGGGUGUUUUUGAAAAGUGAAGCUGGUGAUUUGUCCAAUAUAACUACGCAUGCGCUGUCUGGGUAUGGAAUAGGUGGUGAUUGUGAAUCGUUUCCGGUAAAUCCCUUCUGCCAACCUUUUGCACUUAUUUUCUCAUGUUGAUUGAAUUGAUGAAUCUUCAGUUAUACUUACUUUAUUUGUGAGUCCUUCACUUAUCAAGUAUGAGUCUUCAAAUCAGAACUGAUCGAACAAGAACACAGAUCGGGGCCUUAUUUUCCUCAAUUGAACUUCACCAUUGGAAGCAACACUGAACUUUAUCCCUAGGGAUCUAAGUAGCAGCAGUACUGAUAGUUGUAUACGUUUCAGGCUGCUGUGCUCGUGGCAAAAACGGCCCUUAACCCUGAGCUGCUAAAAGAGCAUCCAGUGGGACCUGCCAUGCUCAAUCCUGCUGAGAUUGCCAAGCACGGAAGUUCACGUUCAUACUUGAAGCAAGCCGGCGUUCGUCGUGCACUUAUUGUUGGAGUAGGCCUUCAAAUAUUGCAGCAGGUGCGUUUUUCGAUCGUUUGAAAUCUUUGAUCCUGAAGCCUUUCAUUGGCUACUUGUGUGUUUCUAACAUCAAACGCACAAGGAAUUUUGAGCUAAUCAUUGUGACAGUAUCGCCUGGUUUAUACAGAUUUGCAACAAACUUUAUUUGUUUACUUAUUUCUUGCAAAUGCAGGUUAGCGGUAUCAGUGCUGUCCUAUAUUUCACUCCUCAAAUUCUGAUGGAAUUGGGAACUGGAGCCUUGCUUGCAAAAAUUGGAAUUGAAGGUGAAUCGGCUUCUAUUUUGGCAAGUGGCGUCACAUGCUUACUCAUGCUGCCAUGCAUUUUGAUAGCAAUGCGGCAUGUGGACUCAUCAGGCCGCAGGUGUGUAAUGUUGCUUUUGCUUUGCCAAUUUGAAGUGUGAUCCUGUUCCAAAUUUCAGUUCCGAGCUCCAAGUCGAGAAGGAACUGAAAAUGUGAAUAAUCUAUCUGUAUACUUUCGUCAACAGUUUAUUCGUUUUCUUUUAUGUUAGAUUGUUUCCUCUGUAGAAAUCCUGACCUGGUUUGGUAUGGACAUUAUGGUGAUUUAUUUUGUACCCAACAAUUGCCGAGUAAACAGUUCAUAUUUAAUAUUUAAUAUUUAAACAGUUCAUAUUUCGAAUUUGCGUGGCUUGUGCGUGCGCAGGCAAUUGCUGUUGGCAACGAUUCCAAUUCUUAUCAUCUCUCUUGUAGCUCUUGUACUGGCUAAUAUGUUCCUCCCCACAGGCCUAAUGGCUUCAGCUAUUUCGUUUAUAUUUGUCACCAUCUUCAUCUGCUCCUUCGUUGCAGGUAACGUAGUCUACUGUUUCCCUUUUCUAAGUUACGUUUCGUAGUCUAUCCCCGGCUCAGUAUUUUAUGUGGCGAGUAUCCAACAACUCAUCAUUCGUCUGCACAUUUGCAUCAUUUUCAAUGAUUUGAAGCCCGUUUUUCACGAAAUUCUGCCUCAGGAAAUGCUGAUCUGUACAACUUGUCUUGAUCUCAGGAUUUGGUCCUGUUCCCAACAUCCUGUGCUCCGAAGUUUUUCCAACAAGCGUUCGUGGCGUUUGCAUCGGCAUCUGCGCUGCUGCCAUGUGGUGCAGCAAUAUUCUUGUAACAUACUCUUUCCCUCUUGUCAGUAAGCAAAUAGGCCUCGCGGGAGUGUUCAGUCUUCUGUCUGUUGCCACUGUAGCUGCUUGGAUCUUUGUAUUUCUGAAAGUUCCAGAAACCAAGGGUCUUCCUCUAGAAAUCAUCUCGGAGUUCUUUGCAGUUGCCCCCUACAAAAAGGAAAAAGACAAGAAUCUAGAGUACUUCUAGACGUGUUCACUAGGAGGGUUGUAGCCCCAAACUCUUCACAUCGAUGCUAAUUUUCAAUUACAGGUACACCAAAGAGCACACUGAUACUGAAAACAGAAGAGUGCAUACAGAAGUGGGCUGCUUUAAACACGAUAAUAGGCAGGAUAUGUAAUAAUGUAACGUGACUAAAUCUCAAGCAAAAAUGUAUAUUUCAAGAGUUCGAAAGGUGUUCAAAGGGCACCAUUAAAUUUCGUCUCAGCUUAUUAUCAUGCAGAGUUAAAGAUUCCACGCUCCGAGUUUCAGACAUUCACGGAUGAUGAGCCGAAUGACCAAGGUCAUGGAUAGAACCGUCCAGGUUUAGAAUGGUUAACAGAUUGAGUUUUUAUUGCUCUACAGUUUUGCAAAUCAACUGUAGACUUCAUGAAUAUCAGUUACACAGUGGAAACACAAUUGAUUAGCUACUUGAUUUUAGUGAUAUAAAAACAAGAGUUACAUUUUCUUGGCAUUCACAAUCACAUACAAAACUUUAACCAGCAUUGUAGCCUCUAAAGCCCGGAUGUAUGAAACAUGUACCAAUAAGUAAAUACUGUAAAAUUGUCGCUUACUCUUCAACGACGAUUCACAAAUCUGCUUUGCGAAUGUUGACGGAACAUCUUCAUGGCUCACGCCGCCAUACUGUUAACGAAACGUACACAUUUCUUAAGUCUCUUCACAAUAACUCGGUCAAAACUGAAAACCGAUUCUGGUGCAUAAACUCUCUGGAACAAUUGUGUGAAAACUCCGACAUGAAAAAUAAUCGUACUUACAGAUGCAUCGUGCAAAGCAUUUGACUGCAAAUAUUCCUAACCAUGGCGUAAAUAUGCCUAAGAUACAGUACAGAACUUUAUCCUAAAUUCAACCUAUUAGAAAAGUCAUAACCUGCAGUAAAAAACUCAAUUCAAGAACAGACAUCAGCCAUUCGAAAACCUUCUCGAAGCAGCUAAAUCAUAUCCAUGUUUAUGCUGAAGUGCACAUGCUGAAAGUUAUGACGGCCUUCACUUGAACCCUUUAAUGUCAAUGCAAAUAAAAAUCCACCAAGGCCGGUUCUACCCAGUAAUAUAAAUUCACAAAGCAAAAGCCAAAGCAAAAAGAAGACAAAAAAAAAUAACAAUUGCGAUGAUCUCGAGGUUGAAACAACUGAAACAUUAGAUCCAGGUGGAACAUGCAAGAUAAAACAUACCCUGUCUCCUCAACAUCCAAUUCACAGGGCUAAUCUGGUUUUAAAAGACCAAGAGAAUUCCAGGACAAAAGAUCAUGUUCCGAAAUAAAAAAAGAGAAAAGAUCGAAAGUAUCGAGAGCCAAAUCAAACACAAUGCAUUGCGACUAAAAUUGGAACCAUCGGGUUCGGGAUGAUGUAAAUACACAGAAAAAAGAAAAAAACAAACCGAUGCUACGAAACAGAUGGCAUUGCAAAAACAAGACGAAACUACAAAUUCCGCCGAGAAAUCUAAACACACCGUCCAGCCCACAACAAAAUAUCAUCUACCAAAACUACAACCGUAGUAAAACACAUUACUCGAUCGAAGAGAUAUGUCUCAACAAUCCUACCCGCAAAAAAACUUGUCAACCAAAACUAAACAAAAAACAGAAGAAAAAAAAAAAUACAACAAAUAAAAAUAUGAAUGACGUAACAAAAUCCAUGCCGGCAAACACCAACAAUUGCGAUGGGGGAGUAUCCACAAGAGCGGUCCCAUGCGUGGAAAAGCCGAGAUGUAGUGCAGGGCACCCACAACGCCAGCAGCGGAGCAAGUGCGGAUGGGUUGGAGCAGAGGGGGUGGUGCGCAAUGUGGAGCCAGGAAGGUUGGAGGUGUAUAGAUUGCGCGGUUGCAAUUGUUCGUUUGCACGUGGGAAGGGUGGGGAUGUUGCGAAGAGGAGGAAGCGCGUGAAAUGGGGCAGGGGUUGGCGGAGGGUGGGGCGUUGGCCGUGGAGCCUUGGGUGGGGAGGAGCGGAAGCGGGAGGGAGUGUGGGCGAGUGGUGGAGUCGGAGCGGUGGCAACGCAGUGAGCGUGAGAGUGAGAGUGAGAGGGAUGGGCGAGGCGAGGGAAGCGUGGGGCAGAAGGGGAGGGGGUGGGAGGGAGGGAGGGAGAGAGCAGUGGUGGUGGUUGGAAAGGGCGGGGGGAGUUGCACCAUCGCGGUUGCGGGUGGAGGGGAAGGCGGGUAUAUGGGGGUGGGGGUGGGGAGGGGCUGGCACGACUAUACUUGAACAGGAUCUGUUCUAUAGUGCGUACAUCUGAUCUGUGUUCUCCAACACAGACAAGACCUUCAACCCGGACGAUGAUUCAGGGCUCUCCGGCCUGAGCGCGAUUGCCGCGGCUGGUGCCAGUGGCCCCCUUGCGGGGGCCGGAGCCAGCCUGCCAGAUGAACGUCCCGCCUCCUCAUUCCUGGGGGCGGUGAUGGACGGAGAGCGUUCUGACGGGCACCGACUGUGACUCCGCGAGGAGUUUAGUUUUGUUUUCUUGUUGUUGUUGAUGUUGUUCUUUCUGGCGCCGGUUUUGUGCGGCUGCCCGGUUGGUUGGAAGAUGCGCGCGUGGCGAGCCCCCUGGCUUGGCAUGUGCGUAGUCGCUUUGGCCGAGUGGUUAAGGCGUGUGCCUGCUAAGUACAUGGGGUUUCCCCGCAAGAGUUCGAAUCUCUUAGGCGACGGUUACAUCAGAGAAUUCAUCGCAGCGACUGUGCCUUCCCCUUUUGCGCCGUUGUCCCUGUCCUCGACCCACCCGCUGCCUGAACUUCACCUGUUUUUUCCUCUCCCCCCUUCCCUUCUUAUUAGUUUCUGUAUGCUGUGCUGUUUCUGUGCCCCCACCCCAUUGCCAUCCCCGCCACCUUAUGCUGCAAUCCCCCACCACUCACCCUCUCAUUUGUUUUCCCAUCCAUCAAGUCAUGCACUUACUUACUUACUUACUUGGUUGUUUGUGAAGUCUCAUCAAUUGUUAUGGAUCAACAACCUCUUUUUUCUUCUUUCUUCUUGCAUGCAUGCUUGGAUUUGAUGAUGGAUCACAAAAAUGUAGCAUGUGUAAGAAACAUACUAAAUUGACAACCACAUCAUAAGAUUAUUAGCAAAUUGCAUGAAUCCAAUUCAAUCCAUGUUAUCUAUCUAUCCAUCUAUCUACAUACUUGUAUGCACUUACAUAUUCCUCCAAAAUUGCACCCACACUCAAUCAAACAAUGAUACAUAGCAUGCACUAGCAUUAAUUACAUUUUGUUGUAAACUGGUUCAAUCAUGGCCAUUGAAUCCUCUAGAAAUUAUCAAUAUCAACACCAUUGGUGGCUCAAAUGGACAAUUUGAUUCUAAAGCCUUUCAAUGCUUUAGAUUGCAUACAAUAUAAUUAUCUAGGAUUUCAUAAAAACACAUCAUUGAUCAAAUGGUACAUAAUUGCUAAAGCAUUUCCAAGUCUAUAAUCCACAAUAGUACAUUCGAAAUAGCUAUAUUUCCUCCAAAAUACAAUCUUUUGUUUUUUUCUUCUAUUAAGUACAUGUUUGGUUAUCAUAUCUUUUAAAUCUAAUACAAGUUAAUAUUAAGGAUAAGUGCUUUAUUUAUUAUUUAGAUGAAAUUUGUAUCCUCUUUAAAAAUAUGGAUGAAUAAAAUUUAUGUAUAUAUAUAUAUAUAUAUAUACAUAUAAAUAUUUUUGUUUUGUUAGGAUUAAAAGAUCUAAGUUUAAAUGCUUGGAUGGAAAAUCUAAUAUGUUAUAUUUAUCACAAAUAUGUUUUAGUCUUUAUAUUUGUAAAUGAUGGUUUAUAAGUGGAUACUAGAAGAACACAUUCUAUUUAUAGAUUAUAAAACUCUAAUUUCCAUGUAGGAUGCUUUAUCCUAUUUGAAGUUUGUAAAUUAUUGGCAAAUAUACAUUGAAAACUUCACUCAACUUGCUAUUUUACUUGCAUAAGUAACUUCCAACAACAAAUAAGAAUAGAGUAUAAAUAUAGAGGUAGUUUUUUAAGAAUUGAAAGUAGUUUUGUCUUUAGCUUGUACUUUAUAUUGUUUGAUUUUUUUUCAAGUUGUGUUUUUACAAAAACUUUGUAUGAGAGGCAAUUUUAUCACAAUUAGAUAUACUUUUUAGACUUCAUCAUCUUGCUUUUUAUGAGAAAAAAAGAAAAAGAAUAAAAUCAAUAAUUAAGAUUAAAUAUAAGAUUUUCAAUAAAGAAUUUUUUGCUAUUUUUUCUUUAUUUAUAAAAUAAAUUAAUAUCUAAAAUUUUAUUUUUAUUUUCUUAAAUGUUUUACAAAUUAUAUAAAUCUUAAGUAUUUCAUGUCAACACAUGUCUUAAAUUAUUAGAAAGCCUAUUAAAACAUGUUUUAUUUUUUAGUUUUUACAAAAAUCAAAAUUGCUUAUUGAAUUUGAUGUAUAGAUGUUCCUAUCUUCUAAUAAAAAAACAAAGUGCUUGAUAUAAUCAACUACAAAUUGUCUUUUUAAAUCAAAGCAACAUUGUUGAAUCUUUAAGUCAAUGAUUCUAAACAAUACUACUAUUCUUCAUGAAGUUUAUAUCGUUAAGUUCUUAUGAUUUUAUAUUUGUGAUAGUAGAUCAUUUUGCCAAGAUGGCACAUUUUGUACCAUAUACAAAAUCUAUUACAUGUAAAGAAAUAAUUAAGCUUUUUCUUGACAAUAGCUAUCAAUAUCAUAGAUUGCUCAAGGAUAUUAUAUUGGAUAGAGAAACUCAAUUUGUAUCAAGAUUUUAAAGAAUUCUUUUCAAGAUUCUAAAAGUGGACAUAAAGCUAUCUUUGGUUUUUUUAUCCUCAAACCAAUGGACAAACAAAGUGCAUAAACCAAGUUUUAGAGUAAUAGUUGAGAUGUGCCAUCAACUACCAAGAAGAUGAUUGGACAACACUUUCAUCAUUGAUAGAGUUAACAUAUAAUAGUAAGAUUCAUUCUUUUAUGCAAUAAACACCUUGCUUUGAUAAUUAUAGUUAUCAUCCAUAACUGAAUGCUUUUGACUUUUCAAAAGUUGAUAAUUUUAUGGCAAAAGAUUUGGCAAAUUAUUAAUUUGAGCUACAUACAAUAAUGAAGGCAUGAUUAAAAGAAUCUCCAAGAUGACCAAAGAAGAAUGCAGAUGCCUAUUCCAAGUACAACUUCAAUUCUAUGGUGUCAAGGACAUGAAUCUCAAAGAACCAAAAACUCAAUACAUUCUUAUAUAAUUAAAAAAAAAUAGAUAUUAACUCAAAACUAAUAUAAUAUUGAAACUGGAAUUACUAUUGUUAAAGAUUAGAAAGUCUUAAAACAAGACUUAGGACUAAAAAAGUGUUGAUAAGAGUGAAGAAGACUUCACUCCUGCCUCCACAUAUACAAUCUAACUAGAAGCUACAUGACAACAUUCUAUAGGACCUUUGAUACAUGUCCAAUUUACAAGACACGUGUCUUAACUUGCAAGGCAAGUUUUCUAUAUGUAUGCCAUAUUGUUUGCUUGUAUUGCAAGCUAUCAAUAUAUGCAAUAUGUGGCUAAUUUAUUGGCCAAGUUUCUAACCUAUUGUCAUGGACAUACACAUGUAAGCUAAUAAUUACAUGUAUAAAUAGGUAGAAGUAAGUAAAAAUAGGUAAAAGUAAGUUAAUUCUAUAAUAUUUAUUGUAGAAGCUUCCUAGAAGCUUUAUAGACGUUGCUUUGACUUUAUAGGUGUCUUUAAUUGACUUUUUGGAUUAAAAACCUAGUUAACAAGUUGGCCAUGUGACACACAUGUUGUUAGCUUGAAGAUCAAGCUUAUUAUGUGGCCUAAACAUAGAAAAACUUGCCUUGUAAGUCAAGGCAUGUAUCCUACAUAGACAACACAUAUUGGAGGUUUUAUAGAACAUCUCCACGUAGCCCUUAGUUAGAUAGUAUAUAAAGAGACAAGAGUGAAGUCUUCUUCACUGUUGUCAACUCUUUUCUUGCUUAUAGUCUAGUUUCAAGGGUCUCUAGUUUUCUUAUCUUUUGGCAAUAGCCAUUCUAGUUUCUUUUUUAAUAUACAUAUUGAGUUAUUUCUAUUUUGACAUCUUUCUUUGAGAAAAGUCUCACUUAUUUAUUUGUUUUUAUCAAGUGCUUGUCCUUGAUACCUAUCAAUCACAUAUAGAUACGUAUAAAGGUGAAAUUCUAUCUAUGAAGCUUCUAAAAAGCUUUUUUAUAAUAUAUUAUCAAAUUAACUUAUUUUGACCUAUUUAUAAUAUCUAUAUAUUUAUUGGAGUAAAUAUAUAUAUAUAUAUAUAUAUAUAUAUAUAUAUUUGUGACAUUACCCUCCUUCUAGAAAUGAGUUCUAUGAGGAGUAGUGAUCACAUGUUGAGGAAGUCCAAGAUGCAACAAAUUAUAUUUGCCACAUAUUUUGAUCUUUUUUUUCUCCAAAGGUAAUUGAUAGGUCUUCUCAGCCACUAAUAAUGUCUUAUUUCAAGGCAAAAAUACCACUCUAUUAUUUGAACAUUGUUGAAACCUUUGUAACUUUCUUCAAACAAAAUAUUUGCAACACUAUUUGGAGUAGGUUUUACUUCCAAUAAAAUCACCAAACAUUGAGAGUCUCUUCCAAGGUUGUGAUACCAAACACAUUAUAUCUUGUCAUCUAUUCAAAAAAAAAAAAAAAAACAUGUCAUUCUUAAAGGUCUUCAUCUUAAUUACAUUAUCUUGGAGGCUAUGAUAAUUACAAUGUCUUGUUUGAUAAGUUAACAAAUGAUGGCUCCUAAGUUGAAUUUUUCGGUUGUUGGUUCUCUAUCUCUUUAGUGCCACAAAUAUACAAAAAUUACAAAUAAAGAUACAAGGUCAAAUGUAAUUUUCUUUGAACUACAGUUCUUUUAUACUAAAGAUUUGAUAUCCUUUAUCUUGAUUUUGAUAGAUGUUGUUGGUGAAAAGUAUCAACCUUCUUUGUUGUAUUUGCAAGAUUUUGGUUGGCUCCCAUGUCCAUUCUCUAAUACCAUAUCCAUGCCAAUGAACAAGAUAUUUUAACCUAUGUUCGCACUACCUUGAAUCUAAGACUUCUUCAACCUUGUACUCUUGGUUAUUAUCUACUUUUAUAAGAAGAAAUGCCAUUUGUUGACUUCUUGGUAUAUCUAUUAUAUUGUAUGGCUCAAGAAAAGAUACAUGCAAUAUAAAAUAGAUAUUUAUAGACCUUGGUAGGUACAAUCAAUAAACAACUAGAUUAAUCAAUUCAUACAUAAGAAAUGGUCUAAGUGUACAAUAAUCCAACUAGUUACAAGGGCAAAUGGUCUUGAUAUUAUGACAAAGUAAUCAUACUUUGUUGCCAACAUGGAAUUGAAGUUGUUCCUUGCAAUAAUCAUCUGUAUUAAUCUUUUGUCGUUUUUGAACUUCUUUUAGGUAUGCCUUUAUUGUUGCAUGUAGCUUUGACAAAUGAUUUGCCAAAUUUUUUGCCACAUGAUUAUCAACUUUUAAAAGUCAAAAGUAUCAAGUCAUGGAUGAUAACCAAAAUUGAUAAAGAAAGAUGUUUGUUGAAUAGAAGAAUGUAUUGUGUUAUUAUAAGCAAAUUCUACCAAUGAUAAAAGAGUUGUCCAAUCAUCUUGUUGAUAAUUGAUGAUAUACCUCAAAUAUUAUUCUAAACUUUGAUUUACUUGGUUUGUUUGUCUAUUAGUUUGAAGAUGAAAAACCAAAGAUAGUUUUAUGACUACCUUUAGAAACUUGAGAAGAAUUGUUCAAAAUCUUGAUAUAAAUUGUAUCUUCCUAUCUAAUGUAAUAUUUCCUAUCAACCUAUAAUAACAAUAGAUGUUUUUACAAAAAUACUUAACUUACUGUCCACCUUUAAUAGGUUUUAUAUAUUAUACAAAAUGUGCCAUCUUGAUAAAAAAAAUCUUUUAUUACAAAUAUAUAAUCUUACAAAUUUGAAACUAGAAGAUUUGUGAUAAAGUCCAUAGAAAUAGAAGACCAUAAUUGUUGUAGAAUAGGAAAUGGCUCAAGAAGUCUAUAAAAUUGAUGAUGAAGAGCUUUUGAUCUUAAACAAAUGUCACAUGAUUGAACAAAGUCUUUAAUUAUCUUUCACCUUUGAAGCCACAAAAAAUCUUUAGAUAUUAGUUCCAAACUCUUGUUGUAUCCAAAAUAUUAGGCUCUUAGAGAGUUGUGACAAGCUUAAAAAAUGCAUAAUUAUACUUUGCCUUUUAGAAUGUAUAAUAAUUUUUUAAAAUAAAAUAGAUUGUUCUUGAAUUCAAACUUAAAAGUAUUCUAAGUCUUAGAAGAAUUAUUCUUAAUAUCAUAAAUAAGAAGAUCAAAGGACAUAUUCAAUUGAACUUACUUAAAAAAUAAUUAAAUCAAAAAUUAAUGUUGAUUUCAUUGUUUAAAGAUGGAAAUACUUUGGCUUCAAGAAAAUUAUUCUUUGUUGGUUAAAAGAUGCAUCUCUUUCUUUAGGAAAAAAAUAAGAAUUUUUGGAAAGGGCGUCUGACAAACCUUAUUGUUUUUCAAAUCAGUAAGUAAUCUUAAAAUCAAAUCUUAAUAAAAACAUGCUUUAAUAGGCUUGAAAAGAAUUCAAAACACAUAUCAACAUGAAGUACUUGAGGUUCUUGUGAUUUGUAUACAUGGUGAUUGGACAUUGUUAGUCAAGUUCUUGUUAAUGUAUUCAUUCAAUGCAACAACUUUGUUUUGUGAUAGGUUAUAGAUUGGUCUAAAUGGUGGUUGAGUUUAUUCUUAAAAAUCAAUAUAACAAUAUUAAAUGAUGGUCUAAAAUUUUUUUUGCAUUCUUUUUUUAAAAAACAUCUUAAUAAUCUUGAUAUUGAUUUAGAAUGCCACUUGAAAUCUUUUUUCUAUCAAAAUUAGGUGUGGCAUAUAUAACAAAAAGUUGAUCCUUCUUUUAUAGCAUGCAUAAAAAUUCUUGCAUCUACCAAUAAAGAUUUAGAUAUAGUGGAAUUAUGGAUUUUUAUUUAGCUAAUAAAAUCUUGGGCUAAACUAUAGAAAAAAAUAAAGUUAUAAGAAAUCCAAUCUAUUGAAGGAUUAUAGUUUUUUUAGCCAUGAUAAUCCUAAAAUAAUUGGAUUAAAAAGAGAUUUAAUCACAUUAAAUAUUACUAAGCUAUUAUGACUAUUAGUUGCUACAUCUAAUGGAACAAUUUUAUGGAUGACAUCUCUAAAAGACAACAAACAAUCACCUAUUACUUUUAUAUGCACAAUUUUGGUUUUUUUGAAUAAAUGUAUUUCUUGUUUUUUGACAAAAUCUUUGUCUAUAAAACAAGCUAAGGCUCUUGAAUCUAAUAAGGCUAAGACUUUGUGAUUUUUUGAUCUUAAAAAUAUUUCUAUGACAAAACAAGGUGAAGGAUCUAAGGAGGGGAUAUGACCUUUACAAGAUUUCAAUUGUCCAAUUCUUAUUAUAAUUGAAAAAAUUGGUUUUUUGAUACAUAAUUCUCUUCGGAUGACAUGCUCCUCAUUUUGUGGUUGUGUUGCUUUUUUGGACAAUGUGANNNNNNNNNNNNNNNNNNNNNNNNNNNNNNNNNNNNNNNNNNNNNNNNNNNNNNNNNNNNNNNNNNNNNNNNNNNNNNNNNNNNNNNNNNNNNNNNNNNNNNNNNNNNNNNNNNNNNNNNNNNNNNNNNNNNNNNNNNNNNNNNNNNNNNNNNNNNNNNNNNNNNNNNNNNNNNNNNNNNNNNNNNNNNNNNNNNNNNNNNNNNNNNNNNNNNNNNNNNNNNNNNNNNNNNNNNNNNNNNNNNNNNNNNNNNNNNNNNNNNNNNNNNNNNNNNNNNNNNNNNNNNNNNNNNNNNNNNNNNNNNNNNNNNNNNNNNNNNNNNNNNNNNNNNNNNNNNNNNNNNNNNNNNNNNNNNNNNNNNNNNNNNNNNNNNNNNNNNNNNNNNNNNNNNNNNNNNNNNNNNNNNNNNNNNNNNNNNNNNNNNNNNNNNNNNNNNNNNNNNNNNNNNNNNNNNNNNNNNNNNNNNNNNNNNNNNNNNNNNNNNNNNNNNNNNNNNNNNNNNNNNNNNNNNNNNNNNNNNNNNNNNNNNNNNNNNNNNNNNNNNNNNNNNNNNNNNNNNNNNNNNNNNNNNNNNNNNNNNNNNNNNNNNNNNNNNNNNNNNNNNNNNNNNNNNNNNNNNNNNNNNNNNNNNNNNNNNNNNNNNNNNNNNNNNNNNNNNNNNNNNNNNNNNNNNNNNNNNNNNNNNNNNNNNNNNNNNNNNNNNNNNNNNNNNNNNNNNNNNNNNNNNNNNNNNNNNNNNNNNNNNNNNNNNNNNNNNNNNNNNNNNNNNNNNNNNNNNNNNNNNNNNNNNNNNNNNNNNNNNNNNNNNNNNNNNNNNNNNNNNNNNNNNNNNNNNNNNNNNNNNNNNNNNNNNNNNNNNNNNNNNNNNNNNNNNNNNNNNNNNNNNNNNNNNNNNNNNNNNNNNNNNNNNNNNNNNNNNNNNNNNNNNNNNNNNNNNNNNNNNNNNNNNNNNNNNNNNNNNNNNNNNNNNNNNNNNNNNNNNNNNNNNNNNNNNNNNNNNNNNNNNNNNNNNNNNNNNNNNNNNNNNNNNNNNNNNNNNNNNNNNNNNNNNNNNNNNNNNNNNNNNNNNNNNNNNNNNNNNNNNNNNNNNNNNNNNNNNNNNNNNNNNNNNNNNNNNNNNNNNNNNNNNNNNNNNNNNNNNNNNNNNNNNNNNNNNNNNNNNNNNNNNNNNNNNNNNNNNNNNNNNNNNNNNNNNNNNNNNNNNNNNNNNNNNNNNNNNNNNNNNNNNNNNNNNNNNNNNNNNNNNNNNNNNNNNNNNNNNNNNNNNNNNNNNNNNNNNNNNNNNNNNNNNNNNNNNNNNNNNNNNNNNNNNNNNNNNNNNNNNNNNNNNNNNNNNNNNNNNNNNNNNNNNNNNNNNNNNNNNNNNNNNNNNNNNNNNNNNNNNNNNNNNNNNNNNNNNNNNNNNNNNNNNNNNNNNNNNNNNNNNNNNNNNNNNNNNNNNNNNNNNNNNNNNNNNNNNNNNNNNNNNNNNNNNNNNNNNNNNNNNNNNNNNNNNNNNNNNNNNNNNNNNNNNNNNNNNNNNNNNNNNNNNNNNNNNNNNNNNNNNNNNNNNNNNNNNNNNNNNNNNNNNNNNNNNNNNNNNNNNNNNNNNNNNNNNNNNNNNNNNNNNNNNNNNNNNNNNNNNNNNNNNNNNNNNNNNNNNNNNNNNNNNNNNNNNNNNNNNNNNNNNNNNNNNNNNNNNNNNNNNNNNNNNNNNNNNNNNNNNNNNNNNNNNNNNNNNNNNNNNNNNNNNNNNNNNNNNNNNNNNNNNNNNNNNNNNNNNNNNNNNNNNNNNNNNNNNNNNNNNNNNNNNNNNNNNNNNNNNNNNNNNNNNNNNNNNNNNNNNNNNNNNNNNNNNNNNNNNNNNNNNNNNNNNNNNNNNNNNNNNNNNNNNNNNNNNNNNNNNNNNNNNNNNNNNNNNNNNNNNNNNNNNNNNNNNNNNNNNNNNNNNNNNNNNNNNNNNNNNNNNNNNNNNNNNNNNNNNNNNNNNNNNNNNNNNNNNNNNNNNNNNNNNNNNNNNNNNNNNNNNNNNNNNNNNNNNNNNNNNNNNNNNNNNNNNNNNNNNNNNNNNNNNNNNNNNNNNNNNNNNNNNNNNNNNNNNNNNNNNNNNNNNNNNNNNNNNNNNNNNNNNNNNNNNNNNNNNNNNNNNNNNNNNNNNNNNNNNNNNNNNNNNNNNNNNNNNNNNNNNNNNNNNNNNNNNNNNNNNNNNNNNNNNNNNNNNNNNNNNNNNNNNNNNNNNNNNNNNNNNNNNNNNNNNNNNNNNNNNNNNNNNNNNNNNNNNNNNNNNNNNNNNNNNNNNNNNNNNNNNNNNNNNNNNNNNNNNNNNNNNNNNNNNNNNNNNNNNNNNNNNNNNNNNNNNNNNNNNNNNNNNNNNNNNNNNNNNNNNNNNNNNNNNNNNNNNNNNNNNNNNNNNNNNCGCGCAACUAUACACCUCCAACCUUCCUGGCUCCACAUUGCGCACCACCCCCUCUGCUCCAACCCAUCCGCACUUGCUCCGCUGCUGGCGUUGUGGGUGCCCUGCACUACAUCUCGGCUUUUCCACGCAUGGGACCGCUCUUGUGGAUACUCCCCCAUCGCAAUUGUAGCCGCCCCGUUCCGACUCCUCAACAGUCGAUUGCCCGCGUCAAAGCCCAACUCCUGCGGCAUCUCGCACACAAGCCCACAACACCAUCAGCUCCGAUUCUGGCAGCCAUGCUUCACCCAAGCAAUCCAAACAUGCAACCGACUUCAACCAAACUUGUGAGCGCAAACGCCUCGGCGUGGGAUUUGAGCAACGACGCGCUACGCUUCAAGAACCAACUCCACUUCAAAGAGUGCUGAGCGUGGAAAAUCCACCGCGACCUUCACCAAAACAUUCUCAGCCUUCAAUCCACCUGCCAUUCAAAAUCCCACGUAUUGUCCCUGCCCUUGUUCUGCUCCUUUCCUUCGAACCAUGUCCUGUGUUCAAUUUGCUGGUUUUUAUCCUUUCCUUUUUUUUUUCUUUUUUUCUUUUUUUCUUUUCUGGUUUGGUUUUUGUUCUUUGCUCUUUUCAACAGUUAUGUAUGUUCAUAUGUAUACUUAUUAUGUAAACCCCAAAAUAUUGUUGUUGUGGGCGAUUGCAGUGCUAACGAUUUGCUGAACAACAUUUGUAAUGAUAUUCUGUUGCAAAAUUAAAAACAUUUUUCUAUCUUCCUCCAUACACAACUUCAAAGAUGCCAUCUUGUAAUGUCAUUGUCAUUUGCAACUUGAAGGCACACUAUUGCAAGCAGUUUAAUUGGCUUCUUCUUUGGCACAUGCUGAAUGAUAUUGCAAAUCUGGGAAAGAUUGAAACUUUGAAAGUUUUUGAGAUGGUUUUUUUAUCUAGAAUUCUUGAUAUUGAACAUGGCACCAAUAAGAAUUGCUCUUGUCAUUGUUAGAUUUGCUCUUCAACAUUUGAAGACCAACUCAUUGCCAAGGAUGUUGUUCAUAGAUAGAGGACCAAAUUUGCUAGUUUUGAUGCUAAAUUUUAGUGGACAUUUAGAAUCUUUUGACUAUUCAAAUGAAUUAGUUGUUACUAAAAUGAUAAUUCUUGAUAAUAUCAUCAUAAGUUAUCUUCUACUAAAAACUACAACCAAUGAUGAAGUUGAAGAUGAUAACAGGUAAAACUAGAGAAAGUCUUAAGUUCUAAUGUUAUCAAGUCCAUAUAAGUUUCAAAGACAUAUUGGAUGUUACAAGAUGAAGAGAGUCUAGAUUUUUAUUUCUUGCAUCUAAAAGAUAAAAGAUAAGGCUAUUUUGCUAAAGAACAAGUAAUUGGUGUAAAAGUUAAUUUUCAAUUUCUUUUGUAGUUGGUAGGUAGUAUGAAAAUGUUAGGUAGUUAUUUAACUUAUAGUUUUUGCUAUGGAUUCUAAGGUAGUUUUUAAUUUUUAUAAAUAAAAACACAUAUGUAUUGAUAUGUGUCUUAUAUUUAUAACUCUAAAAGUAGUUGAUUUAGUAGGCAUUGCCUACUAAUUUUUAUCAACACUCAUAGAGAGUUUAUAAUUUGGAGUGGGAUUUUAGGUGGUCUGAAUCAAAUUUAAAGCUUCUUUAGUUAAGGCACUAGGAUUAGCAAUACAUUUUUUUUAGGAUCUUGUUUAUACUUCAUAUAGACAUCACUAUGCCAACAAUUUGUAUACUCUCUAGUAAAAUUAAGUUCUUGUUUGUGCUCUCUAAUAGAUGGAGUUUCAACUUUGAAGUGAAUGACUUACAUUGUUUGUCUUCUCUAUUGAUUGUAUGUAUUCUUUGUGUGUGCAUUUUCUACUUUGUUGCAAUAAUAUGUUGAUUUUAGAACAUUGUGCAUUUAUACAAUUGAAUAAGAUUGUGGAGAAAUAUGCAAUAAGAGAUAAAAGAGGUUUUUGCAUCUUAAAUACAAACCUAAGAUUGAAUUGGUGAAUUUUCAUGUAUUUAAAGAGGUGAUAGGUUUUUAAAAUGUGCAAUCAAACAUGUUCUAUUAUAUUGUUAUCAAGAACAGAAAAUAAUAAUAAUAACAAUAAUACCAACAACAACAACAAUAAAAAAAUAAAAAAAUAAAAAAAUAAUUAUAUUCAAAUACUAUAUAUUUAGUUUGUUAGAUUUUUACUUGAUAUAUAAUAAAAAACUAAUAAUUGAUUAAAUUAUCUUAGUAAUUGAUUAAAAUAUAGAAAAUCUAAGUUAUAGUCAAAUUUAGGUCAAGAGGUCUAAGGCAUAUUGGAAAUAUCUAACUUACUUAAUAACCAAACAUUCUCAAUAAGUCACCUUCAGAUCGAGACAAGAGAGCAAAAGUGUCUAAUGUAGGUAAGAAAUGUGCAAUCCAGCUAAAAAUUAGAUAUUUAAGUUAAUUUAAAUAAAGAUUAAAUAAGAAAUAAUUAUUAAAAAGAAAUUGGCUAGUAGUUAUAAAUAAUUAGAAGCUUUAUAAGUCUACAAUAAUAUUGUAUUGAAUCAUCCAAAUUUCUUUAUAUUAAUAUAAUGUUAUUAAAUUAAAAAUAAAUAAGAAAUAAAAAUAAAAAUAGAUUACUUAUGCAAUAUUGUGUAUCUACCAUAUAUUAUCGAAUCUUUGUAUUUUUAUGUUUUAUUUGAAGUUUUCUUGUAUAUAUUUUAACUUUAUAUUAUAAUUAGUAUAAAAUUCUUUUUUAAAUAGAUUUUACAUACAAUCCAUUAACUUUGAAAAAUUAAACUAUAUUGAAUUAAUAUUUUACAUUGGCAUUCAUAACAAAGUAACAUAAUUUUAUAACCUUCAAAAAUAAUUGCUCAUUCUUGAACAAACUCAAAGUAGAAUUUAGCUAAGGUUUAAACUGUUAGAUUGUAGAUUGAUUUAUAUACAAACUAAUAAAUUUUUAAUAAUAAGUUUUAUUUUAGAAAAAUAACAAAAUUAAAACUUAAACUAUAAAAUUAAAGCCUAUAUUUCUAUUAUUAUAUAGAUUCUUAAUUAAGAUAAUUUUAUUGAAAAAAUCUUCUUUUAAUUAAUAUAAUAUCCAAGGUUAAUAUUUAGAAAUUAUUCUUUAAGCUCAAACUACAAAAAUUACAAAUUAAAUUAUAAAAAUGCUAUUUAAUUGUUGAUCGUAACAUUAUACUAUGUUACAACAAGCACCACUCAUUCACUUGUGGUUUUGCUUGCUAGACCAAAACCACCUUUAAUUAACAAACUUCUAUCAAGGAUAUAAAUCUCAAAGAACUAAAAGUUCAAUACACUCUUAUGUCAUUCAAAAAGACUAGAUAAUCACUCAAAGAUGGUAUAAUAUUAAAUUGAAAUGGCUAUUGCCAAAGACAAGAAGACUAGAAAGUCUUGAAAUAAGGCUAAAGAUGAAAAAGGCAUUGACAAGAGUGAAGAAGGCUUCACUCUUGCCUCCAUAUAUUCUAUCUAAUUGAAAGCUACAUGACAACAUUCUAUAAGACCUCCAACACGUGUUUAAUUUGUAAGAUACAAGUCUUAACUUACAAGGCAAAUUUUUUUAUAUGUGUGCCACAUUGUUAGCUUAUACCAUAAGUAAUCCACAUAUGUGGCACAUGGUUGAUUUGUUGGCCAAGUUUUUCACCUAUCAAUCAACUUUAAACAUGUGUAAAGCCAAAUAUGCAUCUGUAAAGCUUUUUAGAAGCUUUGCCACAAAAUAAUAUUAAAACUACUUACAUUUAUCUUUUAUCUAACACUUCUUAUUUAGGUAAAUUUUUAUGUCCAUGACAUUAUUGUUUUUUUUAAGAACAAGUUCCAUAAGAAGUACUCAUCAUAUGUUGAAAAAGUCUAAGAUGCAACAAAUUGUAUUUGCUACAUACCCUAAUCUUUGUUUUCUUUAGAGGUGGUUGAUUGGUCUUUUUAGCCAUCAAUAGUGUUUCAUAUCAAGGCAAAAAGACCUCCUUGUUAUUUGAUUAUUGUCGAGGCCUUUGUAACUUCUUUCAAAUAAAACAUUCAAAACAUUGUCAAUAAUCAAUGCAACCUCCAAUAACAUCACCAAACAUGAAGAGUCUCUUUCAAGGUCAUGAUAUUAAAUGCAUUGUGUCUUGCCAUUAAAUCAAGGAAAAAUAUGUUGUUCUGGAAGAUUUCUAUUUUUGAUGCGUUGUCUUGAAGACUAUGACAAUCACAAUGUCUUGUCCAAUAAGUCAAUAAAUAUAAGUUCCUGAGUUGAAUCUAUUGAUUGUUGAUUUUUCAUCUUUUUUUUGUCACAAAUACAAAAAGACUACAAACAAGGAUAGAAAGUAGAAUGCUAUCUUUUUUGUAGCUUUGUUUCUUUUAUAACAAAGACUUGUUAUUUUUUAUCUUGAUUUUGAAGGAUGUUGUUGAUAAAAAGCAUCAAUCUUCUUUGUUGUAUUUGCAAGAUUUGUAAUAGGCUUUUGUAUGUUAUUCCAAAUAUCAUAUCUAUACCAACAAACAAGAUGUUUCAACCUAUUUCAAUGCUGCCUUGAAUCUAAGACUUCUUCCACUUCAUAUUCUUGAUUAUUGUCCACUUUUGCAUGAAGAGGUGGCAUUUUUCUACUUUCUAAGAUAUUCAUUGUCUUAUAUGAUUCAAGAAGUGACACAUAGAAUACAAGAUGCAUCUUCAUAGACUUUGGUAGAUAUAAUCGAUAAGUAAUAGAAUUGAUUUGUUUACAAGUAAAACAUGGUCUAAGACUAUAGUAAUCCAACUUUUCACAAGGGCAAUGAAUCUUGAUAUUGUGACAAAGUAACCAUACUUCAUUGUGAACAUGUAUCUUCAACAUACAUAUUUACUCUAAUAAUUAUUUGAAUUUUAUGAACAUGUCAAAAUAGGUUGAUUUGAUAAUAUCUUAUAGGAUAGCUUUUUAAAAGCUUUAUAGAUAAAAUUUCACUUUUAUACAUGUGUAUAGGUGAUUGAUAAGUUAGAAACUUUGCCAACAAGUUAGUCACGUGUUGCAUGUAUUGAUAGCUUAUAGUACAAGCUAAUAAUGUGGCACAAAUAUAGGAAACUUGACUUGCAAGUUAAAACACAUGUUUUAUAAAUUAAACACAUGUUAUAAGUCUUAUAGAAUGCCGCCAGGUAUCUUCUAGUUAGAUAGUAUAUAUGGAGGCAAGAAUGAAGCUUCCUUCAUUCUUCUAAAUACCUUUUUAGUCCUUAGUCUUGUUUCAAAACUUUCUUGUCUUUUUAUCUAAUUUCAAUACUAUAUUAGUUUUGACUAAAAAUCUAUUCUUUAUAAGUUAUACAUGAUUGAAUUAAAUUUUUGAUUCUUCAAGAUUCACAUUCUUGAUAGUUUAAUAAGAAUGCCAACUCAUUAGUUUUGUUUUGUUUUUAGAAGUGAGUAAACUAUCAUACUUCUAUUAUUAUAUUUUAAAGGUUGUGAACCACUUACCUUCAAUCUAAUAUUUUAGUUCCUUAACAAUGAUUAUUUUUCUUAAAGAAAAUAGACUACCCUUCUUUGUAGAAAUUUUUAUUUACUACUAGAGGAUUGUGGAUUAUUCUCUUCUAAUUUGAUUGAUACAUUUGUUAGAAUUGUGGAUAAAAAAAAUAAAAAUAAAAAUGAAAUAAAAUAUGAAUACUAUUCUUAACAAAAGUGAGAAUAGAUUGGCAACCAUUGCAAAUCUUCAUGAAUUUAUUAAUAAUCUUAAGGUAGAAAUUGCAUGUAUCUCUAAUACAAAUUAUGGAGGUAGUAUUCCAACACCUAUAGAAGAAGUUAAUAAUGAAGUUUAAAGUCCAUGCUAGAAAGUUGUGCAGUUGAAAGAAGCAAGUUGAUCAAUUUCACAACUAAAUCCAAGAAGUCUUGCUACUACAAGUAUGAAGGAAACAAGAAUAAGUAUGGUAGAAAAGUUUGAUGGAACAAGAUCAAAGUUUUGAAGAUUUUUACAACAAGUAAAGCUCUAUCUAAAGUUACAUAUAUCUCAAUAUUUUGAUGGAUUUAUUCAAGUUGGAUUCAUAGAUGGAAUUCUCUUUGAAAGUAUUCUUUCUUAGUUUGCACCUUUAAUGGAAAAGGAUUCAUGACAAUUGUAUGUUUUAAAUUAAUUCUUCAAAGCCAUUAUGGCCACAUUUAAAAAAAAAUGAUUAAAAAAAGAUAGUAGAGAUCAAACUUUUAUCUUUAUGACAAUAAUUACAUUAAACUUCUACAUAUGAUGUUGAAUUUUAAAACCUUGCUUGCAACAUCAAAUAGAAUGUCAAGGCUCUUAUCAAUCAAUUUUUGUAUGGAUUAAAAGAUAAUAUCAAAGAUUUAAUAUUGAUGAUACCAAAAGCACAUUCACACUCAUUGGAGCAAUUUAUUGCUUAAGUCAUUGCAUGCAACAAUCAAUUCUUUGAAAGAUUCCAAAAACAAAGAUUUUAUUGAAGGGGUAUAAGUCAAGUCAUGGUAACAACUUCUAAAUUCAUAAAAGUUUAAUAAUUAAGAUCAAAAUCUAUGCAAAAUAACAUUGUAUGUUUCAAACUUCUUACUGAGCAUAAAAAGACUCAAUGCUAUCAAAAAAGGUUGUGCCUAUAUUAUGGAGAACCUAAGUACAUUGCUCAACAUUGUCCAAAAAAGCAACACAACCACAAAAUGAGGAGCAUGGUUGCCAAAGAGAAUUAUGUAUCAAAAAACCAAUUUUUUCAAUUAUAAUAAGAAUUGGGCAAUUGAAAUCUUGUACAACACCUAAUAAAGGUCAUAUCCCCUCCUUAGAUCCUUCACCUUGUUUUGUCAUAGAAAUAUUUUUAAGAUCAAAAAAUCACAAAGUCUUAGCCUUAUUAGAUUCAAGAGCCUUAGCUUGUUUUAUAGACAAAGAUUUUGUCAAAAAACAAGAAAUACAUUUAUUCAAAAAAACCAAAAUUGUGCAUAUAAAAGUAAUAGGUGAUUGUUUGUUGUCUUUUAGAGAUGUCAUCCAUAAAAUUGUUCCAUUAGAUGUAGCAACUAAUAGUCAUAAUAGCUUAGUAAUAUUUAAUGUGAUUAAAUCUCCUUUUAAUCCAAUUAUUUUAGGAUUAUCAUGGCUAAAAAAACUAUAAUCCUUCAAUAGAUUGGAUUUCUUAUAACUUUAUUUUUUUCUAUAGUUUAGCCCAAGAUUUUAUUAGCUAAAUAAAAAUCCAUAAUUCCACUAUAUCUAAAUCUUUAUUGGUAGAUGCAAGAAUUUUUAUGCAUGCUAUAAAAGAAGGAUCAACUUUUUGUUAUAUAUGCCACACCUAAUUUUGAUAGAAAAAAGAUUUCAAGUGGCAUUCUAAAUCAAUAUCAAGAUUAUUAAGAUGUUUUUUAAAAAAAGAAUGCAAAAAAAAUUUUAGACCAUCAUUUAAUAUUGUUAUAUUGAUUUUUAAGAAUAAACUCAACCACCAUUUAGACCAAUCUAUAACCUAUCACAAAACAAAGUUGUUGCAUUGAAUGAAUACAUUAACAAGAACUUGGCUAACAAUGUCCAAUCACCAUGUAUACAAAUUAUAAGAACCUCAAGUACUUCAUAUUGAUAUGUGUUUUGAAUUGUUUUCAAGCCUAUUAAAGCAUGUUUUUAUUAAGAUUUGAUUUUAAGAUUACUUACUGAUUUGAAAAACAAUAAGGUUUGUCAGACGCCCUUUCCAAAAAUUCUUAUUUUUUUCCUAAAGAAAGAGAUGCAUCUUUUAACCAACAAAGAAUAAUGUUCUUGAAGCCAAAGUAUUGCCAUCUUUAAACAAUGGAAUCAACAUUAAUUUUUGAUUUAAUUAUUUUUUAAGUAAGUUCAAUUGAAUAUGUCCUUUGAUCUUCUUAUUUAUGAUAUUAAGAAUAAUUCUUCUAAGACUUGGGAUACUUUUAAGUUUGAAUUCAAGAACAAUCUAUUUUAUUUUAAAAAAUUAUUAUACAUUCUAAAAGGCAAAGUACAAUUAUGCAUUUUUUAAGCUUGUCACAACUCUCUAAGAGCCUAAUAUUUUGGAUACAACAAGAGUUUGGAACUAAUAUCUAAAUAUUUUUUGUGGCUUCAAAGGUGAAAGAUAAUUAAAGACUUUGUUCAAUCAUGUGACAUUUGUUUAAGAUCAAAAGCUCUUCAUCAUCAAUUUUAUAGACUUCUUGAGCCAUUUCCUAUUCUACAACAAUUAUGGUCUUCUAUUUCUAUGGACUUUAUCACAAAUCUUCUAGUUUCAAAUUUGUAAGAUUAUAUAUUUGUAAUAAAAGAUUUUUUUUAUCAAGAUGGCACAUUUUGUAUAAUAUAUAAAACCUAUUAAAGGUGGACAGUAAGUUAAGUAUUUUUGUAAAAACAUCUAUUGUUAUUAUAGGUUGAUAGGAAAUAUUACAUUAGAUAGGAAGAUACAAUUUAUAUCAAGAUUUUGAACAAUUCUUCUCAAGUUUCUAAAGGUAGUCAUAAAACUAUCUUUGGUUUUUCAUCUUCAAACUAAUAGACAAACAAACCAAGUAAAUCAAAGUUUAGAAUAAUAUUUGAGGUAUAUCAUCAAUUAUCAACAAGAUGAUUGGACAACUCUUUUAUCAUUGGUAGAAUUUGCUUAUAAUAACACAAUACAUUCUUCUAUUCAACAAACAUCUUUCUUUAUCAAUUUUGGUUAUCAUCCAUGACUUGAUACUUUUGACUUUUAAAAGUUGAUAAUCAUGUGGCAAAAAAUUUGGCAAAUCAUUUGUCAAAGCUACAUGCAACAAUAAAGGCAUACCUAAAAGAAGUUCAAAAACGACAAAAGAUUAAUACAGAUGAUUAUUGCAAGGAACAACUUCAAUUCCAUGUUGGCAACAAAGUAUGAUUACUUUGUCAUAAUAUCAAGACCAUUUGCCCUUGUAACUAGUUGGAUUAUUGUACACUUAGACCAUUUCUUAUGUAUGAAUUGAUUAAUCUAGUUGUUUAUUGAUUGUACCUACCAAGGUCUAUAAAUAUCUAUUUUAUAUUGCAUGUAUCUUUUCUUGAGCCAUACAAUAUAAUAGAUAUACCAAGAAGUCAACAAAUGGCAUUUCUUCUUAUAAAAGUAGAUAAUAACCAAGAGUACAAGGUUGAAGAAGUCUUAGAUUCAAGGUAGUGCGAACAUAGGUUAAAAUAUCUUGUUCAUUGGCAUGGAUAUGGUAUUAGAGAAUGGACAUGGGAGCCAACCAAAAUCUUGCAAAUACAACAAAGAAGGUUGAUACUUUUCACCAACAACAUCUAUCAAAAUCAAGAUAAAGGAUAUCAAAUCUUUAGUAUAAAAGAACUGUAGUUCAAAGAAAAUUACAUUUGACCUUGUAUCUUUAUUUGUAAUUUUUGUAUAUUUGUGGCACUAAAGAGAUAGAGAACCAGCAACCGAAAAAUUCAACUUAGGAGCCAUCAUUUGUUAACUUAUCAAACAAGACAUUGUAAUUAUCAUAGCCUCCAAGAUAAUGUAAUUAAGAUGAAGACCUUUAAGAAUGACAUGUUUUUUUUUUUUUUUUUGAAUAGAUGACAAGAUAUAAUGUGUUUGGUAUCACAACCUUGGAAGAGACUCUCAAUGUUUGGUGAUUUUAUUGGAAGUAAAACCUACUCCAAAUAGUGUUGUAAAUAUUUUGUUUGAAGAAAGUUACAAAGGUUUCAACAAUGUUCAAAUAAUAGAGUGGUAUUUUUGCCUUGAAAUAAGACAUUAUUAGUGGCUGAGAAGACCUAUCAAUUACCUUUGGAGAAAAAAAAGAUCAAAAUAUGUGGCAAAUAUAAUUUGUUGCAUCUUGGACUUCCUCAACAUGUGAUCACUACUCCUCAUAGAACUCAUUUCUAGAAGGAGGGUAAUGUCACAAAUAUAUAUAUAUAUAUAUAUAUAUAUAUUUACUCCAAUAAAUAUAUAGAUAUUAUAAAUAGGUCAAAAUAAGUUAAUUUGAUAAUAUAUUAUAAAAAAGCUUUUUAGAAGCUUCAUAGAUAGAAUUUCACCUUUAUACGUAUCUAUAUGUGAUUGAUAGGUAUCAAGGACAAGCACUUGAUAAAAACAAAUAAAUAAGUGAGACUUUUCUCAAAGAAAGAUGUCAAAAUAGAAAUAACUCAAUAUGUAUAUUAAAAAAGAAACUAGAAUGGCUAUUGCCAAAAGAUAAGAAAACUAGAGACCCUUGAAACUAGACUAGAAGCAAGAAAAGAGUUGACAACAGUGAAGAGGACUUCACUCUUGUCUCUUUAUAUACUAUCUAACUAAGGGCUACGUGGAGAUGUUCUAUAAAACCUCCAAUAUGUGUUGUCUAUGUAGGAUACAUGCCUUGACUUACAAGGCAAGUUUUUCUAUGUUUAGGCCACAUAAUAAGCUUGAUCUUCAAGCUAACAACAUGUGUGUCACAUGGCCAACUUGUUAACUAGGUUUUUAAUCCAAAAAGUCAAUUAAAGACACCUAUAAAGUCAAAGCAACGUCUAUAAAGCUUCUAGGAAGCUUCCACAAUAAAUAUUAUAGAAUUAACUUACUUUUACCUAUUUUUACUUACUUCUACCUAUUUAUACAUGUAAUUAUUAGCUUACAUGUGUAUGUCCAUGACAAUAGGUUAGAAACUUGGCCAAUAAAUUAGCCACAUAUUGCAUAUAUUGAUAGCUUGCAAUACAAGCAAACAAUAUGGCAUACAUAUAGAAAACUUGCCUUGCAAGUUAAGACACGUGUCUUGUAAAUUGGACAUGUAUCAAUUAUUAGUUUAUUAUUAUAUAUCAAGUAAAAAUCUAACAAACUAAAUAUAUAGUAUUUGAAUAUAUUUAUUUAUUUAUUUAUUUAUUUUUAUUAUUUUUUUUGUAAGUAGUACUGUGAGCAAUAUUAAUUCUGGUUUCAAUAUUAUAUUAGUUUUGAGUUAAUAUCUAUUGUUUUUUAAUUAUCUAAGAAUGUAUGGAGUUUUUGGUUCUUUGAGAUUCAUGUCCUUGACACCUUAGAAUUGAAGUUGUACUUGGAAUAGGCAUCUGCAUUCUUGUUUGGUCAUCUUGGAGAUUCUUUUAAUCAUGCCUUCAUUAUUGUAUGUAGCUCAAAUUAAUAAUUUGCCAAAUCUUUUGCCAUAAAAUUAUCAACUUUUGAAAAGUCAAAAGCAUUCAGUUAUGGAUGAUAACUAUAAUUAUCAAAGCAAGGUGUUUAUUGCAUAAAAGAAUGAAUCUUACUAUUAUAUGUUAACUCUAUCAAUGAUGAAAGUGUUGUCCAAUCAUCUUCUUGGUAGUUGAUGGCACAUCUCAACUAUUACUCUAAAACUUGGUUUAUGCACUUUGUUUGUCCAUUGGUUUGAGGAUAAAAAAACCAAAGAUAGCUUUAUGUCCACUUUUAGAAUCUUGAAAAGAAUUCUUUAAAAUCUUGAUACAAAUUGAGUUUCUCUAUCCAAUAUAAUAUCCUUGAGCAAUCUAUGAUAUUGAUAGCUAUUGUCAAGAAAAAGCUUAAUUAUUUCUUCACAUGUAAUAGAUUUUGUAUAUGGUACAAAAUGUGCCAUCUUGGCAAAAUGAUCUACUAUCACAAAUAUAAAAUCAUAAGAACUUAACGAUAUAAACUUCAUGAAGAAUAGUAGUAUUGUUUAGAAUCAUUGACUUAAAGAUUCAACAAUGUUGCUUUGAUUUAAAAAGACAAUUUGUAGUUGAUUAUAUCAAGCACUUUGUUUUUUUAUUAGAAGAUAGGAACAUCUAUACAUCAAAUUCAAUAAGCAAUUUUGAUUUUUGUAAAAACUAAAAAAUAAAACAUGUUUUAAUAGGCUUUCUAAUAAUUUAAGACAUGUGUUGACAUGAAAUACUUAAGAUUUAUAUAAUUUGUAAAACAUUUAAGAAAAUAAAAAUAAAAUUUUAGAUAUUAAUUUAUUUUAUAAAUAAAGAAAAAAUAGCAAAAAAAUCUUUAUUGAAAAUCUUAUAUUUAAUCUUAAUUAUUGAUUUUAUUCUUUUUCUUUUUUUCUCAUAAAAAGCAAGAUGAUGAAGUCUAAAAAGUAUAUCUAAUUGUGAUAAAAUUGCCUCUCAUACAAAGUUUUUGUAAAAACACAACUUGAAAAAAAAUCAAACAAUAUAAAGUACAAGCUAAAGACAAAACUACUUUCAAUUCUUAAAAAACUACCUCUAUAUUUAUACUCUAUUCUUAUUUGUUGUUGGAAGUUACUUAUGCAAGUAAAAUAGCAAGUUGAGUGAAGUUUUCAAUGUAUAUUUGCCAAUAAUUUACAAACUUCAAAUAGGAUAAAGCAUCCUACAUGGAAAUUAGAGUUUUAUAAUCUAUAAAUAGAAUGUGUUCUUCUAGUAUCCACUUAUAAACCAUCAUUUACAAAUAUAAAGACUAAAACAUAUUUGUGAUAAAUAUAACAUAUUAGAUUUUCCAUCCAAGCAUUUAAACUUAGAUCUUUUAAUCCUAACAAAACAAAAAUAUUUAUAUGUAUAUAUAUAUAUAUAUAUAUAUAUAUAUAUAUAUACAUAAAUUUUAUUCAUCCAUAUUUUUAAAGAGGAUACAAAUUUCAUCUAAAUAAUAAAUAAAGCACUUAUCCUUAAUAUUAACUUGUAUUAGAUUUAAAAGAUAUGAUAACCAAACAUGUACUUAAUAGAAGAAAAAAACAAAAGAUUGUAUUUUGGAGGAAAUAUAGCUAUUUCGAAUGUACUAUUGUGGAUUAUAGACUUGGAAAUGCUUUAGCAAUUAUGUACCAUUUGAUCAAUGAUGUGUUUUUAUGAAAUCCUAGAUAAUUAUAUUGUAUGCAAUCUAAAGCAUUGAAAGGCUUUAGAAUCAAAUUGUCCAUUUGAGCCACCAAUGGUGUUGAUAUUGAUAAUUUCUAGAGGAUUCAAUGGCCAUGAUUGAACCAGUUUACAACAAAAUGUAAUUAAUGCUAGUGCAUGCUAUGUAUCAUUGUUUGAUUGAGUGUGGGUGCAAUUUUGGAGGAAUAUGUAAGUGCAUACAAGUAUGUAGAUAGAUGGAUAGAUAGAUAACAUGGAUUGAAUUGGAUUCAUGCAAUUUGCUAAUAAUCUUAUGAUGUGGUUGUCAAUUUAGUAUGUUUCUUACACAUGCUACAUUUUUGUGAUCCAUCAUCAAAUCCAAGCAUGCAUGCAAGAAGAAAGAAGAAAAAAGAGGUUGUUGAUCCAUAACAAUUGAUGAGACUUCACAAACAACCAAGUAAGUAAGUAAGUAAGUGCAUGACUUGAUGGAUGGGAAAACAAAUGAGAGGGUGAGUGGUGGGGGAUUGCAGCAUAAGGUGGCGGGGAUGGCAAUGGGGUGGGGGCACAGAAACAGCACAGCAUACAGAAACUAAUAAGAAGGGAAGGGGGGAGAGGAAAAAACAGGUGAAGUUCAGGCAGCGGGUGGGUCGAGGACAGGGACAACGGCGCAAAAGGGGAAGGCACAGUCGCUGCGAUGAAUUCUCUGAUGUAACCGUCGCCUAAGAGAUUCGAACUCUUGCGGGGAAACCCCAUGUACUUAGCAGGCACACGCCUUAACCACUCGGCCAAAGCGACUACGCACAUGCCAAGCCAGGGGGCUCGCCACGCGCGCAUCUUCCAACCAACCGGGCAGCCGCACAAAACCGGCGCCAGAAAGAACAACAUCAACAACAACAAGAAAACAAAACUAAACUCCUCGCGGAGUCACAGUCGGUGCCCGUCAGAACGCUCUCCGUCCAUCACCGCCCCCAGGAAUGAGGAGGCGGGACGUUCAUCUGGCAGGCUGGCUCCGGCCCCCGCAAGGGGGCCACUGGCACCAGCCGCGGCAAUCGCGCUCAGGCCGGAGAGCCCUGAAUCAUCGUCCGGGUUGAAGGUCUUGUCUGUGUUGGAGAACACAGAUCAGAUGUACGCACUAUAGAACAGAUCCUGUUCAAGUAUAGUCGUGCCAGCCCCUCCCCACCCCCACCCCCAUAUACCCGCCUUCCCCUCCACCCGCAACCGCGAUGGUGCAACUCCCCCCGCCCUUUCCAACCACCACCACUGCUCUCUCCCUCCCUCCCUCCCACCCCCUCCCCUUCUGCCCCACGCUUCCCUCGCCUCGCCCAUCCCUCUCACUCUCACUCUCACGCUCACUGCGUUGCCACCGCUCCGACUCCACCACUCGCCCACACUCCCUCCCGCUUCCGCUCCUCCCCACCCAAGGCUCCACGGCCAACGCCCCACCCUCCGCCAACCCCUGCCCCAUUUCACGCGCUUCCUCCUCUUCGCAACAUCCCCACCCUUCCCACGUGCAAACGAACAAUUGCAACCGCGCAAUCUAUACACCUCCAACCUUCCUGGCUCCACAUUGCGCACCACCCCCUCUGCUCCAACCCAUCCGCACUUGCUCCGCUGCUGGCGUUGUGGGUGCCCUGCACUACAUCUCGGCUUUUCCACGCAUGGGACCGCUCUUGUGGAUACUCCCCCAUCGCAAUUGUAGCCGCCCCGUUCCGACUCCUCAACAGUCGAUUGCCCGCGUCAAAGCCCAACUCCUGCGGCAUCUCGCACACAAGCCCACAACACCAUCAGCUCCGAUUCUGGCAGCCAUGCUUCACCCAAGCAAUCCAAACAUGCAACCGACUUCAACCAAACUUGUGAGCGCAAACGCCUCGGCGUGGGAUUUGAGCAACGACGCGCUACGCUUCAAGAACCAACUCCACUUCAAAGAGUGCUGAGCGUGGAAAAUCCACCGCGACCUUCACCAAAACAUUCUCAGCCUUCAAUCCACCUGCCAUUCAAAAUCCCACGUAUUGUCCCUGCCCUUGUUCUGCUCCUUUCCUUCGAACCAUGUCCUGUGUUCAAUUUGCUGGUUUUUAUCCUUUCCUUUUUUUUUUCUUUUUUUCUUUUUUUCUUUUCUGGUUUGGUUUUUGUUCUUUGCUCUUUUCAACAGUUAUGUAUGUUCAUAUGUAUACUUAUUAUGUAAACCCCAAAAUAUUGUUGUUGUGGGCGAUUGCAGUGCUAACGAUUUGCUGAACAACAUUUGUAAUGAUAUUCUGUUGCAAAAUUAAAAACAUUUUUCUAUCUUCCUCCAUACACAACUUCAAAGAUGCCAUCUUGUAAUGUCAUUGUCAUUUGCAACUUGAAGGCACACUAUUGCAAGCAGUUUAAUUGGCUUCUUCUUUGGCACAUGCUGAAUGAUAUUGCAAAUCUGGGAAAGAUUGAAACUUUGAAAGUUUUUGAGAUGGUUUUUUUAUCUAGAAUUCUUGAUAUUGAACAUGGCACCAAUAAGAAUUGCUCUUGUCAUUGUUAGAUUUGCUCUUCAACAUUUGAAGACCAACUCAUUGCCAAGGAUGUUGUUCAUAGAUAGAGGACCAAAUUUGCUAGUUUUGAUGCUAAAUUUUAGUGGACAUUUAGAAUCUUUUGACUAUUCAAAUGAAUUAGUUGUUACUAAAAUGAUAAUUCUUGAUAAUAUCAUCAUAAGUUAUCUUCUACUAAAAACUACAACCAAUGAUGAAGUUGAAGAUGAUAACAGGUAAAACUAGAGAAAGUCUUAAGUUCUAAUGUUAUCAAGUCCAUAUAAGUUUCAAAGACAUAUUGGAUGUUACAAGAUGAAGAGAGUCUAGAUUUUUAUUUCUUGCAUCUAAAAGAUAAAAGAUAAGGCUAUUUUGCUAAAGAACAAGUAAUUGGUGUAAAAGUUAAUUUUCAAUUUCUUUUGUAGUUGGUAGGUAGUAUGAAAAUGUUAGGUAGUUAUUUAACUUAUAGUUUUUGCUAUGGAUUCUAAGGUAGUUUUUAAUUUUUAUAAAUAAAAACACAUAUGUAUUGAUAUGUGUCUUAUAUUUAUAACUCUAAAAGUAGUUGAUUUAGUAGGCAUUGCCUACUAAUUUUUAUCAACACUCAUAGAGAGUUUAUAAUUUGGAGUGGGAUUUUAGGUGGUCUGAAUCAAAUUUAAAGCUUCUUUAGUUAAGGCACUAGGAUUAGCAAUACAUUUUUUUUAGGAUCUUGUUUAUACUUCAUAUAGACAUCACUAUGCCAACAAUUUGUAUACUCUCUAGUAAAAUUAAGUUCUUGUUUGUGCUCUCUAAUAGAUGGAGUUUCAACUUUGAAGUGAAUGACUUACAUUGUUUGUCUUCUCUAUUGAUUGUAUGUAUUCUUUGUGUGUGCAUUUUCUACUUUGUUGCAAUAAUAUGUUGAUUUUAGAACAUUAUGCAUUUAUACAAUUGAAUAAGAUUGUGGAGAAAUAUGCAAUAAGAGAUAAAAGAGGUUUUUGCAUCUUAAAUACAAACCUAAGAUUGAAUUGGUGAAUUUUCAUGUAUUUAAAGAGGUGAUAGGUUUUUAAAAUGUGCAAUCAAACAUGUUCUAUUAUAUUGUUAUCAAGAACAGAAAAUAAUAAUAAUAACAAUAAUACCAACAACAACAACAAUAAAAAAAUAAAAAAAUAAAAAAAUAAUUAUAUUCAAAUACUAUAUAUUUAGUUUGUUAGAUUUUUACUUGAUAUAUAAUAAAAAACUAAUAAUUGAUUAAAUUAUCUUAGUAAUUGAUUAAAAUAUAGAAAAUCUAAGUUAUAGUCAAAUUUAGGUCAAGAGGUCUAAGGCAUAUUGGAAAUAUCUAACUUACUUAAUAACCAAACAUUCUCAAUAAGUCACCUUCAGAUCGAGACAAGAGAGCAAAAGUGUCUAAUGUAGGUAAGAAAUGUCCAAUCCAGCUAAAAAUUAGAUAUUUAAGUUAAUUUAAAUAAAGAUUAAAUAAGAAAUAAUUAUUAAAAAGAAAUUGGCUAGUAGUUAUAAAUAAUUAGAAGCUUUAUAAGUCUACAAUAAUAUUGUAUUGAAUCAUCCAAAUUUCUUUAUAUUAAUAUAAUGUUAUUAAAUUAAAAAUAAAUAAGAAAUAAAAAUAAAAAUAGAUUACUUAUGCAAUAUUGUGUAUCUACCAUAUAUUAUCGAAUCUUUGUAUUUUUAUGUUUUAUUUGAAGUUUUCUUGUAUAUAUUUUAACUUUAUAUUAUAAUUAGUAUAAAAUUCUUUUUUAAAUAGAUUUUACAUACAAUCCAUUAACUUUGAAAAAUUAAACUAUAUUGAAUUAAUAUUUUACAUUGGCAUUCAUAACAAAGUAACAUAAUUUUAUAACCUUCAAAAAUAAUUGCUCAUUCUUGAACAAACUCAAAGUAGAAUUUAGCUAAGGUUUAAACUGUUAGAUUGUAGAUUGAUUUAUAUACAAACUAAUAAAUUUUUAAUAAUAAGUUUUAUUUUAGAAAAAUAACAAAAUUAAAACUUAAACUAUAAAAUUAAAGCCUAUAUUUCUAUUAUUAUAUAGAUUCUUAAUUAAGAUAAUUUUAUUGAAAAAAUCUUCUUUUAAUUAAUAUAAUAUCCAAGGUUAAUAUUUAGAAAUUAUUCUUUAAGCUCAAACUACAAAAAUUACAAAUUAAAUUAUAAAAAUGCUAUUUAAUUGUUGUUCGUAAUAUUAUACUAUGUUACAACAAGCACCACUCAUUCACUUGUGGUUUUGCUUGCUAGACCAAAACCACCUUUAAUUAACAAACUUCUAUCAAGGAUAUAAAUCUCAAAGAACUAAAAGUUCAAUACACUCUUAUGUCAUUCAAAAAGACUAGAUAAUCACUCAAAGAUGGUAUAAUAUUAAAUUGAAAUGACUAUUGCCAAAGACAAGAAGACUAGAAAGUCUUGAAAUAAGGCUAAAGAUGAAAAAGGCAUUGACAAGAGUGAAGAAGGCUUCACUCUUGCCUCCAUAUAUUCUAUCUAAUUGAAAGCUACAUGACAACAUUCUAUAAGACCUCCAACACGUGUUUAAUUUGUAAGAUACAAGUCUUAACUUACAAGGCAAAUUUUUUUAUAUGUGUGCCACAUUGUUAGCUUAUACCAUAAGUAAUCCACAUAUGUGGCACAUGGUUGAUUUGUUGGCCAAGUUUUUCACCUAUCAAUCAACUUUAAACAUGUGUAAAGCCAAAUAUGCAUCUGUAAAGCUUUUUAGAAGCUUUGCCACAAAAUAAUAUUAAAACUACUUACAUUUAUCUUUUAUCUAACACUUCUUAUUUAGGUAAAUUUUUAUGUCCAUGACAUUAUUGUUUUUUUUAAGAACAAGUUCCAUAAGAAGUACUCAUCAUAUGUUGAAAAAGUCUAAGAUGCAACAAAUUGUAUUUGCUACAUACCCUAAUCUUUGUUUUCUUUAGAGGUGGUUGAUUGGUCUUUUUAGCCAUCAAUAGUGUUUCAUAUCAAGGCAAAAAGAUCUCCUUGUUAUUUGAUUAUUGUCGAGGCCUUUGUAACUUCUUUCAAAUAAAACAUUCAAAACAUUGUCAAUAAUCAAUGCAACCUCCAAUAACAUCACCAAACAUGAAGAGUCUCUUUCAAGGUCAUGAUAUUAAAUGCAUUGUGUCUUGCCAUUAAAUCAAGGAAAAAUAUGUUGUUCUGGAAGAUUUCUAUUUUUGAUGCGUUGUCUUGAAGACUAUGACAAUCACAAUGUCUUGUCCAAUAAGUCAAUAAAUAUAAGUUCCUGAGUUGAAUCUAUUGAUUGUUGAUUUUUCAUCUUUUUUUUGUCACAAAUACAAAAAGACUACAAACAAGGAUAGAAAGUAGAAUGCUAUCUUUUUUGUAGCUUUGUUUCUUUUAUAACAAAGACUUGUUAUUUUUUAUCUUGAUUUUGAAGGAUGUUGUUGAUAAAAAGCAUCAAUCUUCUUUGUUGUAUUUGCAAGAUUUGUAAUAGGCUUUUGUAUGUUAUUCCAAAUAUCAUAUCUAUACCAACAAACAAGAUGUUUCAACCUAUUUCAAUGCUGCCUUGAAUCUAAGACUUCUUCCACUUCAUAUUCUUGAUUAUUGUCCACUUUUGCAUGAAGAGGUGGCAUUUUUCUACUUUCUAAGAUAUUCAUUGUCUUAUAUGAUUCAAGAAGUGACACAUAGAAUACAAGAUGCAUCUUCAUAGACUUUGGUAGAUAUAAUCGAUAAGUAAUAGAAUUGAUUUGUUUACAAGUAAAACAUGGUCUAAGACUAUAGUAAUCCAACUUUUCACAAGGGCAAUGAAUCUUGAUAUUGUGACAAAGUAACCAUACUUCAUUGUGAACAUGUAUCUUCAACAUACAUAUUUACUCUAAUAAUUAUUUGAAUUUUAUGAACAUGUCAAAAUAGGUUGAUUUGAUAAUAUCUUAUAGGAUAGCUUUUUAAAAGCUUUAUAGAUAAAAUUUCACUUUUAUACAUGUGUAUAGGUGAUUGAUAAGUUAGAAACUUUGCCAACAAGUUAGUCACGUGUUGCAUGUAUUGAUAGCUUAUAGUACAAGCUAAUAAUGUGGCACAAAUAUAGGAAACUUGACUUGCAAGUUAAAACACAUGUUUUAUAAAUUAAACACAUGUUAUAAGUCUUAUAGAAUGCCGCCAGGUAGCUUCUAGUUAGAUAGUAUAUAUGGAGGCAAGAAUGAAGCUUCCUUCAUUCUUCUAAAUACCUUUUUAGUCCUUAGUCUUGUUUCAAAACUUUCUUGUCUUUUUAUCUUUGGCAAUAACCAUUCUAAUUUCAAUACUAUAUUAGUUUUGACUAAAAAUCUAUUCUUUAUAAGUUAUACAUGAUUGAAUUAAAUUUUUGAUUCUUCAAGAUUCACAUUCUUGAUAGUUUAAUAAGAAUGCCAACUCAUUAGUUUUGUUUUGUUUUUAGAAGUGAGUAAACUAUCAUACUUCUAUUAUUAUAUUUUAAAGGUUGUGAACCACUUACCUUCAAUCUAAUAUUUUAGUUCCUUAACAAUGAUUAUUUUUCUUAAAGAAAAUAGACUACCCUUCUUUGUAGAAAUUUUUAUUUACUACUAGAGGAUUGUGGAUUAUUCUCUUCUAAUUUGAUUGAUACAUUUGUUAGAAUUGUGGAUAAAAAAAAUAAAAAUAAAAAUGAAAUAAAAUAUGAAUACUAUUCUUAACAAAAGUGAGAAUAGAUUGGCAACCAUUGCAAAUCUUCAUGAAUUUAUUAAUAAUCUUAAGGUAGAAAUUGCAUGUAUCUCUAAUACAAAUUAUGGAGGUAGUAUUCCAACACCUAUAGAAGAAGUUAAUAAUGAAGUUUAAAGUCCAUGCUAGAAAGUUGUGCAGUUGAAAGAAGCAAGUUGAUCAAUUUCACAACUAAAUCCAAGAAGUCUUGCUACUACAAGUAUGAAGGAAACAAGAAUAAGUAUGGUAGAAAAGUUUGAUGGAACAAGAUCAAAGUUUUGAAGAUUUUUACAACAAGUAAAGCUCUAUCUAAAGUUACAUAUAUCUCAAUAUUUUGAUGGAUUUAUUCAAGUUGGAUUCAUAGAUGGAAUUCUCUUUGAAAGUAUUCUUUCUUAGUUUGCACCUUUAAUGGAAAAGGAUUCAUGACAAUUGUAUGUUUUAAAUUAAUUCUUCAAAGCCAUUAUGGCCACAUUUAAAAAAAAAUGAUUAAAAAAAGAUAGUAGAGAUCAAACUUUUAUCUUUAUGAUAAUAAUUACAUUAAACUUCUACAUAUGAUGUUGAAUUUUAAAACCUUGCUUGCAACAUCAAAUAGAAUGUCAAGGCUCUUAUCAAUCAAUUUUUGUAUGGAUUAAAAGAUAAUAUCAAAGAUUUAAUAUUGAUGAUACCAAAAGCACAUUCACACUCAUUGGAGCAAUUUAUUGCUUAAGUCAUUGCAUGCAACAAUCAAUUCUUUGAAAGAUUCCAAAAACAAAGAUUUUAUUGAAGGGGUAUAAGUCAAGUCAUGGUAACAACUUCUAAAUUCAUAAAAGUUUAAUAAUUAAGAUCAAAAUCUAUGCAAAAUAACAUUGUAUGUUUCAAACCUCUUACUGAGCAUAAAAAGACUCAAUGCUAUCAAAAAAGGUUGUGCCUAUAUUAUGGAGAACCUAAGUACAUUGCUCAACAUUGUCCAAAAAAGCAACACAACCACAAAAUGAGGAGCAUGGUUGCCAAAGAGAAUUAUGUAUCAAAAAACCAAUUUUUUCAAUUAUAAUAAGAAUUGGACAAUUGAAAUCUUGUAAAGGUCAUAUCCCCUCCUUAGAUCCUUCACCUUGUUUUGUCAUAGAAAUAUUUUUAAGAUCAAAAAAUCACAAAGUCUUAGCCUUAUUAGAUUCAAGAGCCUUAGCUUGUUUUAUAGACAAAGAUUUUGUCAAAAAACAAGAAAUACAUUUAUUCAAAAAAACCAAAAUUGUGCAUAUAAAAGUAAUAGGUGAUUGUUUGUUGUCUUUUAGAGAUGUCAUCCAUAAAAUUGUUCCAUUAGAUGUAGCAACUAAUAGUCAUAAUAGCUUAGUAAUAUUUAAUGUGAUUAAAUCUCUUUUUAAUCCAAUUAUUUUAGGAUUAUCAUGGCUAAAAAAACUAUAAUCCUUCAAUAGAUUGGAUUUCUUAUAACUUUAUUUUUUUCUAUAGUUUAGCCCAAGAUUUUAUUAGCUAAAUAAAAAUCCAUAAUUCCACUAUAUCUAAAUCUUUAUUGGUAGAUGCAAGAAUUUUUAUGCAUGCUAUAAAAGAAGGAUCAACUUUUUGUUAUAUAUGCCACACCUAAUUUUGAUAGAAAAAAGAUUUCAAGUGGCAUUCUAAAUCAAUAUCAAGAUUAUUAAGAUGUUUUUUAAAAAAAGAAUGCAAAAAAAAUUUUAGACCAUCAUUUAAUAUUGUUAUAUUGAUUUUUAAGAAUAAACUCAACCACCAUUUAGACCAAUCUAUAACCUAUCACAAAACAAAGUUGUUGCAUUGAAUGAAUACAUUAACAAGAACUUGGCUAACAAUGUCCAAUCACCAUGUAUACAAAUUACAAGAACCUCAAGUACUUCAUGUUGAUAUGUGUUUUGAAUUGUUUUCAAGCCUAUUAAAGCAUGUUUUUAUUAAGAUUUGAUUUUAAGAUUACUUACUAAUUUGAAAAACAAUAAGAUUUAUCAGACGCCCUUUCCAAAAAUUCUUAUUUUUUUCCUAAAGAAAGAGAUGCAUCUUUUAACCAACAAAGAAUAAUUUUCUUGAAGCCAAAGUAUUUCCAUCUUUAAACAAUGAAAUCAACAUUAAUUUUUGAUUUAAUUAUUUUUUAAGUAAGUUCAAUUGAAUAUGUCCUUUGAUCUUCUUAUUUAUGAUAUUAAGAAUAAUUCUUCUAAGACUUGGGAUACUUUUAAGUUUGAAUUCAAGAACAAUCUAUUUUAUUUUAAAAAAUUAUUAUACAUUCUAAAAGGCAAAGUACAAUUAUGCAUUUUUUAAGCUUGUCACAACUCUCUAAGAGCCUAAUAUUUUAGAUACAACAAGAGUUUGGAACUAAUAUCUAAAUAUUUUUUGUGGCUUCAAAGGUGAAAGAUAAUUAAAGACUUUGUUCAAUCAUGUGACAUUUGUUUAAGAUCAAAAGCUCUUCAUCAUCAAUUUUAUAGACUUCUUGAGCCAUUUCCUAUUCUACAACAAUUAUGGUCUUCUAUUUCUAUGGACUUUAUCACAAAUCUUCUAGUUUCAAAUUUGUAAGAUUAUAUAUUUGUAAUAAAAGAUUUUUUUUAUCAAGAUGGCACAUUUUGUAUAAUAUAUAAAACCUAUUAAAGGUGGACAGUAAGUUAAGUAUUUUUGUAAAAACAUCUAUUGUUAUUAUAGGUUGAUAGGAAAUAUUACAUUAGAUAGGAAGAUACAAUUUAUAUCAAGAUUUUGAACAAUUCUUCUCAAGUUUCUAAAGGUAGUCAUAAAACUAUCUUUGGUUUUUCAUCUUCAAACUAAUAGACAAACAAACCAAGUAAAUCAAAGUUUAGAAUAAUAUUUGAGGUAUAUCAUCAAUUAUCAACAAGAUGAUUGGACAACUCUUUUAUCAUUGGUAGAAUUUGCUUAUAAUAACACAAUACAUUCUUCUAUUCAACAAACAUCUUUCUUUAUCAAUUUUGGUUAUCAUCCAUGACUUGAUACUUUUGACUUUUAAAAGUUGAUAAUCAUGUGGCAAAAAAUUUGGCAAAUCAUUUGUCAAAGCUACAUGCAACAAUAAAGGCAUACCUAAAAGAAGUUCAAAAACGACAAAAGAUUAAUACAGAUGAUUAUUGCAAGGAACAACUUCAAUUCCAUGUUGGCAACAAAGUAUGAUUACUUUGUCAUAAUAUCAAGACCAUUUGCCCUUGUAACUAGUUGGAUUAUUGUACACUUAGACCAUUUCUUAUGUAUGAAUUGAUUAAUCUAGUUGUUUAUUGAUUGUACCUACCAAGGUCUAUAAAUAUCUAUUUUAUAUUGCAUGUAUCUUUUCUUGAGCCAUACAAUAUAAUAGAUAUACCAAGAAGUCAACAAAUGGCAUUUCUUCUUAUAAAAGUAGAUAAUAACCAAGAGUACAAGGUUGAAGAAGUCUUAGAUUCAAGGUAGUGCGAACAUAGGUUAAAAUAUCUUGUUCAUUGGCAUGGAUAUGGUAUUAGAGAAUGGACAUGGGAGCCAACCAAAAUCUUGCAAAUACAACAAAGAAGGUUGAUACUUUUCACCAACAACAUCUAUCAAAAUCAAGAUAAAGGAUAUCAAAUCUUUAGUAUAAAAGAACUGUAGUUCAAAGAAAAUUACAUUUGACCUUGUAUCUUUAUUUGUAAUUUUUGUAUAUUUGUGGCACUAAAGAGAUAGAGAACCAACAACCGAAAAAUUCAACUUAGGAGCCAUCAUUUGUUAACUUAUCAAACAAGACAUUGUAAUUAUCAUAGCCUCCAAGAUAAUGUAAUUAAGAUGAAGACCUUUAAGAAUGACAUGUUUUUUUUUUUUUUUUUGAAUAGAUGACAAGAUAUAAUGUGUUUGGUAUCACAACCUUGGAAGAGACUCUCAAUUUUUGGUAAUUUUAUUGGAAGUAAAACCUACUCCAAAUAGUGUUACAAAUAUUUUGUUUGAAGAAAGUUACAAAGGUUUCAACAAUGUUCAAAUAAUAGAGUGGUAUUUUUGCCUUGAAAUAAGACAUUAUUAGUGGCUGAGAAGACCUAUCAAUUACCUUUGGAGAAAAAAAAGAUCAAAAUAUGUGGCAAAUAUAAUUUUUUGCAUCUUGGACUUCCUCAACAUGUGAUCACUACUCCUCAUAGAACUCAUUUCUAGAAGGAGGGUAAUGUCACAAAUAUAUAUAUAUAUAUAUAUAUAUAUAUAUAUAUAUAUAUUUACUCCAAUAGAUAUAACUUACUUGUAUUUUUAACUUACUUUUACCUACUUUUACUUACUUCGACCUAUUUGUAUUAUUAUUUUACGUGAGUAUGUCCAGGACAUUAGCCUUCCUUCUAGGGACGAGUUCCACGUGGAGCGGUCAUUAUAUGUUGAGGAAAUCUAUGAUGUAAUGAAUUGUAUUCGCCACAUAGUUCGAUCUUUGUUCUCUUCGAAGAUGUUUGAUAGGGCCUCUCAACCUUCGGUAGUGUCCCAUACUAGGGCGGGAAGACCAUCUAAUUAUUUGAUCAUUGUUGAGGCCUUCAUAACUUCUUGCAAAUUAAAUAUUUUGAACUCCAUUAGGAGUUGUUCCUACCUCUAGCAAAAUCACCUAACAUCGGGAGUCCCUUUCCAAAUCGUAAUACCAAAACGUUGUAUUUCACCAUCUAUCUGAGGAAGAACAUGUCGUUCUUGAAGAUCUUCAUCUCGAUUACGUCGUCUUGAAGGUUGUGGCAAUCGUACUGUCUCAUCCGGCAGGUCAAUAAAUGAAGGCUCUUGAGUCGAAUCUGUUGGUUGUUGGUUCUCGAUCUCUUGAGUGUCACAACUACAAAAAAGCUACGAACAAGGAUUGAAAGUAGAAUGUUAUCUUGCUUAAAUCUUGUGUCUUUUAAAAAAAAGGUUUUCAUCUUGAUUUUGAUGGACGUCACCGAUGUAAAGCCUCCACCGCCUUUGCUGCAUUUAGAAGAUUCUUUAUUGGCUUUCAUGUGUGUUCACUAAUAUCAUAUCUAUGCCAAUAGAGAAGAUAUUCCAAUUUAUUUCGGUGCCGCCUUGAAUCUAAGACUUCUUCUACUUCAAACUCUUCAUUAUUGUCCACUUCUAUAGGAAGAGGUGGAGCUUGUGAUCUUCUUGGUAUGUCGACUAUCUUGUAUGGUUCAAGAAGAGACAUGUGGAAUACUGGAUGGAUUUUCAUUGAAUCCAGUAGAUAUAAACGAUAUGCAACUGGAUUGAUUUGUGCAGAGAUAGAAAAUGGUCCCAACCUUCGAUAUUCCAACUUGUCACAAAGACAAGUGGUCUUGAUAUUGUGACAAAGUAGCCAUACCUUAUCACCCAAGAAGAAUGGUGGUUGUUCCUUUCGAUAGACAUCCGCAUUGACCUUUUGUUGUUCUUGAGCCUCUUUUAACUGCGCCUUCAUCGUUGCAUGUAGCUCUGAUAAAUGAAUCGCCAAAUCUUUUGUAGCAGGAUUAUCAACUUUUGAAAAGUCAAAAGUAUCAAGUCAUGGAUGAUAAAGAGAAUUAACAAAGAAAGGUGUUUGUUUUGUAGAAGAAUGUACCAUGUUAUUGUAAGCAAACUCUGCCAAUGGCAAAAGAAAUGUCCAAUCAUCUUGUUUGUAAUUCAUGGUACAUCUAAAAUAUUGCUCCAAAACUUCAUUAACACACUUCGUUUAUCCAUCAGUUUGAGGAUGGAAUGUCGAAGAUAGUUUUAUAUCCACUUUUAGAAUCUUGAAAAGAGUCCACCAAAAUCUUGAUACAAAUUGAGUUCCUCUAUCUAAUAUAAUAUCCUAUAGUAAUCCAUGAUAGCGAUAGAUAUUGUCAAGAAAGAGCUUAGCUGUUUCUUUACCUGUGAUAGAUUUUGUACAUGGUACAAAAUGUGCCAUCUUGGUAAAACGAUCUACUAUCAUGAAUAUAGAGUCGUAAGAACCUAAGAUUGGAAGAUUCGUGAUGAAGUCUAUAGAAACAGAAGACCAUGGUUGUUUUGGAAUGGAUAAUAGUUGAAGAAGUCCAAAAGGUCGAUGACAAGGAAUUUUUGAUCUUGAGCAAACUUCACAUGAUUGUACAAAAUCUUUGACUGCCUUCCACAUUUGAGGCCACCAAAAAUCUUUAGAUAUCAGCUCCAAAGUCUUAUUAUAUCCAAUAUAUUCUGCUGCUCGAAAGUCGUGAUAAGCUCGAAGAAUACGUAAACGUGCUUCUCCUUCUGGAACAUAUAGGCAUCCUUCAAAAUACAGGAGGUUGUUCUUGAAUUCAAAUUUAGAGGGAUCAUGAGAUUUAGAAGAAUUGUUUUUAAUAUCAUGAACAAGAGGGUCUGAAGACAUACUUAACUGGACUUGCUUAAAAAAAGUUAAAUCAACAGUCAAUGUUGAUUUUAUUGCUCGAAGAUGAAAUUACUCCGGCUUCAAGAAAACCGUUUUUUGUUGCUUAAAAGCUACAUCUCCUUCUUUUGAUGCAAGAAAAGAACGUCUAGACAAGGCAUCGAACAAACCUUGUUGUUUUUGUGGCCGAUAAGUGAUGAUGAACUCGAAUCUUGAUAAAGACAUGCUCCAACGAGCUUGACGACAAUUUCAUACGCGUGCAGACAUAAAAUACUCGAGGUUCUUGUGAUUUGUAUAUACGGUGACUCGACUGAAAGCGCCUUCUAGAUAAUGAUGCCUUUCUUGAAAAGAAUCUACGAUUGCAAGAAGUUCUUUGUCGUGGAUCUCAUAAUUGAUUUCUGCUGCUGAGAAUUUUCUUGAAUGAAAGGCUAUUCGAUGAAGUUUGUCAUCUGUUCCCAUUUGUGAUAGAACCGCACCUUGAGCAAAGUCUGAUGCAUCUGUUUCCAUAAAGAAUGCUUUGGAAAAAUCAACACGAUAUAAGAUUGGUGCAAAAAUAAAUGCUAUCUUCAAAGAUUCAAAAGCAACUUUCGCUUCUUGAUUUUAUUGGAGUUUGUCAUUACAAGUCAAACGUGUAAGUGGAGCUGCAACUCAAAAGAAGUCCUUCAUGAAGAUUUGAUAGUAGUUGGCAAAUCCCAACAAACAUUAGACAUCUCUUACCAUUUUUGGGAUGUUCCAAUCUAUAAUAGUUUAAAUUUUCUUAGGAUCCAUCAUUAGUCUAUCAUUUGAAAUGAUGUAACCUAAGAAAUCGACUUGAAUAGUAUGGAAUAUACACUUUUUUAUCUUGGUAUAGAGUCCUAUAUCUCUUAAUUUUUGUAAAACACGAUGAACAUGCCACUUGAAGUCUUUCCACUAGUAGAAACAGGUGUCGCAUAAAUAAUAUAUGGUGAUUCUUUCAUAGUAGCAUGCAAGAAAGCUUUUGCACCUAUAAAUACAAGUUUAAUUGAAUUGGACUUAUGACUCUCUACUUGAUUAACUACACUUUUAGUUAUUCUUUUAGAGAAAAUAAGAGUUCGGGAAAUCUAAUCUAUUUGAGGGUUGUAUUUUUCUAACCACGAUAAACCUAAAAUGAUUAGAUUAGAGAGAGAUCUAAUGAUAUUAAAUACUACAAAGCUAUUAUGACCAUUGAUUAUUACUUCUAUAGGAAGGAUUUUGUGAAUAAUAUCCCCAGAAGACAAUGGACGACCAUCUAUGACUUCUACAUGAAUAGGUUUAGUUUUCUUUACUAAAGAUAUGCUAUGUCUUUUAGUAAAUUCUUCAUCUAAAAAACAUGAUGAGACUCUUAAAUCUAACAAGGCAGAGAUUUUGUAAUGUUUAGGUCAUAGAAUAAUAUUUAAUGUAAAACAAGGAGAGGGCUUUGAGGAGAGAAUAGGACCUUUACUAGAUGUUGUGUAAGGUUCCAGCCACACGGUCCCUAUUGUAGCUGGACAAACUUGUUUUCUGAGAUAUCAUCUUCUUUCACAGCCAUACUCUUCAUUUUGUGAUUAUGUCGUUUCUUUGGAUAAUAUUGAGCAGUGUGCUUUGGUUCUCCACAAUAUAAACAUAAUCUUUCUUGACGACGACGAGUCUUUUCUUGCUUAGUAAGAGGUUUGAAAUGUACUACAUCAAUUUACAUAUCCUCUACUUUUGAAUGUAUGUGUUGAAGAGGUGUUGAUAUUGCCAUUGAAUUAUAAUAACGUUGAUGUCAGUUCUCAGAUCAGAGUUUAAAAAGGUGAUUGUCGGACUUUACAGCAAAGUCAAUUGCUUGAUUCAAUGUUUGAGGAUCACGUAAGUUGAGCAUUAAUUUUUUUACCUCAUAUUGUAAUCCAUAGAGAAAUUGGCUAAUAAAUGUAGCAUCAUUCCACUUGAUAUCAGUUACAAGUUGUCAACAUUGUGAAGCAUACAACGUUAGUGAUCGAUUACCUUGUCGUAAAAUACAGAUCUUAUUGGUUGCAAUACGAAUUGCAUCAUGUUCUCCAUACAUGGAUCAAAACUCUGCCAGAAAAGCCUCUAGAUUAUCCAAUAUUGGAUCUUGUCAUUCAAAAAAAGAUAAAAACCAUGAUAGUGCUAAACCAAAAAGAAGCGUACCAAUGAAUCUAACUUGCGAUCCUGAAAUUGGAUAGCUUUGGGGUUGAAGUUCAAUCACAAGUUGCACUUGAUUGAUAAAUCCUUGAAACUUGGAUCUGGUGCCAUCAAACUUCUCGGAUAGGAUAAUUCUUGGUUCUCUAACAUUUGAAGGGCGUUCUACCAUAGGAGAAAGGACAUGGUUUGGUGCAGAUGUUGAAGCAGCUCCAACCAUUUCUAUAUCUUCACUUCCUGUCAAUCUUAUUGUUUCUUGUGGUGGUAAAUUGAGUUGAUGCAUCGCAAGCAUUAACUCCUUCAAUAGCUCUUGCAUUUGUGCCAUUGCACUCUUCAUUUCAACAAGUUCUGCCAUGAUAACACUUAGAAAAGAGAAGAUGUCUAAUAUCGCUCAAGACAAAUAGAAGAGAGGACUUUGGAACAAAAAAAAUACUAAGGAUAAUAUCAGUUUAGAAGAGGGUAAUCCGCAACUUCUAAUAUGCUUAUAUCUUAUCAAGAAAAAGGGAUAAUCUACUCGUAAUCAAGAUUAGUCAAAGCUCCGAUAUUGUAGGUGUACUCUUGUCAAUCUGUCAAGGACAAGAACUCGAUGAAAAAGCAAUUCAGACAAGUGAGCCUUCACUUAAAGAAAGAUAACAAAAUAUAAAUAAAUAAGUAUGUAUAUUGAAAGAGAAACUAGAAUGGCUAUUGCCAAAAGACAAGAAAACUAUAAAUCCUUGAAACUAGACUGAAAGCAAGAAAAGAGUUGACAAGAGUGAAGAGGGCUUCACUCUUCUCUCUAUAUAUACUAUCUAACUAGGAGCUACGUGGCGACGUUCUAUAGGACCUCCAAUAUGUGUUGACUUUGUAGGACACAUGCCUUGACUUAUAAAGCAAGUUUUUCUACAUGUGGGCCACAUAGUUAGCUUGAUCUUCAAGCUAACAACAUGUGUGGUACAUGGCCAACUUGUUGACCACGUUUCUUAUCCAAAAAGUCAAUUAAAGACACCUAUGAAGUCAAAGCAGCAUCUAUAAAGCUUUUAGGAAGCUUCCAUAUUAAAUACUAUAGAAUUAACUUACUUUUAACUACUUUUACUUACUUCCACCUAUUUGUAUAUGUAAUUACUAGCUUAUAUGAGUAUGUCCGUAACAGUCAUUGCAUGCAAAAAUCAAUUCUUUGAAAGAUUCUAAAAACAAAGAUUUUAUUGAAGGGGUAUAAGUCAAGUCAUGGUGACAACUUCUAAAUUCACAAAAGUUUAAUCAUUAAGAUCAAAAUCUAUGCAAAUUAACAUUGUAUGUUUCAAACCUCUUACAGACCAUAAAAAGACUCUAUGCUAUCAAAAAAGGUUGUGCCUAUAUUAUGGAGAACCUAAGUACAUUGCUCAACAUUGUCCAAAAAAGCAACACAACCACAAAAUGAGGAGCAUGGUUGCCAAAGAGAAUUAUGUAUCAAAAAACCAAUUUUUUCAAUUAUAAUAAGAAUUGGACAAUUGAAAUCUUGUAAAGGUCAUAUCCCCUCCUUAGAUCCUUCACCUUGUUUUGUCAUAGAAAUAUUUUUAAGAUCAAAAAAUCACAAAGUCUUAGCCUUAUUAGAUUCAAGAGCCUUAGCUUGUUUUAUAGACAAAGAUUUUGUCAAAAAACAAGAAAUACAUUUAUUCAAAAAAACCAAAAUUGUGCAUAUAAAAGUAAUAGGUGAUUGUUUGUUGUCUUUUAGAGAUGUCAUCCAUAAAAUUGUUCCAUUAGAUGUAGCAACUAAUAGUCAUAAUAGCUUAGUAAUAUUUAAUGUGAUUAAAUCUCCUUUUAAUCCAAUUAUUUUAGGAUUAUCAUGGCUAAAAAAACUAUAAUCCUUCAAUAGAUUGGAUUUCUUAUAACUUUAUUUUUUUCUAUAGUUUAGCCCAAGAUUUUAUUAGCUAAAUAAAAAUCCAUAAUUCCACUAUAUCUAAAUCUUUAUUGGUAGAUGCAAGAGUUUUUAUGCAUGCUAUAAAAGAAGGAUCAACUUUUGAUAUAUAUGCCACACCUAUUUUUUAAUCCCAGUCAUCGCUAAGCAGGGUAUUACGCCGACGUGGCUGAAAUAACCAAAAUCUUACGUGGCUAUUUCUGAAUGGGCCGAAAACGAUGACCCCCGAUGGCCGCCUCCUUCUUCGUCGUUUUACCUCGUUUUUUGAGAGCGUUCAAAGUAGGAGUUCGGAGCCGACUGAGUUCGAUGAGAACUCCGAUCGCAGAAAUAUGGCGCAGGUAGAAACGUCGAUGUGUCGCGACGUGUGAGAUUGGCGAAACCGUAUCAUUUUCGAGUCAUGUGGGUUAUGCAGAUUCUCAUCCAGUGUUGUAGUAAAUUCGUUUCACGGAUUCCGUCACUGGUGCAUUCCAAUCUGAGGCACAAAUGCCGUUGCUAAUUACAGCUGAUUGUCGUUGUCAACGGGAUUACUGUACGCACGAGUUACUUGUACAUCGGCGAGAGGGAUCGCAAGUUGCCGAGGCUUUCGGAAGAGUGACGUUAGCGCUGUGGCACUUACCGCGAUGUAGCGUCGACUACUCAUCGGAUCAGAGGGGCGACUGUUGGUUCCUGUUUACGCGUUUUUCACUAUUCCUGGCUACUGUGACUUCUUUAUCCCAGUGGCUGUACUCAUCCUGGUUUUCAAUCAACCCAUCCUACUUCUCGUCUUCCCAUUGACUGCAUUUUACAUCGGCACGUGAGGAAGAACAGGAUCUCAUUUUGAUCCCACUUGGUUUAAUUCGGUGAAUACAUCUUCUUCUUCUUCUUCUUCUUCUUCCCCUCUUUUGUUCUGGGAUACGUUCAUAUAUGGGAUCUUUGCACGCGCUGUCCUUGCAUAUGCAUGCUUCCAAGUGCACUACUUUCUUAACAAUUUGUCUCAUUGUGAGGCUCUACUUCUCGCGGGCAGUCCGAUCGCAAUCCUGUCUCUUACUUUCUUUUUUUCAAUUGCUAUUCUUUCCCGGCGUCAUUUUCGUCACACUAAUUUAGUCAGAUUUGUCUCAAACCAAGGCCCUUUUAGCUGAUAUUCUCGUGAAGGACCUGUAUUGCCGAAGAAACAAACAAGGCGUGAUUAUUGCGUCACUGUGAGACAGCCGCGACCACUUUCUGUUAGAGAGAGUUCUUUUUGGGUUGCCCAUCUAGUAGUGUCCGUACUGCGACCGAUUUUGGAGUUUCCUUCUCGUAUUGCAACGAUGUUCAUUCUCUUUGGAGCUGCAGUUGCCAUUAUAGUGUUCGAAGCGGCUUCCAUUCUUACAUUGACGGGGAUUUGCGCGAGCCACGGGAAGAAGAAACGGCUUAACAGUUCUCGUCCAGUGGCGGAUGCCGGACAGGGGAACAUGCGUGGCACAGGUGGAAAUGGUAGAGUAAGGAAUGGUGGUGUAAUCCAUGCACCUGGCGUGGGAGGUGGAGAUGGAGCUGAAUAUGAUUACAGAAGAACCUAUGGUUUUAAAGGUGGAGAUUAUGGAGACACCGAUGGCUAUGGAAACGAUGGAAGAAGCAACCACUGUUCAUCUAGCCGUAGUAGAGGCGGUGAGUGUCACUGAACUUAGCAUUCGUACUCUGGUUUAGUUGAGAUCUCAUAAAUUCUUCUUAAGAUUCACCUCUUCAACAUCAAUCCGCUGUCAUGAUUUCGUUAUUGGGGCUCGGAUGCAUGCAGUUAUGAAACUUGUGCAGGUUCAUCGGAAGUCGAAGAAAAUUGUUUUAUGGUGAUGUAUUUUCAACAGGUGACGGGGAUGGAGGUGGAGACGUAGGGGGUGACUAUGGAGGGGACGGGGGUGGAUGCGGAGGCGGAGGUUGUGGAGGAGGUUGCAGUUGUGACUAAGCCAUCCUUCUCGCAUCGCCGCUUGCUUUAGUGUAGACAAACCAUGCACUGAUUAAUACGAAGCGCGCGAUGGAUUCGUGUCCGGAAACACGCUAGACUGCAAUUGUUUGCUCGGGAUUCCGACACAAAACAUUUUGCGAUCAAAAUGUAUCAUAACACCUACGUGUAAAUUAUCCUACAAUCUCAGAUUCAUUCGUCAGUCAGUGCAGUAGUUUCCAUUCGAAGAGACGAGAAUGAGAAGCAGUACGAAUGCACAAUUUAUUUUUUCUGAACAGAACCAUCAUCAUAAAUCAACUGUUUGAAGGUAAUGAUUUUUCCGAGGUCGGGACAGAUUCUCAAGCACCACAGGUGUGCAAAGCUUGAACACACGGGUCGAAUGUGCAACAACCAGUUAUCAAAACAGCUCAUUCUCUAAUUGCACCAAGAACUUUUCCAGCACUUGAAACGAGGAUCUCGAUCCAGUCGAUGGAGAAUCCCAACACUCCAGCAAAACCCUAAAACCUGAUUCCCUUACUAGAACGUCAAGUCGAUCUUAUCGCGAGGUCAUGACGUGCGGAGCUCAACCUUCCCCGCAUCAGCCGAAGUAUCUAGCAAAGCUUGAGCAGUGGGGUGUCGAAGACGCGCUGGUUGGAAACGAUGCCGCAGGACUGCCAAUGUUUCAGUGCGGGAAAUAGCAACUGCAUCAAAUAAAACACAAUUUCAGCAUGAAACGAUUGCGGAUCCUCCUGGUGGAAUCGAGAAGUACGCCGACAGCCAACUUGGCUGCAUUCGCUAAUUCGCCGCAUCGAUUAAUGGUGACAUGGCGAGUCACGAAUGGUUUGGCCGUUGCCAACGAAGAUAAAUGACUGAGUUAGCCUUCUCAACCUUUUCGUUACCAGUUUGAAUACCAACGUUAUUCAUCCAUAUAAGAUUAGGGUUUGUUGGCCACGCCAUCAUCCAUCUAUUAGUUAGGGUUUCAUCUUGUCAUUAGGAUUUCAUCCUUGUCAGAUGGAAGAACAUAUCCAGUUUCCAUAUCCUCCAUAUUAAAUCUAUUUUAGGUACAUGUACACUUUAUUUCAGAUCAAUUAGAACUUAUCUAGUGCCAAGUGUACACAAAUUGCUAUCAGAGCUAGGCUUAUGAAGAAAUAUUGUAGAAUUGCUUACUUUUUGAAUAGGCAAAGUUCUUCAAGUGUUGUCUUUGUGUACACUAUCUAAAGUAAAGAAUUUUGGACCCACUUGGGAGAGACAUCAAUGAUUCAAUGACAUUAAAUGAAGCAUUUAACUACAUGUUAUGGAAUUAUAGAAUUCAAAUAAUUUUGAUGUAAGAAUAUUUGUGGAAGUUGAUUGAAACAUCUACAUCCAUUUCAAUCAACAUUGAAGAAUCCAUAAUUUCAUUUAAUGGUACAAUUGCACCUUCAAACUCCACCACAACAAAAUAAAAUCAGACCAACACAAAUAUAGUAGUUUUCACUAUUUAAGAUAGUAUUAGAGCUUGCCAUGUUAUUACCUCUAUAGUACAAGACUCUAUUAUUUCUCAUGUUAUUGAUAUUCUUGAAUCUCAAUCUAUUUUGAAAUGAUUAGAAAUGUUGUAUGAUGUACAAAAUGCAAAUAAAGAGCUUGCCAUAUGUGAUAAAGACAUUGUUGCUUUAAUUCUAAAUGGUUUACCAAAGAAUUGGUCUAUCUUUGAAUAAAUUUUAAAAAAAAUACUUACAUUACUUACCUUUUCUAAAUUAGAAAGAUUAUUAUUACACAAAGAAAGAUCUUACCAAUUUAAAAAAACCAAAUAUAACAAAGAAGAGGUAUUAUAUAUAAAAAGAUAUUUUUGUGACUUUGGAUCUAAAAGAAAAAAUCUUCAUUAACAUUUUAGAAGACACUCUUUUGAAAGUCAUUACCAAGAAAGAAGAUACAAUGAUCAUCCAUUUGCAAGGAACAAUAAUGAAAUUAACUUAGAACAAGGAUCAAAAUAAUAUAUUAUUUACUACAAAUAUAGCAAACUAAGUCAUUUUGCAUAAGAAUGUAAUGUCAAGAUUUUAAAGAAUCAAAUUAAACAACUACAAUUACAACUAUUAAGAUUGAAGGAAAACAAUCUUACUAUUCUAGUUGAAGAUGAUAGUGAAGAAGACUAUUGAAUGGAUUCUUCAACUAAAGUUAUUGUAAAUGCAUGUUUUAAUGCAUUUGACUUUGAUAGCAAAUGCUUCUUAUACUUGAAAGCAAGUUUAUAUGUAAUUAAAAAUAAAUAAUUACUAUAAAAAAUAAAAGAAUCAAAUUUUUCUAAUAUUAAAACUAUUAUAGACAAAUUCUUCUUAUAUUUAGAUAAAAAAAUAUAUCUCUUAAAAACUUAUGUAGAGAAAUAAAGAAAAUCAAAAAUGUUCUUUAUAUUCGUGGUGUUAUAGAUAUAUUAUAUAGGAGACCAAAUAAGAAGUUGAACAAAAGAUUUUUCAAUAAAAAAGCUAGCAAGAACUUGAUUAAAUCCAACAAGUGUAAGAUCAAUACCAAGAGAGGUGAGCUAAAGCUCCAAAAGAUGUAUUAUUAAGAGUGAGGAUCUCUUUAGCUUUAACUCUAAUAUACAUAAGGUAUUAGGAAGCUUCUUAAGAAGUUUUUAUAUUGCUUAAAGACGAUGCAACCUUAAAUAGCUUCUCAAAUAACUUCCUUAAUUCUCUAAGAACUUUUUAGAAUCUACUAAAAUAUUUUGAAAAUCUUUUAGAACUUUCUAAGAAUCUUUAAAAAUCCUUAAGAACCUUCUAGAACUUGAUAAAAUAUUUUAAAAAUAUUUUUAAAAUCUUCUUGUUAGAUAUCUGUAACAUCACAUUCUCUUCUAAUUUUAAGUUCUAAGAAGAGGUUUCAGUUUCAUAUCUGCAAUAGAAUGAUCAAAUCUCAAGCAUCAUCUUUAAGAUUUUCUUAUUUGAAUUGAUUGUGGCAGGGGUGCUUUUUUUCUCAAGAAGGUCCAAUUUCAUCUUGAAGAUAAUCUUAUAAAGGUUGUGAAAGCUAGAAUAAUUCAUCUAGUAGUAGUAAUAUAGAAAGUUCCAACUCUAGUUCUACUUUGAGAUUCAUGAUCUAAAGACUGUCUAAAAACUCUCCAAAUCAAUAUAUUAGAUCAUAAACUAAAUACACUAAAUUCUAAGAUUGAUGUGAGUAAUAUCUACUCUCUUCAUCAUAUACAACAUUCUAGCAGUAGCUUCAUAGAAAAUUCAUUCUAAAAUAAGUUUAGGUUUUUAAAGAUAGCAUUAGCAAAACUUAUGUAUCUUUUGUAGCACAUUAACUAGAUUUUUUGCUAGUUCCUAUGUAAGUUCAUAAAGAUGAUGACAAGAAUUCUUAAAUUUUGAAUAAAUGUCUUAUGAAAAAAUAAAGUUGUUUAUGAUUUUUCACAUUUGAAACCACUACAAAUAUCAAGAGAUAAGCUCUAAUAUUUUUUUAAAUCUAAAAUGUCUUAUAGUUGAGAAAUCAUGAUGAGAUUGAAGAAUACAAAGUCACAUUGGUCAUUCCGGAAUAUAUAAAUAAUCUUUAUAAUACAAAAGAUCUUAUAAGAAUUUGAACUUAUUGUUAUCAAGGCAUUGAUUGAUAUUACAAACUAAUGCGAUCUUAGUUGAUUCUGUACAAAUUUCUUUAUGAAAACUUGAAUCAAUAGAUAUAACCAUAGAAGUAGUAUAAAGAAAAAAUUAUUCUCACUUCAAGAAAGUCAUAUAUUAUUAAUUAAAUAUUGCUUCUUUGACCUUUGAAGCAAGAUAUGAUCUUUUUGAUAAAGCAUCUCAUAGUCUUUGCUACUUCUUUGGUUGAUGAGUAAUCAAAAAAUUAAAAGAAGAUAAUGACAUAUCUCAAAAAAAAUUUAAAAAAUUUAAAAUCCAAGCUAAUACAAAAUAAUACAAUAUAUAUGGUCAGAAGAUGUGUAAUGCCUUCUAGCAAGUGAUGCAAUUAUUAAAAAGAAUCUAAAAUUACAAGAAUCUCUUUAUUAUAAAUCUCAUAAUUGAUUUUUAUUUAUUAUGAAUUUCAUAAUUGAUUUCAUUCUAUUAUGAAUCUCAUAAUAAUCAACAAACUUGUUUAGGAAUUUUUAAAAAAUACCAUUCAUCAAAGACACAUUCAAUCAUUUAUGCCUUUUGGAUUGGAUCUAGCUAUUGGAUCUAAAAAGCAUAAAUGAAUAUAGUUAUAUUCAAUCCAAAAGGCAUGACAUUAUUUUCAAAAGGUUUGUACCUUAUUCAAAAUAUUAUUUUUCAUUCAUCUCCUUUUUUAAUCUGUACCAAAGUAUAUACUCUAUGAAGAUUUAUUUUAAUGUAGAUCUUGGCUUAAUUGAGUUGUUUCAAAAGCCCUAAUAUCAGAAAUAAUAGAUAAUAAUUUUUAAUUUUUAUUUUCUUGAGGGUUUGAUAAUCAGCACACAUUCACAAAGAUUUGUCUUUUUUCUUUACAAAAAGUAUUUAUGUACCUACUAGACAUUUGGAAUUUUGAAUAAAUUUCUUUUUAAGAUUUUUAUUGAUAUAAUCUUUUAACAUUAAAAACUUAUUCUAUGAUAGGUUGUAAAUUGGGCCAAAUAGUGGUUGAGUCCUUUUUGAAGAUUGAUGGUAUAAUCAUACAAUGGAUGUUUAAGCAAUAUGUCAGCAUUCUUCUUUUUGAAGACAUCUUAAAAUUCUUUAUAAUGCUUUAAAAUAGCUACUAAUAAGCUUGCUUCUUUAUGAGCUAAAGUUGCAUAAAUAAAAAGUGGCAUUUUUUUUAGCCAUCUUUAUAAAAGCCCUUAUUUCAAAAUAUAAGGGUUUUAUUGUUGAUGACUUUUUAAUAAGUUUUGCUUGAAGAAAUCCUAUAGAAAAUUCAAUCUAAUGAAACUUCCAAUCCAUAAAUAGAUUAUAUCUUUAAAACCAUCAAAGUCCUAAAAUGAUAUGAUUGGAAAGAAUUCUAAUAAUAUUAAAUAUUAUUUUUUUUACUAUAGCCCUCAAAUAAUAUUUCUAGUAAUAUGGUUUCAUGAAUAAUAUUAUCUAAAGAUAAAGUUUGACCAUCUAUUACUUCUACAUAUACAUGUUUUGACUUCUAUACUUGAGGAAUUUUAUGAAAUUUGAAAAUCUCCUCAUUUAAAGAGCAAGUAGAUGCUCUUGAAUCUAAUAAGGCAUUUUUUUGAAGUUUUUUUGAGCCAAAAGAUAAAGAUAUUAUAAAACAAUGAGUAAGUUGGAUACAAAAAGAUGGACCUUGAUUAAUUUGAGGUAUUAAAAUAUCUAGCCACAUGGUCCUUAUUGUAGCUAGGCCUCUUUACUUUCCUAAAUUGUCACACUUCUAGUUUUGAUUGUAUGUUGUUUCUCCAGAUAGUUUCUAGAUUUGUAAUCUUCUUCACCACAUUAUAAGUAUAGGCCUUAUUCAAAUCAAUGCUUCUUCUCGUCUAUUGUAAGAGAUUUGAACAAUAUUACAUCAAUUUGCAUAUCCUCAAUUUUAAAAUAUAGAAGUAAUAUAUUUAUUGAAGCAACAAAGUAUAAAUUUUUAGUACAUUGUUUUAUCAAAGUCCACAAGUAUUAAUCUAGAGGAUAUUGAAGUAUUUGAUUAUAGUACUUCACAACUUAGUUAAUAGCUUCAUUGAAUAUUUAAUGAUCAAAUAAUGAUAAUAAUAGAACUUUCAUAUCAUCUCUUAGUCUCCAUUAGAAUUGGCUUGUAAGAACUUCUUCAUUCCAAUUGAUAUUACAAGUCAACUGCUAAAAAUUUGACGGAUAAAUUGAUGCAAAGCAUGAUUCUUGAUAAAAUGAAGAAAUCUUUAUUGUUGCCUAUCGGACCUUAUCAUGUGUCAUGGACAUAUAUUUAUUGUAAUUGUUAUCUAUGUAAUAUGAAUAGGUAGAAGUAGAUAAAAGCAGAUUAAUUUCAUAAUAUCUUCUAGAUAAGCUUCCAAGAAGCUUCAUAGAUGUUGCUUUGAUUUUACAUGCAUUUAUACUUGAUUGAUAGGUUAAAAACUUGGUCAACAAGUUAAUCACAUGCUAUACAUGUUGGUAGCUUGUGGAACAACUUAACCAUGUGGCGCCUAUAUAGAAAAUUUGCCUUCCAACUUAAGAUACGUAUUGUGCAAAGUCAAUACAUUUUUGGAGGUCUUAUAGAACAUCACUGUCAAGGUAGAGAGAGUUUGCCUCAAGAAAGUGCUAGGUUUCUGGCUGCCACUAAAUGCUCAAUCAAGUAUAAGAUAUAAAAGUACCAAGUUUAUAUGUAUAAUAUAUUUUCUUUUAGGAUAAUUACAUCAAUACAUAAGUUCAAGUACCAACAAAAUACCCAAAUAUAUGAUAAAGUAUCUUAAAACCUUAUAUAUCCUAUGAGAAAUGUAUUGUGAACUUCAACAGCUCAUAUCUUACGAUUGGUCUGUCAAAAAAAUCCUAAAUUUUAUAUACAAUAUUGAUAUAUUUUCAAAAACUACCACAAAAAAAUUAAAUUGCAAAUUCAUUAUGAAUCUUGAGAUAUCACCAAAAUCCUAAUAAUAGCUUUAAACCCUAGCUUACAUACACCCUUGUGUUAUUUUCUUUAUAUAUCACAAAAUAAGUACUCAAAUACCAUGAAACUUUGAUCAAUAGCUUUAUAACCUAAUAACUCAGACUUAUGAAAAUUUUUAGUCAAAAAUUCAUAUACAAAUUCAAAAUAUGGCUUCAACUAUUACUAUCAACAAAAUGAUUCACUUAUUGCCUUUGAACUACAUGUGCUAUCUUCAAUAUCGUAAAACUCCUUCAUUCAAACUUAGAAUUUAUCAAAAAGUAUAUGUAAAAUAUAGCCAAGAAAGUGUUCUCUCCAAUUCCAGUUGUCGAUCUUUCAUUGCUCUUUUUAUGCAUAUGUUAUGCUUCAAAGAAUGACAAUAGGUACAAAUUUGGCACCUUAACUUUGAACAUCUAUAUCUCCUUGACAAAAACUCGAAAUCAUACAAAAUCUUCAUCCAAAUAAUACCCAAAAUCCUAAACUUGCUGAUUCUAGCCUCCAAAGUUCAAAUGACUUUGAAAAAAAAAACCCUAAUUCCUAAUAAGUCCUUUGGCAACCUCCUUGAAGUCCAUUGGGUAUGGCCUUCGACCAAUAGGAAUGAAGAUCUCCAUUCCUUGCCUUCAUCCAACCAUGCCUUCCUUUCAUCCCUCUCAAAAGCCUUCUAAUAGUUUAGACUUUCAUCUUUAGAUUCCAACCUUCUCUUAAGUUUUAUACUAAAUAUCUAAAUCCUACAUAAUAUAAAUAUUAUAAUCAAAAUAUAUAAAUCUCCAAAUAAAUUUUCUUAUAUCAAUUCUCUAUAAAUUUAUUUCCUAACCACUCUAAUCUAUAUUAAGACUCACAAAUAUAUUAUAUGUCUUAAUUAAUUUUUACAUACUAUAAGUAAUUACAGUAUGACAUCGCCACGUACCUCACAAGUAGAUAGUAUAUGUAGAGGUAAGAGUGAAGCCUUCUUCACUCUUGUCAACUCCUUUCUUGCUUCUAGUCUAGUUUCAAGGAUCUCUAAUUUUCUUAUCUUUUGGUAAUACCCACUCCAUAUUCUUUUUUAAUAUACAUAUUUAAUUAUUUCUAUUUUUUCAUCUUCACUUCAGAAAAGUUUCACUUAUUUAUUUGUUUGUAUCAAAUUCUUAUCCUUGACAGAUUGACAAGAGUGUACAUAUAAUAUCAAAGCUUUGUCUAAUCUUCAUUAAGAGUGGAUUAUCUUUUUUUUUUUUUUAUAAGACAUGAGCAUAUUAGAAGUUGCAGAAUACCUUCUUCUAAAGUGAUAUUAUUUUUAGUAUUUUUUUUGUUCUGAAGUCCUCUCUUCUAUUUGACUUGAGCAAUAUUAGACAUCUUCUCUUUUCUAAGUAUUAUCAUGGCAGAACUUACUAAAAUGAAGAGUGCAAUGGCACAAAUGCAAGAGUAAUUGAGUGAGUUAAUACUUGCAAUGCAUCAACUCAAUUUACCACCACAAAGAACAACAAGAUUGGCAGGAAGUGAAGAUAUAGAAAUGAUUCGAGUUGCUUCAACAUCUACACCAAAUUAUGUCCCUUCUCCUAUGGUGGAACGUCCUUCCAGUAUUAGAGAAACUAGAAUUAUCCUACUCGAGAAGUUUGAUGUCACCAAAUUAAAGUUUAGAGGAUUUAUCAAUCAAGUACAACUUUUGAUUGAACUUCAAUCCCAAAGCUAUCCAACUCCAGGAUCGUAAGUUAGAUUCAUUGGUAUGCUUCUUUCAUCUUUAGCAUUAUCAUGGUUUUCAUCUUUUCUUAAAUGACGAGAUCUAAUAUUUGAUAAUCUGGAGGUUUUUUUGGUAAUAUUUUGAUCCAUGAAUGGAGAACAUGAUGCAAUUCAUAUUGCAACCAAUAAGAUCCAUAUUUUGUGAUAAAGCAAUCGAUCAGUAAUGUUGUAUGCUUCAUAGUUUCAACAACUUGCAACUCAUAUCAAGUGAGAUGAUACUACACUUGUUUUCCAAUUUCUCUAUGGAUUAGAAUAUGAGGUAAAAAAAUUAAUGCUUAACUUAUCUAAUCCUCAAACAUUGAGUCAAGCAAUUGACUUUGUUAUGAAGUACAACAAUUAUCUUUUUGAAUUCCAAUCUUAGAACCGUACAAGUAGACAUCAACAUUACUAUAAUUCAAUGGCAACACCAACAUCUCUUCAAUACAUACAUUCAGAAGUAGAAGAUAUGCAAAUUGAUGUAGUACGUUUCAAACCUCUUACUGUAUAAGAAAAGGCUUCUCAUUGUCAAGAAGGAUUUUGCUUAUAUUAUGGAGAACUUGAGCACACUGCUCAAUAUUCUCCAAAGAAGUGAUUCAAUUAUAAAAUGAGGAGUACGAUGUCUUAUUACGUGCUUUCCUGUUCGAGAACGAGCUGGGCGUCUGGCUGUAGAAGAUAGUAUGGAGAUUUGCCAAUAUUCAAGCAGUUUAUCAGUUUUUGACUGUUGGAAUAUAAACAACUGUACGAAUAUACCAUAAAUCUAUACGGAUGUCCUUCGACUGCUCGUCGAAAUCCUUUUUGCCCCAGCCGGUAGGUCUCUAGACGUUACAGAGAACCUCGAACAACCCAAACUGCUAAUCUUCGAUACCGCUUUAUACUCACGAUCUUGUAUCCACUGAUUGUCUUGUUAGAUUAAUCCAAUAAAUUUCAUUCACUCUGCAUACUCAAUCCUAUAGACACCCUUUUAAUUCUUCAUCACAGACGUAACUCAAUUUCACAAAAAAGUCAAGAGUAAUCAUACCCACUUCAUUAAAAAUUCCGAUUCACCAUUACAACACUGACUUUAGCAACGAUUGCCUCAGUCUUUCCAAAACCCUAUGAAGAAAAAAAAACCCAAUUCUCUGUCUUUUUUUCCCGCUCGAAGCAUGAAGCUAGCUCUCCGACCCUUCAAAACCUCAAAAAAAACUCCCCCAAAACUCUCUCUCCCCUCUCAUUUCUUAAUCUUAAUUCUGAAUUUCUUCAAUCUUUCGUCUUGGAUCCGAAAUUGGCUCCUGCCGUUAGACCUUGGAUCCAAAAUUGGCUCUCGCCGUCAGAGCUUUCUCCUCCGUUUUUACCUUUAAGAGAUCUUUUUACCGAAAAGACGUUCUCGAAACGACACAAAGGACGGAACAGCCUGAAACGGAAUCGAAGCCCCGUAAUCGGAACCACAUUGAGUCGACCGACCAAUUCAAAUCUUGUAUUGGGUAAGAGUCCAGUAGUAAGACCCGGAUGUUCCCGUAAUUGGAUCAAAUUGGUCCUUCGUGUCAGAUUGGCUGAGGCUCGUAGUAAGACCUGGAUUUUCCGGUAAUUAGACUGCAUUGGAUUGCCCUACCAAUUCAGGUCUCAUAUUGGGUAAGAGGACCUGGAUUGGAUGUCUUGAAAUUGGAUCCAAUUGGCUCUUCGAAUCAGGCUCACCCGUCAUUGAAUUGGUCCUUCCCCUUUUUGCUGACUCCCGUUAUUGGAAUCAAAUGGAGCAUUUCAAUAUGCCUCGGCUGACUAUAAUGGGGUGACUGAACCUGGCCACUCAGUAUUUGCAUUGGAAUUGGUCGUUGCUCCCAAUAUUCGAGCCAACUGAAUAUUAAUAAAAGUAUCCUUUCUUUAUAUUUUCACGGUAUACUCGUGUUACAAUACAACAUCCUCCCCCUUUGAACUUGUGCAUCCUCCGGUAUGCACCAAUUUACCCAAUUGCUGUUUGAUUUAGAAUAUAUCCUCUACAUCUUUGUCCAGUUUGUCUUCGUCACCUUCAUUAUCCAAAUCACUUUCAUCUUCUUGCUGCGGAAUCUCUAUACCUUCAUUAAGGUCUUCCAUAUUCAUCUCCGCGGGUCUUCGUUUAAAUAUUUUUACUCGCUUCUCUGCAAUUGGUAUUUUCAAUUUUGUACCAUCUAACUCCCGUAAUGAGUAAGUCGCAUUAUCAUGAACAGUUGUUACUACAUAUGGUCCAAACCAAUAUUUUGAAAAUUUCUACAAAGUACUAUAUUGAUUAUCCAGACUAUUGUCAUAAAUAAGUACCCAGUCACCUUCUUCGAUUGCUUUAGGUCUCAAUCGAUGUUGCUUAUUGAAUCGCGCCUUAUUUUGUAACCUUGCUCUUUUUAACCUUUUCAAUGCUAUCUACACAUCUUCCGAUCUUUGCUCCAAUUGUCGAAUCCUAAUAGCAAGAAGUUCUUCUCUUGUCAAUCCAUCUUCCCAUGGUAGCAUACUCCAAGUAAGUACCUUUUCUUCAAUCGGCAUAAUUGGUUUUCGACCUGUCAUAAGUUCUACUGGCAUAUAUCUUAUCACCAAACUAUGUGUUGUUCGAUCAGUCCAUAAUGCAAAUGACAAAAGCCAUGGCCACUCUCUAACUUUCCCAUUACAAGCUUUAACUAAUGCUUUCACAAUCGGUGGGUGACCGCGUUCGCUUUUUGCAUUCCCUUCCGGGUUAUAAGCAGUAGUCAGUGAUAGUUUAACUCCACAUCUUUCAAAGAACUUACGAGCUUCUUGUGCAUUUAAUUCUCCACGAUCUGCAAUGAUUUUUUGUACGCAUCCGUAGUAGCAAAUGACAACUUCAAGCAAAAAUCUAUAAAUCCCCUCUAUAGAUUUUGUCCUCAAUGCUCUUCCUUCUACUUGAUUUGAUAAAUCUUCACGAGCUAAGCCCAAAUAUUUCAUCUGCUAUAACCCAACUGGCAUAAUAACCAAAUCAACAACCCAUUUAAAAUGAAUAGCCAGAGGAUACGUAGGAUGAAGACCAUCUCGAUGUCGGAUAUUAGAAUACGAUUGAGAGAUUCUUCAUGAUUCUACAAAUGAGAGCACAUCUUGAUACAUAUUUUUCUACCAAUAUCGUUCCUUGAGUUUAGCAAAAGUAGCCCAGAUUCCUCUAUGCCCUGCUGUCACGGACACAAAAUAUAGACUUGAAAACUAACAAGAAGUUCAAGAAGAAGUGGCAGAACUAGAUUAAACAGACGAGUACAAGAACAACACCAGAAAGGUGAGGUAGAACUCCAAGAGAUGUGUUGUCGAGAUUGAAGAACUCUUCAACCUCGAUCCCUAUAGAUACUCCUACUUAGGAAGCUUCUCGAGCUACUUCUAUUAACUAGGAAGCUUCUAAAAAGUUCCAGAGGCUUCCUUUCUAGAAGCUUCUAGAAACUUCUCUUCUAUAAGGUUCCAGAGACUUCCUUUCUAGAAGCUUCUAGAAACUUCUCUCUAAAAGGUUCCAGAGGCUUCUCUUGUAGAAGGUUCCAGAGGCUUGUUUUCUAGAAGGUUCUAGAAACUUCUCUCUAGAAAGUUCUAAGGAAUAUGUCCCUAACAUUACCCCCUCCUUUAGCUUCGAAGUCUCUGAGAAGCAAUGUUGUUGAUCAGUACUAACGCAAGAAAAUAAAGAUCUGUCGCAUAACUUCUACUAUGAACUCCAACUGUUGUUCACGAGGCAAGUGGUUCAUCGACCCUUGAAGCCAACAGUAAUGGCCCACGCCUUCGACUUCUGACCAAGCAUGAACUUCCGUGUCUUCAUUGUGAAAUUGUCCUGCAAACACGCCUUGUGGCUGACCAUCGUAAGCAGGCUCGAUCUCAAAUACGAUCACCAGUGAUCGGUUACUCGGUAUCCUCCGUCGUCGUCGUGGUACAUGUAGUUCUUCAUUUGGGGUUGCCUUCGUGAGCUACUCGGUUGCGAUACUCUGACUGGCAUAGUAUCUAUCUCUUGGCUAUCCAUAUCAAAAGACCAAACUACGAUCUAUCUCGGAGAGAAUAACUACAUUAACUACAAAUUUUGCUGGUGCUCUCCCCUUUUCUUAUAUUGUUGGGAGAACAAGCUUCAGAAAGAAGCUAUCGUCGAAUUGAUUUAGGUUUAUCAGGAUGUUGUUGAUGAAACUCCUGUACCUUUUGUGGCGCAUUUGCAAGAUUUUCAGCUGGCUCCUACGUUCGCUCAUUAAUGUCAUAGCCACACCAAUGAACAAGAUAUUCUAACUUUCUCCACCUUCUCCGUGAAUCUAAUAUCUUUUCAACCUCGUAUUCUUCGUGGUUCUCGAUUUCAAUACUAAGUGGCGGACUUUGCACUCUUUCAGGAAAAGAUGACUCUCGAUAAGGUUCCAACAGAAAAACAUGAAAGACUGGAUGUACCUUCAUAGAGGCCGGUAAUUCCAGCCGGUAUGCCACUGGAUUAAUUUGCUUCUGGAUGAUAAAUGGUCCCAAUCUUCGAUAGUCCAACUUAUCACAUGGUCGCUUGGUCUUGAUAUUUCGUUGAAGAAGCAAGGCUUUGUCUCCAACUUUGAAAGUAGGUGCUUGAUUCCGAAAUCUAUCUGCAGACGUCUUAUAGGAUUCUUGAGCAGAUUGUAAUUGAAGCUUCAACAUAGUUUGAAGCUCUGAUAGUUGCUUCACAAAUCCUUCAGCUGCUGGAUUGUUAUUUGUUGACAGACUCAAUAAAUCAAGCUUCGGAUGAUAUCCAUAGUUAGAAAAGAAUGGUGUUUGUUGAGUCAACGCAUGGAGGGUGUUUUUAUAUGCAAACUCGGCUAGCGGUAGAUAUGCAGUCCAAUCGACUUGCUGAUAGUUGAUACUGCAUCGUAAGUACUGCUCCAAGACUUGGUUCACCCGUUCCGUUUGGCCAUCACUUUGAGGAUGAAAAGCUGAAGAAAGCUUGAUAUCCACCUUCAAUAUCCCAAAGAGAGAUCUCCAAAACUUUGACACGAACUGGGUACCUCGAUCUGAUAUGAUGUCAUCUAGUAGUCCAUGAUAACGAUACACAUUAUUGAGAAAGAGUCUUGCCGUGACUUCACUGGACGAUGUCUUCUUAUAAGGAACAAAGUGUGCCAUCUUCGUAAGCCGAUCUACUACGACAAAGAUGCUAUCAAAUGAGUUUGAUGAUGGCAAGUCCGUGAUGAAGUCCAUAGAAAUUGAAGACCAUGGUCGACGUGGAAUUGGCAAUGGCUGUAGAAGUCCAUAAGGGCGAUGCCGAGGAUUCUUAGAUCUUGAACAGAUGUUACAAGAGAGGACAAAAUCUUUCACAUCCUUCCACAUUUGGGGCCACCAAAGAUCUCAGGAAAUAAGCUCCAAAGUCUUGUUGAAUCCAAAAUGUCUCGCAGCUGAAAAAUCAUGGCGAGAUUGAAGAACUUGGAGUCGUGCUGGUCUUUUUGGAAUGUACAAUCGCUCUUCAAAGUAUAAAAGAUCUCCCUCCACCUUGAACUUGUCAUCAUUGGUACGUUGCUUGAUAUCAAUGGCUACUGAAUCUUUAAUGGUCAUAGCACUUACCUGGUUUAGGAAGUCAGCAUCAAAUGAUACAAUAGUAGCACAAAGUUGAAAUCUCUCUGGCUUCAAUAACGUUGUACAUUGUUGAUCAAAUGCUGCUUCUCCAGCCUUUAGUGUAAGAUACGAUCUCCUUGAUAAAGCAUCGGAUAGUCCUUGCUGCCUUCUAGGUCGAUAAGUGAUAACAAAAUCGAAUCUAGAUAGCGACAUAUUCCACCGAGCUUGACGCCGAUUUAAAACUCGAGCCGUCAUGAAAUACUCCAAAUUCUUGUGAUCCGUAUAUACGGUUAUUGGAUGUGCAGCUCUUUCAAGAAAGUGACGCCAUUCUUCGAAAGAAUCCACUAUAGCAAGAAGUUCCUUAUCGUGGAUCUCAUAAUUGAUUUCAGCAGCAGAGAACUUCCGAGAAUAGAAUGCAACUGGAUGGAGCUUCUUAUCUUCACUCAUUUGUGAAAGCACAGCUCCCAAAGCAAAAUUUGAAGCAUCAGUUUCUAAAUAGAAGGCCUUUGUAAAGUCUGGAUGUACCAAAAUUGGAGCUGUAAUAAAUGCUGUCUUCAAAUCUUGAAACGCCUUCUCUGCCAAAGGUCCCCAUUCCAACUUAUCCUUGCAUGUUAAUCGAGUGAGAGGAGCAGCAACUUGAGAAUAAUUCUUCAUGAAGAUCCAAUAGAAGUUAACAAAACCAAGAAAGCAUUGUACGUCUCUAACCGUCUUCGGAACCUCCCAAAACAUGAUUGCUUCUACUUUCUUGGGGUCCAUCUUCAAACCUUCUGUAGUCGCAAUGAACCCCAAAAAUUCCAUCUCCGUCUAGUGAAAUAAACACUUUUCUAAUUUGGCAUAUAGUCCUCGCUUGCGUAGUUUCUCCAAGACCAAACGAACAUGCUCCUCAUGCUCUUCCUCAUUUUUAGAGAAUAUUAGAAUAUCUUCUAAGUAGAUGACAACAAAAUCGUCGAGGUGUUCUCGAAAGAUGUCAUUCAUCAUAUGUUGAAAAACUGCUGGAGCAUUGGUAAGACCAAAAGGCAUGACAUUAUAUUCGAAAUGACCAUACCUUGUACGAAAUGCUGUCUUCCACUCAUCUCCUUCCUUGAUUCGUACGAGAUUAUAAGCUCCCCUUAGAUCAAUUUUUGUAAAGAUCUUUGCACGUCCAAGUUGUUCUAAGAGACUAGAAAUCAAGGAUAAUGGGUAACGAUUUUUCUUUGUUACCUUGUUGAGGCCUCGAUAGUCCACACACAUCCGUAAUGAUCCAUCUUUCUUCUUCACAAAUAAGAUGGGUGUUCCAGCUGAUGAUUUUGAAUGACGAAUGAAGUUCUUGGCUAGAUUCUCGUCGAUGUACUUUCGCAACUCUGCCAACUCCGUUUGCGAUAGAUUGUAGAUUGGGCCAAAAGGUGGUUGUGCUCCUUCUUGCAAGUCUAUGGCACAAUCAUAUGGUCGGUGUUCCGGUAGUAUGUCGGCGUUCUUUUUUUGAAACACGUCUUCAAAAUCCUUAUAUUGCUCCGGUAUACUUGCUAUUGAGAUCUUCUCCUCGGUAGUUGGAGCCGCAUAAAUGACAAAUGGAGUGCCUUCCUUAGAUGAUCUUAUAAACGCUCUUGCUCCAAUGAAUAAGGAUUUCUUUUUUCGAGGUUUUUUACUAGGUUUUUUCUUGGGUGGUUUUGUGAGAAAAGUCAUCUUCCGCAACCUCCAAUCUAUCAAUGGAUUAUGUUUUUCCAACCAAAAAAGACCAAGAAUAAUAGGAUUUGAUGGGGUUCUAAUAAUAUUAAAAAUAAUAUGACUACUAUGGUCUUUAAACGUUACUUCUAUAGAUUUUGAUUCAUGGGUGAUGCUACCAGAUAAUAAAGGUCGCCCAUCUAUGACCUCAACAUGAACAGGUUUUGAUUUUUGUACUAAAGGGAUCUUAUGAAGCUUUGCAAAUUCCUCGUCUAAAAAAUAAGCAGAUGCUCCUUAGUCUAGUAGUGCUAAGGUUCUCAAUUUUUGAGGGCCGAUAAAUAGAGGGAUUGUAAAACAAAGUGCAGGUUGGGCAGAAAUAAAGGAACCUAAUUGUUGUUGGGAUAUUUCAUUGUCCAGCCGCACGGUUCCUACUGUGGCUGGGCAUCCUCAUUUUCCUGAACAAAUACUCCCCUAGUCUUGACUAUGCCUCGAUUUUGCUUUUUGGGGCAGUUUCUGACUUUGUGGCCUUGUCCACCACAAUACAAGCAUAAAUUUUCCUCCAUACGUCGCUUUUUUUCUUCUAUAGUAAGAGAUUUGAUACGUACGACAUCAAUUUGCAUGUCUUCCACCUCUGAAUGUGAAUUCACAUCGCUUGCCGACAUAGUUGGAGCAUGGCGAAUUGUAUGUUGUCUUGAGCGUUGGUCUUGAGGACGUUGGAAUAUGCGAUUAUCGCACUUCACAGCUUGGCUAAUGGCUUCAUUGAGCGUUCGUGGAUCAAGAAGAGUUAACAGCAAAUCCUUCACAUCAUCUCUUAAACCCCAAUAGAAUUGACUCAUCAACGCUUCUUCAUCCCAAUUGAUAUGACAAACUAAUUGCCUGAAAUCCGAAGCAUAGAUUGAUGUAAAAUGCAUCCCUUGUCGUAGCGACCGGAUCUUUGUUGUAGCCCAUCAAACCUUAUCGUGUUCACCAAAUGCUUCCGCAAAUGCUUCCAAAAAGGUUUCGAAGUUGUUUAAUAUGGAUGAUCAUUUUUCAAACAAAGGAGCAAACCAUGAUAGAGCUUGUCCCGUAAGUAAGGUUCCAACAAGCCCAAUACGUGACUCCUCCGUUGGAUAUCGUUCAGGCUGUAAAACUGUUAUCAACGUGAUUUGAUUGACAAAUCCUCGAAACUUCAAACGUGUUCCAUCAAACUUAUCUGGAAGGCUAAUUCGAGGCUCCUUAUGUUGUAGAACUAGUGGUUCUUGUUGAACUUGAGGUAAAGUUAUUUCUCCGUGUCGAAGUUUGAGGCUGGUGUAGUUUAGAUUGUGCUAUCCCAGAUACUCCAUCAUUAUGAAGCCUUGCCACCACUCCUUCAAUCUCUGCAGUUCUUUAUGAUAACGUAGCGAGGGCAUUCAUAAUAGCAUCUAACUUAGACUCCAAACUUUCUGUCAUACUAAUGUCUUGACCUCCGGCCAUUCUAAAAGAAGGACAAAAAUGACCCUAUAAGAGGCAAUAUUGGUUUAUAGGAGGGUAAUCCACAACCUAUAAAAUGCCUUAAGAAUUUCAAGAAGAGGGGUAAUCCACUCUCUCCAAGAAGAAUAAGACUCCAAUAUUAUAACACAAGAGGUAUCAGUUUAGAGGAGGGUAAUCCGCAACCUCUAAAAAUGCUAGUAUACCUUCAAGAAGAGUGGUAAUCCACACUCUACUAAGAAAGAACUACCUCUGAUAUCUCAAGUUAGUACAGUCUCGACAAACUGUCACGGACACAAAAUACACACUUGAAAACUAACAAGAAGUUCAAGAAGAAGUGACAGAACUAGAUUAAAUAGAUGAGUACAAGAACAACACCAGAAAGGUGAGGUAGAACUCCAAGAGAUGUGUUGUCGAGACUGAAGAACUCUUCAGCCUCGAUCCCUAUAUAUACUCCUACUUAGGAAGCUUCUCGAGCUACUUCUAUUAACUAGGAAGCUUCUAAAAAGUUCCAAAGGCUUCCUUUCUAGAAGCUUCUAGAAACUUCUCUUCUAUAAGGUUCCAGAGACUUCCUUUCUAGAAGCUUCUAGAAACUUCUCUCUAAAAGGUUCCAGAGGCUUCUCUUGUAGAAGGUUCCAGAGGCUUGUUUUCUAGAAGGUUCUAGAAACUUCUCUCUAGAAAGUUCUAAGGAAUAUGUCCCUAACACUUGCCCAUAAACUAUCAUGAAACUCCUUUAAUAAUUUUAGUUUUUCUUCCUUUUUGCCUAUCACUCGUUGUGGCAUCUCAAUACUUUUCUUCGGUCUCUUCUAUAAGAAUCCAUCUCGAAGUAAAAAUCCACAUGUUUUUUUUCUUAUUUGUUUGAAUUUUUCUGUAGACCAAUUUCCCUGCUUAGUCAAGGUAUUCAAGUAAUGACCAAUAUUCAAUAAUUUUCCUUCAUAAGAUUCUUUAAGAAAUAACUUGUCUUCCUUCUUGAGAUUUGAUAUUGAAUAGAAUUUCAAUCCGACGUCAUCAAUGUCUUCAACCAUUUCGUCCUCCCUCUUGUAUCUUGCUCGAGAUAGCAUGUCUGCUACUAAAUUGUCCUUCCCAGUAACAUUCUUAAAUUCUGGAUUUAGUGACUUAAUAUAAGCAAUCCAUCUCAAUAUUGCAAUAUCUGGCGUUGAACAGUUAAUAAUCAUUCCAAGCAAUGACAAGCAAUCUGUUUCAAUUACUACUACUGCCCCAAUCAAAUAGUCCUUUUAAACUUUCAUAGCCGAAAUAACUCCCCAAAGUUUUCUUUUGACUUGCGAAUAUGCACGCUGACGAACACUUAAUACUUUAGCUCCAAAUUAAACUGCAAAUCUAUUCCUUCUUGAAUCAUCUUGAUCCACAGUCCAUCCAAUGGCAAUUGGACUAGCGUCCACAGUAAGAAUCACUGGUCUGUUGCACUUAUAAUCAACCUUCUUCAAUAUUGGAGGUGACAUCAAUAAUUUCUUCAAUCUUUGCAUUGCCUGAAUAUGCCUUUUUUCCCAUUUAAAUCGGUAAUCCUUGCAUAACAGUUCAUAUAAUGGAUCCGCUAUGUGAGCAUAAUGAGGGAUCCAAAUUUGAUAAAAUACACAUGCACCUAAAAACCUCCGAACCUCUGUUAAAGAAUCAUAAUCCUCUUUCAUCCUUCCAAUUGCAUCAACUUUAGUCGGAUCUGGUUUUCUUCUGUAAGAUCAUCAUAAAUGACCAACAAUUACAACCUCUCGUACUCCAAAUACGGACUUCAUACCCGAUAAUGUAAGAUGAACUUCUCCAAGCCGAGUUAAAAUCUUUUCACAAUCUUGUAUAUGAUCAACAACAUAUUUGCGACACCCCCUCGUAUCUAAAGUUUCAUCCUUGUCUCCUUCUCUGCACCCUUUUAUAGGAACAUCAUCCAGAAAAGACAUAGUCUUUUUCGGAAUAAAAUCUCUCAAUACCUUAUUCAUCCAAUUCAUCAUAUGCGCAACUGAGUUGGUCGUGCCUUGACGAAGAGUGCACAUUCUAACCUAUCCAAGUGGGGUCCUCAUUGUUGUCAUAUCUCUACUUCCUUCGGCAAGUUGAAAUUGAUCAUAACCUGAAUAUAAGUCACCCAUUGAAUAGAUCGCCCUUCCAGCAAAUGCCUCAGUAAAUUCAUCCAUUUUAGGCCCAAUUCCUGCAUUCCUGACAGUUACUGCAUUCACCGGUUGCAUAUCUUGAAUAAACCGUAGUGACCCAUUCUUCUUAGGUACUGUAAACCAUCGACUAGAAUACGGUGCAAAUGAAGGUUCCAAUAUUUUCAUCUUUAUCUUUUCUUUUAAUAGUUCCACCAAUUUAGGUAAAUGUGCCCUUGGUACUGGAAUCGGUUUUAGAUUCCAAGGUACAUGUCGUACAGUGAAGAUAACCAUAGGUGUUAUAAUAUUCGGAUCUACACACCUAAUUUCAUGAGAUUCGAAAGCAAGUGAUCUACCUUGUUUAGCCAACAUCUUUUUGAAGCAAGUAAUUUCCUCUGGCAAUAAAGAACCAUCAGAACCAAUCUUCAAUUCUUCAAAAGUCUCUUUAAUAAACUGAUGUCUAAUACUCAUUGGAUCUCUUAAACUUGCUUCUUUUGAUGCUUCUCCUAUUUGUUCUUUAGAAUCUUCUGGCAAUGGUCCGGCAACAGGCUUUACCUUCUUAUCUGUCAUUUUAUAUCUCGUCUCUAUAGUAACUUCUGGUGCUUGAAAAGAUUCAAGUAUGGUAUAAACCUCUCUUGAAUGAAUCUCAACAAUCUUAUCAUUAUCUCCUAACCCAAUAGAUGUAAUCAAUUCCAAUGAAUCUUCCAGUCCAUUUUCUUCAUAAACACCUAAAAUCCUCUCAUCAUCUUACAAUGUACCUAACUUGUGUAAUUCUCUUUUAAUAUUAUAUAAUCUUUUUCUUUCUUUUCUUUUAAAAUCAUCAACUUUCUUAUACAUAAUAUUUCCAUUCUCCAAUAUACCAAUAAAACUCGCAUCAAAGGCACCUUCAUCUCGCGAGAGUACCUCCUCUUUUGUACCUCUAUAAUCUCGCUUUAUAGUGGUACCUCCCCAAAAUCCUUAAAUCCUUCAACAAUCUUUAGCAAUGGUUUUUCCCUCAACUUAUCUCGAUUCCGUUCAUGGUUAUGAGGUACUGUUAGAAAUUGUACAGCUUUCCUCCCAUCUUCGCUACGUACCCUGGCAUAAGCAGAACCAUUGUCAAGUACUUUUGUUUCCAUCCAUGUUGUCGUAAUAUAAGGUUGUCCUAAAAUCAACGGAUAAGACGUUGUAUCUUGAAUAAAGAAAUGUUGCUCCGUCGCAACAUCCCCAAUCCGAAUUUUGACAUCUGGACAAGCUCCAUAUAAUUUGCCCCAUGUAUUAUUAGCUACUCAUAUUGCCCAUCCAUUUUCUAUAUAAAUUGGCCAUUUUUGCUUCUUAUAAAGAUCUUUAAACAUGAGAUUUAUUUCAGAACCAUGGUCGAGUAAAGCUACAAUUGGUUCUUCUAUUGCUCCUACUUUCACCAAUAUCUCAGUAGUUGCCCUUGCCCAAUGCUUUCGAGUAUAAUGGCUCAAAGUUUCCAUUUCUUUAUCACUAUAAUCUUCGAAACGUACUCAUUGAUUAUACCCAUUCUUUUCAUUUGUUGGUUGCUUGUAACCAAUAUCAACCUCUUCUUCAUCUUUAUAUAUUCUUUCAUCAAUAGCAUGACUCAUUCCAGUUUCGUCCAUUAAUUGCCUCUUUCGCUUAAUAUUGUCAAUGAUAACAUCAUGAAACUCCUUCUUUGCAAUUUCCAAAACUUCUUUCAAUGUGAAUUCCACCUUAGCGUUUAAUAUACGUUCUUCUAACACCCCUUUCAAAUUUGUUGCCGCUUCAACAUCAAAAAGUAGCUUAUUAGCAAUUGAUUUGCCUUUAUCUUUUGUCUCCUUUGUUUUUUCUACCAAUGAUGCUGAGGUAUCCUUUACAGGCAAUUCUUGUGAAGCUGCCUCCCGAGCCUUGUCUCUUCGAGUUUGCCUCUUAGAAGAAUUUCCUUCUCUAGUAUCAUCAAAAUUUCCUCGUCUCUUUUCUUCCAUCAAAGCUUCAUGUUGGCUCUUAGCAAUAUAUGCAUGAACUGAAAGACACUCAACAAGAUCCCCCUAACCCGUUGCACCUCGUAUUGUAGCUGCAGUCUUCAAUAAUGCUUUUCGAGGUAAAUUCCCUUCUUGCAUUGUAGAAAUGGCAGAAGUCCAAAACUCACUAAUUUCCGUACUUCCACCAAGGUCGUCAUCUAUUCUAGCACCAUAACUUGCACUUUCUCGUGCUGUUGUUUCAUGCUCUUUUAAGUAAUCUUGAACCAAUGCUCUCAUUCCUCCCUUGCCAAAAUUGGUUUGAAGAAGAUCCUCCCUAUCUUUUAAUGCUAUCUUCCCAUCUUUCCAGUAAAUAAUUCCUUACCGUAUCAUAUUAUUAAAUUCAUUGCAAUCUUUCCUAGUGUGUAAAGCGUCAUCACACCAAAUGCAUCUUUGUACGUAUCCUUGUUUUGAAACAUUCUUCAAAUUGUUUGUAUAAGUAUUCUCUUCAAGUCUUGCUAAUUUGAUUUGAAGAUCUUGCAUUCCUCGUAUAAUUUCUUCCAUCCCCAUAUCUGCUUUCUUUGAUAAGGAUGUCGAAGGUUGAACUGUAGGCAUUGUUGGUGGUGUUGUACGUACUGGAGCUUUGGGUGCUUGUACUAUUUUCGGAAUAUUGCUCCUAUCCUUCCUCCUUUCUCUUUUUGUAAGCAACUCCAUCGCAUCUUCAACGUUCUUCUACUUUGUUGUCAAUCCUUCAUCUUCUUCUUUGUCUUCAAGAAGGAGUUCUAAUUUCCCUUGCAAUUCUCCAUCAGCAGCUUGAAGAAAUAGAUCAACUUUGUUCGGCUCCAAUGUCAAUUUUUCUACCUUCGACAAUUGAGAGUACUGCCUCUCAAAUUCCCUUAGUAGCUCUGUUGCUUGUAAAUUCUUAUUGGGCCGUUCAAUCCAUUCCAGAAACAACUUCUUAGUAACGCGAUCAGCAUCUUCCAAGAAAUAUUUAUCUUUCAAUGCAUGUGAAAAAACCUCCCAUGAAUUCCCAUAAUGAUCCGUAAUCGAUGUAAUAUGGUCUCUUAUCUCUGGUAUCAUGGCAAGUCCAAAUAAUUCAACCAUUUUCUUCUCAGAAACUCGAUUUAAUUCCAUUUCACGAACAUAACAUCUUAAAUACCUUGAAAUAUUUCUUCCAUAAAAUUGAUCAAUUUUAUUGACCACUGUUUGCAAUGCUUUGGUUGCCAAAGCUUUCUUUCGAUCAUUGCUUUGUUGUUGCUGCAUUGAUAAUGAGAAGGCUUGAAACAUACUAGCAAUAGAUGGAUCCAUAUGCAUACCUUGUCCUUUAGAAGAACCCCCAUCAGAAACUCCUCACAAAGAUCCUUCAAAAUUUUUAUUUUCGUUUUUCAUAAAAUAAAAAUAAAACCAAACGAAAUCCAAUACCUUUCACCUCAAGCUUUCACGUCGGAUUCACCACUUUUGUCGUAUUACGUGCUUUCCUACUCCAGAACGCUUCGGGCGUCUGACUGUAGAAGGUAGUAUGGAGAUUCGCCAAUAUUCAAGCAGUUUAUCGGUUUUUCAUUAUUGGAAUAUAAACAACUGUAAGAAUAUACCGUAAAUCUAUACGAAUGUCCUUUGACUGUUCAUCGAAAUCCUUUUUGCCCCAGCCGGUAGGUCUCUAGAUGUUAUAGAGAACCCCGAACAACCCAAACUGCUAAUCUUUGAUAUCGCUUUAUACUCAUGAUCUUGUAUCCACUGACUGUCUUGUUAGAUUAACCCAAUAUAUUUCAUUCACUCCGCAUACUCAAUCCUAUAGACACCCUUUUAAUUCUUCAUUACAGACGUAACUCGAUUUCACAAAACAGUCAAGAGUAAUCACACCCACUUCAUUAAAAAUUCCGAUUCACCAUUACAACACUGACUUUAGCAACGAUUGCCUCAGUCUUUCCAAAACCCUAUGAAGAAAAAAAAACCCAAUUCUCUGUCUUUUUUUCCCGCCCGAAGCAUGAAGCUAGCUCUCCGACCCUUCAAAACCUCAAAAAAAACUCCCCCAAAACUCUCUCUCCCCUUUCAUUUCUUAAUCUUAAUUCUGAAUUUCUUCAAUCUUUCAUCUUGGAUCCGAAAUUGGCUCCCGCCGUUAGACCUUGGAUCCAAAAUUGGCUCUCGCCGUCAGAGCUUUCUCCUCCGUUUUUACCUUUAAGAGAUCUUUUUACCAAAAAGAUGUUCUCGGAAUGGCACAAAAGACGGAUCAGCCUGAAACGGAAUCGGAGCCCCGUAAUCGGGACCACAUUGAGUCGCCCGACUAAUUCAAGUCUUAUAUUGGGUAAGAGUCCAGUAGUAAGACUUGGAUGUUCCCAUAAUUGGAUCAAAUUGGUCCUUCGUGUCAGAUUGGCUGAGGCCCGUAGUAAGACCUGGAUUUUCCCGUAAUUAGACUGCAUUGGGUUGCUCAACCAAUUUAGGUCUCAUAUUGGGUAAGAAGACCUAGAUUGGAUGUCUUGAAAUUGGAUCCAUUUGGCUCUUCGAACCAGGCUCACCCGUUGUUGAAUUGGUCCUUCCCCUUUCUGCUGACUUCCGUUAUUGGAAUCGAACGGAGCAUUUCAGUAUGCCCCGGUUAACUGUAAUGGGGUGACUGAACCUGGCCACUCAGUAUUUGCAUUGGAAUUGGUCGUUGCUCCCAAUAUUUGAGCUAACUGAAUAUUAAUAAAAGUUUCCUUUCUUUAUAUUUUCACGGUAUACUCGUGUUACAACACGACAACGGCGAUCAAAGAAGAUAGCAUGUUGGAAAAUGAAUUUGUCUAAUUACAAUAGGGACCAUGUGACUGGAACCUUGUACAAUGCCUAGUGAAGGUCCCAUUCUCUCCUCAAAAUCCUCUCCAUGUUUUACGAUAAAUAUUAUUCUAAGACCUAAACAUCACAAAGCUUCUGCCUUGUUAGAUUCAAAAGCCUCAGCAUGUUUCUUAGAUGAAGAAUUUGCUAAAAGACAUAGGAUACCUUUAGCAAAGAAAACUAAACCUGUUCAUGUAAAAGUCAUAGAUGGUCGUCCAUUGUCUUCAUGAGAUGUUACUCAUGAAACCCUUCCUAUAGAAGUAACAAUUAAUAGUCAUAGUAGCUUUGUAAUAUUUAAUAUCAUUAGAUCUCCCUCUAAUCUAGUCAUUAUAGGUUUAUCAUGGCUAGAAAAAUAAAACCCUAAAAUAGAUUAGACUUCUCGUAGUCUUGACUUUUUUGAAAGUAUAACUAAGAGCAUACUUAAUCAAGUAAAAAAUCAAAAGUAUAGUAUAAUUAAACUUAUAUUUGUAAGUGCAAGAGCUUUCUUGCAUGUUGUAAAAGAAGGAUCACAUUGUGUCAUUUAUGCCGCACUUGUUUCUAUUGGUAGAAAGACUUCAAGUGGCAUUUUAAGCCAAUAUCAAGAUUUUCAAGAGGUAUUUGAGAAAAAGAAUGCGGAUAUUCUUCUGAAAUAUUGUUUCUAUGAUUGCUCAAUUGAUCUUCAAGAACGAGCACAACUACCAUUUGGACUAAUCUAUAGUUUAUCACAAAAUGAGUUAGCUGAAUUCAAAGAAUAUAUUAAAGAGAAUCUAGUUAAGAACUUCAUAUGCCAUUCCAAAUCUCUAGCAGGAGCUCUAAUUUUAUUUGUAAAAAAAAAAAGAUGGAUUAUUGCAGAUGUGUGUUUAUUAUCAAGGACUCAACAUAAUAACCAUCAAAAAUAGGUAUCUGCUACCUUUGAUAUCUGGACUCCUUGAUGAGUUGAAUCAAGCUAAGAUCUAUACAAAAAUAGAUCUACAAGGAGUAUACAAUUUGGUACGCAUCAAAGAAGGAGAUGAAUGGAAGACUGCAUUUUGAACCAUGUAUGGACAUUUUGAAUAGAAUAUCAUGCCUUUUGAACUUACAAAUGUACAAACAACAUUCCAACAUCUAAAAAAUGAUGUCUUUUGGGAGUUUUUAGAUGAUUUUGUUGUCUAUUAUCUAAACGAUAUCUUAAUCUAUUCUAAGAAUGUAGAAGAUCAUGAACUUCAUAUUCGUCAUGUAUUACAAAAAUUAAGAGAUGUAGGAUUGUAUGCCAAGAUAAAGUAUGUAUUUCAUACUACUCAAGUCAACUUCUAAGGAUACAUCAUUUCAAAUGAUGGACUUAUAAUGGAUCUUAAGAAAGUUCAAGCUCUUAAGGAUUGGAAGAUUCCAAAAAUGGUAAGAGAUGUUCAAUGUUUUUUGGAAUUUGCCAACUACUAUCAGAUCUUCAUCAAAGACUUCUCUCAAGUUGCAGCUCCACUUACAUGUUUGACUUGUAAAGCCAAACUUCAAUGGAAUGAAGAAGCGGAAGUAGCAUUUGAAGAUAUGAAGACAGUCUUUGUUUCUGCACCAAUCUUGUAUCACGUCAAUUUUUCUAAGACAUUUUUUAUGAAAACAUAUGCAUUAGACUUUGCUUAGAGUAUUGUAUUAUCACAAAUGGGAACAGAUGAUAAACUUCACCCAAUAUCUUUCUAUUCCAAAAAAAUUCAGCAACCGAGAUCAACUAUGAGAUCCACGACAAAGAACUUCUUGUAAUCAUGGAUUUGUUUUAAGAAUGGCAUCAUUAUCUAAAAGAUGCUCCUAGUUCAGUCAUCGUAUAUAUAGAUCACAAGAAUCUUAAAUAUUUUAUGUCAAUACGUGUUUUGAAUCGUCGCCAAGCCCAUUGGAGUAUAUCUUUGUCAAGAUUCAAAUUCAAGAUUACUUAUUGACCAAAAAAAUAAUAAGGUUUGUCAGAUGCACUCUCUAGAUGAUCUUACCUUGCAUCAAAGGAAAAAAAAGCUACUUUUGAUCAGCAAAGGAUAAUUCUCUUGAAGCCAGAGCAUCUUCAUCUUUGAACAAUGAAAUCAACACUAAUUGUUGAUUCAACAUUCAUUAAGCAAGUUCAAUCAAGUAUGUCUUCUCAUCCUCUUAUUUGUGAUAUUAAGAAAAAUCCUUCAAAGUCUCAUGAUACUUUCAAGUUUAAAUUUAAGAACAAUCUACUAUAUUUUGAGGGAUGCCUAUAUGUUUCAAAAGGUGAAGCUCAAUUACGUGUUCUUAAAGCCCAUCAUGACUUUUGAGCAGCACGACAUUUUUGAUAUAAUAAAACUUUGGAACUAAUAUCCAGGGAUUUUUUGUGGCCUCAAAUGUAAAAGGCACUCAAAGAUUUUGUACAAUCUUAUGAUGUUUGCUUAAGAUCAAAAAUUCCUCAUUAUCAACCUUACGAACUUUUUUAGCCAUUAGCCAUUGUGAAACAACCAUGGUCUUCUAUUUUUAUGGAUUUCAUCAUAGAUCUUUCAAUCUCAGGUUCUUAUCACUCUAUAUUCAUGAUAGUAGAUUGUUUUACCAAGAUGGCAUAUUUUGUACCAUAUACAAAAUCUAUCACAAGUGAAGAAACAACUAAGCUCUUUCUUGACAAUAUCUAUCGCGUUUAUGAAUUAGCCAAAGAUAUUAUAUCAGAUAGAAGAACUCAAUUUGUAUCAAGAUUUUGGUAGAUUCUUUUCAAAAUUCUAAAAAUGAAUAUAAAACUAUCUUUGGCAUUCCAUCCUUAAAUUGAUGGACAAACGGAGCAUAUUAAUCAAGUUUUGGAAUAGUAUUUAAGAUGUACCAUUAACUACCAACAAGUUGAUUGAACAACUCUUUUGCCAUUGGCAGAGUUUGUUUAUAAUAACACGGUACAUUCUUCUACAAAACAAACACCUUUUUUUGCUAAUUAUGGUUAUCAUCCACAACUUGAUACUUUUGACUUUUCAAAAGUUGAUAAACUUACUGCGAAAGAGUUGGUAAAUUAUUUGUCAAAGCUACAUGCAACAAUAAAGGCGUAGUUAAAAGGAGCUCAAGAACAACAAAAGAUCAAUGCGGAUGUCUAUUGAAAGGAACAACCACCAUUCCACAUAGGUGACAAGGUAUGGUUAUUUUGUCACAAUAUCAAGACCACUCGUCCUUGUGACAAGUUGGACUAUUAAAGGCUUGGACCAUUUUCUAUUUUUGCACAAAUUAAUCCAGUUGCAUAUUGUUUAGACCUAUCUGAGUCAAUAAAAAUCCAUCCAAUAUUUCACGUGUCUCUUCUUCUAUCAUACAAGACAGUGGACAUACCAAGAAGAAGACAAGCUCCACCUUCUUCUAUAGAAGUGGACAAUAGUUCAAAGUGGAAGAAGUCCUAGAUUCAAAGCGGCGCAAAAUUAAUUUGAAUAUCUUGUCCAUUAGCACAAAUAUGAUAUUAAUCAACGUACAUGGGAGCCAAUAAAGAAUCUUACAAAUGCAAGAAAGGUGGUGGAGGCUUUUCAUUGACGACAUCCAUCAAAAUCAAGAUGAAAACCUUUUUUUUAAAAGAAACAAGAUUUAGGUAAGAUAACAUUCUACUUUCAAUCUUUGUUUGUAGUUUCAUUAUAGUUGUGAUGCUAAAGAAAUGGAGAACCAACAACCAGUGAGUUCAACUAAAGAGCCUUCGUUUGUUGACUUGUCAGACGAGAUAUUACGAUUGUUACAACCUUUAAGACAAUGCACUUGAGAUGAAGAUCUUCAAGAAUGAUGUAUUCUUCUUCGAAUAGAUGGCAAGAUACAAUGCGUUGUCAUGAUGUAACAUGGAUAACAAGUGAAAGGGUGAAGAAAAUAUCAUGUUUUGAGGAUCUCACUUCAAAAACAUUGUAGCAAAUUAUCUUGGAAAAAUAGAUAUUAGUCAAAGGGUAGAAAAAUUAAAGGUGCUAAUGCUGCCUAUUUGCAAAUUAUGCUUCUAUUUAUUUUGUAAGGCCAUAAAUAAGGCAAAAUAAGGUAGAUUAGAAAAACAAAGAAUAUAGGCAUAUGUAGGGAGGAGUUAGGAGUGCAAAUUAGUAAAAUUACCUCAAAAAGACGAAAGUUGAUACCUGAAGAGGACUGGUUAUGAACCUGGGUCGAAAUCAGACCCUGAAGCACAAAACCGCACUCUGACAGCGACUCAAAGAAUUUUUGGUACAUCAGAGAGUGGAGUUUGAUAGAAGAUUAGAUAGGGUUUCUAUGUGCAUUGAUUUUGGGUGAUUUAGAGUUGUUAUGGCUUUGUAAGAGCUUUGCAAAGUCUAGGUUUGUUUUGGAUGAUUAGGAUUUUAUGAAAUAAAAUAGGGUUUAUGUUUUGGGUGAUUUCAAGAGUUUUGUUAUAGAUCUAUGGGUGAAAUUUUUUGGAUUUAUGGUUAUAGUUGUAUUUAAUAUGUAUCAUAAAUUUGAGCUCGAUCUAACGGUUGAAUUGAGGAAUAUUGAGAUUUAAGUGGAUCAAGGUCUCAGAAAAUAGAAUUUUAGGUCUAAUCAGGGUUUUUAAGAUUUCUUGCAAUUUACUAGUUGGAUUGGAGUGAAACUUAUGUGAGAGGAUAUUAGACUUGUUUUUCUUUGUGUAUGAGAAUUUUGAGAUCAAUCGAACGGUGUGAAGGAGAGAUAUUGGCUCUAGAAGAUUGGCAUUAAGAUUGUAGAAGGAGGCCGGCCAAUACCCGAGUACAUUUUUGAGGUUAUCGUCAAUUUGGUAACUCCGAUCCUUUGUAAUUUUUUUGUGCUUGUUUUAAACUUAGUUUUUAAGAAGUAUGCAAAAUUUGAGUUAAGAUCAACGGUUUAUUCAUUAGUUAUGAAGGUUUAAAUCUAUUGUAGGAAUUACUAGAGCUUGGUUUAGGGUUUGGUUAGGAAUUGGUUAGGAUUUGGUUUAGGAUUUGGUUUAAGGUUUGAUUAAGGUUUGGAUUAGGGUUUUAUUUAGGAUUUAGGAUUUGUAUUAGGAUUUGGUUUAGGGUUUAGGGUUUAGGGUUUGAUUUAGAGUUUGAUUUAGGGUUUAGGAUUUAAGAUUUGGAUUAGGAUUUGAUUUAGGGUUUAGGAUUUGGUUAGGAUUUAAUUUAGGAUUUAGGAUUUGAUUUGGGUUUUAUUGAGGGUUUAAGAUCUGAUUAGGAUUUGAUUUAGGUUUUAAGAUUUAGUUAGGUUUUGGUUUAGGAUUUAGGGUUUGGAUUAGGGUUUGGAAUUUGGUUUAUGAUUUAGGAUUUAGGAUUUGGAUUUAGAAUUUGAUUAGGAUUUGGUUAAGGAUUUUAUUAGGAUUUAUUUAGGAUUCAAGAUUUAAUUAAUUUGGGCCUAAAGUUUGAAUGAAGUCCAAUAGGAUUUUAACUAGGAUUAAAUUAAGAUUGAAUUGAGAUAUAUUUGAGAGAUAUUUGUGAUUAUUCUAAUAUUUCUUUAAGAUUUCUUAUUAUUUCUUUGAAAUUUUUUUGAGGUUUUUUUUGAAUUUGAUUAAGCUUGUUUAGAAUUAUUGUGGUCCAAUUAGAGCAUUAUUAGUAUUCUAUUAGAAUUAAGAUUUUUUUAUUGCAAUUUCUAUUCUUCCUUCCACAGCCAGGUACCCGGAGCAUUCUCAAGCAAGACUUCACGUAAUACUACAGCGUUUGGUAUCAUGACUUUAAAAGGGACUCGCAAU